ACAUAAAUCAAGCAUUGGAGAGGCCUCUCCCAAACCAAAACAUACGGGCUUUAGGAAAUGCAAGCACUGAGACCUAAAGACAAGCACUACAAGAAAAUGGCAUAUUAGUGGCAGUUUUGUAGCGGCUUUUCACUUACAAACACUGCUAGCUUCUGUGUUUUUAUAAAACUUCAGGCGUUUAUUAUCAAAAUACCACUAAAUAUUCAAAUAGUGGUAUUGUUACUUAUAAACACCACCCAAGACUUAAUAUCAGCAUCAUUUUUAGAUAAAAAUGCCUUGAAUAAUUUUUAUUAAAAAUUUUAGUGAAUAGUAAUGGCAUAUUUUUGGUAGACAAUGCCCUUAAUAAUCACAUCAUAAAAAUUUGUACGAGAUUAUUGAAGGCGUUUUCUACAAGAAAUGCCUUUAAUAAUUGGAUGAAAAAAUUUCAUAGGCUAAUUAAAGUGUUUUUGUUAAAAAAUGCCUUCAAUAUUAAGCUUAUCAAAAUGUUUGGAUCGUACGGAUGUUUACCAUAAAGUUGUAGGUUAGAUCCCUCCCUUUAGCCUUUUCUUGGGUUUUUGCACAGAUUAUUUGUAAUUGAUUAUUCUAGGCAUUUUUUUGGCAAAAAUGUGUUCACCAAUUGCUUUAAAAAUUGUUUCAGAGAAUACUAAAGACAUUUUUCACAGAGAGAUGCCCUUAAUAAUCCAUAGGAAAAAUAUGGAGUCAAUUCUUGAAGGUGUUUUUGGUCGAAGUCGCCUUCUAUAAUCUAAUAAGUUUUUUUUUGUGAUUAUUAAAGGCAGUUUUUGUCAAACAUGCCUUCAAUAAAUCAUAGACAAAAGUUGGAAGGGAUGCUUGAAGGCAUUUUUGGCUCAAAAUACCUUUAAUAUUCUCAAUGAUAAAUUUUAAUGGUCAAAUUAUUGAAGGCAGUUAUAUCAAAAAAAUACCUUCAAAAACAUUUUGUUAGGGAUUAUUCAAGGCGUUACUUGUGGGAAAAUACACUUCAUAAUCCAUUCGAUUAAUUUUUAGUUGGUAUUAUUAAAGGUAUUUUUUUGCUUAAAAUGCCUUUAAUACUUCGUAUAAUAAUUUUUUUUUGGGUUUAUUGAAGGCGAUUUUGGUAAAAAAACGCCUUUAAUGUUUUCUGUUAGGGAUGAUUGAAGGUGUUUUCUUGCUAAAAAUUCCUUCAUUAAUCCCAUCAAAAAAACAUAUUUGAUAUUGUAUAUGUGAAGUCAGUUGUUGGUUUAUGUCCAGAAAAACAUUUGCUGUCAAUUGUAUAUUUAUGCCCAGAAAACAUUUGGUUUAUAUAUCUGACACUAUGAAUUACAUUUUGAAAUUUACAUAAUGAACAUUGUUGUAUUUCAAUAAAUUGAUCACACAUUCGAAAUUAAAACUGAUAAUGUUGCCAUAUUAAUAUACUUUUCUGAAAUAAUCAUACUUAGUAAUUUAUUAAGUACACAUAUGUAAUCAUAUUAAGUAUAACAAUAAUAUUAAACCAAUAACCCAAUGUACAAACUUAAAGUUUCCAUUCAACAUGGCAUGUUAAAAACAUUAUAACAAUUUGUUCCAUAUAUAUUUACAUUCAACCAACAAUGUCUAACUUGAAGGUUUAUCAACAUUUAUAAAUGAUAAUACAUAAUCACACCAUUCUUUACGGACUUCAUCCAGUUCCUCUUUCAUGAAGCUUUCUUUACCUUUCAUGAAGCUUUCUUUACCCUCCUACCAAAAAAAAAAAUUAAAAGUAAAUGUUAAGAAAUGAGAACAUAAAUGUAUCUUUUUUAUUUUUUUGAAGAUAUAACAAGUUUAUGAAAUUUAUACUAACCUUGAAUGGUGAGGUCAUAAAAUCAUGUAACACUAUCUCUCGCAUAAAACGAAGGACAUAAUAUCCACAUUUAGUAUUACUAGGUUGAUGAGGUACUUGAAAAUUAAAUUGAGUGGGUUUAAAAAAUAUUUAUCUACACAAACUCAGCAUAAAAAGAAUAUAUUUUACAUUUAACGGUAAUGACACCCAUUUCGGUUUCUUUAUCUUCUUAUCGAAUGCAAAUAUUAUCCUCAAUUGAAAAGAAAAAAAUUACUUAAUACAUAAAUAAAAUUACUUAUGAAUAAAUAGAAGAUAUAUAAUAUAAUAAAGUGUAAUACCUCCUUAUAAAAGUUUGAAUAGCGGGGUUAGGCAUCGCCAUUGGAUUAACUGAAUUAAGUAAGUAUGGCGUUAAGGAUUUGGUGUCAAUCAUGAUAAGCACCCAAUGACGACUACAAAAUAAUAAUAAUGAUAUACUCAGAUUAUGCAUCUAAUCAAAUUUUGGUAAGGUUGGAGUAAUUAAGGUUGGAAUAUAGCUUACUGUGCAUUAUACAGGAGCAAAUAAUAUUCGACCGAUCUGUUCAUGCAUAGGAUCACAUGAUUAGCACGAUAAGCAACUGUGCCACUCUAUUCACUAAUGAAGUUGGGGUCAAUGAAUCUAAAUCUAUUAGUCAACUGUCUCUCCUUGAGCACUUUAUAUAGGAAGCUGGACGAUAACAAUCAACAUUGUCAGUUAGUAUUACACCCUAAUAUAGAUUACUACAUAUUGAAUGUGCAUAUUUGUAUUUACAAGCUAACCCCAUAUAAGCAACGAUAUCAACAACUGGUAAUUCAUCCAGUUCACAAAAUUCUUUAACCUUCUCCACACCAAUGAAAGAAAAUGAUGGUUUAUCAAAUAACCCUUCCUCAAACUCAAUGGUUAUGAAGUUUCCUUUGGAUAAAUGCUCCAACGAAUAUUUGGAUAACUCAUCCAUGGAAGCCUGAGCAAAAGGUCAUACUGUGAGUUUGAACAUCCUGCUACAAAUAUUUAAUAAAACAUAAGUAUUAAAACUAAAUCAAUCAAUAUAAUAAACAAAUUAAUAUUCAAAUUAUAAACAAUAUCAUACUUCUUAGGUGGUAGCAGAGGAUGGGAUCACUUCCUUACUUCCAACGAAAGUUUCUCGUAUGGAGACGAUGUAUCAAGCCGACCUCCUAACAUAACCUAUUGUAUUGCUGCCAACAUGGAUUCCAAAAUAGCGAGUCUUUGCUAUUGGUCAUUGAGGCAUUGCUCUUGGUCAUUAAUUUGUUACUGUUGUUGCUUAAUUAUUGCUUCAUAUUAUGCAUUUCUCAUUCGUGGGGUUUUUGAUUGUUUACCAAAAAAUGUUGAUGGCAAGACAAAUUUACCAACCCCAUGAACCCGACCAGGCUUUUCUUUAGUGCCUAAUGCUAAAGACAAAGGAUCUUCGCCAUACUGAGUUGCCAGUUCACCAGAUUUGACUUUGGUAGCAUAAUCAUCCUAAAAGACAAUAAUAAGUUUGGCUAUAACAACAAAUCUAUACAAGAUAGUAUACAUUCAUGCAUACAACCAUAAUGCCAAUCAUACAUUAUAUAAAAAAAAUAGUUAUACAUACAAUCUUUUUUGCCAUUUCCUCGGUUGCUUUAUCUGCGAAUGAUCCAUCCUUCUAUAGAUGUCCUUGUUUCCAAACAUCCCAUCUAGAAACUUUUAUGCCAGUGCUCACUGAUUCUUAUUAAAUUAUCAUAAAAAAAUUCGAAUGUAUGAAAUGAAUGUUCAUAAAUAUUCAUUAAUGAGUAUAAAACAAAUGUGCAAAUACAUACAAGCUCAUACUUCACAUUUGCAUAUCCCUUUCUUGCUGUCCAAUUGUGAUAUUGUUGUUUGACCCAAAUGUCUCGUUGUUGUUCUUUGAUUUUCUACAAAAUCAAGAAAUUAUGUCAAUCACAUAUGAAGAUCAAAGGCUAUAUUGCAUAAAAAUUUAUAAACAAUUUUUAAUGAAAAUGGAUUUAUGUAUUGAGAAAUCUUCUGAAAGUUGAUAUUGAACAAAAUUUGUCCAAUCUUCAACACUUAUGACAUCUACAUAUGCCGUAGGUGGAACAACCAAUACAUCACCUUCACCAGCUAGCGGUAAAAUAUAUUGGGUCGUCAAUUUUCUUUUAAAAUCUCUAAAUGCUUUCCUAGCAAAUUGCAACAUAAUCUUUUUACAGUCAAUUGAGACGUCAAACCGUUCCUAAAUAAGUUAACACUAUUAGUAUGAACACAUUGAAUUUCAAUUAAAUGAUCAUUUAACAAAUUUUAUAAAAUAGUUGAAUAAACAUACUACAAUCGAUUGUCAUAUGUCAUCAUUUAAAUCACUAGAAACUCAUCGCCAAUCGAUGUACAUAAUUGAAAUCCUAUGUCGGAUGAUGGCUCCAAUAUGAAUAGCCAUCUUGGCAGCUCAUUCAGACACAUGUUGCCCACUUUGAUUGAAGUCAACAUGAAUUUUUGUGUCAGUCACUUUGAUUUGUUUAUUAGGGCCCAUUUCUUUUCUUUUUUGGCCUACACGUUUGUCUUGUGCAUGUUCAUUAAAAAGAGAAUGAUGUUGUUUAGAGUCUAUAAUACCUAUAAUCUUGAUAAUAAUUAUACGAAUUACACAAUAUGACUGUCUAAAUUAAACACUGUACGUAAUUUAAUACAACCACUACCAUACUACAUACAGAAACACCAUUCAACACACCAUUCAGCAAUGUGCUCAGACACACCCUUUAGCAAACCACUCAAAAACACCAUUCAGCAUACGAUUCAGCCCCUUAAUUUUAUACAAACCCAUCAGCAAAACAAUAUCAAAAAACAAGGUUGAGCAAACCAUUUAGCAUAUAUAUGAUUCAAACCCCCAAUAUCGUACAAUACCAUUCGGCAUUAUAAUAUUAGACAACAAGGUUUAGCAAACCAUAAUAUUUAAUGUGUACUACAUAGAAACAACAUAUUGCAAAUAGAAUCUUAGAUGACUAUGCUUGCAGUGAUGUUAAUGAAAAUAUAUAAACUCAUAUGUCAAUAUUAAGGAAUCGAAAAAAUAAAAAAUCUUUAUUGAAUAUUGUAAAUAAUACAGUAAACUAAAAAAAAAAAAACUUACCAGUAAAAACAAAAGUGUGUAGCGUUGGUUUGUUGAAGGUCGGUGGUGAGGAUAGGGAUAAAGAAACCAAUGGUCUGAUAGAAAUGUGUUUAAGGAUUUGGUUGAAUAACGCAGCUUUUAAUCGUUCAGUGUACCAGCAGUCUAUGAAUUUCAAUGUUCAAGGCAGGGAAAUGAAUAUAAAAUUAAUUAUUAAAGGCAUUUCCAUGGAACAACGCCUUUAAUAAUCUCCAAAAAAUUUUAUUGGAGAUUAUUGAAGGUGUUUUUUACAAGAAAAAAGACGCAUUUAAUUUUAAAAAAAAAUUUUUCAACUAACUUAUUGAAGGCAUUUAUCCUUAAAAAAUGCCUUUUAUAAUUCAUAAAAAUUCUAAAAGGCAUUUUGAGUAGAAAACCGCCUUUAAUAAUGAUGGAUUUCAAUGGUUUAUAACAAAUUAUUAAAGGUGUUUCAUAAUAAAAGAUGCCUUUAAUAAUCUCAAAUUUUUUUUAAAUAAAAUUAUUAUCUACAAAUGCUUUCACUAAUUAUCUACAAAAUAUAAUAGGAAUUAUUAAAGGUGUUUUUCUUAAAUAUACGCCUUCAAUAAUUGUGUUAAAAUCUGUGUGGUGGUAUAUUGAAGGUAUUUUACAGUAGAAGACACCUUUAAUAAUUCUCAAAAUUUUUUGAGAAAAAAUAUUGAAGGCAUCUAUUAUUAACAAAUGCAUUCAGUAAUGGAUUACUAAAUUUAAAGGUGUAUUGAAAGUGCUUUCUCGAAUAAACACCUUCAAUAUCUACCGUGGUAUAUUGAAGGCGUUUUAUAAUAAAAGACACCUUUAAUAAUCCCAAAAUUUUUUUUAAAGAAAUUAUUGAAGGUGUUGUUAUUUGCAAAUGCCUUCACUAAUUAUCUAUAAAAUCUAAUAUGAAUUAUUAAAGGCAUUUUUCUUGAAUAUACGCCUUUAAUAACCAUGUUAAAAUUUGUGUGGCAGUAUAUUGAAGGUAUUUUAUAGUAGAAGACGCCUUUAACAAUGCCCAAAAUUUUUAGAGAAAAAAUAUUGAAGGCGUCUGUUUUUAACAAACAUCUUUCGUUAUGGAUUACUAAGUUUAAAAGUAUAUUGAAGGUGAUUUUUUGAAUAAACACCUUCUAUAACCAUCAUGGAGUAUUGAAGGCAUUUUACUGUAGAAGAUGCCAUUAAUAAUUACUAAAAGGGAUGCUUAAAGGCGUUUUUCUUGAAUAUAUGCCUUCAAUUACCAUUUUCCAAUAAAAAAAUUAAAAUAAAGCACUUGGAAAUUAUUCAACGUGUUAGUAUCUAAAAUAAAAUAUAAGCAUUUAGUAAUGGCAUUUUUCUACAAUAAACACCUUCACUAUUCGUCAUAAAAUUUGAGUAUUGGAAUAAUGAAGGCAUUUUACACUGGAACAUGCCUUCAAUAAAUUGCUUCAAAAAAUGAAACGAAUUAGUCAAGGCAUUUUUCUAGAAUUUUAACAUUCAAUAACCCCUUAAAAUUUAAGCUAUGUAAUAUUAUAGGUGUUUUCAACAGAAGAUGCCUUUAAUAUACCCAAACAGUGAAGCCAUUUUUUAUAAAAAAUCACCUUCACUGAUAUGAGAGAGUUAUUGAAGGCGUAUUAUGUAAAAAUCACCUUCGAUAAAUACACAAAAUCUUAUAUGAAAUAUUGACGACGUUUUUUGUGGUCUAAACACUUUUAAUAAUCCUAAACAAUUCUAUUAUGAUGCUGUUGAAGGCACCUAUAAUAUAUUCAAAAAAUAUUUAGGAGGGAAUUAUUGUAGGCAUUUUUCUUAGCAAACGCCUUCUAUAAUCCUGUCCAAUAAAAAUCUUCCCAAACUUAGUGCAUCUAAUCACCAACUUCAAGCUUCAUCUUCAUUAUUAUACUAUUUCUCUUUCCAGACCAAGUACAAUUUACUUUCCCUUUCCUUUAGCUUUUAGUAUUUGGGCAUUAUCUUUUAGAACUCUAGUUCGACUAUUCAUUACUUAUUUACUUUAGCUUUUACUUUAUUUGACUAUUCUUUCAGCUUUUGUAAUUCAUGAUUUUUUUUUUGGUAUAAACAAUUUUCUCCAAAACCCACUUUAUUUCACCUUAUGUCAACCCCAACUAUAAAUACUCUUGGGUACUGUCUACGUUAGCAGUAGAGUUUUAACAUUCAAGGGUUUGACUGUUGAUAAAUUACUUCAUAACAAAGAGUUCUCAUUUUGUGUAAGUAUUGGUCUUGUUAUUAUCUUUUGUUUAAAAUAUAGUAAACUUAAGUAUUGUACAUGUUUAUUUUCAUAUAAAUUAUUUAUAUACAUUUGGUAUGAUAAUGUAACAAGUACUAAAUGGAUAAGAGUUGGAUGCAAAAAUCAAGCUUAAGCCAAGAGUAUAAAGAUGGAGUGAAAACUUUUCUUAAUUUUGCAUUUGAGAAUACCAGUGAAGAUAAUAUGAUAUUAUGCCCUUGAGUGAAGUAUGUUAAUAAUGAGUGGCAAAUGUGUCAAGUUAUUUUUGAACAUUUAAUUUAUAUUGGAUUUCUAUCGCGAUAUGUUAAUUGGUAUUUUCAUGGAGAGUCUGUACCGUCAAGGUCUUCCACCAAAGUUCUUUCAACUUCAAAGGCUCUCUAACAGCAACAUGAUCUUUUUAUAGCAGAUGACAUUGAAGGCAUAUUGUGAGAUGCUUUUAACAUUCAUAACCAACAUUUUCAUAAUCUUUCUCCCCAAAAUGAAAGAUUUAAUCAGUCCAAUGUUAAAAUGCAUGAAUUUGAUGAACCUAGGAUAGGUGUACAUGACCAACAACCUAGAAGAUAAGCAUCAAAGUUUUAUAGGUUGCUUGAGGAGAUGAAUGAAAAACUUUUUGAAGGAUCGAAGCAAUCAAGGUUGUCUUUUUGUGUUUGUCUUUUUCACUUGAAAUGCUUAUAUGGAUGGAUAGGAAACUCUCUGACUUUAUUAUUAUAGUUUAUGAAAGAAAUGUUUCUUUUGCAAAAAUUCAUGUGUCCCAAUGAUUGCAUGUUGUAUUAGAGGGAUAGAAAAAAUCAAGAAUCUUGUCAUUUGUGUGGUAUUUCUUGUUGGGUGGACAAAAACCUCGAUGAAAAGUUAAAUGAUGAUGGUGAUGAGGUAUGUGUCAUAAAGAAACCUGUUAAGGUUUUACGUUAUUUUCUAUUAAUACCAAGACUUCAACGACUCUUAAUGUCUUCAAAAAUUAUAGAUUCAAUGAGGUGGUAUCAUGAGAAAUGGACGAAUGAUGGAUUAUUAUGGCAUCUUAUAGAUUCUUUAGCAUGGAAAUAAUUUCAUUCUAGGUUUUUAGACUUUGCAUCUGAUCUUUGAAAUGUUAUACUUUGACUAGCAUCUGAUGGAUUCAACCCGUUCAAAAUGAUAAGUACUUCUUAUAGUACUUAGCUAGUUGUAUUAAUUCCUUAUAAUUUCUACCAUGGGUUACUAUGAAGCAACAAUCAUUUAUAUUGUCUAUGAUAAUUCCUGAAGAAAAAAGUUCGGGUAAUGAUAUAGACAUCUACUUACAACCUUUUAUUAAAGAGUUAAAGUAAUUGUGGGAAGGAGUUGAGACCUAUGAUGCAUCAAAAGAAGAGAACUUCAAUAUAUGUGCUGCUUUAUUACGGACUAUCAAUGAUUUUCCUAUUUAUGUGAAUUUAUCUAGUUGGAGUACAAAAGGUUGUUAUGCUUAUCCAUGUUGUGCUGCAUCGACAUGUUCGACGUGAUUACCUAAUGGUAGAAAGUUUUGUUAUAUGAGACAUCAUCGAUGGUUAGAUGAUAAUUAUCGAUUUAGAUUCCAAAAAUAUUUUUUUGAUGGAACUGAAGAGUUAAGAAGAGAUCCUUUACCCAUUAGUAGGUCUAAUAUCUUCUCAAAGUCAAAAGAUAUUAAUUUUACUUAUAGAAAAAUGACUCCAUCAAGGGAAAAAGUGAGGGACAUUUUUAAAGGUGUUUGGCCUCGUAUUACAAAUGUUAGUGAUAGUUAUACAAAAGUUGAUGAUUUUGAUGUUCAAAGUGAUGAAGAGGAUGAUGAAGCAGAUGACCCAAUAAGUCUGAGUUGUGGAAAAAAAGAAGUAUAUUUUUUGAAUUACCUUAUUGGAAAUAUAAUUUAUUAUGCCAUAACCUUGAUUUGAUACAUAUAGAGAAGAAUGUUUGUGAAAAUUUUAAAGAGGCAAUUCUUAAUGUGAAUAGAAGAUCCAAGGAUAACUUAAAGAGUCGGCUUGACCUAGUUGAUAUGGGGAUUCACCUAGACCUUCAUUCGAAAUUGCUUCCUAAUGGUAAAUAUCGAUUGCUUGCUGCUUGUUUUGAGAUUUCUAAAGCUGAAAAAGAUGUGCUUUGUAAGAUUUUAAAAAAUGUCAAAGUUUUAGAUGGCUAUGCGUCAAAUAUAUCAAGAUGUGUCAAUCUGAAAGAGUGAAAACUUUCUUCAUUGAAGUCACAUUAUUAUCACAUUUUGAUGCAAGACUUACUUCCAAUCCUUUUACAUUCAUCAAUGUCAAAGCAAGUCACUUUGUGGUAAUUGAAUUGAGUAACAUAUUUAAAUCUCUAUGUCAGAAAUGUAUGAAUGUGGAAGAGCUUGACAAACUUCAAGAUCAAGCCACAAUAACUUUAUGCCAUUUAGAGAAGAUCUUCUUUGCAAACUUCUUCACUAUUAUGAUGCAUUUGGUUAUCCACUUUUCAUAUGAAGCAAAAGUCGAUUGGUCAGUUUAUUAUCGAUGGAUGUAUCCUAUUGAAAGGUAUUAUUUGUUAAUAGAUUGAUUACAUUUUUAUUGAUGAUCAAGCCACUCAACUUAAAAUAACAUAUGACUAAUAUUUUAUGCUAUAGGUUUUUAGAGAGGUUAAAGCCUUAUUGUCGUAACAAAUGUUAUCCGAAAGAUUCUAUUGCUGAAGGAUAUUUAGUAGAAGAGUGUAUGACAUUUUGUUCUCAUUAUUUGGAAGAUGUUGAAAUGAUAUUUAAUAAACCAUCGAGAAAUAUUGGUAUGCAACAUACAAAUUCUACCUACAAUUAUCUUUUUCAAAGUUUUGGACAACCUAUAGGCAAAGCUAAAUUAGUGGAGUUAGAUGAUAAAUCUUGGGCACAAGCACACCGAUAUGUCCUUUUUCAUCAUGACUCAAUUGAAUCAUUUCGCACGUAAGUUUUGUAGCAAGAAAAUUAUUCAUUACGUUAAGUAUAAUUUAUUGUCUUUUUUCUUUAAUUGUUAAUACUUUAUCAUGAUGCUUUAUAGUGAGCAUAGAAAUAAUUUGAGAGAUCUACAUAUUAUUGACGAUCAAACCCUUGAAAGCUUGAUAAAUUGUUCACUAAAAACUUUUAUGAAUGGUUGGAACAGCUGUAAGUAAUGCCAUACUUCCCAUUAUGAGAAAUCUACAUAGAAUGCUUACGGUAUAAAUAACAUUAAUAACAUAUAUAUAAUUAUUAUCUUUUAUAGGUUUGGAGUGGAAGGCAUGUUAGUGAAGAGAUGAAGUGUCUUUCACAUGAUCCGAAUCGGAUUGUGAAAUGAUACAAAGGUUUCAUCAUCAAUGGAUUUAGAUUUCACACUAAAUUCCGUGAGAGAUUUAGAAGUACACAAAAUUCAAGAGUUGCUGUGAUUUCAUUAACUACUAACUAUGCUAGUGCUAGGGACACAAACCCUUUAGAGAGAAAUGUUGACUAUUAUGGCAUGAUUAAUGACAUCAUUAAGUUGGAUUAUUAUAGCAAGUGAAAAGUUAUCUUAUUUCGGUGUUAGUGCGAGGGGUAUUAAGAAAGAUCAGUAUGGAUUAACACUUGUGAAUUUUUCUCGAUUAAUUCAUACUGGACAACAACUCAUCAAUGAACCUUAUGUAUUUUCAUCUCAAGUCAAACAAGUAUUUUACUUUAAAAAUCCCAAAGAAUUGGGUUGGUUUGUUGUUCUUUGAAACACACCUAGAGACUUAUUUGAUAUGGGGUUAGAUACCAAAGAUGAUGUUGAACAUGGAACUGAAUGUUAUCUUUUUGCUGAACAAAACUUGGAUGAAAAUAUCUCCAAUACUUAUGUUCAGUGGAUCCGCCAAGAUGUUACUGAAGAUAUUUAUGAACCAUGAAAUGGUGCAUCUAUAAUUUGUAAUUCGAGUGUUUAAGACAUAAUGUAGUAAAUGAUAAUAUGUAAAUAAUGUGACAUUCGCUAUUGUAUAAUUAUUGUAUUCUAAAUCAUACAUUAUCUUUUGAUUUAAUUAAAUCAAUAUGUUCUUUAUCUAUUAUAGGUUUUGAUUUCUUAAAUUGUCAACGUCUUCAUAUAUGUUCUAAACUAAUAUUUUUUCUAUAUUUGCUUUUAUGAUGUAGGUAAGCUAUAAUGCAGAAGAGUAGGUUGAAAGGAAAACAUAUCAGAGAUAUUAGUUCAAAAUCGUCUAUGGCACCUGUAGAUAUUGGCUAUGGAUUGAAUCUUUUGGAGGGAAAUGAACGUACUGUCGGAUCUAACUUCAUCACUUUGCACCCUUCAAUUGAUAUUAGAUCUAGUAAUAUGGGAGGUCUAAGUUUAGAUAGUACCCCAUCAAUUGAUUAUGCUUUAAAUUUGAAUGCAGGUAUGAUAUAAUCCAAUUUUAGAAUUUGAGUAUAAUGAUAAAAGUAUUACAAAUUUACAAAUAUAUUUUAUAUUUAUUGCAGUUGAUAACAAUGGUCAACGGAAGACUAGAGGCUAGACAACUUUGCAGGAAUUGUUCGCACUAACUCAUAACGAGCAUAUUGUAGUGUCUGCAAACUCUGAUAGGCAACCAAUUUGUGAAGAGGCUCAACUAUUGGUUGGAUUUCUAUGUAUGUUAGCUCGUAAUAGAAUGAAAUUGCCUAUUCAUUAUGAAACAUGGCAUAAAGUUCCAAAAGAAGUUGAGACUGAUGCAUUAAACUUUAUUGAGGUAUUAGUAUAAUUAAUUAGAUAUAAAAAACUUUUUAUUUUGCAUAUUGUUUACUUAUUCUAACUUUUUUUAUUGUAUUAUUACAGUUAAGAUUUGUACUUGAAAUACCAACUUCAUUUGUGCUUAAGUUAUUGGGAAAGAAAUGGAAAGAUUAUAAGCAUAGUUUAAAGAAUAAGUAUUUCGGUUGAAAUACUAUUGUAGAGGUGAUGAUGGAAAUCUAACUCGUAAUGUGAUUAGGUGGCAAUAUGAACAACUGGUUAGAUUUUGGUUCUCAAGAAAAUGAGAGGUACUAGUUUAUAACUUUGUAUAGUAGAAUGAAAUGAUGAAAGUGUUUUAUGGUUUAAGUUGGUAAUAUUUGUAUUUUUACCAUAUAUGCAAUUAUUUUUUAUGACAGGAAAGAGAACAAAUUAGGAUUGGUAGCAGAAAACAACAGAAAUAUAGCCACACAAGUGGAUAAAAAAGUUUUGCAAGAAAGCAAAAAGAAAUAUUAAGUUUAUGAUAAUAAACGUAUUCCAAUGAAUGAACUUUUUCUACCAUUAAAAGGUAAAUAUGCAAAUUAACAAUUAUUGUUAUGUUUUAAUAGUUUUGAUAGUUUCAAUACAUGAUAUUAAACUUAUUGAAAGUUUUGAACUUAGUUGACACAGAUGAUAUGUAUGAAAAGUUUUUGUUUACGUAUAUUUAUGCCUUUAAUACAGAUUUGUUGUUAUUGUUGUAUUUUAACAGUUUAGAUAGCUUCAAUACUUGAUAUUAAAUUUGUCUGAUUGAUUGAACUUGGUUUCUACAGUUGAUAUGGGAGAAAAAGUUGUCGUUUAUGUUUGUUUGGGAAAAUUUUUGCAUAUAAAAGGCAGAUACACAAAUUAAACUUUUUUAUGGCUUUCAACAUAUUGAAUGGCUUCAAUCCUUGAUAUUAAACUGAGAGAAAAUAAUUGAAUUUGGUUUCCAUGAUCGAUAUGUGUGAAAGCCCAAAAUGAUUUUAUUGUUUGCAUAUGUUUAAGACUAUUGUGUUGUUACGGGGCCAAAAUAUAAAUACAUGAGAUUAAAAUUAUUCAAAAUUUUAAUACUUGAUUGACAGGCUUGAUAUGCAUGAAUAAGUUGCGGUUGAUAUGUAUUAUAUCAAAUAACAUAUGUUUUUGUAUAGGAGAAUGAGAUGGGUGGUACAAUUGGACACGUGAAACUUUUUUGCAUAACACAAAAAAGAAGAUGGAUCUUACAUGAAUGUUGAAACACAAGAAAUUGUGGUAAUUUAUAUCAUCUAUUUUAAUAGAAAGUAAAUGUUUACUCUUUUUAACAUAUAAUCAAUUAUUCAUUAAACUUGAUAGUUGUAUAUGACAAAUUCAUAGGAGAAAGCAAAAGAGAAAAUGGUUGUUGAGAUUGAAGUAGCAUCUGAUGGUUCUCUCAAUAUGUAAGAAAUGGAAAAUCGGAUAUUCAUAAAAGUUGCUAGAAAAGAAAGGCAUGGAUGGGUCUGAGGCAUUGGAUUAGGUCUAACACAUCUGCCUACUAUGGACAUAGCUUUCUGUAAUUUACAUUCUUAGCAAGUCAAUCUUCGUGAGACAUUUCAAUAUUGAGAGGGGAGUUGCAAACUAUGCAACAACGUUUUCAGCAAAUGGAAGCAAAAAGAGAACAUGAGCGUGCCAAAAUUAAGGAAGAACAUGCUAGAAUAGAGCAAGAGCAUGCUAAAUUUCAGCAGUUGCAUGAUUGAUUCAAUCAUCUUAUGAAUUUUGUGCAACAACAAUUUCCAAGAAAUGAUCUUGGUGCUCCACCAACUCAGGUAUUAUAUUUAGUAAAUUUUUAAAUAUAUAAAAAGCUUACAAUGAAGUGUUAAAAAUUAUAUGGUAUUAUUCAGUAGGUUCUUGAGCACGCUAGUGACCAAGGUGAAAAAUUUUCUUUAUCAACUGGCAGCCAGCAAAAUGUAUGCAGUCAUCCAUUUCAUACAUUUAAAUUUUUUAUUUUGUUAAUGUAUGAAAAAUAUUUGAAUGUUAUUAUACUAAUUAUUAAACUUUGUAUUAAUUAGAUGUAUAUUUAAAUGUGAAUGAAGUUAAUAUAAAUUUCAGUUUCUGAAUUUAAGCUCUUUAAUGAAAAUAAAAUUUAUUAAAAGAAAUUAUAAAAAAUAUAUUUUUACAUAAUGGCAGCAUUUGUGGUCGAUAAUGUCACUAAAUGAAUAAUUUAGUGGUGUUUGUAGCAUAAAAUGCCACUAUAAGUAGUGGUGCUCUUACCAGUAAACGCUAAUAGUUAAAUGGUAUUUUUUAUACAAACACCACUAAAGCAACGGUAUUUUUCUAAUAAAAAUGCCAUUGAAUUAAUGGAGAUUAAAAAAUACGAAUGCUGCUAAUAUAAUGGUGUUUUCAGAUUUAAACGCCUCUAAAGUAACGGCAUUUUCAAUUACAAAUGCUAACAAAGCAACAACCUUUUUUCUCAUAAAAUGCCAGUAAUUUAGCAGCGUCUCAAAGAUAGAAGCGUCAUUAAAAUGGCGGCAUUUCCAAUAUAAACGCCGUUAAUAUUGAGGCAUUUUUUUAAAAAGCCAUUAUUUACCACGACGCCUAUAUAGCUGACACUCUGCAUGACAUUUUUUGCAAACACCGUAAAUCUUUUUGUGGCGUUUAUAAAUGCCGUUAAACAUUACAAAAAAUGCCACUAAAAACCUAAACCCUUGUAGUGAAGCCAUACUGUCUUUCCUUAUCUACUCUAUAACCAAUGAUGGUAACAAUGUUGACGAGGCAGAGCAAAAGGGAAGGGGACUUUUCAUGUAAGGAGAGACUAGGAACAAGAGGGAUAAAUCUCUUUAUGGCAUUUUUGUUGCAACCUUUCUAAAUGAUCUGUUUGGCAUCCAAGCUUGAGGUAGAUGUGCUUGUGCUGGACCUUGCGGCCUCAGUUUGCUUGAUAUUGAUCAGACUUCAUCCCUUGCCUUUAGAGAAGCUAUUAAAAGGGUAUUAAUACAAAAUUUUCCUUUUUUUUUUUUGAACCAAAUGAAAGAAUGAUAAAAUAUAAUUCAACUUGUCUAAUGCCAAUUGAAAAGUUUGAUUGCAGGGCUAUGUAGGAGCAAAACUUGGAUGGAUAGGAGUUAGCUUUCCUUACUACAUGUCAAUUGGGAACUUUGAAUACAUUCUUGUUGCAUUGGAAUUUGUAACCAUCUAUGGCCAACGAUUUCUCCCUCUAUACCAUUUCAACCUGUGAACUGGCAGUUGAACUUGCAAGAAAAAAGUGUUUAAAGACCUGGUAGGAAAGGACAAUAGUCAUGGCAUCCAUGUCUUGCCUUUGGCUAGUGCUUUUCAGACAAUGAGCAUGGACUGUGACAAAAUUGAUGCAGGAAAGACUGAUACUUCUAUUAUUCUUAAGUAUGCAUCAUAUUUGAAAAGUGCCAAAUGAGUGGCUGCUCUCCUUCCCAAGUUUCCAUCUCGAUGGAGGUUUCAUGAAGAUUUAGAUCUUGACCUCUUCCCAUUCAAAGUCUAACCAUACUAUCAAAAAUUGAUUCGAGUUCAUAAUCAAAUUUAUCUAUUUUUCCUCACUUUAUUGGAAUAUUCUCACAAAGCAAACAUAUAAAAUUAAACUAGUUCAAACCUAUCAUGUUAGCAGACUUUCCAAUUACCUGAAAUAUCAAGCUGUGCCUAACAAAUUGGCUAAUACGUAAUCGGUCAAGACUUGUCUAAUAAUGGUGUCAUGCACCAAAACUAAAAUGUAACACGAUUAUAUUUUCUUUAAAUAAAACCCUAAAAUAAUAUGAAAUCUUUUUUAAUUAUAUUAAAAUUCUUUAAUAAAAAUAAUUUGUCAAAGUAAAAUUCAUAAAUUUAAUCCAACUAAUGAUACAUCUCUAUAUAUCCAAAGGUAAACUAAUAAAAAAUAUAUAAAAUUAUUUCAUAAGAUCUCAGUAGAUAACAAUAUCUAUAAUGCCCAAGUAAUAUUUCAAAUUUGAUCUUCUAGCUUUUAGCAAGAUUAAACAUAAUUAUCAUUUACUCAUGUGUAAAGAGAAGGUGGAUGAAUAAACCACAUCUUAGUGAGUAUAGGAUCACACACCUUAUUAGAUUAAGCAUCGAUUUCAUAAAUGUCAUAUAAAUCAUUCAAAACAUUUGUCAAAUAAUAAUGUCAAAAUAUUUCAAAAAUCAUCAUUAUGUUAAACAUUUUGUAGAUCAUAAAUCAAUAUCAAAACAGAUCAAUUCAUAAAUCAUUACAAAAUAUGCUGCCAUUCAAAUAUCGUAAUCAAACCAAAUCAUGAAUCAAUCUUUAAAAUCAUCAUCGUCAUAAAUCAUCAUUAUCAUUAGUUUAUGGUUAAUUAUGGUCAUUGCUAUAAUCUGUAACAUUGGUCGUAUUGAUAAGUUUAUCCCCAAGACCAUUUCUAACUAUUAUAACCUACUGGCUAGAACUUUACACUAACUACUAUGACCCGCUAGCAGGACCAUAUGAUCAUGACUAUGUUAACUACUAUAAUUUGUUAGCUAGGGUCGUAUAACUAGUUCUUGUAUCGAUAAUCCUACUUCCUAAGAUAUAAAAUAUGUAGCUAUUAUAAAACCAUUCAUUAAACAUAAAUCAAUUUCUCAUUUCAUAUAUAAACAUGAUCCAUCAUUUAUAUAGCAAAACAUAAAAUAAUCAUACGCUCACCCUAUUUUCUUAUAUCGAAAAUAAAGAAAUAAAUUUCAUUUAUUUAGAAACAUACAUAUAUACAUAAGUUUCAAAACAAGUAAAGGGUGUGAGAUUCUACUUAUUUCUUUUCAAUUCCACUACUUAAUUUUUCCCCCAAAAUAAUUAAUGGGCUAUUCAAAAUCAUUUCAAUAUAACAAAAAUUAAUCAAUCCAUUUUAAGACCAUUAAUACUAAAAACAACCAAGUUAAAUAAGGGUUAACUCAACUAACUAAUUUUGAUAGCCUACGCUACUUUCACUAAAAUGACCCCCUAUCUUAAGAUAUCCAACUCAAAAUUAAGAUCCUUUUAGUACGUUAGAAAUUAAACUCGAUAAACUUUUUAACCAUAUAUGGCCCACCUUGUAAUUUUUUGUAGAUUAAUUGUAGUACUUUUUGCAAUCCAUGUCAUAUGCUGCUGCCAGACAACAUGUAUAUUUUCUAACAAAAAUUAUAUAUUUAUUCAUAAAAGACUCCAAAUUCAAUUUCGCUUAUUUCAUUGGAAAGUAGACUCAAUAACCUUUUCAAACAUAUAAGGCCCACCUCAUAAUUUCUUGUAGAUUAAUUUAAUAAUUUUUGCAAUUCAUGUCAUAUGCUCGACUAGACAUCAUGUAUAUGUUGUAAUAAAAUUAUAUAUUUAUUCAUAAAAGACUCUAAAUUCAAUUUCGCUUGUUUCAUUGGAAAGUAGACUCAAUAAACGUUUCAAACAUGUUUAGCUCAAUUUGUAGUUCAUGGUAUAAAAAUUAAGAAAAAUUUUGAAAUUCCUCUUUGCUAUUGCUGCCAGGCAGCUUAUAUAUCAUUAAGUUAAAAUUAGACAACUCUUAAUAGAAAACUUAGAUUCAACAUGCGUUUGUUUCAUUGGAAAGUAGAUUUAGCAAGCUUUCCAACAAUAUAUAAUAUUUAAAGUAAUAAUGUAUCCAUCAAUACAAAAUUCCAUUUUAAUUCACUCUUGCAAAUCAUAGCAUCUCAUCCAAAAAUAGAAUUUCUCUUUCAAACUUUAGGAUGAAAAAAUAUGAAAAAGGCAUAACAUAUAGCCAAUUGAAAGAUCAAUGUCUCAGUAUAACUUACAUGAUUUUAGUAAAGUACUUCCAAUAUCAUAUGCUAAGAUCAAGGUAUAAAAUAAUUUCUGUAUUGAAAAUUUUGAUUUCUUCACCCUAUAUAUUCAAUAAGCAUUCUAGACUUCCAGAACCUAAUACUAGUCUUAGAGUCAACCAAAUUAAAAAUUUGUGUGAAGCUCGUUAACACAAAUAAAAAAUAGCAGACCUGAGUAUACAUAAACAAAAUCAAUCAACUUGUCUAUUGCAAACUAAAGGUUAUUCCUAAUUUCGAUACUACUUUCCUGUUUCUUUCCAUCAUUUGGUUCACAAUAAACAAAAUGAUAUUCAAGUUCUUUGAAAAUCCCUAGAGCAGAUGGCUAUUACUCAAGUUCAUUUGGAUUUAGGAAAAUACACCUGUUUUCCAAUCUUAUUUACUAAUGUUUGAAGAAUGAACAAUAAUUGCUGUAAAACAACAUAAAAUCAUUGGUUACACCACCAUUCUAUAAUAUUCACCAAUAAAAAAAAUUGAGGAAUUCAAUUUACACAGUAACUUAUGGGUGAAUUUAAACAUGCCACUCUAUCCUAAUCCUUUAUUAGCAUGUAUGAUGUCAUGUAUAUACAAUCACACCAAAUAGCCUUUUAAAAAGGUGUCACAGAAACCCCUCACAAUAUGUGAAUUGCAAAAGCUUAGUACUUGAUUCCAAAAUCAAUUAUAAAAUAACAAAUAAUAUCAAUAUACAUAGAUAUAAUAAUCUUAUGCCAUGUUUGGUACAUAAGAUUAUGAUAUGAUAGGGUACAAUGAUAUUAUAUAUAGAAUUAGAUUAAAUAAUGUCAUCUUAUUUUGUGUUUGCUGUAUGUAUAGAUUAGGAUAGGAUAAUUUAUUUAUUUGUCAAAAUUAUCCUUAUUCAAAGUUUAUACAAUUUAAAUUAUUAAUGUAAUUUUUAAGGGUAUAAUUGCACCUGUAAGUUUAAUCUUAUAAAUUAAAAAUUAUCCUCUCUACUUUGAGAGGAUUGAAUAAUCCUACACCAAGAGGAUAUUAAUCCUCAUUGCAAACCUUAUCUUUCUCUUUAGAUACAAAUCAAACUUGAUAUAAGAUGAUUAUCAUCAUAUCUUAUCAAUAAUCAUAUGCAUCAAAUAUGACCUUAGUCUACUAUUUUAGUGGAACCACUCCAACACAAAGGGUGUCUUUUAUGAAAACCACUUCAACAUCCAAAUUUUUGUUUAAAAGACAAUCUUUUCACCACCAUUGCUCCUUAUAUAGUCUUCAUCUUUGCUUUAUAAACUCCCAAUUGAUGUUUUAUUAGGAUACAGAGUGAGAACUGUUCAUAAGUGGGCUACUAUUAAUAGUUAGUUUUAAUAAUUUAAUAAAAUUGGUUAUGAGUUUACUCAUAAUACGAGAUAAGCAUGAGAGUUUAAAUAAUUUAAUGUGAUCACUUAAAUGUAAGAUUUGCACAUCUUACUAGGUGGAGGUUUUGUAGACCUUUAGUCUAGUAAGUGUUUGAUGAGGAGGCUUCAAGGUUUUCAAUUAAAAUAGGUUCAGGUAACUUUUUUUACUUUUAUACAAGUUACAGCUACUGUUCAUUGAGUGUCGCCAAAAAGAGAAGAGUGAAGAGGAAGACCUAGCCACUCCAAAGAUUGUUUCACUUCAGUAUAUUCAUCAUGAUCACCCAAAUAAGUAUGACGAACCGUUUUAUUUGUUUACAAUGUUCUAAUUAUCAAACAACGAUCUUGGGUUAGUGUUUGUGUAUGGUAUCAAAGCUAUCAUUAUGUGAUAUUAGGACCCCAAAAUCAUUAUUUGUAAUUGAUUUUUGAGCAAACAACAUAUUUAGGGUGAAAUUAUGUUGUUGUCAGAAUUUUAAAUUUUAACCUUUAUUUUUUGAAAUUUAUUUAGGAUUUUAGUUCCUCUCCGAAAGGGGAUUAAAAUUACAUAAAGAUCAUUUUCUAAUUCCUUAUAUCUAGAAAGAAAUCAAGGUUGAAAAUUUUUAGGUUUAAGUUUUAGUCUAAUUCUUGUUUUGAUUAAUACAUAAAACAUUUUGUGUUUAAUUCGAAAUUGAUUCUUAAAUUAUGUUUCCCAUGUGUGAUAAACUUAAAUCAAAGCAUUUAAUUUAAUAUUGUUUUAGAUUGACCGAACACGAAGAAAACAAAAAAUAGGUCUAAUAUGUGUUUAUAUAAUUCAAAAAUGUUUGACCAAUUGAUCUUAUUUUUGUGUUUUUUGAUACUUUUUUUUCAUUGGUUUGAUAGAAAAAUAGUUUUAUUUUUGGGCACUUCAAUUUGAUGAAAAUACCUAGAAAAUGCAUAAAAAAUGGUGAAAAAAUAAAAACAAACUAGAAUAGGUAAAAAACUAUUACAGUUGCAUUGAGUCAACCGAACUAGAGGUUAAAGAAGACCAUUCCCCAUGUUAAACAAAAUCCAUGCAUAGGGGGUGGUGCGUGUGGCAUGUAUGGGCUCGUUCGGCAUCCAUUUUUCCUCUAGUUUCUUUUGGCAUACUUUGAAUUUUAUUUCUAAUAUUUGUUUGAAAAUUUUAAACUACAUGAAAUAUUUGUUUGACAUUCAUGUAUUGCUCAGUAAUUACUAUAUGUUAUACACAUGAUUUUAUUAUUUUGUUCUGUGAUAAAAUAUUUUAGUAUGUUAGGAGUCUAAUGAUAGUAGGUAUUCUUCCUAAAUAGGCCUUGAUAUUUAUGUACUCUCAAGUUGAAUCUUAAGUGCAUAAUUGACUUAGUGAUUAAAAAUUAAUUUUUAAAAAAAUUCAAGACUUUAGUUCAAAUUUAAUGUACACUGCUUAUAAGACCUAAUUAGAUACAUUUAGGUUUAGUAUCUUAGUUGGGAUAGUCCAUUGCAUACAUUAUGGUUGAGUAUGUAAAUUGAGAGUUUUAGGCAAUUAAUGAAAUUUUUCGAUUUGAAAAAAUCUUCAUUAAUUGAUAUCAGUGUUUGGUUGCUAAAGUCGCUCACUUAUUAAAAUUAAUGUAAUAUUUUAUCAUUCUAUGGUUACGGGAUGGUUAUUAAAUUAUCUUUUUGCAAUUGAAUACCUAAAAGGGGGUUAAUGUAUAGGGUAAUUUAUUUUGGAAUAUAAAUCAUCAUGGUUGAAGUUGUACCAAUCCAAAAAAUCUAUCUACCCGACGGGGAUUUCUUUUUUGAAAGCUAGGACAUUUUCAUAUUAGCUUUAUGCGAAAAGUUCCUACUCACAUAUUACAUUCUUUAUCCAAAAAGGAGUUUGUGGUGAUGCACCAAGACCUUUCAAUAAUUGUUAGUACCUCAUGAACUAUUGCUAUAUAUUUUAUGAUAUUGCCUAUUUACUAAUGUUGCAUUUUUGUCUUGAAUGUUGACUUUUAUUGUCAAUAACAAUAAGCCACUAUUAAAGUUUUUCACGGGUCUAAUUAUAAAAAAUGGAAUGAAGAUUUGAAUUUUUCUUUGGUUAUGAAUGUGAUAGACAUAGCCUUAUGUUUUUUCAAAGCCUGCUAAUUUUACUGAUGAAAGCACUGCUGGACAAAAGGAAUUUUUUUCCCAAACGGGAAAAAGCAAAUCGUAUGCAUCUAUAUGUUAUUAAUAGGUCUAUUUUUGAAUACCUUUUGAGUGAGUUGGAUACCACAAAAAUUGUUAGGGAUCUCUACCAUGCUGUAGGCAAUAAAUACCAAAAAUGCAAUAAGUGUAAAGCUAAGACCCUUAUAAGUGAGCUUACAAGUAUAAGAUAUGACAGUGUUGAGAGUGUUAGAGAUUUCAUCAUGAGAAUGAUCCACAUUCAAACCAAAUAGUCUUCUCAUGAAAUUGUCUCUUCUGAUAAAUAUAUUGUUCAUCGUGCCCUUAAUGCCUUACUGGUUGAGUUUACUCAGAUCAAAACUGUCUAUAAUGCUAUGAAUGAAGUUUGAAGUGUUAAUGAUCUUAUUUAAAAGUUUGCCUCUGAGGAAGAAAAACUGUAGAAAGAUAAAGGUGAUAGUGCUUUUUUUUCUACAUACUCCAAACCUAAUUGCAAAAAAAAUUAUGGGAAAUCUAGGAAAUUUGCUCCUAAUGCUCACAAGAAAGUUUAAGAAAAUAAGGGACAAGGUAGUGGUCAGACUAAAAAGAUAGGAGUUUUUAAAACUAUCAUUAAGAAAGAUAUCAAGUGUUUCUCGUGUAAAAAGAAUGUCAUAUGAAACAUGAGAACCCUAAAAAUCAAGCUUGGUUAAAGAAAAAGAAUAAACAAAAAGAUAACUCACUAGCUCUUGUUUGUUUUAAAUCAAAUUAUGUUAGUGGCCCACCAAAUUCCUAUUAGGUUGAUAAUGGUGUAACUGUUCAUGUUGCUGUUACCUUGCUAGGAUUCAAAAACAAAUGAUAGCUAAGUGAGAAAGAGGCUAAACAGAGAGUUUGAAACAAUGCUAAAGUAGCCAUUAAUUAUGUAGGAAUGAUAGGCUUAAAUUUAGAAUUUGCUUUGAACUUAUUUUGGAAAAUGUUUUUCAUAUACCUUCAUUUAUGAGGAAUUUGAUUUUAGUUUUUAUUUUGGACAAACAUGGUUAUUAUUUUGGCAUUGGAUAAGGAAAAGUUGACUUGUUUUAAAUUCAAAUGUUGUUGGUGAAUUUAAACUAAUUGGCAAUUUAUAUAAACUAUGCUUGGCCUACAAUAAUUAAUAUAGUUGCAAUAAUGUUGAAAAGAUAGUGACUAAAACAUAUUUGACUAAAGAAAAUUCAUUGUUGAUGAAUUUAAACUAAUUUACAAAUUAUAUAAACCGGGCUUGGCCUAUAAUAAUUAAUAUAGUUGCAAUAAUGUGAAAAACACAAUGUCUUAAAAAUAUUUAACUAAAGAAAACUUUUUUUUGUUGUGGUAUAAAAGGUUGGGUCACAUUUCUAAUGAAGAAGUGUAAAAAUUGAUAAAAGAUAGUACUUUACCUUUCCUUGGUUUUGAAAAGUUAGACACUUGUGUUGAUUGUAUAAAAUGUAUACUAACUAAGACCAAGAAAAAUGGGGUAAUUUGCAAUUCUGACCUUUUGAAAAUUGUGUACACUGAUAAUAAUGGACCUCUUACAUCGAUCUUGUAUGGUAACAAAUAUUUUGUUACUUUUAUCAAUGACUAUUUUCUCUAUGAGUAUCUUUACCUAAUUGAUGAACAUUCAAAUGCUUUUAAAAAAUUUAAAAUUUUUAAACUGAGGUAAAAAAAUAAUUAGGGAAAGUUAUCAAAGUCAUUAGCUCAAAGGUGGUGAGUAUUAUGGUAGACAUGGUGAAACUAGAUAACAUAUCAGACCAUUUUGUAAAUACUUACAAAAUGUCAAAAUUUUCCUAAUAUGCUAUGCUUGGUUGUCUUCACCAUAAUGGCGAGGUUGAAAGGCGAAAUCACACCCUUAAGCAUAUGAUAAGGAGCUUAUAUGUAAGACCAAUCUUCUUAAUUGUUUUUGAGGUGAAGGCAUUAAAACCACCUUGUAUAUACUUAAUAGAGUACUUAGUAAAUCUGUUUUUGAAAUACUUUUUAAAUUGUAGACUGGUAAGAAACCCCAAUUCAGCCAUUUUAAAGUUUGUGGACGUCUUGCAGAAGUUAGAAUCUAUAACCUUUUGAAUGAAAGAUUGAACUUAAGAGUACUCAUUACUUUUCCUUAGAGUAUCUAGAUCGCUUCAAGGGAUAUAAGUUUUAUUAUCCUACACGUGGAACUAAGUUUGUAGAGUCACAAGUGGCAAAGUUUCUUAAACUAGAUGUUGCUGAUAAGAGUGUGACAGAGGCUAUGGAUAACCAUGAAUCUAUUAGACAUAUCUCCAUCACUUUACCCAUAAUACAGUGCCAUAGUAUGCCAAUGGCCAUUUAAAGAAGAGAUCAAGGCAAUAGGAUAUAAACCUUUUUCCUACUGAUGUACUUCAAGUUCAAAAGAAUGAUAUUGCAAUACCUUUUAGGAGAUCUUCCAAACAAAAAAGAUCUGCCAUCUCUAAUGAUAAUGUAAUUUAUCAUUGAAAGAGUGACUAUGACAUUAGUCAUGUUGUUAACCUUGUGGCUUUUGGUGAAAAUAUUAGUAGUCUAUAAUUUGAUGUAUGGUUGGACGUAAUAAAAAAUGAAAUGAAUUUUAUGGCUUAAAAUGGUGCUUAGGAGCUUGUUAAAUUGCCAAAAGAGUGUAGAUCUAUUGGUUGUAAAUGGGUGUAUAAAACCAAUAGAGGUUCUAAGGGAAAGUUUGAGAUGUUUAAAGUUAAAUUGGUGGCAAAAUGAUUUAUUUAGAGGGAAAGAGUAGAUUAUAAUGAAAUGUUUUUGCAGGUAUCUUCCAAAAAUUUCUUUAGGAUUGUUUUGGCCUUGGUAGCACACUUUGACUUGAAGUUUUAUUAAAUGGAUGUAAAGACGGCUUUUCUCAAUAGUGAUUUAAGAGAAAAGGUUUAUAUGGUGCAACCUGAAAGAUUUCAAGAAUCUGAAAAAGGAGCAUUUAGUAUGUUGACUUAAAAAGUCAAUUUAUGCCCUUAAAUAAGCUUCUAAGUAGGGGUAUCUAAAAUUCGAUAACAUAGUUACUUCCCUUGAUUUUGAGGAAAAUAACGUUGAUCAAUGCAUAUACCUUAAAAUCAGAGGGAGUAAAGAUAUCUUUCUUGUGUUAUAUGUGGAUGACAUCUUAUUGGCUUGUAAUGGUAUUGGUUUGUUACAUGAAAUUAAGUAGCUAUUAUCCAUAACUUUUGGUACGAAAAACCUUAAUAAUGCUUCCUUUUUUCAUGGGAUUGAAAUUCAUAAAGAUAGGUUUCAAAAUUUGUUAGGACUAUUGCAAAGGUCUUACAUUGAUCUUGUGUUUAGUAAAUUAACAUGUAGAGUUGUAAGGCUAGGAAUGCAUCCAUUGUGAAAGGUUAUAGACUUAAUAUAAUCAGUGUCCCAAAAAAUGAUUUGGAGAAAGAAUCCAUGAAGAACAUACCAUAUUUUAGUGCAGUUGUGAGUCUCAUGUAUGCUCAAGUUUGCAUUAGGCCAAAUAUUGCUUUUGCAGAGUGAGUUCUUGAGAGAUAUCUUUCAAAUCGUAGUAUGGAUCACUGGGUUGCUAUUAAGAAAGUGAUUAGGUACUUGCAAAAGAUAAAAAACCAUAUGUUGGUAUACAAAAAGGUGGAUAAUCUUGAGAUAGUAGGGUAUAUAUAUUUUGACCUCACUAGUUGUUAGGAUGACAUGAAGUUCAUUUCAGGGUAUAUUUUUAAGUCGGCAGGAGGAGCUUUGUCUUGGAAACACAUGAAACAAACACUCUUAUUUUUUUCCACUAUGCAAGCUAAGUUUGCUGCAUGCUAUAGAGCUGCUACAUAGGCAAUUUGGCUUAUGAAUUUUAUGUUAGGCCCUUGUAUUAUUAAUUCCAUCUCCAGACCUUUAAAGAUUUAUUAGGAUAAUAGGUUUGCUGUGUCAUUUUCUAAGAAUAACAAGAGCACUAGUGGGUUUUAACAUUUGGAGAUAAUAUAUUUUAAAGUUAGGGAUUUUAUGAAAAAUGGUAAAAUUGUUGUCAAACACAUUGAGACUGACAACAUGAUUGUUGAUCUUUGGACUAAGGGAAUAAGACCUAUAGUAUUUGGUAAACAUAUUAAGAACAUAGGUAUUUUAGGGUCCUUUGAUGUAAUUUAUUAUUAGGAGUAUAUCAUUUGUAUUUCAUACUCACACAUCAUGGUUUGUCUCUAUAUUGGACUUUUUCCUUUAUGCUUGGAAUAUCUAUGUGAUAUUUAAUUCUAUGCUUGCAUGAUGAGAAUCAUUGGUUGACAUUUUAUGUUGUUAUUUUACUUUGUUAGUAUAUGUACACAUGGAAAAUUAAAGUUUAUUAUAUACAUUUUGAAAUCUUAAAACUUGGGGUUUGUGUUAAGUAUGACUAUUUUUAUCACUUGGAUAACUAAUAAUCUUUUAAAAUAAUAANNNNNNNNNNNNNNNNNNNNNNNNNNNNNNNNNNNNNNNNNNNNNNNNNNNNNNNNNNNNNNNNNNNNNNNNNNNNNNNNNNNNNNNNNNNNNNNNNNNNNNNNNNNNNNNNNNNNNNNNNNNNNNNNNNNNNNNNNNNNNNNNNNNNNNNNNNNNNNNNNNNNNNNNNNNNNNNNNNNNNNNNNNNNNNNNNNNNNNNNNNNNNNNNNNNNNNNNNNNNNNNNNNNNNNNNNNNNNNNNNNNNNNNNNNNNNNNNNNNNNNNNNNNNNNNNNNNNNNNNNNNNNNNNNNNNNNNNNNNNNNNNNNNNNNNNNNNNNNNNNNNNNNNNNNNNNNNNNNNNNNNNNNNNNNNNNNNNNNNNNNNNNNNNNNNNNNNNNNNNNNNNNNNNNNNNNNNNNNNNNNNNNNNNNNNNNNNNNNNNNNNNNNNNNNNNNNNNNNNNNNNNNNNNNNNNNNNNNNNNNNNNNNNNNNNNNNNNNNNNNNNNNNNNNNNNNNNNNNNNNNNNNNNNNNNNNNNNNNNNNNNNNNNNNNNNNNNNNNNNNNNNNNNNNNNNNNNNNNNNNNNNNNNNNNNNNNNNNNNNNNNNNNNNNNNNNNNNNNNNNNNNNNNNNNNNNNNNNNNNNNNNNNNNNNNNNNNNNNNNNNNNNNNNNNNNNNNNNNNNNNNNNNNNNNNNNNNNNNNNNNNNNNNNNNNNNNNNNNNNNNNNNNNNNNNNNNNNNNNNNNNNNNNNNNNNNNNNNNNNNNNNNNNNNNNNNNNNNNNNNNNNNNNNNNNNNNNNNNNNNNNNNNNNNNNNNNNNNNNNNNNNNNNNNNNNNNNNNNNNNNNNNNNNNNNNNNNNNNNNNNNNNNNNNNNNNNNNNNNNNNNNNNNNNNNNNNNNNNNNNNNNNNNNNNNNNNNNNNNNNNNNNNNNNNNNNNNNNNNNNNNNNNNNNNNNNNNNNNNNNNNNNNNNNNNNNNNNNNNNNNNNNNNNNNNNNNNNNNNNNNNNNNNNNNNNNNNNNNNNAGUAUGAUAGAAAUGACUUUUGUGAUUUUUAUGCAUAUUGAUUUAUAAUUGUUAACAUGCUUAUAUGACCAUAUUGAUUAAAAUUGCUCAAUUUGUUUAUAAUGCUUGGUCUUGUGAAUUCUUUAAACUUGAUUGUGUUAUACAUAAUUUUUUAACUCUUGAUUUGUGAUUUUAGAAAUUAAUGAUCAUCUUGUGCUUAAAUCAUGUAUAUUGAUGUUUGAUUAUUCAUCUUUUGAUAUCUUAUGAAAUAAUCUUAAAAUAUGAUUUAAUUUUAUAUCCUUAUUAAUUCAAGAUUUAUUUCUUCUCUUGUGUUAAUAAAUUGAUGAACUUUAUAUGCUUAAAAGAUAUAUAUUGAUUCUUUGUUCAUCUAUGUUUUUGGUUAAGGUAUGUACUCAUAUGAUGAUUGGUUUAACUUGACCUUAAUACUUAUGAUUUGAAAGUGCUUAAAUUGUCUAUUUUUUAAUUUGUGAAAUAUGCUUAUUUUUAUGCUUAAAUGUUUUAUUAAUUUUAUGAAAUAUUUUGGAUCUUUGUUGCUCAAUUGAUAUUAUCUUUUUAAUUUGUGAUUUUGAAAUAUGAUGAACUACUUGUUUGUAAAUGAAAUAUGUUCAUUUAUUGUUCUUGUCAAGUGUAUACUUAUAUGAUAAAUGUUAUUUAUUUUUACUUGACAUGCUUGCAACAUGGCUUAAGUGAAAGAUUUUUUUAUGAUGGUUAUGUUUGUCUUAAGUCAUUGUUGAUUAUGGCUUAUAAUUUGUGUAGACAUAUUUAUGUUUUUGUGCUAAAAUUCUCUUGAAUAUAUUUUUUGAUGAUAAAUAUGUCUUUCUUAAGGUAAUUGUUUGAAUUCCUAUAGGGCCCUCAAAUUGGAUUUUGACAUAUUCUGUUGGGUGACUUUCCUUGAAACAUACAUGAAUAUUGAAUAUCAUUUAAAUUGUGUUAUGAAUUAGAUCCUAGAAAGAUUGUGUGAUUCUUUGCACAUUAUAUGAGAACUUUUGAUUUUAGUGUCAUUCUUAUGCUAUUUGAUGUUUAAAUUGAUAUAUGACCUCUAGCUUAAGUAUAUAUCUUCUUUGCAAUUGGCAACUUGUGUUUAGUGAAUAAUAUUUUUUUUGCCUACAAUGAGUUAGAAUAUGGAAUUGUUUUCUAACAAUUGGUAUAAUUUUUAUUAAUUGAUUUUCUUGAUGCUUCUAAUAAAAAUCCUUUGUUAAAAAUAUUUUCUAAGUCUAUGCUAGGAGAACUUGAAAUGAGCAUGAAUGAGCCUAUAUUUUUAGAAUUUCAAGUAUAGCAAGAACAUCAAGUCAUCUUUAUCAAUCAAACCCAAGUACAUCAAAGACUUAGCUCAAAUGAUGUGGAAUGGAGGAUUUAAAGCCUCACUCAACUACAAUGAGUACAACAACAUAGCUUGAUAAGGAUGGAGAUAAUUGUACUGAAUCUAUGCUAUGGGUCUAAGAUUUAUAAUGUUUAAUGCAUGAUUUAAUAAAUGCUUACUUUGAUUGUGUGCAAAAAUGAGAUAUUGUGCUAGAACAUAUGAACAUAUUGCACAAAUUAAUCACCAAGCCACUUGGUAGAUAUUGCUCUAAUAUGUUUGAAAGCUUGGAUUGAUUAACUCACCUUCAUUGAUAUUCAUACCUAGUUCUUGAAUGCUUUGAUUACUAGUUUUUAUUGCAUGAAUAUUUGUUUGAAUCUUUGAACAUGAAUAUGAGUUGAAUAUAUUAAUUUCUUGAUCUUUCAAUUGCCUUGACUCAUGGAUAUGAACUAUGAACUUACAAUUUUGAAAUUUAUAUACAUGUUCAUUGAUUGAGUCCAUUGAAAUAGCAUAUACCACAUUAUGUCUAAAUGUUUGUAUCUUUAUUGGUAUAUUGUUAUAUGUGAUUUGAAAUAUUUUUCAUAUGCUUGUAUGAUUUUGAUUGAAAUAUAUAUUUAAUACUUGCAUAUGUUUAGAUUAAGUUCAUUGCUAUGCAUUGAAAUAAUUUGAAAUAUAUUUGAAUAAUUAUACUUUUAUUAUUUCUUUGCUAUAGCAUAUGUGUUCAUCAUGUUUGAAAAUUACUUGAAUAAUCUUUAUUACGACAUGAUGAUAAUUGAACCUUAAUGCUCAUUCGUAUUCAUGCUUUAUUAAAUCCAUAUGAGCUUUUGGGUUCUUGAUUGGAUAAGAUAGCUUAUGAAAUAUUACUAUUAUCAUUUAUACAUGUAUUGAAUGAAUUUUUUACAUGCUUAAAGUAUGUGUGCUCUAUGAAAGUUGUUGAAUAAAAUUGCUAACAAUUGGUAACAAUUGAUAUCAAAAUUGCUAAAGAUUUUUUUUAACUUUCAUAGACACUUGUUUAUGUGCCUAUCCUUGAUAUAGCUUAUACUUUUCAUGCAAAAUUGUGUAUGCCUUAAAUUGAUUAAUCUUUAUUUUGGAAAGGAGGAGAAAUUUUAGAAUACAAUUUUGCUUGAUUUGUUUUAUGAUAACAAUUGGUAUGUUAUGUGAUAACAUAUCUUUAACAAUUAGUAUUCUUAACAAUUGGUAUGAGCUUGUAUGCAUAUGCUUGAAUUUAUGCUUAAUUGCUAUUGACGUUUUAGGUUCUAAGCACAUCUUAUCCUAAUAUGAUUUAUGAGUAGAUUGCAUAUCAUUCAUUAUCCUUUGCUUAUAAAUUUCAUGUAAUACAUUUGACGACUUGUGCUAAAAUGCUAAAUUUGGAUACACUUUUAUGAUUGAAUACAUGCAUGUGAAACCUUCAUUGGCAUUUAUACGUUGAUUACAUGUAUUGAAAAUACUCUUGAAUAUUAUUGGUAUCAAGCAUUUUGGUCCUAUUCGGCCUGUGAACUGAAGUUCUCUAUCUUUUGAAAUGACUAAAAAGGGGAAAAGUUUAAGAAUAUUUUUCUUGUAAUACUUAUGUAAGCAAUCCACUGACGAGCUUAAAUACUUUAUAAGAGCAUAAAACAAAAGGAGGAGAAAUGUUUUCAUGUAUAUAUUGUUAAUGAUUCCCCUUUGUGUUUAUUUGCUCAUUAAUAUGCUCGUGCCUUUUUGCUAUGACAAAAACGGAGAAAAUCAUAUGGACAAAUUUGCUUAUGCUUGACAUGCAUAUGUUUGAUUGUGCUAUUUGAUAUAUUUGACUAACAUAUGUUUCUUGAGUUGUGUUGGAUUAAAUGCAUAAAUUGAGGGGAAAGUUUUGCCAUGCAUUGUUUAAUGGGGAGUUUUACAAAAUGUCUUUCAAAAUCUUAAAUGUUUCAAAGAAGUUUUUCAUCAAGCAAAUUUAUCUUUAAGUUUUGUCAUAUCAAAAAAGGGGAGAUUGUUAGCCUUGAAUGAUCCUUUUUUGAAAUGACAAAACAUUAAGCUAAAUAAGCUUGAUCAAGAUUUUGAAAAAGAUUUAUUUAGUAUAUGUUCUUAAGUUUUAUAUUUUGUUACUAAAUAAAUAAUAUAUUUUCAAAGCUUAAACAAAUCUUUCUUUGUUUUCAUAUUUCUCAAGCCAAAUCUACCUUUAAAGAUUAUUUAUUUGAGCUUAAAUGAAAGUCCAAUUGUUAUUUUUAAAGUCAACUUAUUCAUUUUGGACUUAAUACAAUUUUGACAAUAUUGGUUUUGAGAAAUAAAUUAACUUAAGAAAACUGUUUUACAAUAACAAAGUUUUCUAACAUUGAACUUAUUUUAUUUUUCUAUAUUAAUUCACAAAGUUUUAAUAUUUGAAUUUAUAUGGUUCGAAAGCUUCUUUGAGUCUACUUUCUAAUGGAUCAAACCAAAUCAAAAUUCAAAACUUUUUUAAGAAAAGAUUUGAAUUUUUUACUAGACACUCUACAGUUGUCAUAAAAACUGCAUUAAGGGGUAAACUUUGAAAAUUCACUAUAAUCAUACUCACAUGAAUUAAGGUGAUGAAUUUUAUAUGAAUAGAAAAAGCCCUUUAAGUCUAGUUUUUCUAAAUCUUCAAACGGUUUUGUGAUUUUCGAUUUAUAUAACUCAAGAUAUGAUCAAAUUAGUGAGUAGAUUGCAAAAUAAGAGACAACCACCCAGUCAUUGACAGGAUCGAUCCCCUCAUGGAAAGGAUCGAUCUGGUUAUGUUUUUAAGCAUGAAAUGACAUAAAACUUGAACUAAUCGAUCUCCUCAAAGAAGAGAUUGAUUGGGUAUGGGCAGAAUCACACCAACAACUAUUUUUUCAUGCUUUCAACGGCUAUUUUCUUCUUUCAAGCAUCCCCAAUAGCUAUUCCUUCAAUUUCUCUAUAAAUUGGGCACUCCAACACACUAAGAAGAUUGAUGCAUCAAGAGAGUAAGAGCCAAAAAGUCAUAUUUUCAUUCUUUCAAUUAAUCAAGAGUUUUUAGAGCUUCAAAGUCUAUAUCUUUGUAUUUAUUGUAUCCAAAUUAUAUUUGUUGUUCAUUCAUCAUUUUCUUGUUCUUAAACUUAGCAAACACUUAGCCUUAGAGAGGUUGUUUUAUUGUUUGUAAAAUUACCUUUGAUAUACAAGGGUGGAAGAGAACAAUAGGUGAGGUAUCAGCUUGAGAUCUUUGUAGUGAGAUUGGGUAAAAUACUACAAAGGGUAGAGGUUCUAUCUUAAGCCUUAGAAAGAAAAAGAUAGGUUGUAUUUUCAAUUCAAGAAUAAUGGAUUGAAGCCUUGGUGUGGACAACUAAGAAGAGAAGACGUAGGUGCCUUGUGGAGAAGGACCGAACCUCUAUAGAUCAUUGUGUUUGAUUUCUCUAUCCUUAUCUCCUUAUAAUUUAUUGUUGUUUACAUUUGAUUUUAGGUUCAUUAAUUGUUAUUGUUUGCAUUAUAUUUUCAUCAAAAGUGCUUAUUGUUUUAGUUUCCAUUCAACUAUAUUGAAAUCAUUAUUUGAGAAGAAUUUGAAAAAAUCCAAUUCACCCCCUCUUGGAUCACCGUCUCACCUAAAAACCUAACAAUAGUUUAUUUUAAAGAUAUUUUAGAGUAAUUUUUAAAGUUUUACUUUUUAUAGAUGAAAUGUUGAGAAAGAUUAAAUAUAUUAAUUUAUUUUUUAGUUUCUUAAUUUUUUUUGUUUUGAUUUUUAAGAUAUUUUAAAGUUCUUUUAGGGUUUUAAUUUAAAUAAUUAAGCUUAUAGUUUUUGUAUGAAGAUAUUUUUGUAAUAGGAUUAUCAGUGAUAUGUUCAUUUUUAUGAAUGAAAAGUUGAAAAAUAUUAAAGGUUUUAAUUUUUUGUUUUGGUUUUUUAUAAAAUUUAUGCUUUAAUCUCUUUAAUAUUUUAAUGUUAUUUCUGUUCACCUUUUAAGAAUUUUUAAUCUUAAAGUUAAGUGUAUAAUUUUAAUUGUUUUAAUCUCUUAUUUAUUGUUUCUUUUUCUAAAAAAUAUUAAUAACAUGAUCCUUUUCUAUAGAUGAAUUUGUGAAGGGUUAAAGAUUUUUAUAUUAUUUCUUGGUUUCUUAUAAAAUUCAUUUUGUAUUAUUUUGUAUUAAUUUUUAAGUUUUUAUAAUUAGUAAUGUUUGUAUGAAUUACAUUACAUAAGUAAAUUUAUAUUUUAAUUUAAUUUAAUAAAAAAGUACAAUUUUACUCGCAUAUUAGUUUACAAGUUCCAUGUUAAAGCUAUUCAUUGAUAUUAUGUUAGUGUAGUUGUGAUUUUACUUUUGGUUACUUUUUGUGUUAAUUGUUAGAUUUUAGGUAGUUUUAAUCAAUUCAUGUAAGCAAAUAAAAAUCUAUCAAAGCUAAAAUUUUUAAUUUACACACUUUUUGGUAAUAAAUUUUAUUUAUUUGUAGUAAUCAUAAAAUAUAAAAUUCAUUUUUAUGUUGAAAAUUUUGUUAUCAAGUUAUAAUUAAAUGUUGAUGAUGUUUGAGGUGCCUUUAAUUUAUUAUUGGUUAUACCAUUUUUAAAUUGUAAUUAUUAUUUUUUCCCUUCUUGAAUUCAUUUAUUUGUUGGAUAUAUUAAUAUGUUAUUUAUAUCUGUUAUUGAUUAUUUGAGUAGUGUUGUAUGUCACAGAUAUUAGUGUAAUAUAUUUUUUAAUUAUUUCUUAAUAAUUUAAUUGGAAAAAAAUCAUAGUGUAUACUUUACCAAGCCAUUUCUAAAAAAAAUAUAAUAUAUAUAUAUAUACACACAUAUAUGUAUUGUAUAAGAUAAUAUUUUUUAAUUAUAUUCUAUCGAAUUUCAUUUAGAUACAAAGAUGAGAAAAAAAAAGUUUUACUUGUUAUAAUCUUUAAUAAAGUUUUUCACUAAAUCAUUUAUUUAACACAAAAAAUGAUUUAUUUGUAAAAGGAUGCAAAGAUCUUUAAUUUCAUGUUAUAAUUUUUUAUAAUGCUAAAAUUAAAAGUUUCAUUCUAUAAUAAUUUAUAAUUAAUAUUAUCAUUUAUAUUUUAAAAAAUUAUAAUAAAUAAUUAAUAUUGAUUCAAAUAAAAAUAUUAAAAAAAGCUUAAGCAAUAGGUGUUACUCAUCCAAAUUACUCGUGAUUUUUUUAUAGUUGAUUUUAUAAUCAUUUUAAUUACAAAAAAGAAUAAAAAGAAAAAAAAUUGAGUAAAAGAAGUUUCGAAUAGUAGUAACAUAACACUCAAAAAUAUUAUUUUUUUAUUUGCUUUAAACACUCUACAAAAUAUAUUACAUUUAAACAACGAGUUCUAAUUAAAAUAUCUUUUUUAUGUUUAAUGAAGCAUAUAUUAAAAAAUAAAUAUUUUAGGAAAGAUUAAGAAAUAAUAGUAUUUUUUAUUAUUUAAUAUUUACUCAUCAUUGUAUUGAGUUUCAAUAAAUCUCUAUUUUUCAUAUAAAUAUAUUAAAAUAUUAAUAGAAAUAAAUAAAUAUUGAAGUUCAAAGGAUAUUUUAAUAAAUAUUUCUAAAAGUUUCAAUUAGAAACUCUUUCAUUACACAUUCAUAUUAUAUUUAAAUGAUUGUUUGAUGAUAACUAUGUGAAUUUGAAUAAUAUUUUUUUCAUUUUUACAAUUUUUAAUUCAAGUAUGAUUGAUUUACUAAAAUAUUUUUAUUAAAUUUAUUUCUAAAUUAUGAAACAAAAUAAUAAAAAUUAUUUUUUUAAUAAAUGAAUUGGGUAGUGUUUGGUUAUAUAAAAUUUCACAUGAAACCUAAAUCUCUUAACUUUAUUACAUAAAAUGCAACCAUUUAACUUAUCAUUUUUAGACUUUUGGUUGCCUUACAUUUAUAUAAACUUUUCACUUUUGAUAUUCUAUGCAUUUAUAAUAUUCUUUUCAAUUAUUUUUGUUAAAAUGUUUGUAUACUUUUGAUUUUCUUCAUAACUUAUGCUUUUCUUUUUAUUUUCUUUUGAUUAUAUAAGUGACAUUAAAUUUAUCAUUGGUUAGACAAUUUUUAAAUGAUAAUUUUUUUUCUUUUUAAAUAUAUUUGUUUGUUUUUAUUUUCAUUUAUUAUUGAUGGUUUGAGUAGUGAUGUGAAACUACAUGUAAUUUGGUUUUUAGCCACAUUUAUAAACUAGAUGUUUUAGUUUUAUAUAAAAAUUAAAUUAUAUAAAAAUUAAAUAUUAGUUUAAUUUGUAUAUUUUUAAUUAUUACUUAAUCAUAUCAUAAAAACCAAUAGUGUGUAACUUGUUGAGCUAUUUAUAUUAAAAUAUAUAUUGUAUAAGAUAAUAAUUUUUCAAUUGUAUUUGUCAAAUUUCAUGUAGAUUUAAAAAUAAGCAAAAGGAUCCAUUUAUUGUAAUUUUUAAUAAAAAUUUCAUUUAUUUGACACAAAAGAAAUUGAUUUAUUUUAACGAAUAUAUAAAAACUUUUCAAUUUCAUAUUGAAAACUUUUUAUAAUGUUAAAAGAAAAGGCUUCAUUAUCUUAAUAAUUUAUGGUUAACAUUAUUUAUAUUUUUUAAAAAAUUAAAGCAAAUAUUUGAUAUUGAUUCAAAUAAAUAUAUUAGAAGCAAAACUUAAAAUAUAGGUGUUACUCAUGUAAAUAAAUCUUGAUUUUUCUAUAGUUGAUUUUUUUUUUUUACAUCAUUUUAAUUAAAAAAGUUGAACAUUGAGUAGUUUUGAAUUGAUAACAAAUAACCUAACACUAAAAAAUAUUAUUUUUUUAUUUACUUUAUACUUCCAGGUAUAUAUAUACACACAAAAAAAAAAAGUAUUAGGGGUUUAACGUAAAAUGAAUAAAGCUCAUAGCUAUCUAAAUGUGUUUAUUUAUUUAUUUAAUUUUACUUAUCAAAAUAAUUUUUUGUUAAAAUAACGCCUUCAUUUAGUUAAUGAAAAUAACUCUUUUCAUUUUUUUUUUUAUCAUUGGUCCCUUAAAAUACAAGUUUUUAGCGAUAUCAUAUAUUUUAGAAAAUACAAACAUAAACAAGAAACAAAGUAAAAAUAUUAUUAUUUAUUUGAUUUAAUAUAUUAAAAAUAAUUAUUCUUCAUUUUAUUUCUCUGUAAUGUUAGGUUUUCAUAUAAUAAAUACAAAUAUUAAAUAUUUUUAUCUUUUUUGAGUAUAAAUUAGAUUAAAUAAAAAUAAUAAUAUGAAAAGUUAGCAUAUUAAUUUCAAUGUUUGUAAGUAUUAAUUUUUUUUGAAUAAAUUAACAUAAAAAAUAGAAUAUGAUUGGUUAGCAUAUUUAUCUAUAUUUAUAAUUAGGUUUCAAAAAUAAAUAUGUUAAUUAAUGAUGCAUAUAUAUUAUAUAUUAAGUUGUUAGGAUCUAUUUGGUAUGCAAGAUUAUGACAUGAUAGGAUAAAAUGAUAUUAUAAAUAAGAUUAAAUUAAAUAAUUAUCAUUUUAUCUUAUAUUUGAUAUGUAUAAAACUUAAAAUAAUAUAAUUUAUUUAUUGAUCAAAAUUAUCUUUAUUGAAGUUUAUACAAUUUAAAUUAUUGAUGUAAUUUAUAAGAAUAUAAUAAAACGUACAAAUUCAAUCUUAUAAAUUAAAAAUAAUCAUUUUUAUUUUGAGAGAAUUGAAUUAUCUCAUGUCAAGAAAAAGAUAUGAUAAUCAUCCUAUAAUAUUCAUUAUCUUAUAAACCAAAUAUGACCUUAAUUCAUUAUUUAUUUGAAAUAAAAAGUAAAAUAUGAAAUGUUAGAAUAUUAUUUUUUUAUGUUUUCAUAUUUUAGUAAUUAAUGAUUUUAAAAUAAAAAAGAGAAAAAUAUGUAAAUUAACUUUUCAAAUUUUCAUUAUUUUCUACCAACAAAACAAAUCAAAAUGAUAAGAUAAAAAAAAUUUAUAAAUAUUAUCGUAUUAAUUUCAAUAUUUUCACAAUCAAUUUAUUUUUAAACCUUUUCAUAUUUUGAAUUUAAGAAAAAUGAUAGAGAUAUGAAAAGUCACAUAAAAUAUUAUAUUAAUUUCAAUAAAGGGAUCAAAUUAUAUAAUUGUAAAAUUAUUUUUUUUUACACUUUUUUAUAAUUUCAUAAAUGAUAAAUAUUUUUAUAAAUUGAUCAUUAAAUUUAACAACCUACGUGUAUCUAUCAUUCAUGUAGAGUUUCAAGUUAAUUCAAUAUUCUUAUAAUUUUAAUCGAAAGUAAUAUCACUUAUAUAUACUAAUGAUUAAAAUUUUAUUAUUAUAACACAAAUAGAUUAACAAAUAUUUUAAAUUUACUUGAAAUUUGGCAAUACAUUAUUUACUUAAAUACAUCACAAAAUUCAAUGGUUGGAUUAGUAAAUAUAAAUUGCAUAAAAAAAUGAGAUGGUUCAAAACUAAUUUAGUUUUAAACAUGUCUAAGUAAAUCUCUCUUCAAUUCUAAUUUUCAUAUUUCUUUAUUUAAUAAUUUAAAAAUAUAUUUUUGAAAAAAAUUACAAAUUAUCCUUAUUUAAAAAUUUUUUAUAUUCUGCUAAUUACUUAAAUUAAAUUAAUAGUAGAGAGUCGAAAAGUGAUAAAUCAUUAUUAUAUGAAUUUCAAUUUACACAUAUUUAAUGAGUUAAUGAUUUAAAAAUAAAUCUUUAAAAAUAAAGAAUAUAAAUAAAUUUUACUAAUUUUUUAUUUUUACCUUUUUUUAUAAAUUUUAUUAUUUCAUUUGUCUUUAAUAGCAAAUUUUUUUAACAUGAUUGUUAUUUUAAUUUUUUAGUAUUUUUUAAUUUAAUUUAAUUUUUAUUUUUAAAAGAUUACUCGUGUGAAGGACCAGUCAAAAAACUUAAUUUAUUUAAAAUUAAAUUUGUAAUAUAAUUAUUAGGGUGCAUCAGUAAAUAUUGGAUUUAAAUAAAACACCCCAAAAGCCUAUGCAAUCCUUUUCUCCUCUGAGUUCCAAGGUUGUACUUGUCUCCGACAGAAAACGCAGGCUAUCAAGCUCAUCAAGUGGUCUGUUCUCCUCCACUUUCAGCAUCCCGUCUGUUGGCUUCAGCUUCGUUAAUUUUUCAAAUCCAUGUAUUUUUCCUAUCCUUUAGUUCCAUCUUCCUUCCCUUUAUUGGUUUUCAACUGAAAUGUCAAAUGAAAUGGGGGUGGUUUCAUAGCUAUUUAUUGAUCCCACACCAACACCGUAUCAUUUUACUUAUCCUGUGUUUCUCUGUGUUGGGUACCUUGGAAAUUGAUCAAUCAAAUCACUAAUAAAUAAAACUGUCGACCUUUUGAUUUGCAGAGGAAAAAGCAAAGAUGCCCCACAGAACACGUCCUAUGACGGCGCUGUUAGUGUUCACUGUCGUCAACGUUGUCCUGGUCUCAACCAUUACUCCUGUCUAUGAUUUUGUCUGCUUCCUUCCUUACUGGGAAAGACGGGUUUGUUUCUCCUUACUUUUCUUGUUUCAUUUUCUUGCCUGCAACUUUGUUUUAUUGUUGUCAUAUGUUUCCGCCUCCUGAUUGCUUCGAGAUAAAAUGGUCUUAUCCAUAUGAAAAUUAUGGUGUAGCAGUGGGAAUUUCAAGUUUGAAGUGAUUUAUUUGGCCAUUGAUGUGUUUGGAGGUCUUGUUUUGAAGGAUACAAAUGAAAUGAUUGCUUAAAUGGUAUUAGUAUUUGUUGCAACCAGAAAUCAAAUGGGUAAAAGUUGGUUCCUUUGUCCUAUGAUGAAGUUGGAUUUUGUCUUUCACAAGGUCGCUACUAUUGUGCCUGUGACUGUUAGGACAAUCUUGAUGUGAUAGAACUAGUUUCGGAUUAUCCUAUAUGUUUAAUAUCAAUCCAAAGUCAUUUUCUUCUACCAUUUCUGUAGCAUUAUGGAACAAUCAAACUGUAUUAUAUCAGCAUAAUCUUUUAUGUCUGAUCAAUUAUCAAUGCUUGAGUGAAAAAAUAACUGAAGCAUCAUUGAAUUGAGCUGCUCAAGAGAUCUUUUCCGAGACUCAAUCACACUGCAAAUGAUAAAUUGUUAUGCUACUACAAGUAAUAUUUAUCUAACAAUAGCAGGAUUCUGUUGUUUGAGAAUUUGGUUAAUUGUGAGAACUCCAAAAUCCAAAUUACCAUUUCUCUUCUUCUUUCACCUUCAUUUCAUAAGCAUUGUUUCUGCUGGCUAAUCAUCUGAGAGAUGACAAACUAAAAUGGGCAAUUAUCACUGCGGUCUUAUCUUUCCUUUUACGUUGAAAAAGUUUUACUUUACCACAGUCAUAUUGGUUUCUUUAGGAUAUUUGCAAAUAUGUAGAAUGUAAUCAUACAUUGUCAUUUGAUAUAUGGCUAAUCAUCUGAGAGAUGACAAACUAAAAUGGGCAAUUAUCACUGUGGUCUUAUCUUUCAUUUUAGGUUGAAAAAGUUUUACGAUACCACAGUCAUAUUGGUUUCUUGAGGAUAUUUGCAAAUAUUUAGAAUGUAAUCAUACAUUUUCAUUUGAUAUAUGAGCCACUAGAGCAUACAGAAAAAUACUCACUCUCAAUCUGUGUGAGAUGCAUGUGCAUCUAUACUCAACGUUCUCUCUAUAUACUUUAGUAAAUCUGUUGUGAAGAUUCUUUCUUUCCUUAGUUUUUCAUUUCAUAGUAUACGAUGAUAUAUCAAGGUUCAAUAGUACCAUAAUAAAUUCUAGGAGCUUUUCCAUAGGCAAAUAAUGCUCGAACUAUCGAACUGGUACUAAAUUUUGAAUGUAAAAUGUGGAUUGUGUCUUGGUGGACUGCAGCUUAGAUAAUGUGGCCUCUUUUAGUAAGUUUGCAUGCUUAGCCGGUACUAUAACAAAACUUUUGGCUGAAGAAGAAUAGCUUGCAAGCUAGAGAGAAUGUGAUGGUUAUCUGUUCUAUACGAUUGGAGGACCUGAUUGUAUUGUAUGGACAAUUUUGAAGUGCAAUCAAAAUUGUCCACCAAAGAUCCAUUUUAGUUGUCAUGCAUCUGAGUGCAGUCAACUUUCUAAUUCCUUUACAUAGUUAUACACUUAAUACAUGGUUCAUGCAAGCAAUUGGAUUAUGUUUUAUUGGCUCUAGGUGAAGUGAAUCACCAAAGAAACCAUAUAGAGAGAAUGUGAUUGCUAUCAACUGAAGAACUGUAUGCUUUUCUUACAUGUUUUGUCAUGUUUAGUUAUCUAUCUAAAUCUUCUUGGUUUUCCCUUCAUUCAAAUUUGAUUCAAUUUUGGAUUUUGGUCUGAUGAUGCCAAUCAAACAUAUCACUUACCACAAACUCAACUAGUGUUGCACAUUGUCAUCAAAUAUGUACUGCCCAUACAUGGUUGAUUUUUUCUGCAUGUGUUUGGAUGUGUUUGGUUUCUACCUAAGUCUUGUGGUUUUUUAUUUUGUUUUGUUUCAGCGAGAACGGCGUCGUCUUGAGCAUGAAGCUUUAUCAAAUAAAUCUCAAUCACCCUGAAAGAUCUCUAAGAUCCUCCUUGAUAAUAGGUUUCUUAAUUAAUGAGUACAUUAUCAAAUGAUUCACUCUAAGUGACAAUUUUUCUUCUUGGAAAUGAAGAAGUAGAAGUACCAUAAGAGGUGAGAAGUCCUUUCCCCUUGCUUGUUUGUAUUGAAUUUCCUUAGCUGUAGAUUGGAAACUGUCACUGUGAAAAAUGCGAAAUGCUAUGUCAAAAUUUUCACAAGACAUCAUGGAUGCCAUUAAAGUGGUUAAAAUUAUUAAGUUUGGGCUGCGCAGAUGGUGUAUGAUUCAAUGAAGUGUCGUAAUCAAACAUGAGACUUGAAAUCUUAAGUUGUCAGAUUUCUUGGAAUCAAAUGAGUAAUGUCUUUAGCCUUAUCAGUGUUUGGAUCUCCCCUUAGAUUGGGGAUAAUUGCAUGGACAAAUAAUAAAAAAAAAAAAAGUUCAAGAUUUUGAAGUUGAAAUGACUUGAUCAAUCAUAAACUUGUAAUUCACAUGGCUUCCUUUAUUUUCAAUUUUCUCAAUGAUUUGUAUUGGUGGGUAGUUGGCAUUGUAAGUUCUCAGAUAUUGUACCAUUUUUUCCUUAAUAAUAUUAAAAGUUGCAGCUUAUGUAAACUUGUCUUUGCCUAUCUCUCGUAGAGUUGGACAAGAGUUAAAGAUACAUAAAAAAAAUUUAAAAUAAAAAGGCAACAACAACAACAACACAAAAAGAGAAAUCGAUAUAAGCAGAAGGUAAGAGGGAUUAUGAUAGGAUGGUUGGCUCUUAUCUGUCUUCUAUUACUACAUGCCACUAUCAUCAUCUUAUCUUUAAAUUCUUAUUAAUUUAUUUGUCUUAAUAGUAAUCGACUUAAAUACCAUUAAAAAUUUUUAAAUUAAUAAAUUUAUCUUUAAAUAUAAAAUUUUUAUUAAUUUAUUUAAGUUUAAUUUAAAUAAAUUAAAAUUAAACUACUUAAAAUUUUAAUUCCAAAAGUAUUAAAAGUAAUUGACUAAAAUAUUUUCAGUAAAUGAUUUUAUAAAUUUUAAUGUAAAUUAUUUUUUUUACUAUUAAACUUUAUUUUAUAAUUAAAAUAAAAAUAUUAAAAGUGAUUGAUUAAAAUAUUUUUUUUAAAAAAUUUAAUUCCAAAAGUAUUAAAAGUAAUCAAUUGAAAUACCAUUAGUGAUUUUUUUAUAAAUUAUAAUUUAAAUGACUUUUUUAUAAUUUGACUUUUUUUUAUAAGUAGAAUAAUUUUUUGCAUCAAAUAAAAAUAAAAAUUUUAUUAAUUUAUUUAUGUUCAAUUUAAAUCAAUUAAAACUAAAAUAAGAGUUUAUGUGAAAUUAGAAUAUUUAAAAUUUUAAUUCCAAAAGUAUUAAAGUUGAUUGACUAAAAUAUUUUUAGUAAAUUUUUUUUUUGUAAAUUUUAAUUUAAAUGAAUUUUUUAUUAUUAUAUUUUUUUAUAAUUAAACUAAAAACGUGUUAAAAGUAAUUGACUAAAAUAUCCUUAAUAAAUUUUAAUUUCAAAAAUGUUAAAAGUGAGUGAUUAACAUAUUAUUAGUAAUUUUUUUAAAAUUUUAAUUUAAAUGACUUUAUUAUUAAACUCUUUUAUAAGUAGAAUGAUUUUUCACAUCAAAUAAAAAUAUAAAUAAAAUGAGAUCAAAAUUUAGUGCGCAUAAAAUAAAAUAAUUAUAUAAAGUUUGUUUUUUUAGUUGUUGUAAAAACAAUUGUAUAUAUAUAUUGAUGUUGAUAAAUAAAUUCAUUAAAGAUAAUUAUAAUUAAGUCAUUAAAACAUGGUAUUUUUCUAUUUUUUACGUUUUAAUUUUUUGUUUUAAUAUAUUAACUAUAUGUGUUAAUGAUUUUAUUAUUUAUAGGUUUUAUGAGUUGAUCAUUUGAUCAGAUGACAUAAUUAAAUCUUUUUAAUUCCUUGAAAUAAAUAUAUCAAUCUUACAAUUUAGUCUGACUUUUAUAAUUAAUUUCUCUCUUGUAUUUUUUCUUAUGAGAAUUUAUAAUUGUUAUUUCCAUGAACAAAAACUAAUAUCAAAUUAAAUGUAAAUCAAUUGCACUCUCCACCAACAAUUAGUAUUAUAUGAUUUAUUGAACACUUUAAUUUAACUUUUCACUUGUAAAAUUGGAUGAUUUAGGAGGUAAUGGAGUUACCAGUAGCUCAGGAUUGAGUCCUAUUAAAUCGUCGUGAGAAUUGUUCACCUUGAUUUGAAUAAUAAUUAAUUUAAUUUUUUCUCAAAUUUUAUCUAAAUAUGCAUGUAUAUGACUAAUUUAUAUGUCAAAAUUAUUUAAUCUUUCCUAAUUUUAUUAAGUUGCUUGCUUUUUUUUUGUCAUUCAAGUGGUUGAACAACUUAAAAUGAAUUAUUCUAAGUAAAAAUGAUCAAGUGAACUAAAAUUAAUUUUUUUUAGUGAAUUCUCUCAAGGUGUGACAAAAUUUAUUAGAAUUAUCUUUUGAAUAUAUUUAUAUCAAAGUUAAAUUCAUUCAUGAAAAUUUAUAUUGUUAACACUAAAAAUGAAAUUAUUAUAAAUUGUAUAGGUAUUACAUAAUAAAUUUGUUAUUUUGAGACCUAGACUUUUCUUAAGAAAACAUAACAAGCACCAAGAUUAGUAUUUUAUUUUAUUUUUAAAAUUAUGUAUUUAAAUAUUUUUAUAUAAUAAAAAUUUUGUAUAAUAAUUUUGUUAAAUAAAAUAAAAUUUAAAUAUUUAAUUGGUAGAAUACAAUUUCAUUCAAUUGAUAGAGGCAACAAUGGAAGAUUAUUUUAAGCUAAAAAUGAGGCUAAAGUUGAUUAGCUAUGCAUAACUCUAUCUUCUCUAUAUGACAAAAAGAUUAGUACGAUAUGAUAUUUCAAUAAAAAAUAUACAAAUAUAUUGAUUUUAAAUUUCUUUAGUAUUAAUGAGAAACUCUUUUAUUUGGAGAAACAAUGUAAACUCCUUCAUUUUCUCAUUUAUAUAUGUUGAAAAAUGUUUAUUGUUAUAUCAAUUUUUUAAGGUUGUCAUAUUAGGUAAUGUUUGUUCAAAAGAAUUUAAAUUCAUCAAAUUAAUUAUCAUUCUUACAUUUAAUAUAAAAAUAUUAUUAUAAAUUAUAAUUUAAUUAAACUUAAAAGUGAUUUAAGGGCAUUUAUUAGUAAAAUUUAUUUGAUAAAUCUUUAUUUAAUUUUAUAUUUAGUAUUUCAAUUAUUUUAAAUUUUUACUUUUUUAUAAUUUUGAGUUAGAUUUUAGAAUCAAGAUUAGCAAUAAAUUAGGUUAAGUCAAGUUUUAUUAUCUACUUAUAUUCAUAGUGUACUUAAUUAUUCACUUAUGUACAUGAGUAAAUUUAACUUAAUAAUUGGUAUAUGCUUCUUUUUAUUUAAAAAACUAAAUCCUAAUUGUCCUAAAUCUAAAUAACAAAGAAGUAUACUUAAAUACUUAUAACUGUAAUUUUACUUAGAAAUACUCUAAGAAUUAAUUAAUUAAUUCAACCACAAAAUAAUAAAAAUAAGACAUUGAAGAUAAAGGGUAAAAAGGUUUAAAUAAAAAAAAUUUAAAUUGUUAUAGAAGAUGAAAAAGAAAUAUUAAAUUUUGAUUAGGAUAAUAUUUCAACUCGGAUUUUAAUUAUGCUCAAUCAUUUCAGAUUUUAAAUAAUUAAUAAGGUAUUAAUUUUUUAAAAUCAAUUGAAAUAUAGUCAAGUUAGUUCAAUUUUAUAAUUAUGUGUAUUAUAUUAUUUUUUUAAAUAAGUAAAAAUUUAUUUUUACUUAAUUUGAGUUUUGAUUGUUUCAAGUUUGAGUUGAUUAAUUUAUGUUAUUUUAACUAUAUUUUUACGACAUAGGUAAUAAAUUUUAAAAUAGAAUGAGAACAUAAUACAAUGAAAAUUAAAGUGCAAAAGUGAUGAAAAAAUUAAUGAUAAUUCUAGAAGAAAAUCCUUGUGCUCAAGUCUUGCAAAGACUAAAGAUAUAUCUUCUUUUGAGGAUUUUGAAAUUUGUAUUACAAAAAUGUUAAUUUAUAUCCAUUUUCUUAUAAUCGUUUAAUUAUUGAUUAAGUUGCUGCUAUAUUGGUUGAAAAAAACAAUUAAAACAUUUUAUUUGAAAGAGAUAUCAUAAUUCAUACUCAUUUAGGAAGAUAAUAUAGAGUUAAACAUUAUUUGGGUUAUUAUGACCUUUUAAAAUAUUGUUUACUCUUUCAAAAUGGAAAAGUUGAUUGACAUCAAAAUAAAAAUAAAAAUAAAAGUUAUUUAGAAUGAUGGUAAUAAGAAUGAAGUAAAAAUAAAAAAUAUACCAUCUUUUCCUUAAGUAGAAGAAAUUUUUUAUAAAGAAUGCGAAAAUAAUUAUUGUAAAUUUAAUAUUUUUUAAAAUUAUUUGUUGUUUAAAUUUUAUAAAUUUUAUUUAGUAAAUUUGUUCUCAUUACUUUUAUCAUAUAUAUAACAAUUUUUUAAUCUAAAAUUAUAUACUUAAAAAUAAAAACGUAAGGUAAAGUUUCUUACUUUCAUUGUUGAGAGAAUACUUUAAAAUUUUCAAUAUUUUUAUAUGUAAUUAUAUUUCGUUAACAUGUAUAAAAAUACAUACACUAAUAAUUCAAUCAAAUCAUCAAUAAAGCUUAAUCUUAAUAUUUACUAUUUUUUCAUGAACUAAAAAAUUUGAAGAAUAUCUUAGAAAUAUUAACUUAAUUAUAUUGUAUAUAUUUAUUUAAUUUAGUUUUAAUACUUACAUUAGUAUAAAAAGUUAUGAUUUGAACUUAUUAUUAUGUGUUAACCUAUGGAUAGUAAAUUAAAAAUAUUUACUUAUACUUUUGAAGUCAUUUACACUUGAAUUUUUUUAUUGUUUCUUUCUCUAACUUACAAAUUACAUCAUCUAGUAUACAUCAUAGUUACUUUCUUUUUUGGAUAUAUAUGAAUUAAUAAUAACAUAGUAGUAGGUAAUUAAUAACGUAGCAAUUAAUCUUUGAAAACUUAAAUGUAAUUAGUAUAACUUAAUAGUAAAUGAAUGAUAAUUUAUUAGUCAAUAAUUAAUAAUUUUUUAGUAAAUCAGUAAUAAUAUAAUAAUAAAUGCAUAAUGUCUUAAUGGUAAAUCAAUUAUAAUAUAGUUGUAAAUGUACAACAAUACAGUACUAAAUCAAGGAUAAUUAAUAAAAAAAAGUGAUAACUUAGUAAUUAAUUAUUGAUAACACUGUAAUAAAUCAAUGAUAAUUUAAUAGUAAAUUAGUUUCAAUUUAUAAGUAAUUAAUUGAUAGUAAUAAAUUAUAAAUAACUUAGUAGUAAAUCAAUGAUAAAUUUGUAAUAAAUAAUUAAUAAUCUAAUAUGUAAUCAUUAAAAAUUUAAAAGUAAAUAAAUAUAACUUAGUAGUAAAUUAUUGAUAAAAUAAUAUUUAAUCAGUGAUAACUUAAUAGUAAAUUAUGCAUAAUUUACUAUAAGUCAAUAAUAACUUGGUAUUGAAUAAUAGAUAAUUUAGUAGUAAAUUGGUGAUAACUUUAUAGUAAAUAAUUGAAAAUUAAGUAGUAAAUCACUAAUAACAUAAUAGUAAAUUACUAAUAACGUAGUUGUAAAUCAAUAAUAAUUUAGUAGUAAAUUAGUUAAUCAUUAAUAAUUUGUUAUUAAAUCAUUGGUAAAUUAGUAGUAAAUUAAUUAUAAAUUUAUAAUAAAUCAUCAAUAACUUAGUGAUAAAUCACUAACAAUUUGAUGAUAAAUUAUUCAUAACUUAAUAGCAAAACAUUCAUAAUUAGUAGUAAAUCAUUGAUAAUUUAGUAGCAAACCAUUAAUAGCUUAGUAGUAAAUAACUGAUAACUUAAUUGUGAAUCAUUGAUAACUUUUUUUAUAUUUGAAGUUGCCAAGGAUUGAACCUUGAUUACUAGCAGAAAUGAAAUCAAAACUUUAUUUUGGGGCUAUGAUAACAUAUUAUUAACAAACUAAAUUGAAAAAUCUAAACUCGAAUAAAACAAUAAUGUUAUUAUAUAAAAAGAAAAUUAUUUGAUAUAUUAUUAGCGGACUUUUUAAAUUUCAAGUUUCAUAGUUGUAAAUGCAUAACAAUAUAUGUUAUAACAGUUUUAAGAACCGUUAGACGAAAAUUUUAAAAUUUCAAAAUAAUGGAGAGCUGCCAUCAAUCUUUUUUAACUAGAUGUGAUUUGCUACUUAAAAAGUUUAGUUUUUUAAUAAAAUCUUAAAGUUAAUUAAAACUUAUUAAAAAGUCGAAUUUUGGUUUACAAAAAAAAAAAAAAUGAAUUUAGGAGUGUGGUUAUGUGUGAGGAAUGAUCAGCACCCCCAUAAUGCUCUUAUUAUUAUUAUUAUUAUUUGAACAGUAUCAACUGAUCAUGUGUUAUCCUUUAGUUUAAUAAAAAUGAUCUUAAUUCUAAUAUUUAAAAUAAUCCCCUUAAUUUUUAUUUUUUAAAAAAAUUAAAAAAAAACUUUUUAUUUAGGAAUAAAAUGAAAAUCUUUAGUUUCAAAAUGUUUUAGUAAUUUUUCAAUAUCUAAGUGAAAUUUCAAAAAAUAUUUUUUUUACUUGGAAUUUUCAUAAUAAUCCUUAAAAUCUAGCGUAAUAUUUUUUUAUAAUAAUAAUUGUUGAGAAACCCUCCAAUAUUUAAGGCCCAAAGAAUUAUUUUUACAUUAGAAUAUUAGCUUUUUAUUCUUAAAAAGGCAAUCUUUUUAAAAUCAUCAUUUGUUAACUCAUAUAUUUUGUCAAUAACAAAAUGCAAGUGAUGUAACAUGAAGAAAAUGAAUGAUGUAAAUACAAAUUAAAAUGUAAAUAACCAAUUUGAUCCCACCUAACUUUAUCUCCUUUUUUUUUUCAUCAUUUAUUAAAAACAAAUUUACUAAUAAAAGAAAUUUUAUUUGUCAUUAUUUUGUUUUGAAAAUAUCCCUUUUAAUUCCACAUAUCUUGGCUAAAUUUAAGAAAAUUAAUUCUUCACUUAACAAAAAUUUAUAGUUAAUUUUUGGUAAAAAUGAAAAUAAUAUUCCUUGGAAAAAAAUGAUUUAAAUUCCUUCCAAUAUCUAGGUAGAGUUUCCAAACAUUUAUCUUUUUAGAAAUAUUUUAUUAUAUUUAAAAAGAAAAUUUUUUGCCAUUUCACAUUUAUUAUAAAUACCUAAAAUGUGUAUAUGACAAUAUAAGCAUAAAUUAAAUAAUGCAUGGAUUUGUAUUUUUUUAAUGGAUUUUAUUUAGGAUGAAAAUGGCAUUUUGGUGUUAAAAAAUAUUUAUUUUUAUUUUUUAACUCCCUAAUAACUAGGUGGAAUUAAAAAAUAAUUUGAAAAUUUCACAAAAUAACUUUUACAAAGAAUGAAUAUAGUAUUCCUUUGUAAACAUAAUUAUUUAGAUUCCCUUUAAUAUCUAGGUGGGAUUUCAAAAAUUAUUUUUUACUUAAAAAUACCAUCUUCCCUUUUUAUUUCAAAAAAUAAUCACUUUAAUGAAAAUUACUUUUAAAUUAUAAAAUAAUUAUUAAAAAUUUAUUAUCAUUUUUCUUUUUUUUUUUUGUCAAUGUCAAUAAUCCGUAAACAAACCUAUUAUAAAAAUAUCUAAAAUAUGAGGAAAAUAAAUAUACACACUAUUAUAAUAAGAUAAAAGGGGUAAAAGAUAUACCAAAUAGAGUUUUCUUUGAUCUUGAACCCAAAAUCAACCAAAAUCAAAAUGGCCUAACUUUGUUGGGCUCUUCAAGAAUUGAUAUAGCCCAACUUAAGUAGCAAAUAGGUUGGGUUGGGCAUGAACCAGGUACAGGUCUAGGUCAGUGUGUUAGGUUAGUUUGGCCUAUUCUUUUUUUUUUAUGCUUUCCUAAAAAUUGAUUCCUUUUUUCUAACUUUUUUUCUCUUGUUUUUAUUUUUUUUUAUUGUUCUUUAUUUUUCUUCUCUUUUCUCCUUUCUGUCUUUUUUUCUUCUUUUCCUUUUUCACGUCAACAUUGAAUAGGCCUCUUUUUUUUUCUUCUUCUUUUCUCUUUUUUUUCCCUUUUUCCCUACUGACUCUCUCAAUCAAUGCUGAAUCAACCUCUUCUUUUUUAUUCCUUCUUUUUCUUCUUUCUUUUUCUUCAUUUUUCCCUUUUUUUUCUUUGUUUCAGUCGAAUGGCCUAAGGAAUCACUUGAAUCAUUUUUUGAAAUCUUUUAUUACUAGGUUUUUUACUAAGCGAGGACUAUGUUAUAUUUGUGAUUUUUUUUAUUUUGUUGGCCUUUAGUUAUUGAUGGUAGUGGGUGGUUGUGAAGGGAAAAUAUUACUUUUUUUUAGGUUUUCAGCUUACAAAGAGAUGGUGAGGGGCUUUGAUUAGGCUUGUUCUCAGUAUGGUGGUUUAAAGGGUAGGUAUAGUGGUUGAACUAGUAUGGUGCGAUGGUGUGGUGGUUUUGGUUGCUUGGGUGCCAUGUUUAUUGUGGCUUGAUUUAUUUUUUUUAUCUUUUUGUUGUGAGUUUCUUUUAUGGAGGGAUGAGCUAUGGUAAUGGAGGUGUUGGUGCUAUCGGGCAAAGUGGGAGUUUGUAAGAGGGUUGAGGAUCUCAGUUAGUAAAAGGCUUGUAAAUGGUGGUGUUGUUUCAGUUGAUUAAUUGAUUUACUGAAAGGUGGGUUUUUAUUUUCUUAGGCAAAAAGAUGUAGGGAUUGAGAAAUUUUGCUCUUUUUCUUUUUAUGAAUUUUCCCUAUUUUUUGUAAAAUUUUUCCCCAUGUUAUAGACUAAGGCUGAAUAGGCUAGUUAUACUAGCUUCUUGGGUCAAGAAGCUUGCUGAUUUUUGUACAUUGGGUCUAUGGUCAAAUUAGGAGGGAAAAAAAUGCCAAGGUAAAAUUGGUAAGGCAAUCUGGGAAGAAGAGUCUUACCAUGGCCGACCAAGCUUUUAACACAUUUUUUUUUAAUUUUCAAUUGAUUAAUUCUAAAAAAAAUGCUUUAGGCUUUAAAAAUGAAAUUAGACCUUUAUAAGCUCUGGGUUUUCAAGCCCGUAUAAUCUAACUUAGAAUCAAUCCAAAUUAAAUUGGAUCGAGCAUGAUCCAUGCAAAAUGAUCCAAAAAUGGUCCUAAACAAAGAUUAAAUGACCUUAAUUAGAUAAAUUCAACUAAAGCAUUUAAGUAGGCCUAAAUCAAAAAGUUAAGAUCAAGAUUGAAAAUCAAACAAAUUCAAAUCAAUUAAGACCAAAAUAGGUGUUUACAAUUGCUUUUCUUUGCACAUUACUGAAAAUCAGGAAUGGGUAAAGACAUAUAACAAUUUUGUCCGAAGUCAACGAUUCGAUGAUUUUUUCAAAUGUUUUUUCUUAGUUUUUUGAACAUUUGACUUUUUUUUGGAAUUUUUUAAUUUUUUUUGUUUUUAUGAUUUUUACUUUUUUUUUAGAUUUUUCUUUGAAUUUUUUUUUUGAAUUUUUUUCUUUUUUUGUUUUUUGUUUUUAAAUUUUUAAGCAAUCUCAAUGACUAACGCAAUGAAUUAGAAAUUAAUUUGAUGACUUCUCUUAUCAAAGGCUUUACCUUUUUGAAAAUAAAUUUAAAAUCUCUUUUAUCAGACGCUUCACAACUUAGAAAAAAUAAAUCUAAAAACUCUUCUCAUUAGAUAUUGUCAAUUUUUGAAAAUAAAUCUAAAAAAACUCUUCUCAUUAGAAACUUUAUCACUUUGAAAAUAAAUUAAAAACUCUUCUUAUCAGAGGCUCUACAAGUUGAAAAAAAAAUCUAAAAACUCUUUUCGUCAGAGGCUUCACAACUUUUAAAAAUAAAUUUAAAAAGCUUCUCUUAUAAGAGGCUUCACAAUUUUAAAAAUCUUACCAUGAAAUGCUUAUUUAAACAAAGGCUUUACAACUUAAAAACCUUUUCUUGGAAAUCUUGAAACUUCUCAACAUUUUUGUUUUUAAAACUUAUCUAACUAUAACCAUUUAUGUUUUCGAUUUUUUUUUACAACUUUCUUGAGAUUGAGCCUAGAGGUCUUACAAAUCUUGAUAGAUUUUGCUCAAAAGAUUUAUAAUCUUACUCAGAGAACUUUAAAGAUUAUGUAAGAAGGUAUUACAAAUCUUAACACUCAAACAAAUUUAGCUUGAAAGACUUAUGAAUCUUGCCUAUAUGUUUUACAAAUCUUGAUACAUAAAUAAAUUUAGCUUGAAAAACUUACAAAUCUUGUCCAUAAGACUUAAUGAUUAUGUCCAGAGGCCUUGCAAAUCUCAAUACCUAUGAAUGCUCCUCUUAUUAGAGGGUCUACAACUUUAAAAAUUUAAAAUAUUCUACCCAAAGAACUUAUAAAUUGCUUUUAUAUUUGCUUGGAGGCCUUAGGGAUUAUACCCAAAGGACUUACAAAUUGUUCUAAUCUUUGCCUGAAGGUCUUAGCAACAAAUUUCUCAUCUUGAUGUUCAAAGGUCUUGGGAAUAAAUUUCUCAUCUUGAUGCUUGGAGUUCUUGGGGAUUAUGCCCAAAAAAUUUACAAAUCAUGACAUUCAUGAAUGCUCCUCUUAUUAGAGGUUUCACAACUUUAAAAUUUUAAAAUAUUUUGCCUAAAAGACUUACAAAUAUUUUCAGGAGAACUUAAAGUUUAUACUUGGAGGGUUUACAAAUUUCAACACUAAAAUAGAUUCAAUUUAGAAGACUUAUGAAUUUUGCUUAGAGGGCUUAAAGAUUAUGCUUGAAGGUCUUAUAAAUCUCGACACAUAUGAAUGCUUCUUUCAUUAGAAGCUCCACUACUUUAAAAAUUUUAAAUAUUCUACCUAGAGAACUUACAAAUCUCAUAUUUGUUUGGAGGUCUAGGGGAUUCAUUUCUAAUAUUGAUGCCAAAAAUCUUCAAAAUUUUCUUAUCUUGAAUAUCUUAAAAGUUUUAGAUUUUUUUUUUUUUAAAACCAUUAUGAAUCUUGCCUAGAUAACUUGGAGAUUAUGCUCACAGGUCUUAUAAAUCUCAACACAAUGAAUGCUCCUCUAUAUAGAGGGUCUAUAACUUUAUCCUUUUCAUUUGCCAAAUCAUCUCAUCCUCAAGGCCAAAGCAAUUUUUCAAAGUUCCUUUUUCGAGUUUGAAACACUUUCCACUUCUAAAUUUCUAAACUUUCUACCUUAAAAGCUUAUCACUUUUUAUCCCAAUAAGUUUUCUUUCAAAUCUUUCAAUCCCCUCAAUAUCUCAUUCCUUAAAUUCCAUUUUUUUGCUUUCAAUCCAUUCUUUCAAAAUUUUCUUUUUAAUAAACAUUUUAAAUUUUAAAAGACAUAUUUUCUCUUUCAUUUUUCUCUUUGUUCUCCUUUCACUUUCACAAUCUUUAUUUUUUUUUGCACAUUUUUAUUUCUAUAUAUUUUUUUAAUUUUUUUCUUUCAUUUUUUUUACUCCACCUUUUUUCCAAAUGUACAUAGCUCUCUAAAUAUCAUACAUGAUCCACAUGCACAUAGGGUAUGGACAAAAGAUGAGAAAUAUAAAAACAUAGGCUGGUUUUUAUUAAUGUUGUGCAAAAAAAAAAAGAUACUAUAAGGUUCAAAAAGGGUGACUAUGAAUAUUCAUAUAAAGGUCGGCUUGAAAGGCUCAAUCGAUCCGAAGAUAGCCUAACUCAUCUACCUAACUAAAUGCAAUCUAAGAUUUUACCUCAAGAGAUGAUUAAAUAAAUUCUAAAACAUGAACAUAACGCCAAUAAUGAAUGCAAAAAUUUUUGCAUGAUCACAUGAUCAUUCAUCAAAUCACAUGCAAAUCAAUGAUUAACAUAAAUACUCACAUAUGAAAUUUAACAAUUAAGUAGCAACAAACACACAAAUUCAUCUCAUGUUUUGCAUAACAUUUAUUCUUUUCCUAUGCUAUAAUCAAAGUCAAUUGUGAGGUCAUAGAAAAUCAACCAAUGGAAGGAUACUUCUGACCCAUAGUAAAGCAAAUUAAGCAUAAUUUUCAAGAAAAUUUUUUGAAAAUUUGAAAAAAUUUUAGCCAAAUUUUUUCCACCCCAAACUUAAAGUGCAUAUUAUCCUCAAUGUGUAGGCAAUAUAGCAAUUAAGUGCAGAAAGUGAAUGAAAAUCCCUUGAUUGCUAUUGAUUGCCAUUUUAACACCUUCAAAAUUGGCAACAUUUAUUAUUACCUGUAAAACAAAAAACACAAACUAAUCAUAAACACACCUGAAAAUAUAAAAGAAAAAAUAUAAUAAAUUAAACAUUUGGGUUGCCUCCUAAGAAGCACUGAUUUAUAGUCAAUAGCUUGAUUAUCACUAGGGUUAAGUAAUCACCCCACAUUUGGUUCCAACAUCCAUCCAUUUUCUAAUCUUCUUUCUUUUCACCAUAUCUUCAACAAUAAACUUUGAUUGGUGGUGCUAGACAGAAAGUUUUGGCCUUUCAUCUGGCUAGAUCUUAUAUAUGUCGCCUACUAAAUUGGGAAUAAUGGUUACUUAAAAAAAAUUUGGAAUAACAAGUACCACCAGGGAUGGAACAAAUUGAGGAAGUGUAAAGAAUGAGGUGUCAAAGGUGUUAGGUUGAAGGAAAGAAGAUGGAGAGCCUUUACAUUUUUAAUAAACUCUUUGACUAUAUGUUUAUCCUUAUCAUUUAAGAAUUUCUCAAUUUCAUCAUCAUCGAGCUCUUCAUUAUUAUCAGCCUUUGGAAUAUUUUUCAAGAAUUUCUCAAACUCAUCAUUAACCUCUCCACUAGGCUCUAUAAGACAUGCAGUUACGGUGUAUCUAGAUUUUUCUUUAAACACCCCUUAUCAACAUAUUUAUCCACCACAUUCAUUUUUAACAAAUCAGGCCUUGUUUAGGAAAGUGCUACAGAAAUGAAAUGGGUAUCCUAAAGGGCUCAAAUAUUUUUUCAACAGUAGAAUAAAUAUUAUCCCUUACUUGAAUUUUAUAUUCCUGAACUAGUCCAUCAUCAUGACUUUGGUCUUUCUACCAAACUUCAGUUUCCUCUAAAAACUCUAAAGGACAUAGCUCCACAAAAUCACCACAAAACUCUUUAUCUUUUCUAGACUCAAGAACAUGACACAACUCUUGAUCUUACCUUUUAUCAUCUUGAUUUCUACUCCAAUCUGUAGUUUCUUCUAAAGGUUUUUAUAGGUCGAGAAUUUUCAUGAUCAAGUUCCCUAUAGUAUUUUUCAUUUUCUCUUAAAGGCAAGGACUUGGUAUCACAAGGUGAGGUAUCUUGAGGAUAAGUGUUAAGGGUGUUAUCAAAUUGACCUACAUGAAUCUCUAGAUUAUUGAUGGAAGUUAUUUGUUCUUGAAUAAAAGUUUCUUGCAUUUGAAGUAUAGCAAACUGUUGUGAUGCAAAUUUGUUAAGCAUCAUUUCUUAGGAUUGCGUAUGCUUUUGAAGAGAAAAAAAAUUAUGGUGAUGAGAAUUGUUAUGGUAUGAAAAAGUAAUCUAGUGAUGGAUGGUGUGAUGGAUAUUGUCGAUCUUGAGAAUAUUAAGGAGAUAGGUCAUAAGGUGGAGAAUAUUGUAGUGGAUUAGGAUACUGCGAUGAAAGAUAUUAAGGUGGGAAAAUUUUAAUUGGGUAAGUCAAGGAAUACAUAGGUAUAGAACUGAAUGACUGCUCUUAACUCAUAUUGUAUGAGGGAUUCAGAUGAUUUUUCCAUCAUGGAGUGUAGGUGUUUGGACAUAAUUCAAAUUGUUGACUAUUGGGUAGCCUACAAAUUGCAAGUUCGUUGGUAUUUAGACACCUAUCACUAAAGUGAUCUCUACCAUAACUAUCACAAUAUGGAAAUGGGCUCAAGGAUGGAUGGACAAGACUAGGGUUAUAUUGAGCUCUAAUGGCAGCUAUUUUAUCAAUUAGAGUUGCUAUAUAAGAGGUUAGGGCUUUAAUAGGAUUAGGUUCACACUCAUCGGUAACACUCCUAAACAUUGAACUCGCAUAUGACCAUUAGUUUUGAAAUAAUGACUCAAAUGGGUAAGUGAAAUCUUUAAAGGUAUUGUGCCCUAAAGGUUCAACCAUGGUGUUUUGAAAUCCAUUAAUGUGAAAUAAAGUAUUAUCACUCCAAAACAUAGGCUCAGAAGGACCUAACAAGUUAUCAGAAUUCAUUGAAAAGAAACUAAAUAUACAAAAGCUAAGAAGAAAGAAAAAUGAUUUGAACUACAUUUAGGUAUGCUUGGUAUUAAUAUUAGCACUAAAAUACAACUAUAAUCUUGGCAACGACGCCAAAAACUUGUUGCACAUACUGCAACUAUACAAGUUGUACAAGUAAUAAAAUAGAAGAAUUAACUCCAAGUAUCCUCUCUCGAGGAUUGUGGUGGUAUCUAGAGCUAAUUACUGAAAUCAAGCACCUUAGAUAUAUUCCAAUCUAACAAAAAUUAAAGAGCUUUAAAAUUUAAAUAAACAUUAAAUUAAAAUUACAAAUAAUUAAAAUGCAUGAAAAUAUUAAAUUGCAUAAAUUUAAAGUGCAUGGAACAUAAAUUGCAUGAAAAGUAAAUAAAGCAUGAAAUUUAGAGAUAGCGACUGCCAUGAAGAAAUAGGCAGUGCGAUUUGGUGCUCUUCCAAGCUUGUUUUGUGUGUUUAAACCUUCAACCUUUCAUAUAAAAUCAUAUAUUAGAUAAAGGAAAUAAAGAAAGAUGGAAUUGGGACAAAAUACAAAGGAAAAAGCUAGAAGAAAGAUGAUAAAUCAAUAGCCAAAUUGCUGCUACUUGGAGAAAGAAAAAUGGAGUAGUAAAAUGGAGUCCUGUUUGGUUUGAUCCUUUCCCUCAUUUCUUUCAACCAUAAAUUGUUCUCUUAUAGUAGCUUCUUAGGUGAUUUUUUUAUGGUCAAAUGCUCUUGCAAGAUAGAGCCAUGCUAGCUACUAAAGUGGAACAAGUCUGCAUGUCAUUUUUAGGAAUCAAUAUGAUAGUCCUUUUACUAACGUAUUUGGCCUUUAUCCAAUUGGGCAUACCAUUUGACUGCUAACCCUGUUUGGCUAUCCUAAAAGUAAUGAAUCAAGAGCUUAUCCAUGGGUAUGACCCAUCAUUUUUUGAUAGAACAUCGUGAGAUGAGUGGAUGGGCACUUAGUUUCAUCAUUUUUUCAAAAUUUGAAACUUUGACUGUUGCAGGGAUGAUCAAGUUGGCCACCAGACUGAGCUCAUUCAUGUCAACACUCUUAAAUUCUCUUUUAUUGCCCAAAGCCACAUCAUUUAGCAGUUCAUACUUGUUUUGCAUUUUCAUGUUCUCAGUUGACUCAGGCAUGUUUCUCAACUUUCUCAAUUCUCUAAGAUCAUCUAAGUACGCUACUAGGAUAAGAUUAACAGGAUCGGAUCCCAUGUUGAUAUUUACAUGAACUAGUGGUUGUUUGCUAGAUGGACCCUUAUAGGUAUGAAGUUGCCUUCUUAAUAGUCGAUAUAUGCCUUGGAAAACUUUUGCAUAGGUUGGAGUGAAUCCUGAUGGGUAUAAUGAUUCUUCAACAUUUGGCCUCUUCCCUUAGUUCAGAUGUAUCAAUCAUUCAUUUAGCUUUCAACAAACCUAACAGUAGUCAAUUUAGUUCCAUCAUUUGUCUAUCCAUACUCUUUUACAUCUCAACCAUCCUCUUUUUAAUCUGCUCUCGAGCUUUUUUGACUUUUUCAAUUUUGGCCCUUUGAUUGUCCAUGUUGUGUAUAGAACUCUUCUCAAAAUAUUUAUCAAAGAAUCAACAUUAUCGAACCUUUAUUAUUGAAAACGGUGAGAUCAAAUUUACUUUACAUGAUAGUGAAUGUGCAUGACAUGAUCAUGGAUACAUGAGUGGUGCAAAAUGUUAUUGAGGUGUAUGGAUGCUUGAAAGAUGAAUAUUUACAUACAUAUGAUGCCUUAAUGAACAAAAAUAUACUACCUAUGUAAAUGUGUAUGCAUGAAACACCGUGUCAUGUUUUAAUGGUGGUGAAAUGUGUUCACAUGAAAUACAAUUCGUAUAAUGCAAGUUUUAUCAAAAUCAUAUCUUUCGUGAAUCCACAUGACUGAAACACAAUGCCACACUUCUUGAGUAAUAUGAUAUAUAUAUGAUUUAUGAAACACGUUUAAAUGAAAUACACUGACAUAUUAUAUGCAUGACAAUAUAUGUAUACACGAAAUGCAAUGCAUGCACUAUGCAAAUUUGAUGAAAUUGACACUACCAUUUAGAUGUUCAUAUAAUGAAAUGUAAGUACAACCUUAUUUUUUUCAAGUACAAGACAUGAUAAAAAGGAACAUAAAAAGGAACAAAUGAAAUGUAAAAGGUAAAAUAAUGUUCAAAAUCAAAACUUUUUUUCUUUCUUUUUUCCCUUUUUUUUUAUUGAAAGAAAUAUAAACUUUAAGAAAAUAUUCCCUAUGAAAAAGAAACAAGCACAUAAAAUUACCAAAGGUCAAGGAUUUUUUCUCGUUUUCACUUUUAUUAUUUGGCCAAUAACCCAAAGAAAUUAAGAAAAACUUUCCUUUUUGAAAUUUAUUUUGACAAUUUUCAUUUUUUUUUUUGGUUUGUUGGAAAAUACACAAAAAUUUUGUUCUUUUAAAAACAUUUUUAAGGAUGCAAAUUUUGUACAAACACUAGAUAAAUCGAAUAGCAUGUUAGAAGAAAAUUUUAUUGGAGGAAUGUUUUUCUUUUAUUUCAUUUUUCAAAAUUUUAAUUUUAUUUGCAUUAUUUUUACCCUUGAAUACAAAUGGUACCAAAAUGUUGCUCAUGUGUCCUAUUUUGGAUAAUUUUUACAAAAAGGGUUGGCAUAACUCUACCCUAUGCUGGCCCCUAUGCUGGCCCUCUAAGGUUUAUUAUAUAAUGAGUUUGAAUUUAUACGUCUAUAAGUUUUCAAAUUGUUCCUUACAUCAUCAUCUAUUACAGACUAGUAAGGCACCCAAAUCGUUACCCAUUAUAGAUUACAAAUAGUAAGAGUUCAAUUUGAAUAAGAGGGUUUUAUUAGCCAUUGUGGAGAUAUUCACCUCAUGAGAGCGUAAGUGCUUCACUACCUCUUAAAAGGAUAAAAGCUCGAGUAUAGAGCUUAUGCAUACAAUGUACAUAUAAUUGUGUGCGCGAAGGAACAAACAAAAUUUUGACAUUUCUUUACCACAAAUAUCCUUAUCCUAAAUUCCUCACAAUUUAUUGCAAAAUAUUUCACAAUUAAGACAAGUAAGUCACGAUAUAAAUAAAUGUGAAUGCAAAAACAAUAUUAUUAUUUAGUUUGCUAAAAUUUUCCUGCUUUCAUUUUUGAUUUGUUUUUUAAGAAAAAUGAAAUAAGGGAAUUAAUAUUAAAUAUCAAUUAAAACCACUAAAUCAAGACAUAGGAUAACACAUGAUCAAAUUUGGCCUAACUUUCUAAAAGAAAUCAUAUCUCCAGUGGAGUUGUCAAGCUGUCAUAAUGGUUUUGAAAAUUGCUAAACAAAAAUUUUAAAAUUUUAAAAUUAGGGGGAAUCGUCACCAAUAUUUUUUGACUAGGUGUGAUUGGUCACCUAAAAAUUUUAUCAUUUUAAUAAAAUCUUAAAAUUAAUUAAAACUUAUUAAAAAAAUUUUUGGUCUAAGAAAAAUGAAAAUUGGGUUUAGAGUAUGAUUACAUGUGGGGCAGGAUUAACAUCCUUACAAUGCCUUUUUUUAAAAAAAGGAUACCAAUUGAUCAUGUGAUAUCCUUUGGUUUGAUAAAAUGGUUUUAAUUCUAAUAUUUAAAAUAAUCCUUUUAUUUAUUAUUUUUUACAAAAAAAAUUUUUUUUAACUUUAUAUUUAGGAAUAAAAUGAAAAUUUUCAGUUCUGAAAUGGUUUCUAAAUUUUUCAAUAUCUAGGCAAAAUUUUAAAAAAUAUUUCUCUACUUGAAAUUCUCCUAAUAAUAUUUAAAAUUUAGCAUAAUAUUCCAUUAUAAUAAUAAUAAAAGUAACUUACAUAAAUAUAUCUUGAGGUUUAACGCGAUUUGAGUUUGCCCCUAAGGUUUAAAAAGUAACACUUAACCACCUUGAGCUAUGUAUCCGUGACAUUCCGUUAGUUUUCUUUAAUGCCAUUACUAUCUAAUUAAUAAACUCUAACUCUUUCCUCAAAAAUUUUAUUUGUUUGCUAUUUUUUCAAUUUAAAGGAAAAUUAGGCUAGAAGCAUGAAUUCUUCACAAUCUUUAGCAAAUGGUGGAUCAAAUGAUGGAAAAGUGUGCUAUUGUGGUGUGGAAUUACUUGUACGAACAUCUGUAAUAAGGAACAACUGUGGGCAAAAAUUUUAUAGGUGUGACAAAUUUGAGGUGAGAUGUACUUCAUUUAAUCUUGAAAUAGCUUGUAGGAUAAUUGAAAUAACGUAUUUAAUCUUACAUUUGUUGUUAAGGAAGUUGAAAAUGUGAUUUUUUCUAGUGGGUGGAUGAAAUGUCAUGUGUUUUCUACCAAAAAAGAGAUAGUUAAAUUGGAAGAAACAAUCAAGAAAAUGGAAUAGGAGAUUUUCAUGUCAAAUUCAAAGAAGCAAGAAUUAUUUGAAGAAUUAGUUUUAAUUUCAGCAAAAAAGAUGAGUUUGCAAGAAGAAUUAGUUAAAGCAAUAAAAAGAGAGCUGAAAUUGAAGGAAGAACUUGCUAACACUCACAAUAGAGGAAAAAGUGGGGUGUUUUUAAUUUGUCUAAAUGUUCUAGUUUUGCUUAUAGUAAUUUUAUAUGAUCACUUUAAUUUAAGAAGUUGUAGAAGCCAAUUUAUGGAAUUGAAGAAUUGAAAUUUCAGUGUUGAUCUUAGUAGGAAAAGUUAAUGCUUUAUGUGUACCGAGUGUUUAUGGAAAUGACCCAAUAAAUUCUAUGAUUAAUAAAUUUAAUUUUCUUCUAUUGUAGCUAUGUUGAAUCAUUUCUUCUAUAGUAGCUAUGUUAUUUGAUUUAUAACACAACUAGCAAACUUGUAAAAAGCUAACUUUCCAUCAACUCCCACACUUUCUAGCACCCAAUAACCACAUUUGUAAACAACCAUAUUUCCAUCAUCAACAUUGUUUGAUUAAGAAACAUAGCAAAGACCAUGAAGGCUUUCAAUUCACAUUGUGUUAGCCUUGAAUUGAUAAAACAUUUUGAAAUGACAAAAUAAAAGUUUGCUAAAAUUGAAUUAACAUGAUUUGAACUUAAAUUGAAUACUUUCUUAGCUUUUAAUCUAGUCAAAAAUAUGUUCAAAUUCAUCUAGCAUGUUUUAAAAAUAAAAUUGGGCAAAAUAGCGUAAAAGGGAUCGAUUCCCCCUCAAGAAGAUCAAUUGAUUUUUUAGCCAAAAAGGAUUUUCUUGCAAAUUUCCUGAAAGCUAAUCGAUUUUGUCCUUGUAUGGAUCGAUUGGUUCUAGGUUUUUAAAUAUAGGAUCGAUCCCCUUUUAAAGCGAUCGAUUGGUUAUGCCUUUUUAUGCAAAAAUUUGCUUGUAUUUUUACUAACCCAAUUGAUCCCCCUAAGAGGGGAUCGAUCCUCUUGUGCCCAAAAUGCUUACAACGGUUAUUUUUGUCUAAAAUUUUGUAGAAGCUUCAAACAAUUAAUGCAAACAAUGGCUAUCUUCCAUUUUCGACAUAUAAAUGAAGGUCUCCCACAUUAUUUAGAGUAACUUUAAGCUAAGAAAACUUAUUGCUUCCAUCUAACAUCUUUACUAAGCCUUAAAAAGCAUCUUAGUGUGAGAAAAGUGCAAAAAUUCUUGUUGUAUCAAAUUUUCUCUUGAUAUUCUUCUUAAUCUUGAUUUGUGCUUCAAAUUAGCAAACAUCCAACCUUAGAGAGGUUUUUUGAGUUUACAAAAUACUUCAAAAAGUAGCAUUGUGAGGUUGUAAGCUUAAGGGGGAGGAUAACCCUUAAGAAAUUGUGUUGUUGAUUGUAUAAAACUUUGAAAAGUUAGGUUGUAACUUUCAACACAGAGUAGAUUGAAUUAUUUGGCAAGUAAGGCUAAGGGAGAGGAUUUAGUUGCCUAUAGGAACGGUCGAACCUUUAUAAAUUUUGGUGUUUGAUUUUCUACCUCUAUCACUUGCUUUUAAGAUUAUUAGUACUCAUAUUUGUUAUGUUUACUUGUUUAAAAAAAUUGAUUUAUGAUUUUUGUGCUUGUUGGAUAUUGAAUUCACAAAAAUUUACUAUUAACAAAUUUACUCUCCUCUUGGUUUAAUUAAAGUAUUUAAGUUAACAAUUGAUAUCAGAGCUAGUAUUAUAUUUUGUAUGUCUAACAACCUAAGAGUGAUCUUAUAAAUAGCGAAAAGAAGUAUGGUGAUCAAUGUGGAGUAAUCAUCUUCAAGCUACAACAAAUAUAGUGGGUAACAAGAAAUAUGUUUCAUGAAAAAUGAAACGAUUGCUACGUCUCUUAGAAGUGAAGGCCAUUCAAUUGAAAGACCUCUUUUUUUGUUGGUGACAACUACUUAUAUUGGAAAACUAGGAUAAAAUUAUUUAUUCAAGCCAAUGACUAUGAAAUUUAGAGGGUCAUUGUAAAUGGUCCUCAAAUUCUAAUAAAGAUAGUGGAUGGUAGAGAGGUGAUCAAGUAAGAAAGUGAAUAGAAUGCCAAUGAUAUGAAGAUGGCUCAACAGAAUGCCAAAGCAAUUCCUACACACUUUUGUGUUUUGGGGCCUAGUAAGUACAAUAGAGUUUCAUUAUGUGAAAAGGAAAAGAAAAUUUAAGACAAGUUGGCCAUCACUCAUGAAGGUACUAAUCAAGUGAAAGAAACCAAAAUUGACAUGCUUACUGAAGAGUAUAAGCUAUUCAAGAUGAAAUCAGAAGAAACCAUUAGUGAAAUGUCAAACCACUUCACUGACAUUAUUAAUAGUUUGAAGGCUCUUGGGAAGACUUACUCAAAUGUAGAGAUGAUGAAAAAAAUUUUAAAUAGUCUACCAGAGAGCUAAUAAGCUAAGAUGACAGCCAUUGAAAAGUUUAAAGAUUUUCACAUACUUUCUUUAGAUGAACUCAUAGUCUCUCUUUUUACCUAUGAGAUAAAGCUCAAAAGAGGAUAAAAACCAAUAAAGAAAGGUGGUAUUGCUCUCAAAUCAACCUUUCAAGAAGAUGAAGAAAAACUUGAGCAAGAUGAGGUUGAUGAAGAUGAAGAAAUGACCAUGUUUGUAAAAAAGUUCAAGAAGUUCAUGAAGAUGAAUAUGUUCUCAAACAAAAUAAGACCAUAAAAAGAAAUGAUCAAAAGGGAAUCAAGUAGAAGAGAAAUGGAUCAAAUUGUUUGCUAUGAUGCAACAGAGAGGGUCAUAUCAAAGUCGAUUGUCCUUUAUGAAAGAGGCAAAACACAAUGAAGCCAAAGAAUAAAGCAAUGGUUGCAACGUGAAGUGCUAGUGACUGCUUCGAUGAUGAAUCAAAUGAGGAAGAAGUAGCCAACCUAUGUCUUAUUGCUUUUGAUAAGCCCAAGGUAAUUUUUAAUUCAAAUGAUUUAAGUUCAUACAUAUUAAUUGCAAGAUGCUUUUUAAUGAAUUAGCUAUAAAAUUUGAAAGCAUGAAACUGAAGUAUAGGAAAAUGAUUUGUAAGUUAAAGGUAGUGAAUGAGCUUUUGACUAAAGCAAAGGAUGACAUAAAAAAGGAAAUUUGAGCUUUUACAAUUGAAUGUUGAUGAUUUGACUAAGAAAAAUGAGAAUUUGCAUAACUUAUUUUUUAGAUUUUAUAUGGGACAUCAAAAACUCAAUGACAUGCUUGAAACACAAAAAACAUUCUUUGAUAAAGAUGGAUUAGGCUAUAAUGUGGUGACAAAGAGACUCAUUUGAAGAAAUUUCCUUACUAGGCCAAAUAUUCAUUAACACAUGUACAUAUUGUCAUUAAAUUAAGGUCAUCUUAAGGGGGACAAUAUUGUUCCUUAAGAAAGUCACUCAUAUAAGUAAACUCAUUAAGGAGUGUUGGAUCUCUAAAAGGAGUUAGCAACGAUCUGAAGAUGGAUUACUAGGAUGAAGUGGAUUCCAAAAGGCACAAGAAUUAAUGAGUGUUAACAACAAAUCAAAGUCUCAAGAAAGGUUAUGGGUACCCAAAGACAAACUUUGAUUAUAUUUUUGUAGAUGGAUGAACAUUGCUAGCAGGUAAAUUUAAGCAAGAACAUAAUCCACUGCGAUACCAUAGAUAAUAGGAUUCAUCGAUAGCAUGUGAUCGGAGACAAGGCUCAAUUCAAGGAUUUAAAGGCUAAAAAUGAAGGAGAUGUUACAUUUAGAGACAACUCCUAAGGCCAAGUUGAAGGGAUUAGCUUCAUUGAUAACAAUUCUUCUACUACUAUUAAAAAUAUUUUACUUGUGAAAAGAACCAAGCGUAAUUUACUUAGUAUUAGUCAAUUGUGUGACAAAAGACUUAGAGUUGUAUUUGAAUCCAUGUGCUGUUGAGUGAUUGAUAUCAAGACUAACAAACUUGUUUUUGUUUGACAUCAUCAAGAAAAUGUUUAUGUGGUACAUUUGGAUGAUCUAUUUUUAAAAAUAUUUGCUUUAUGGCUAAAAAAAAUAAAAGUUGGAUUUAGCAUAGAAGACUUGGACAUGUAAGUAUGCACGUAAUUUCAAAACUUUUUCAAAAUGAUUUAGUCGUUGGUUUACCAAAAUUGAAAUAUGAAAAUGAUAAGGUUUGUAAUGCAUGUGCUCAAGGAAAACACAAAAAAAUCCCUUUCAAACUUAAGAAUUAUAUUUCAACUAUUAGACCUCUUCAACUAUUUCAUAUUGAUCUUUUUGGUCCUACGAGGACAAUAAGCCUUGGUGGAAAAUAAUAUGAGUUUGUUAUUGUUUAUCAUGUUACUAAAUAUACAUAUGUUCUCUUCUUGCAUUCAAAGAAUGAAGCUUUGGAAAAAUUUAUCACUUUUAGCAAACAAAUACAAAAUGAGAAAGAUUAUUCAAUUUUUAGUAUAAAAAAUGAUCAUAGAAAAGAAUUUAAAAACCUUGGUUUUAAUUUGUUUUAUAGUGAAAAUGGUAUUAGCCAUAAUUUUUUUGCUCCUAGAAUUCUUCAACAAAAUGGGGUAGUAGAAAGGAGAAAUAGAACUUUAGAAGAAAUGGCUAGAACCAUGCUUUAUGAAAAUAAUUUACCUAGAUAUUUUUGGAUAAAAACCAUAAAUACCUAUUGUUAUAUUAUAAUUAUGUUGCUUUUCUCUCUCACAUUGAACCUAAGAACAUACAUGCAGCAUUUGAAGAUAAUCAUUAGAUAUUGGCUAUGUAAGAGGAAUUGAACCAAUAUGAAAAAAGUCAAGUGUGAAAUAACCAAUAUGAAAAAAGUCAGUGUGGAAUCUUGUACCUAAGCCUAGUGAUCAUUCCAUUAGAGGAACUAAAUGAGUUUUUACGAAUAAAAUGGAUAAGCAUGGCAGUGUUGUUAAAAACAAAGCUAGGUUAAUGGCUCAAAGGUAUAGUCAAGAAGAAGGAAUUUACUAUGAUGAAACUUAUGCUCCGAUUGCAAGAUUAGAAGUCAUUAAAAUGUUACUUGCAUUUGCAUGUUUCAAAGAUUUCAAGCUCUUUCAAAUGAAUGUCAAGAGUGCAUUUCUAAAUGAUUUUAUAAAUAAAGAGGUGUAUGUAGAGCAACCUCUUGAUUUUGAAAAUCUUCAAUUUCCAAAUCAUGUUUAUAGAUUGACAAAAGCUUUAUAUGACUUAAAACAAGCUCUUAGAGCUUGAUAUGAAAGAUUAUCAAAGUUUUUAAUUGAAAAUGAUUUUAAUAGAGGAAAUGUUGAUACUACACUUUUUAUUAAAACAAAAAGAAAAGACAUUCUCAUUGUGUUAGUUUAUAUUGAUGAUAUUAUAUUUGGUGCUACUAAUGAAGUUCUUUGCCAAGAAUUUGCUAAAACUAUGCAAGAUGAAUUUGAAAUGAGCAUGACGGGAGAGCUUACAUUCUUCUUGGGAUUACAAGUAAAGCAAACAAAAGAUGGUACCUUCAUCAAUCAAGCUAAAUACAUCAAGGACUUGCUAAUAGGGUUUGGAUUGGAAGAAUCAAAGCCUUACUCAACACCUAUGAGCACUUCAACAAAACUUGACAAGGAUGAAGGAGGUAAAUGUAUUGAUUUUAAAUUACAUAGGUCUAUAUUGGUUCAUUGUUAUAUCUUACUGUAAAUAGACCAGAUAUAAUGUUUAGUAUGUGCUUAUAUGCUAGAUUUCAAUCAUUACCUAGAGAAUCACAUUUACUUGCUCUUAAAAGAAUUUUUAGAUACCUUAAAGACAUUCCCAACUUAGGAUUAUGGUAUCCAAAAGGUUCAUCUUUUGUUUUGCAUACUUAUUGUGAUGCAAAUUUUGGUAGUUAUAAAAUUGAUAGAAAGAGCACUUCUGGUCCUUGUCAAUUGUUUAAGAAAAUACUCAUAUCAUGGUUUUUCAAGAAACAAAAUAGUAUUGCUCAAUCCACAACUGAAGCCGAAUAUGUAGCGGUCAAUAGUUGUUGUGCUCAAGUUUUAUAGAUUAAACAAUAAUUGAAGGAUUUUGGAAUUACCAUGGAUCAUAUUCACAUUAAAUGUGAUAAUACUAGUGCCAUCAAUCUUUCCAAAAAUCCCAUUCAACAUUCAAGAACUAAGCAUAUUGAAAUUAGGCAUCAUUUUAUUAGAGAUAUGUUCAAAAAGGUCAUAUUGUGCUUGAAUAUAUUGAUAUAUUACAUCAAUUAACUGAUAUUUUUACAAGAUCUCUUGAUAAAGAUAGAUUUUAUAUAAUUAGAGGUGAACUUGGUAUGAUGAAUGCUCUUUGAAAUGAAAGUUUAGAUAAAUUGAUAAAUUUGUACCUUGUUUAACCAAAUGUGUGUUUAUCUUAAUAUACUUUUGAAAUCUUGUCUAUGAUUAUAUUUGUAAUUAUAUGAUGCAUAUUUGAAUAGUUAUAUUACAUGUUUUUAAAAAUAAAAAAAAAUUUUAAUUUAAAUUUAAAUUAAAAAAAAUUUGCUACAAGUGAACUAAUCGAUCCUAGAGACACUAGAUCGAUUGGUUUUCUUUUUAGUAGCCAAAAUAAAGUUGAAAACCUCAAACCCGAUCGAUCCUCCUUGGACCCGAUCAAUCAAUUCAUAGCUUGCUUAGGUGCAUCAAGGCCUUACCCAAUUGAUCCCCUUGCUACCCAGUUGAUCGGGUUAUGAAUGGUCUCCUAUAUACACACUGUUUUGACCACUUAAAAAUCUGGACUUUCCUCUUUCCUUGGUUGACCUUAGUCUAUUUUUGUUCUUCUUAAAAUUUUCUCCUAAAACCCCAAGUAUUCAUGCUUCACUUUUCUUUUAAAAUUGAUCACUUUCAACUAAAAUCUUUUGUAAAUUUCUUCAUAUCUGUUUGAUUUCUUGCAAAAUCUUUUUCAAAAAUUAUUCAAAUCAUAUAAAAAUCUUCACUCAUGUUUCUCCCUCUAGAAAUUUGAUCCUUUUUUGUGCCUCUAUUGAAACUAUCUCAUUCACUAAAUUUUUUUGCCUUUCUCAAACAUAUAAUACUACUUGUUACCUACAUUCACAGAUUCCUUCACAUAGACCUACCUAUUUUCACUAUUUCAUUGUUUCCAUGGCACCUAAAACAAGACCUUCUCUUGCCACAAAGAGAAGUCCACCAAGGGAAGCCUAUAGUUCUUUAAUCAAGCCUUCUUUCAACUAAAAUUUCAAAAAUUCUACAACAAAAGAAAGAUAUGAGACUCAUUUUGCUUAUAGAGAAGUCAAACAAGGAAGGGUAAUCAAUCUUAAUUUCUUUAAAUCCAUUGGAUUUCCAUACUUUCAUUCUUUUGAGAAUUUUGAUUGGAUGAACUAUUUUAGUUUGAAUGGCAUUGUCUUUGAGAAUCUAGUAAGGGUAUUUUAUAGUAAUGUAAACUGUAUUAAAGUUGAUGGACAUGAGAAUAGGUAUUAUACUAAUAAAUUUAGGACAUUUGUGAUGGGUAGAGAAAUAAUUGUGGAUAAAAGCUUGUUGGCUGAAACUUUCAUGUUAGAAGAUAAUGGAGACAUAAACAGUAGAUGUGAUAUACUAUUGGCCUAAGAUAUUUUUAAGAAUGAUGAUUUGAGGGCUUCUCUAACUCAGGCUUCUAGGUUGAACACGCAUGAUAGAUUGUUUUAUCUUAUUGUCACACAUGUGUUAGUACUAUUUGAAACCCAAUACUUCAUUAGAAAAGCAAGAUUAUUGGUGGAUAUAUAAGAUCAAACAUAAGAAGAAGCCCAAUAUUGUGCACUUUAUUUUUAAUGAUAUGAUAAAGGUUGUUCAAAACAAGGACUACACUUUGGUAUAUGGAAUAGCCAUUUGCAAUCUAUUUAGGAGGGUGGGUAUCAAUCCUAGAAGUGAUAGAAAAAUUGUGUCCAAUCCUACUAGUAUUAUUAGAGUUCAUACAUUUCAUAGUAUGGGAUACAUUCAAAAUGUUAUUGGGGUAUGGAUUAAGAAAAGUUAACUUAGAGUUAAGCAUGAAGAAAAUCACAAGGUUCAAGAUUUUUCUCAAGAAGUUCCAUAAGAUAUUCCUCGAGAAGGUUUUUCUAUCCACCAUUUGAUACCCAGAGAGCUUUACAAAUUUUUGUGACUCAAAUGAACAAUUUACACUUAUUGGUUGGGGAUAUGAACUCUACAUUGGAAAACAUGGAAUUAACACAAAAUAAGAUGGUUUCAUAAGUUCAAUAAGUUAGGACUAAUAUUGGACAAAUUUGAAUUGCAUAAAAGCAAAUAGAGCAGCAAUUUCAUCAUUUUUCUCCUAUCCUCCUCCACCUUGACCUAUCCUUUAAGCCAAGCUUAAAUGUUUUUUUCCUACAUGUUUUUCUUUUAUGUUUUUUUUUAAGAUUUUAAUUUCUUCAAGCUAAUUUAUUGUAGCAUCAAUUUGGUACUUUGCACUAAGGGCAUGAACUUUAGUGGUAUGAACUUUUCUUUGCUUGCUUGUGUGGUUUUGAGAUUCAAAGUUUAUUGUAAAUGAUUAUGUUGCUAUGAAUGUGCUAUUAUGGUUAUUCUCAUUCUUGAUGUUAUGAUGCUAAGUUGAGCUAUAGUACUGACAUUCAAUAAUAUGGGCUUUAUGUUGAAUAUAAUAUUGUUGCCUUGAAUUGAUUGAGCAAGUUGAUCUUACAUUGGUUAUAGUAUUAUUACCUUGCUUUUGGAUUUUUCUUUUUUUUGCUAUGACAAAAAGGGGAAAAGUUAGUUUGUGUAUUGUGAAAAUUUACUAGUGAAGAGUUUUGCUAAAUUAUUAUGUUACUAGUUGAUAAAUUUUUAAUUGCUUGGGAGACUUCUACCUUAUAUAUUUGUUUUGCUCACAAUGCAAAAUUGGCCUUUUAAUUUUCUUGAUCUUAUUUAAAUUCAGGGGGAACUUUCUUAAAAAAGAAAAAUGUUUUCAAAGCAAAUUUUUUUUUACUAUUGAUUUUGUCAUAUAAAAAAGAGAGAGAUUGUUAGCCUUGAAUUGAUAAAACACUUUAAAAUGAUAAAACAAAAAUUUGCUAAAGUUGAAUUAAAAUGAUUUAAAAUUAAUUUGAAUACCUUUUCAAUUUUCAAUCUAGUCAAAAAUAUGUUUAAAUUUAUCCGGCAUGUUUUAAAAGUAAAAUUGGGCUAAGUAGCAUAGAAGGGAUUAAUCCCCCCUUAUGGGGAUUGAUUGAGUUUUUGGCCAAAAAAGAUUUUCCUGUAAGUUUCAUGAAAACCAAUCGAACCCUUCCUUGUAUGGAUCGAUUGAUUACAAGUUUUUAAAGAUAGGAUUGAUCCCUUCUUGAAGGGAUCGAUUGGCUUUUUGCACAGAGUGAAAUGUUUGUUCUAUAAUUUAAAAAGAGAUUGAACACUUAGACUAAAGGAUCGAUCACCUGAAAAAGGAAUCGAUUGGUACCAAAUAUGAAUCAAUUGGUUGCAUCUUUUUUUGCAAAACUCUGCAUGUAUUUUGACUAACCUAAUUGAUCCCCCCAAUAGGGGAUCGAUCCCUUUAUGCCCAAAAUACUUACAAUGGCUAGUUUUGCCUAAAAUUUUGCAAAAGCUCUAAACAAUUAAUGCAAGCAAUGGUUAUCUUCCAUUCUCAACAUAUAAAUGAAAGGUUUCUCACUACAUUUGGAGUAACUUAGAGCCAAGAAAACUUAUUGCUUCCAUCUACCAACUUCACCAAGCAUUAAAGAGCAUUUUAAUGUGAGAAAAAUGCAAAAAUUCUUGUUGUAUCAAAUUUUCUCUUGAUAUUCUUCUUAAUCUUGAUUAAUACUUCAAAUUAGCAAAUACCUAACCUUAGAGAGGUUCUUUGAGUUUGUAAAACACUUCAAAAACUUGCAUUGUGAGGUUAUAAGCUUAUGGGGGAGAAUAACCCUUAAGAGAUUGUGUUGUUGAUUGAAUAGAGUUUUGAAGAGCUAAGUUGUAACUUUCAACACAUAGUUGAUUGAAUUCCUUGGCAAGUAAGGCUAAGGAAGGGAAAGGACGUAGGUGCCUAAAGGAAGGGUCAAACUUAUAUAAAUUUUGGUGUUUGAUUUUCUAUCUCUAUCUCUUGCUUUUAAGAUUAUUAGUACUCAUAUUUGUUGUGUUUACUUGCUUAGAAAAAUUGAUUUGUGAUUUUUGUGCUUGUUGGAUUUGAAUUCACAAAAAUUUUAUUUAUCAACCAAUUCACCCCCUUCUUGAUUUAAUUCAAGUCUUUAAGCUAACAUAUUGAUAUUAGAAACAAAUUGUACUUUAACAGAUGUGAAACCUAUAAAAGUAUUGGCUAUAAAUAAAAAAGGAUUAAACCUUAAAAUGGUUCAUUCACAUUCAACCUAAAAAGAACUAUUUCACAUUCAUCCAAAAAGAACUAUACCAACAGUAGGCUUUCAUAAAAAAAUACAUAUACCUUAAACUAACUCCUAGCUUCUACCCAACAAGAACUGUACAUCAACACGCAUCAUCGGAAUAGCAUGUACGAACCAUUCCUAGAUUGCACAUAGACUUUUUGGCAAAUGGUUGCUUGGCUAUUAACUUUUUGGUUACUAGUUUCUUGAUUUUUGCCAGCAAUGUGAUUGUCAAUUGCUUGGCUACCAGAUGCAUGGUUACCAACAACAAUAGGCCUACCCCUUCUUCUAAUUGCUAUAACUUUUGACCUAAAAAGUCUUUUUCUCCUUCUUUUAGUAACAUUUACAGCAACUCUUCCCAUUGGACUUGUACAAAGAUUUAAAGUUGUAGCAGUAGUUGGAACUUAUGUCUCGACAUUUACAGUAUCUCUAUCUCUCGUACCAAUAUUGCCAUCAUUUAUUGUCGUUCUUCCUUUUUUAGUAAUAUUAACAGUAGUUUUUCUUUUUGUACCAACAUUAUCAUCAUUUCUUUCUCUACUAGCAUCAAGAAGCACUUUUUUGGAUCAUCUCCUUGGAUCUGCAUUUCUUUGGAUCUGCCUCUAGUAGUAGCCUUUCCUCCUGAAGUUAUCCUUGAAGAAGAUGCAGAUUUUUAGGCAAACUAUCAAAAUAAUCAUAUAAAGAAAAUAAAAUAAACAACAAGAUGAACAAUCUGAUAAACAAAAACAACAGAAACAAAAAUUACAGUUGACACUCUGAUAAACAAUCUAAUAGUAGGUUAAUAGCAGAAACACUGAUAGUAGAAACAAUUAGAUAAAAAAAAUAGCAGAAAUAACCUUAACCUUACACUAACUUUUGAUACAAUAUGAUAUAAUCAGAUAAACAAAUACAUCAUGAAAUAAAAAAUAGUAGGCUCAUAAAAUAACAUGAAAUUAAAAAUAGCAUGAAACAAAAACAGCAUGAAAAAUAGCAUGAAGCAAUCUGAUAAAGAAAAUUAGCAGAAACAGCCUUAACCUUACAUAGCAAAAAUAGUAAAAAGUAUCACUUGAGUAUUGAUCCUUAACCCCUUUAACCUUAUCCUUUCUUUACCUAAAGGAAAAAUCAUCAACCCAUGCAACAUCCCCUAUUACCUAGACCUGGUAAGGAAUACGAACCAAAUAACCCACCAUCAUAAAAUAAAGUGUUUUUAUUUCCCAUUCAACAUCUGUAAAAUAAAUUUAUAAGUCUAUUUCAAAAAAUGCCAUAUUUAAACAUUUAUUGGCCAAGUAAAAAAUUUAGAAAUCCAACACGCUCAUUAGCUAUCAUCAUCCGGUUUUUUUAGGCAAACUAGAAAUUACAAUCUUAAAAAUGCAAAAGGUCUGUAGAUCGCAUGAAUGUUAAAACUACCUACAAUGCAGGCAUUCAUAAAGAUUUGUAUUGAUGCGGUCAUAAAAAAACUCUAAACUUAACAAAAAAACUCAUGUAUAAAUGCUCUACAACAUAUUUGUAAUUUAGUUAUUUAGAAUUAAAAAAAAAAACCCUAAAUUUUUUAAAUUUAAUAAACCCUAAAUAGAAGAUUUUAACCAACCUUAAUGAAAUGGAAAUGAGAAUUACACAUACCUUGUUAGAUUGUAAAAGUUUACUUAAUACAUAGUAAUUAUGCCUCACCUCUUCUUUGCCAAAUAGUGCCCAAUGUGUUUCGAUCACUGCCAUUCAACCAAUUUUCAAUUGAUUUUUGUCUAAACCUUACAUUAAAAAACUCCUUUUAAUUGGAAUUGAAAGGUUUUUUGGUUUGAUUCUUGAAUAAAAACGUUUAAUCAUUUUCAAAUGAGAUGAUUUGAUUAUAAGAAACAAAGUUUUUCUUUUUACUUCAAAUGCUUCAAGAACAAGUCAUGGGUUUUAUAGCAAUAAGGGUAUUCUUGUUGUUUUAUGACAGACAGAGUCUAAAGAAAACUAACAGAAUGUCACAGAUACACAGCUCAGGGUGGUUAAGUGUCUCUUUUUAAAUCUCAUGGCACAUACUCAAAUCGUAUUAAAUCUCAAGGUAUAUUUAUGUAAUUUACCAUAAUAAUAAUAAUAAUAAUAAUAAUAAUAAUAAUAAUAAUAAUUGUUAAAAAACCUUCCAAUAUCCAUGUAAGUUCCUAAGAAUUAUUUUUACAUUAGAAUAUUAGCUUUUAUUCCUAAAAAAUAAUUUUUUAAAAUCGCCAUUUGAUAACUCAUAUAUUUUGUCAAUAACAAAAUGCAAGUGACGUAAAAUGAAGCAAACAAAUGAUGUAAAUACAAAUUAAAAUACAGUUGACCAAUUUGAUCCCAUUUAAUUUAUCUUUUUUUUUAUUUUCAUCAUUUAUUUAAAAAAACAUUUAUUGAUAAAAGAAAUUUAUCUCUCAUUAUUUUUUGUUGAAAAAAUAUUUUUUAAUUCCCUAAUAUCUAUAUGGAAUUUAAGAAAAUUAAUCCUUCACUUAAAAAAAUUUUAUAGUUAAUUUUUGGCAAGAUGAUAAUACUAUUCUUUAGAAAAAAAAGAUGAUUUGAAUUCCCUCCAAUAUCUAAGUAGAGUUUCCAAAAUAAUUUUCUUUUUAAAAAUAUUGUUAUUUAUAUUUUUUAAAAGAAAAUUUGCCAUUUCACAUUUAUUAUAAAUGUUUAAAAUGCAUAUAUGACAAUAUGAUCAUAAAUUAAAUAAUGCAUCAAAUUGUAUUUUUUUAAUAGAUUUUGUUUAGGAUGAAAAUGGCAUUUUGGUGUUAAAAAAUAUUUUUUUUAUUUUUUUAUUUUUAUUUUUUAACUCCCUAAUAUAUAGGUAGAAUUAAAAAAUAAUUUGAAAAAUUCGUAAAAUAAAAUUUUCAAAGAAUGAAGAUGGUAUCUCUUUAUAAAAAUAAUUAUUUAGAUUUUCUCCAAUAUCUAGGUAAGGUCUUUAAAAAUAUUUUUUACUUAAACAUACCAUAUUCCUUUUUUAUUUCCAGAAAUAAUCACUUUAAUGAAAAUUAUUUUUUAAUUAUAAAAUUAUUAUUAUUUAUUAAAAAUCUAUCAUCAUUUUUCAUUUCUUUUUCUAACCUUAAUAAUCCAAAAAUAGACCUAUUGUCAAAAAUAUCUAAAAAAUGAGGAAAAUAAAUAUUCACAGUAAUAUAACAAGAUAAAAAAGGGUAAAGGAUAUACCAGAUGAAGUUUUCUUUAGGCUUGAACCCAACAUCAACCAAAAUCAAAAUGAUCUAAAUUUGUUGGCUCUUUAAGAACUAACGUGGGCCACCUCAAGUAGCAAACAUGUUGGGUCGGGCAAGAAUCAGGUAUAAGUAUGGGCUAAAAGGUCGGGUUAGUCUGGCUUGCUUUUUUUUUAAUCCUUUCUUAAAAAAUCAGUUCCUCUUUUUUUACUUUUUUUUAAUUCUUCUUUCUCAUUUUUUUUUAUUCUCUUUCUUUCUUUGUACUUCUUCUCUCUCAUGUAGAUGUCAAACUAGCUUCUCUUUUUUUUUUCUCCUUCUUUUCCUCUAUUAUUUUCUUUUUUGCUUUUUCCACUCCCUAUUGACCCUCCCAACCAACGUCAUAUCAACUUUCUCUUUUUUUUCUUCCUUUUCUCUUAUAUUUUUUUUUAUUUUUUCCUUUCUUUUUUUUCUCCCUUAUUUUAGUUGAAUGGGUCGAGGAAUCACUAAAAAAAAUUUUUUUAAUCUUUUGUUGCUAGGUUCCUCACUAAGUGAGGACUACGAUAUAUUUGUGAUUUUUUUGGCUUUGCUAACUUUUGGUUAUUGAUGGCAGUGGGGUGGUCAUGAUGGCAAAAUGAUUUUUUUUUGGGUUUUCAACUUACAAUGAGGUGGCGAGGGGGUUUUAACUGGGCUUGUUUCAAGUAGGGUGGCUUAAAAGCUUGGUAUAGUGGUUGACAAAGUAUGACACUAUGGUGGGGUGGUGCCUAUGUUUGUCGUGGCAUGAUUUAUUUUGUCUUUUAAUUUUUCUAUGGUGGCUUUUUUUGUGGAGGGAAGAGCUAUGGUUGUGGGGAGAGUGUUAAUGCUUUUGGGUAUAAUUGAAGUUUUUAAGAGGAUGGAGGCUCUUGAUUGGUAUGAGGCUUAUAAAAAGAGGUGUUGUUUCGGCUAAUUAAUAGAUUUGUUGAUAGGUGGGGUUUGACUUUCCUAGGCAGAAGGAUGUAGGGAUUGAGAAAAUUUUCCUUUUUUGGUAAAAUUUUCUUUCCCAUGUUAUAAACUAAGGUUAAAUAGGCUAGUUGUACUAGUUUUUUUGGGUAUGGAAGCUUGCUGAUUUUUGGACAUUAUGUCAAUCACCAAUUGAUGAUGACAGAAGUUUGUAGUCAAAAUGGGAGGAAAAACAAUUCUAAGCCAAAAAAUGGUAAGCAAUUUGGGAAGAGGAGUCUUACCAUGGCCGGUUAAACCUCUAACACAUUUUUUUAAUUUUCAAUUGAUUAAUUAUAAAAAAAAGCUUUUGGACUUUAAAAAUGAAAUUUAACCUUUAUAAGCUUUGGGUUUGCAAACCCAUACGAUUUAGCUUAGAAUAAAUUAAAAUUAAAUUGGAUUGAGCCUAAUCCAUGCAAAAUGAUCCAAAAAAUGUUGAUCCAAGACAAAGAUUAAAUGACCUCAAUUAGAUAAAUGCAACUAAAAUGCCGAAGCUUGCUCCAAUCGAAAAGUUCAAAUCAAGCUUCAAAAUCAAACAAAUUCAAAUUGAACCAGAAAAAAUUAGGUGUCUAUAACAUAUUAGUAAAUUGAUGAUAGGUUAAUAAAAAAACAAGUGAUAACUUAAUAGUUAAUCACUGAUAACUUAAUAAUAAAUAAAUGAUAACUCAAUAGUACUUCAAUGUCAAUUUAAUAGUAAUUAAUUAAUAAACUUAGUUGUAAAUCAUAAAUAACUUAGCAAUAAAUUAAUGAUAAUUUAGUAGUUAAUCAUUUGAAACUUAAUAAAUUAUUAAUAAUUAAGUAGUUAAUCAUUGAAAACUUAAAAGUAAAUCAAUAUAACUUAGUAGUAGUUCAUCAUCAAUAACUUAAUAGUAAAUUAUGGAUAAUUUGAUAUAAAUCAGUGAUAACUUGAUAAUAAAUCAUGGUUAAUUUAGUAGUAAAUCCAUAAUGAUUUUGUAGUAAAUAAUCGAAAACUAAGUGUAAAUCAAUGAUAACAUAGUAAUAAUAAAUUAUUGAUAAUUUAUAUAUAAAUUAUUGAUAAUUUAAUAGUAAAUAACUGCUAAUUUAGUUGUAAAUCACUGACAAUUUAGUAGCAAAUUAAUUAAUAAUUGAUAAUUUUGUACUACAUCAAUAAAUUAAUAGUAAAUUAGUUAUAAAAAAUCCUCAGUAACUUAGUAGUAAAUUAAUGCUAAUUAAGUAGUAAAUCAUUAAUAAUUUAGCAAUAUAUCAUUGAUAGCUAAGUCGCAAAUCACUGAUAAAAUAUACUAAAUCAAUGAUAACUUAAUUCUCAAUCAUUGAUAAAUUUUUUUUAUACUUUAAGUUGUUAGGAAUUGAACCUUUGUUAGUAUUUGAAAUGAAGCUAGAAAUUUCAUUUUGGGAAGCUAGAAUAAAAAAUUUAGUGAAAAAAUUCUAAAUUUGAAUAUGAUUGCACUUGAAUUUUAGCAUUUUUAAGCUCAUAUUUAGUGCAAUUUUCUUUAUAUUUUAGCAUGUUCCUUGAGAUUUUUUGCAAAAAUACUCCAAAAUGUACAAUUGUUUCAUGUGCAUGUGAAAAUAGAGAAAAUGAAGAAUUUUGGACAAUUUGGAUAUAUUUUGGAGGAUGUAUGGUGGUAAAGGCACGUCACAACUAGUGUGAUUAAGCUACAUUGCCUUUUAAGGAAGUUUUUCUUGAUCCUUUCUUCUAUGCUUUGUUAAGCUUAAUUGAACUUCAUGAAACUUUAUUUCAAGUCUUAUUUCUCAUAAUUUUCAUUUAAAAUGAUUUUCCUUAGCUCAAUCUUGCAUUAGUAUCUUUUUAGUAUCUUUACACAUGCUUAAAAGGUAAAAUGCAUUAUAGAGAUGGAAAUUGAUUUGUAAAUGAUUAAUUUUCAAAAUUUUUUGCCAAAAAUUAGAAUGUCAAAUUGGCAUAAUUUUAUGGUUUGAAUUUUGUAGUAAAAUAAAAGCUUGAAGUGUAUGCAUGUGGGACCAAAAGAAGAUAUAAAAAAAGCAUGUUUGUUAUAAGUGUUAAAGUGCUAUGCAACUUCAUGCACUUUGCGCCACUUUAGCAAUUUAAAUAAGGCAAUGAGGAGCUGCUGACUUAGCAUCUUGGAAGACUCUCAUUGGCCAUAAUUUUGACCUUCUGGAAUGUAAAAAUUCAAGAGAAGAAGGCUUGGAAAGAAUAAAGAACUUAAGUGAGCUAAACAAUAAUGAACCAACCAUGAAAGAAAAAAGAAAAGACGGCUCUAGAAGGCCACUCAAAAUUAGAUAUUUUUGGGAGAUAUUUUGGAGCUUCAGGCACCUUAUGUUUGCCUAUAAAUAAAAGUAAGGCACUAACCAUUCAAAGAUUUUAGCUUAGACUUUAGAUUAGGAUUUACAUUUUUUGUUUCUUUAAUUUUUUGCACUUUACUUUUCUGUAUUUCAUUUUCUAGCAUUUUCUUACUUGCCAACAACUUUUAAUUCUAGUUUUUCCAAUUGAUUCUUAUUGUAAUUUUUACUUUCCUAAAUUGUUUUCAAUGUUCUUUUAGAUUUUGGCAAUGAAUUUAUGAAAUUCUUAUGAUUUCAUGUUCAAAUAUUGUUAAUUUCACGUUGAUAUCAAAUCUAGAUUUCAAUUCACGCACUUGUCCUCUUUGUACUCUUUUGUUCAAAACUUCUUGAUUUCUUGCUUAGUUUUACUUCAUUAUUUUCAUAGUUCUAACUCAUUAGGCUUUAAUCUAGUAAAAUUUUAGCAUCAAAUUCAUUUCCAAUCAUUUUAGUCAAUUCUUACAAGUUGCGAUUGAAAUCAGGUGGCAGUGCAAUUCUAAACAUGAUCUACAAGUUUCACUUGGAUUCAUCUCUCCUUUAGGCAAUUUAUUUACUUCUUCCAAAAUUUUAAUCUCUUAGAUUUACAUGUUUACUUGCUUAUUUUCAUUUUGUUGCAAUUUAAUUCAUGAGUUUGAUGGCUAUUUGGAUGAAUUGUUCAUUUGCUACUCUAAUUUUCUCUGUUUUGAGUAGAUAUUGAGUAGCUAAAUCAAUGAGCUGGUUUUUCUAUAUUUUGCUGUGAUUUUCUUGUUAGAUUUUGUAGUAAACUUGUCAUUAAAUCUUGUUUUAGCUCCUUUUUAGUGCAUUCCUUCUGGAGAAUUGUAGAUCUAAUUUUUCUUCCAUGAAUUAUUAGUUUCUAGCUUACAAAAUCAGUUUUUGUUCUUGCAAUUUUGUUGAAUCUUCCAAAUUUUCUUUAGUUUUUGUUCUUCAAUUUAAAUUGUCAUAUUGUUCUUUUACUGCUCUUGCAAUUUACAACUCAUAAUCAUUUGAUCUUGCAUCAUUUAGAGUUAGAAAUCCAUCUUGAAGUCACAAUUCCAGAUCUUUUUUUUUCUUUUACAUUCGAUUAAAACCUUUCAUUUAAACCUUGCAAUUUUAUUUCAAAAUUUUUUCUUUAAAUUUGUUUUUACUUUAACUCUUCACUUGAUAUUGCAAUUUUAAGUGUGAAUCCAUUUACUUUGUUGCCAAUGAGAUCUCAUUUUAAUUGUUGAGUUAUAGUUUGUCUAGAUUAGCUUAGUACUUUUGGGUUUGCAAGGUUAGUUGCAUUUUUCAUUUUCAUCACUACAAUUUCAAUUCAAUCUUUAUUGUACUUCGACUUAGCUAUUGUAUUUUACAUUUUGUUUAGCAUGCAUUUUACCUACUAUGCACUUGUAAAAUGACCCAAUUAGAAUGAAACAAUGAUGUUAUUAUAUAAAAAGAAAAUUAUCUUAUACUAGAAUUGAAUUUGCUUUUUCUUAAAAGAAUUCAUUGUUAAAUAUAUGAUGACACAAAAUUUUAAUAAUUACCAAAAGUAUAUCGUAAGUUACUAGAAAGUUAUUCAAAUUACCUUAAGAAGUUACCAAAAUUUUAUAAAAAAAAUUGCCAAAAUUAUAUCAAUGGUAUCAUAUUCUAAGUUACCAAACUAAUACUGGAGGUUACCAAAAUUGUAUCGAAAGUUACCAAAAUUUUAUCAAAAGUUAUCAAAUUUUACUUAUAUUAGACUAAAAUCAAAAUUAAAUUAUUACUCCCUUCAUCCCAAAUUGUUUAGGUGUUAUUAACUUUUAUUGAGUUUAAGAAAAAAGCUUUUGACCUUAAUGUAUUUAAUAUUAAAUAUUAAAUUUUUUUUAUAAAAUUAAAGUUUCAAGAUUUUUAAUGUCAAAAAAAUAAAAAAAUAUAUAAAAAAUCAUUUUAAAAUAUAAAAAGUAAGAGCUUUAGAUGUUAAAAAAAAAAACAAAUUUGGGACAUUUCAAAAAGAAAAGAUGGACAAAGAAAUGAGAUGGAUGGAGUAGUAUUUAUCAUUAUUAUCACAGUAUCAAAAAAUUUAUUAUUAAAUGAAUUCCUUAAAAAUAAAUUACACAUGCGAUAUGCACAUUGCAAACACUAGAUACCAUUUAAAAAUGGACCUUUUCAUUUUCAAAGAAGUUGACUUCAUACUGAGGUGAAUUACUAGCCAAAUUGGUUUAUGAAUACUUUACAUAACCUUUGAACUAUAUAUACACUCAAGGUGUGGAUUUUCAUAUAAGGAUUCUUUAGUCCUGAAACAUGUUUUGCCUUUGAUUCCUAAUGAAAGACCUUUUAUUUUUCUUGCACCUCCUUAUCUAUAAUAUACGAACACAACAAUAAUAAUCCAAACAAUAUGAAUAAAGAAAGGGUAAAGGCAUAGAAAGUCUACAUGUAAACAUUAACUCAAGAUUAUUGUGUAAUAAUUAGAACAUCAUAAAUAAAUAAAGAGAUUCAACAUACUUAUUUGGUGGUAAAGACGAAUACGUAGAAGCAAAACAAUCUCUAGAGUGGCUAUGUUUUCCUUUUUACUCUUCUUUUACUAGCAGCACUUAAUAGGUAGUAACCGUAACUUGUAGAAGUGAAAAGGGGACCUUAGCCUAUUUUAAUUAAAAACCCUAAAAACCUCUCUAUCAAAGGCUUAUUGAAUCAAAGGCCUAUAUUACCACCAAAUCAUACUGACCUAGUAAGAUGUGCAAAGUGCACACUUAGGUAAUCAUAUUAAAUUAUUUGGGCUUUCAUGCUUGUCUUAUUUUAGGACUAAACUCAUUAGUUGGUUUUCUUAAAUUAUUAAAAUCACCAAUUAAUGAUAGCCCACUUAUGAAAAAUUCUAAUAUUCUUCCACUUUGGCGGUAUUUGGAUUGUUUGAUUUUAAGAAAACUUGAUUUAGAAAACAAGACUUCAGGCCAAUUUACUUUUACUUUGAUGUGGCCAUAAUUUUAAAAACAAUGUAGCCCUUUGAGAUAACAUCUUAAUUAUCCUAUCUAAUAAAAUCAUCUAAUACUGAAUCAUGGUAGGCUUUAUGCCCCUUAUUAAUAUAAGACCAAUCCAUAAUUGCAAGUACUAGUGACUUUAUUAAUAAUGGAUCUCAAUGUGGUUGUGUAAUAAGAAAAUAAUACUUAAAUGUGAUCUCAACGUGUUAUUUUCAUUGUCAGUCUUCUUGUCAAUUUCUCUAAACUAGCUAAGAAAUCUCCAUGGCAUCUAGAUGUGCUUAUAUGUCUCCUUAAAUCCUUGAAGUUCCUUAAUGGUGUCAUAUAUCAGAUAUACCCAAAUGACAAAAAUAGUCAUACUUAACACAGACAUUAAGUCUUAAGAUUUCACAAUGCAUAUAAUAAACUUUAAUUUUUCAAGUGUACAUAAACUAACAAAAUAAAAUAACAACAUAAAGUAUCUAACAAUGACGAUUAUCAUUCAAGUAUGGAAUCAAUUAUCACAUAGAUAUUCCAAGCAUAAAAGAAAAGGGUCUAAUAUAAAGAUAAACCAUGAUGUGUGAGCAUGAAAUACAAAUGAUAUACUCUCAUUAAUAAACUACAUCAAAAUAUCUUAAAAUACUUAUGCUCUAAACAUGUUUACCAAACCUUAUAGGUCUUAAUCCUUUAGUCAAAGGAUCACCAAUCAUAUUGUCAAUCUCAAUGUGUUUGACAAUAAUCUUACUGUUUUUCACAAAAUCCUUAACUUUAAGAUAUACUAUCUUCAAAUAUUUAGACCCAUUGAUACUCUUGUUGUUUUUAGAAAAUAACACAAUAGACCUAUUAUCACAAUAAAUCUUUAAUAGUGUAGAGAUAGAAUCAACAAUAUGAAGGGUUGAUGUAAAAUUCUUAAGCCAAUUUGCCUGCAUAGUAGCUUCAUAGCAUGUAACAAUCUUAGCCUGUAUAGUGGAAGAAGCUAAGAAUAUUUGUUUCACACUUUUCCAAGGUACAUCUCUUUCAGCCAACAAAAAAAUAAACCCUGAAGUAAACUUCAUGUCAUCCCAACAAUCAGUAAAGUUAGAAUCUGUAUGCCUUAUUAUCUCAAGAUUGUCCAUCUUUUUGUACACCAACGAAUGGUAUUUGGUCUUUUGCAAAUUCUUCAUCAUUUUCUUAGUAGCAACCCAAUGAUCCAUAUCAGGAUUAGAAAGAUAUUUCUCAAGAACUCUCAUUGCAAAAGCAAUAUUUAGCCUAAUGUAAACUUGAACAUACAUGAGACUCCUAACUACACUAGAGUAUGGUAUGUUCUUCAUAGAUUCUUUCUCCAAAUCAUUCUUUGGGCACUAUCUAAGAUUAAGUCUAUCACCUUUCACAAUUGGUGCAUUCUUAGCCUUACAAUUUUGCAUGUUAAAUCUACUAAGCACAAGAUCAAUAUAAGAACUUUGUGAUAGCCCAAACAAAUUUUGAAAUCUAUCUCUAUGAAUUUCAAUGCCAAGAACAAAGGAUGCAUCCUCAAGAUCUUUCAUAUCAAAAGUCUUAGAUAACAACUACUUAGUUUCAUGCAAUAAACAAAUAUCAUUACAAACCAAUCAUAUGUCACCCAUAUAUAGCACAAGAAAAAUAUACUUACUCCCACUGAUUGUAAGGUAUAUGCAUUGAUCAUCUUUAUUUUCUUCAAAACCAAGUGAAGUAACUAUCUCAUCAAAUUUUAGAUACCAUUGCCUAAAAACUUACUUAAGGCCAUAGAUUGACUUUUUAAGCCAACAUACUAAAUGCUCAUUUCCAGAUUUCUAAAAUCCUUUAGGUUGCACCGUAUAAACCUUUUUUUUAAGAUCACCAUUGAAAAAAGCCAUUUCACAUCCACUUGAUAAAACUUCAAAUCAAAGUGUGCUACUAAGGCCAUAAUGAUCCUCGAAGACACCGGUGAAAAAGUUUGAUUUUAAUCUACUAAUUCCUUUUAAGUAAAUCUUUUUGCGACCAAUCUAGCUUUAAAUAUCUCAAAAUUUUCAUUAGAAUCUUAGUUUUAAACACCCAUUUACAACCAAUGGAUUUGUACCCUUUUGGUAAUUCAACAAGCUCUUAGGCACCAUUUUGAGCCAUAAAAUUCAUUUCAUUUUUCAUUGCAUCUAUCCAUACAUCAAACUGCUGACUGUUAAUAAUUUCACCAAAAGUCACAUGGUUAACAAUAUAACUGAUAUCAUAGUCAUUCUCUCGAAGAUAAAUUACAUAAUCAUUAGAUAUGAUAGAUCUUUUUUGUUUAGAAGAUCUCUUUAAAGGUAAUUCAAUCUUAUUUUCUUGAACUUAAAGCAUAUUAACAAGAGCAAGAUUAGUAAGAGGAAGGUUUAUAUCUUUUUGUCUUGAUCUCUUCUCUCAAUAGCCACUGACAAAAUACGACACUAUGCUACAUGAAAGUGAUAGAGAUAUGUUUAAUAGGUUCAUUGUUAUCGAUAGCCUCUAUCACACCCUUAUCAAUAAUAUCUAGCUUAAAAAACUUUGUUACUUGUGACUCUACAAUCUUAAUUCCACAUGUAAGGUAAUAAAACUUAUAUCCCUUGAAAUGGUCUAGAUACCUUAUGAAAAAAUAAUGAGUAUUCCUAGGUUCAGUCUUUCCUUUAAAAGGGUUAUAGAUUUUAGCUUCUGUAAAGCAUCCCCAAACUUGAAACUGAUUCAAACUGGGUUUCUUACUAGUCCACAAUUUAAAAGGUGUUUUAGGAAUAGAUUUACUAAAUACUUUAUCAAGUAUAUGUUUUAAUAGCUUCACCCCAAAGAGAUUUAAGAAGAUUGGUCCUACUUAUCAUGCUCCCAUCAUAUCUUUAAGGGUAUGAUUUUGCCUUUCAGUCACACCAUUUUAUUAAGGACUAUCAGCCAUAGUAUAUUAGGCAACAUUCCCACAUUCUUGUCAAUAUUUAGCAAAUGGUCUCAUGUGUUAUCCAGUUUUAUCAUGUCUACCAUAAUACUCACCACCUUGGUUAAACCUAAUGAUUUUGAUUUCUUUCCCUAAUUGUUUUUCUACAUGAAUUUUAAAAAUUUUGAAAUUUUUAAAAGCAUUAGAUUUUUCAUCAAUCAAGUAAAGAUACCUGUAGUGAGAAUAGUCAUCAAUAAAAAUAAUAAAACAUUUGUUACCACACAAGGUAAAUGUAAAAGAUCAAUUAAUAUUAGUGUGCAUAAUUACCCAAAGGUCAGAAUUACAAGUUGUCUUUUUUUUCUUAGUCUUAGUUAGUUUACCCUUAUGAAACCAACACAAAUGUCUAGCUUUUUAAAAUCAAUGAAAGGUAAAGUACCAUCUUUUAUCAAUUUUUGCACUCUUUCAUUAGAAAUGUGACCCAGCCUUUUAUGCCACAACAAAUAAGAGUAUUCUUUAGUUAAAGAUCUUUUAGACACUAUCUUUUCAACAUUAUUGCAACUAUAUUCCUUAUUAUAGGCCAAGCACAAUUUAUAUAAAUUGUCAACUAGUCUAAAUUCACCAACAACAUUUGAAUUUAAAAACAAGCCAACUUUUUCAAUUCCAAUGCCAAAAUAAUAACCAUGUUUGUCUAAAAAAAAGCUAAAAUCAAAUUCUUUUUAAAUGAAGGUACAUGAAAAACAUUUUCCAAAAUAAGUUCAAAACUAGAAUCUAAAUUUAAACAUAUUAUUCCUUUAUAACUAACGUCUACUUUAGCAUUGUUUCUCAUUCUAAGUUUGGCCUCUUUCUCACUUGCUUCUAUUUGCUUUUAAACCUCUACAAGGUAAUAACAAUAUGAAUAGUUAUACCACUAUCAAGCCACUAGGAAUUUCGUAAGGCACCGAUAAAAUAAGAUUCAAAACAAAUGAGAGUUAGUGAGUUACCUUCUUGUUUAUUCUUUUUCUCUAACCAAGCUUUAUAUUUAAGGCACUCAUGUUUCAUAUGACCUUUCUUCUUAUAGGAAAAACACUUAAUAUCUUUCUUAGUGAUAGCUUUAGGAACUCUUACCCAUUUAGUCUGACAUUGCCCUAUCUUUUAUUAUCCUAAACUGUCUUAUGAGUAUUAGGAACGAAUCUUCUAGGUUUCUCAUAAUUCCUUUGGUAAUUAGGUUUGGAGUAAGUAGUAAGAGAGGCACUUUCAUUAUUUUUUUUCUUGAGUUUUUCUUUUUCAAAGACACAUUUUGAAAUAUGCUCAUUAACACUUCAAACCUCAUUCGUAGCAUUAUAAGCAGUUUUGAUUUGAGUGAACUCAAUAGGUAAGGCAUUAAGGGCAUGAUGAACAAUGAAUAUGUCAAGAUGAACAAUUUCAUGAGAAGUUAAUUUGGUUUGAAUAUGGACCAUUCUCAUGAGAAAAUCUCUAACACUCCUUACGCUAUCAUACCUUAUACUUGUAAGCUCAGUCAUAAGGUUCGUAGCUUUACACUUACUAGAUUUUUGGUAUCUAUCACCUACAGCAUGGUAAAAAUCCCUAGCAAUUUCUAUGGUAUCCAACCCGUUCAAAAGAUAUUCAGAAAUAGAUUUUUUAAUGGCAUAUAGUCACAUAUGAUUUACCUUUUCCCAUUUGACAGUAAAUUCCUUUUAUUCAACAAUACUUUUAUCAAUAAGAUCGCAGGCUUUGGAAAAUGCAAGGCUAUAUCUAUCUCACUCAUAACCAAAGAAAAAUUUAAAUCUCCAUUCCAUCUUUUAUAAUUAGACCUAUUAAAAACUUUAAUAGUGGCUUGAUUGUUAGUGAAAGUAAAAGUCACUUUUCAGGACAAAAAUGCAACAUUAAUGAAUGGGCAAUAUCAUAAAAUAUAUAGCAAUAGUUUAUGAUGUGUUAAUAAUUAUUGAAAAGUUUUGGUGCAUCAUCAUAAACUUCCUUUAGGUAAAGAAUGUAACGUGCAAGUGAAAACUUUUUGCGUGAAGCUAAUAUGAGAAUAUCCAAGUUUUUGAAAAACCUAUUUCCUUUGGAUAAAUAGAUUUCUAAAUUGAUAAACCUCAACCAUGAUGCUUUAAGUUCAAAAACAAAUUACCUUACACAUUAACCCCUUUUAGGUAGGUAAUUGUAUAAAAUAAUUUAGUAACCAUCCUGUAAUUAUAGAAUGAAAAACUUAUCUCCUUUGGACAAAUAAAUUUUCUAGACUAGUACACCUCAACCAUGAUGCUUUAUGUUAAAAAAAAUUACCCUAGACAUUAACCCCAUUAGGCAGGUAAUUGUAUAAGAUAAUUUAUUAACCAUCCUACAAUUAUAGAAUGAUAAUAUAUUCCAUUAAUUUUAGUAAGUAAGCCACUCUAACAACCAAACACUUAUAUCAAUUAAUGAAGAUUUUUUCAAAUAAAAAAAUUUCAUUAAUUGCCCAAAAUUCUCAGUUUGCAUACUUAAUCAUAAUGUAUGCAAUGGACUAGUCCAACUGAGAUACUAAACCUAGAUGUAUCUUGUAAGGUCCUAUAAGCAAUGUACAUUGCAUUUAAACUCAAGGUUGAUUAAAAUCAAACUCUAAUUACUAAAUCAAUUAUGCACAUAAGAUUCAACUUUAUAGUACAUAAAUAUCAAAGCCUAUAUAGGGAAAAUACCUACUAUCAUUAAACUCCUAGUAUGCUAAUGAUAUUUUAUCAAGAUCACAAAAUAAAAUAGCUAACAUUAUGUGUAUAACAUAUAGUAAUUACUGAGCAAUGCAUGAAUGUCAAACAACAAAUAUUUCAUGCAAUUUAAAAAUUUUAAAAAAUAAUAAAAAAUUAAAAAUAAAAUUUCAAGUAUGCCAAAAGAAACUAGAGCAAAAAUGGACACCAAACAAGCCCACACACAUCCAAGUGCCAUUUAAUGCACGUAGACUUCGUUUAGUGUGGGGAAUAGUAUUUUUUUAACCUCUAAUCAAGUUGACUUAACCCAACUGGAAUAGUUCUCAACUUGUUUGGAUUUGAUUGUAUUUUUUUAUCAUUUUUUAUGAACUUUCUUAGAAUUUUCAUAAAAUUAAAGUGCCCAAAAUUUAAUUAAACUAUUUUUCUAUCAAACCCAAGUUAAAAAAACAUAUAAAAACACCGAAAACAAGAUCAAUUGAUUAAUAAUUUUCUUGUUACAUAAACUCAUAUUUUACCCAUUUUUGUUUUCUUCGUAUUUUGCCAAUCUAAAAUGAAAUUUUAUGAAAUUAAAUGCUUUGGUUUAACUUUAUACACAUGAAAAACAUGAUUCAAGAAUCAAUUUUGAAUUAAACAUAUAAAAUGUUGAUAUUCUAGUCAAAACAGGAUUUAGAUUAAAAUUUAAACCUAAUUUUCAGACCUAAUUUCUCUUUCUAUGUAGGGAAUUAGAAAACAAUCUUUAUAUGGUUUUAAUGCUCUUGCAAAGAGGAACAAAAACUUAAAUCAAUUUUGAAAAAUAAAGAUAAAAAUUUAAAUUUAUGAAAACAACAUAAUUUUACCCCAAAUAAGCUAUUUGUUCAAAAAUCAAUUACAAAUCAUGAUUUUAGUGUCCUAAUGUCACAUAAUGAUAGCUUUGAUACCACUUGUAAACAUUAACCCAAGAUCAUUAUGUGAUAAUUAGAACUCCAUAAAUAAAUAAAAAAGAUUCAUCAUACUUAUUUGGGUGGUUAUAAUGAAUAUGGGGAAGCAAAACAAUCCCUAAAUUGGCUAGGUUUUCCUUUUCACUCUUUUCUUAUUGGCAGCAUUCAAUAAGCAGUAACCAUAACUCAUAAAAGUGAAAAAGGUAUCUUAACCUAUUUUAAUUGAAAACCUUUGAAGCUGUUAGAAUUUUUCAGUGAGUUACUAUUAAUUAGUGAUUUUAAUGUUUAAUAAAACAAGCUGAUAAAUUUAGUUUUAAUACAAGACAGGCAUGAAAGCCGAAAUAAUUUAAUGUGAUCACUUAAGUAUAAGCUUUGCACAACAUAUUGGGUUAGUGUAGUUUGCAAAUUAUGUAGGCCUUUACCCGAGUAAACCUUUGAUAAAAAGGUUUCUAAGGUUUUAAUAUAAAUUGGCUAAGGUCUCUUCUUCACUUCUGAGUAAUGAUAUCUACCCAAUGAGAGCCGCUAGAAAGAACAAUGCGAAGAUAAAGAAUUAGUCUCUUCAGGAAUUGGUGUUGCUUUUAUUUAUCAACUAUGACUACCCAAAUAAGUACUCAUUAUGAUUAAAUUUGUGUUCUAGUAUUCAUAUAUGGUUAUUGAGAGUUAGAAUUUCGCCUACAUGUGGUGUCAAAGCCUAAUUAUGUAAUAUUAUGACUCAAAAUUAUGGUUUUAAAUUUUAAUUUUUGCAUGAAAUUAAGUUUUGGGUGAAAUCUUAUUAUUGUCAUAAUCCAAUUUUUUGAUCUUGUUUUACCAAAAUUGAUUUGAGGCUUUUGUUCUCCUCUAUGAGGAUUAACACAUGUAUGGAAUGUUUCUUAAUUCAUCCUAUAAAGAGAGAGGAGAGAGAGAAAUUGAGUUUUUAAAAAUUUGAAUUUAAGAUUUAAACCAAAAUUCAAAAUUUAAUUAAAACCUUAAUAUUUUAUGGGUUUUAAUUCAAAUUGGUUCUUGAAUAUUAUUAUCCAUGUGCUAUAAAGAUGAAACAAAGUGUUUAAUUUCAUAAAAUUUUAGAUUAUAUGCCCAAACUUGAAGAAAACCAAAUUGGAUUAUGUAUAAGUUUUUUAAUCUAAAAAUUUUGGCUCAAAUUGAUGUUAAUUCAUGUUAUUUUGAUACAAUUUGAAGCAUGAGUUUUGUAAAUAUAUGUGUUAAUUAAAGUUUAGACCAUUUAAUUGCAUUAAAACUCAAGGAAAAUAUGUAAAUCGAAGAAAGAAAAUCAUGUAACAAAAACGGGUCAAGAAUGACUAUGAACAUGAAAUUUUAUUCUCAAAUUCAUGGUGAUUUUAUGUGUUUUUGAUGCAAUUGUGGCCUGGGCUUUGUAAAUCUAUGUGUUAAUUGCAUGUUUAAGGGUUUAAUUUACUCAACUAAUAAAAAAUAAAAUUUGGACCAAGAAUCUGAAUCAGGUGAAUUGUGCUUCUUAAUGGGUAAGUGUGACCCAAUUGGAGGUAGGUGAUAAUGAACAGUGUUAACUGAUAGAACAAUAUCAAAUUCAUGAACUAUACUGAGUAGUGUAGAUAUAAAGUCAGGUAAAUAAUGUCAAAUCAUAAAUGACCCAUUUGGACUAAUUUGACGUCUAUUUUUUGAAUGCCGUUUAUUCUGGUAUCUCAAAAUUGUUAUGUCUAAUUUAUUUAUUAUUUUAUGAAAUUUUUUAAAUGGCAUAAAAUCAUUAUUAUAUAAUAUCUUACAUGAUAAUAAUUAUUAUAUUUUGUGCACAUGAAUUCUUUAUUUAUUUUAUAAUAAAUAUUUUGAAUGGAGAAGUCUAUGGAGGUAUGUACUCUCCUCAUCCAUGUUUUAAAUUACGUACUCUUAGCUGAAAUUAUCGUGCGUAAUUGAAUAAAUUAAGUCAAAUUUAUUUUACUAAUUUUUGGACUUUUGUUUAAAUGUAACAUGGAUUGUUAAUGUAAUUUGGACUUAAACUCCAGGAGGUUUUGGUACCACUAGUAUUUUAUUGAAAUUAUUUUAUAAUUAGAUAAUAUUAAAUUAUUAUUUAUAUGAAAUAAUUUGAGUUUGAAAUUGUUGCUUUGAUUUAUUUUUUCCAUGACUAUAUUGACAAUUAUUUAUCAUUGUUAAUUUGAGAAAUUUUUAUUUUUUGGUACAUGGUACAUAAAAUUAAAAUAUUCAAUUGAAUUAUUAAAUUAUUCAUAAAAUUCAAAACACUCGGUUUGAAUGUAAUAAAUUACUUACUGAUCUAGUGAGGCAUAUUCGAUUUAAGUUUCUCACAAAAAAAAAUAUUAUACAUAUAAUAAUCCAUCGAGAUAUGCAUUAAUUAUUAGUGUCUCAUACAAGAAUGAUCAAUUUUUAAUGACCUAAAGAGAUAUAUUAUGGUUAAUUAUCUCGUAAAAAAUGGUCAAAUUGCAUACACUUAGUUAAGUAUGCAAAUUAAAAUUAUGGGUAAUCCAAAUUUCCUGAUAAAAAAAAUAUAAUAAGUUAAUGUGGGUGUUUGGCUACCAAAGUAGCAUACUCAUUGAGACUUGCAAGAUUUUCUCAUGUACAGGAAUAAAAGUAUUUUCAAAUUAUCUUAUACAAUUGUCUGCCCAAAGGGUGUUAUUGUGCUUGGUAAUUUUCAGUGGACAUGAAGCAUCAUAGUUAAGGAUAUGCUAGUCUAAAAGGUCUGCCUACCCAAAGGGAAAGGCUUUUCAAAAACUAAAACAUUUUCAUAUUGACUUCAUGUUAAAAAUGCCUAAUCGCAUAUCACAUUCUCUGUCCAAAGGGGAGAUUGUGAUGAUGCACUUGAACUUUUCAGUUUAAUUACCAAUAACACAUCAUGAGCUAGUACUAUUUGUAUAGAUUGUUGCUUAUAUAUAUAUAUAUUUUUUUUCUUGAAUACUAAAGUUGAUUUGGUGAUAAAAAUUAAGAAGCUGUAAUUAAAAGUUAUAAAAAGUGAUUCAGAGCUUAAUUAAGUCAUAGGUGUUUUCUUGGACAUAAUCGUUAAGUAUUGAACAUUUUAUUGAUUAUUGUCCCAUUGUUUUAAAAUGUUACAUUUUGUGAUGACAAAAGUGUUGUACCUAAGACAAUUUGUAAAUACUUUGAAUAUUGUUUAGUCAUAUGAAUCCAUGAAAAAUAAUUGUUAUAUGCAUGGUUAGCAAGUUUGGUAAAUUACUUUGUUUUAAUUUAUCAUAGUUUGAUAAAGUAAUUUUAUGAAAGAUCAUGCUUAUGUAAAAUGUAACAUGUGAAAUUAAAUUUUAUUAUUUUGAGAUCAUGUGUUAUGUGUGACAAAUAUGUUUAGCAUGCUUACAAUGUUUUAGUUUUAUAUAUCAUAUAAUUAUAAUUUGGAAUAUCAGGCAUUAAGUUUAAAGCCUAAUAAAGUGGAUAAUGUGAUAUACAUUUAAGAAACUCAUAUUUUUCAUAGACAUAUGAAACAUGUUAUUGGUUAUAAUGAUUUAUGAAAAAUAUUUAAAUUUUAUGUUAGUUUGCUGAAACAGUGAGAGAGUAUUGUUGUUAAAGUUAUGCAAUAAUGUUAUGAGAAAUAACAUGUGUUCAAUAAUUGCAUAGUGAAUUUGUUUCACAUAAAUUGUUAGACUUGCUUUUAGAAUCUUUUGCUUUUUCAAAAUACUUACUAAACCAAGUAUGUUUUCAUAAGAUAUUAGUUGUCUUAUAAUAAUAAUAUUAUAAUAUGUUGAAAAAGUAGCAAGUAAAAAUUUAUUUUUUAGUAAGCAUUUAGAGCAUGUCUUUGGAUAUGAUGAAAUUUGAUAAAUAUUACCAUAAAGAUCUUAAGUAAUAAAAAUAAAUGAGUUGUGAAAGAAAAUGGACAAGAGUAAAAAUUUUAGUCUAUAAAAGUAGGUAAAAUUAGUUUUGCAAAUUUCAAAAUAUUAAAAGUUUAAACUAAAAUGUGCUAUUAUUAAAGCUUGCUAGGUUAAUUAGCUUAAAUGUUUUUGUCAUAACUCAUAUUUAGUAAAAGUUUAAACUAAAAUGUGCUAUUAUUAAGGCUUGCUAGAUUAAUUAGCUUUAAUGUUUUUGUCACAACUCAUAUUUAGUAAUAUUGAAAAUAUUAUAUUACAUGAACAUGAGAUUGGUUUAUAUUAUAAUCUUUGUUUGUAUAUGAUUAUCUAAAAAAAUAUACAAUGUUGACAUUCAUCAUAUACGGUUAUGUUGAGAUUUAUAAUAUGACGAUUGUGUAAUUUGUUGAAUCUCAUGCAAAUAUAAAGUAUCAACAUGAGUAGAUAUUCUUUUUGGCCUGUUAAUUUUUAAUUUUGAAAUUUCUUAUAGUCAUAUUUGAAAGAUUGAAAUGCCAUAAUAAAGUUUUAUUAAUUGUUCAAAUAAUUUACUUGGUAAUAUGGUAUGCUAAGUAUUUAUAUUGAUUGAAAAGCAUGACUUAUGGAACAUGAUUUGCAAAUUUUUUUAAGGUGCGUAAAAUGAUAAUGGACAUUCUAAGUUUUAACAUUUAGUGAUUCGUAGAGGUACAUUUAGAUUAGUAUUUCACUUGGAGUGAUCAUAUGUAUAAAUAAACAUAAAAAAAUCAAUAGACCUAUAAUGAUUAUAAAAUUUUUUAUGUUGUUAUGGUAUUAUCUUUAAAUUAUUACAUGUAAUUGUGUGCCUAAAAAGGGUGAUUAUAUGUUUUUAAUUUAGAGAUAAUUAUGAAAUAUUUUAUGAAGUGAAAAUAUAUAUAGACCUAGGGAAUUUAUCUACCUAAAGAAGAUAUAUUUUUGAAAAUCUUUAUAUUUUUCAUUAUUUUAAAGUGUAAUCACACAAAAGAUAUAAUAUUUUCUUUAAAAGAAUGUCCAACAUUAAAUUUACGAUGUGGCACAUUUAUUGUUUUGAUAAGACUAGUAAAGAUAUUAACCAAUUAAAGUCUUAUCUAUUUAGAUUGUUGAUUGCCUUUGUACUCAAAUUUAAUAUGCUAGAAAAAAUAUCAUUAUAAGUUAAUGUCUACCAUAAGUGAUAAGUUUUUUAAUGUUUUGUACAACAUAGUAUAUGUGUAAAUUGUUAGUCACUUUAAUUUAUCACAUCUAAGGAAAUACAUUUGUUGUAUAGUAUCUUAUGAUAGUCAAGAGAAUUAGCUUUCACACAAAAAAAUUUUAGACUUAUUAUGAUGUCCCAAUUUGACUUAAGUAAAAUUGAGAGUUUUUAAAAAUAAUUUCAUUUGAUAAAUAUUUAUUUUGGUUAUUUAACUUUCAAUUAAGAUAAUGAUUUGAUUAUCUUAGUUACCUUUAUCAAAUAUAGUAGUUAUCAAUUUUAAAGGACAUAUUGUUGUUAUUUGUUUACAAUGUGUUUUAAAAAAAAUUUAAUAUUUUCUUUUAAAAAAACUCACAUGAAGGGUAGAAUAUUGUUGUAUACGUAUCACAUGUGUGAGAGUUUUGAGGAAUGAAGUUUUGUAAAAAUAAAUAAAACUAUUUGUUUUGUUUUACUAGUUCAAUUCUUUUCUUAUUAAUCUUUCUCAAAUUUUGUUGAUUUACUUUUUGAGAGAGAACAUGAUUUUAUAAUUUUCUCUCAUUUCACUUCACUUGUUUUAAAUUUUAUAUGAAGUAAUUUUGAGAAUUAUUUCAAAAAAUGAUAAUAUAAAGUUAUUAUUAUUAUUAUUAUUAUUAUUAUUAUUAUUUUAUUAAUGUCAAACUUAUUCUUUUAAAGGAAGUGAAAAUCAUUGGGAGUUCUUCUACAUAUGUUUUUAAAUAUUAAGAACUCAUAAAUGUUAUAAAAGUUAUUGUUUUGGGGAUAUCAUAUAUGUUAAGAUCUGUGAGAGUUAAUAGGCUAUUGGUAUAGGUAUGUUAUAAAAGUUAUUGUUUUGGGGAUAUCAUAUAUGUUAAGGUCUGUGAGAGUUAAUAGGCUAUUGGUAUAGGUAUGUUUAAGACAUAAAGAAUUGAUAAUUUAAUGAAUUUUCAAAAUUUUCAAGAAUGAUCUCAUGUUAAAACAUUAAGAAUUUUGUGUUGCAUUGACAUAUGAAUAUAAAGAUUUAUUCAUAAUAUGUUAGCAAUUUGCAAGUGAUUUAUUAAAGUGAUAACAUGAAAAUCCAAAAACGAUAAUAGUUAUCACAUUUGGCAUUAAGGUAAAUAAUAUGUAAUUUUAUUAUGACUUCAUUUAUUGAAAUGCUCUUUAUUUAUUAUUCAAAGUUUGAUUGGAGCAAGUUUGUGAUUCGUUAGAUUAGUGUGAGUCAUUGUGAUUUGAUUAUAUGAUGGCAUGUUUUCUCUAUGUGAGGAUUAUGGGUGUUAUGAAACUCAUGAUAUGGAUAUCUACAUGUAUAGAAAAUAAAACCUAUUAAGGUAUUGAAUUUAGUAUGACAAUGAUGCAUUGUAAAUUUGUUUUUGAAACUAUUAUCAUUUUGGGUUUCUUUACAUUGUUAAAUGUUUUGCAUAUGAUUACUAAUUACUUAUAAGAUAUAAUUUGAGAUGAAUAAGUCUAUGACGUACCAUCAAAUUAAAUGGACACAAUUGUUUUAUAUAUACAUCAUAAUUAUAAUUUAUACAUAUAUUUAUUAUUACAUGUGCACAUCUUAUAUUGAAAUGUCAUAUUAUAAAAUCUUAAGACUGGAUAUCUAUUUUAAGUAUAAUUUUAAUAUCAUUUAAGUAUGUCUCAUAAAUGAUACCAAUAAAUAAUCUUGAGGAUAAAAAAGAGACAUAUAAUUAUAUUUGAAUGUCAUGAAGAUUUUUCAAUAAAUUUAAAAAAAUCAAUAAAAAGACUAAUAAUGAAAAUAAUACCUAAAUAUUAUUUUUUGCUACACGUCACACUAAAAUCUAUUUUAUAUAUAAUCUUUGACACUUAUAAUUAUGAAUUGAUCUUAUGUCAAUAAAUGAUUACAUAAAGAGCAAUGAUGGUAGAAAGAUUAUUUUUUGGAUAAAAAUUUAGAUGUUGAAGCGGUUCUUAUAAGAGACGAUCCUCUAUAGUUUACCAUUCCAAACAGCAGAGCAGAUCUCCCGCAUCACUCUCUGCCUCUUCCAUUCCACGUCCGACCAUUAUUUUGGUUAUAUAUCGGAACUGUUUUACCCGAAGUUGAGGUUGAACCAACGGCAGGUGAACAGCGCGUGUCAUUUACCGUACAACCAAAACGCAGCGUUUGGCUCUACUCUCCAAAACCCACACAAGCAUGUCAGGCAAGGCAGGCAAAGAUAGAAGUCCAACAUUUUUCUCCUGCAUUUUCCCGCAGUAGAAAGUGAAGCAAUUUUUUUGGUUAGUUUGAUGAUUGAAAGGAAAAUGAAUUCUUAUAUCUGUAAACCAAUUCCUUUCGUCCAAGCUCCAACAAUUUUUUUCAACUCAUCUAAAACUCUUCUCAUUAAAUUCCCCUAUUCUUUUUCUUUCCAUAAACCCUGUAAAAACGCUUUCAAACCUAAAUUAAGCUUUAUUAAACGCAAAAACCCCACUAUUACUGCGUCCAGUGAUUCCACUUCCAGUUCGAGUUCCGACUCAGUUGUCGCUUCCACCAUUGUCGAGGAAGAAGAUGCCGACUCCACUCAGUUAUUCGAAGUUUCUUUAUUUUUUUUUUACUGAUGAUAUAGCCCUUUUGAUCAAUGAGAAAAUAAUGUUGGGUGCGGAAAGUUGAAAUGGAAAACUUAGAAAUCUGAUUGCUUGUUGCUUUUGGUUUUUGGACGCAAAGAGCAGAUAAUAUAAUUUUGAAUGAUUAGAAGCUAAAAAUUUUAACUUUUGUGAAUGAAAAUAGGCGUCAUUUUACUUUCAUAUGGAACAAUUAUGUCUAACGGUGUGUUACUUUUCUAACUGUUUGCUCAUUUUUUUCAUCAAAUAUGAUUUUAGUUCAUACUGUUUUCUUUCAGCUGUAUUUAAUGAAGUAACAAGCAAGCAGCUAAAGUAACAACAAAUGAUAUUGCAUUUUGGCAAUGUUUUUUGAAGUAAAAAGCCAGUUGCAAGAGCAACAGCGUAAUGAUACCUUAUAUAUAGCCACACAGGUCUAAUGGUAUUUGAUGCCAAGUAGAGAAUCUGAAUAUGUUGUGUGGCUUCUUAUGGAUUAUGAAAUGCUUAACAGAUUUCGUAUAUGUGGAAUAAUUCAUCUAUUUGUGCAGUUUUUAAUUAUUAAAAUGGAUAUAUAUCAAGUUUCUUCCUUUGUUGUCAUAGAUACUUUUGUAGAUUUAAUCUAUGAAUAGUCAGUAUUACAUCUUAUGAGCUCUAUGUUUUUCCAUAAAUGGGCAAAUUGUUAUUUUCCUAACUAUAUAGGAAUCAUUUUCUUUGAAAGCAUAUAAAAGAAUUCCUAAGUUCUUUAAUGAUACACUGGAACAGUGAAACUGGUGUUUCAGAGUUAGUUUUACUCCUCUACUGCUGAUUGCUGAUAUGGGUACUUUUCUUGUUGCUUGCUUCUUUUACUUCAUCAAACUUAGCUGAAAGAAAUAACCUCUACAUUCAUUGGCGACCACAGAUUAAAUAGCUCAGGGAGAAUAACCUCUACAUCAUCUGGUAUCUGAACUUUGUGAGCAUAAUCACUCUUAUCUUGUAGAAUUUUAUUCCUACAAAAGUGUAGUUAAAACUUCCUUGAAUCAAACUUUAAGAUGUUGGCAUUUUUCCCUCCAGAAUUUGCACUUUAAGGAGUCAGGAUCAUGGACUCUAGAUUUACAUUGUCCUUAUUAUCUUUUAGAAUGCCUACUGGUUUUCUAAUGAUUGAAUAUCCUGUGGGUUUUCCUUUCCUUUUAAGUUUUGUUAAUUGCAAUAAUAUUCCAGAAAUUAAAGGAUGCAGAGAGACAAAGAAUAAAUAAACUGGAAGAGCUUGAAAGGAAGGCUGACUUACAGUUAGAGAGACAGCUUGUCAUGGCUUCCAGUUGGAGCAGAGCACUCUUGACCAUGCGUGGAAAGUUGAAGGGGACAGAGUGGGAUCCUGAGAAUUCACACAGAAUUGACUUUAGUGACUUUAUAGGACUUUUUAACUCGAACAAUGUUCAAUUUAUGGAGUUUUUGAAUUAUGGUCGGACAAUUUCAGGUAAGAAAGUUUUUCUAAACUUGUUUUAUCUCACAUUAAAUCUUUGGCUCUUUGCUCGCCACUUAAUCUGUGGUCGUUGUUUGUCUGUUUGCAGCUUCUUUUAUUAUGGAUUUUGGUUUGCACUUCACAAUAAAAUGCAGUCAUAGUUAUGGGACCAAAUUUAUAAGGUUAUUAUCUUUGAGCUAUUUGAUAAUGUAGAGGUUGUUUCAUAAUGCAUUGUUUUACUUGUAACUGCUAUAACUAUUGACUAUGAAUGGUCUUACUUAGGUUUUCUUAGAUGCAAACAUGUAUGAAGGGCUAAUUGUUGUCCAUUUCCACUAAAAUAGGAGGCUAAGAUUACUAUAUCUAUCUAUAUUGAUAUUAUUUGUUAUUUUAUAACUGGUUUUGGAAUCAAGUGUUAAGCUUUUGCUAUUCACAUAUUGUGAAGGGUUUCUGUGACACCUUUUUAAGAGGCUAUUUGGUGUGAUUGCAUAUACAUGACAUCAUACAUGCUAAUAAAGGAUUGGAUAGAGCGUUAUGUUCGGAUUUCAUACAUACGUUGCUGUAUGAAUUGGAUUCCUCCAGUUCUUUUUUAAAACAGUACUGGUGGACUUAGAUGGUGGAUUAUAUUACAGAAGGGUAGUGUAGCACAAUGAUUUUAUGUUGUUCUUUACCAGGUUACUGUUGUUUUUCAUUUCUUCAAACAUCAGUAAAUUAGGAUGUGAAGAACAGGUGCAUUUGUCCUAAAACCAAAUGAACUUGAGUAACAGCCAUUCAGCUCUAGGGAUUUUAAAAGAACCUGGAUAUCAUUUGUUUAUUUGUGAACCAAUGAUUGUUAAAGAAAAACAGGAAAAUAGCAUCGGAAUAGGAAUAACUUUGUUUGCAAUAGGACAAGUGGUCCGGUUUUGUCCAAGUAGGACUCGGGUAAUACUGUUUUUAUCUGUGUUAUACGAGCCUCACAUAACUUUUCAAUUUUGCUGACUCUUAGGACUGAUAUUAGGUUCUGGAAGUCUAGAAUGCUCAUUGAAUAAUGGGACGAAGGGAUCUAAAUUCAAUACUGAAAUGUUUGUACCUUGAUCUUGAACAUAUGAUACUGGAAGUAGGUUCACUAAAAUUGUCCUAAGUUAUGCUGAGGACAUUGAUAAUUUCAGUUGGCUAUUGUUAUGCUUUUUUCCUAUUUUUUCAUCCCUAAUGAUGUUCUUUUGCUUGCCUUUUGUUCCAUAAUAUUGUAUCCUAAGUGCUGUGAAGUCUUCGUUUUUACUUGAAGUACCCAUGUCAGGGUUCUAACUUUACUGCCUUUAACCAGGGCAAAAUUUAUAUCAGCAGAGGAAUGAACUUAUGGUACUUUUUGAUGAUUUUGUUGGUCAAAAUAUAUAAGAGGAACUUAUAAGAGAAUUGUACAAAUUUUUAAAAAUGAUGAAGAGUUCCAAAUAAAGGUAUCUUUUGCCCAAAUCAGGUUUUUUUGCUCCAUGGGCCUCCUGGGACUGGUAAAACACUACUGGCCAAAGCCUAUUGUUGGUGAAGCAGGACUACCAUUUCUUUGGCAGCAAAUGGCACUGAUCUGUAGAGGUGAGAGCUGGUUUCUUUACAAAAUUUCAUUGCUUUUAAUUUAUCAGAGUUAUCUUUGGAUUUUUCAGAUGCUUUAUUUUUAGGCUUUGUCCUAAAACAUCUUUAGGAAAAUAUGCCUUAAAUCAAUUGAAAUGAGGAGAAAUUUUAAAUGGCCUCUUUUUCCUCUUAAACUGUUACUCUUUCUUUUUCAGCUUAUUUAUUUCUUUAUACCUGGGUUGCUGUUUAAUCUUGUUGCUUUAUGUAUUUCAAAGGAUUCAUGGGUAGGAAAAUUUUGAAUAUGGUCUAUCAUUUAGCUUAUCAAUGGUUGUUCUCGACUGAAUCCAUGCCUUAAUUUUGUCAGUCCGAAUACCGUUCCUUGGUAUUGGUAUGUAAUGGAAAUUAGGUUUUAUAUGAUGUUGUAUUUGUAAUUUCAAGGCUUAUUUUGCCUUGAGUGUUUAUGUUUUGAGCUAUUAAAGGUACAGUUUAAAUGGUAGAAUGCUUAUUGAUUUAUGACUACCAGUUUAUUAUUUUUGAUGAUGCAAUUAUCAUGCAUCACUUUUGUGGGAAAACACUUAUUUAUAGCUGGUUGUAAUCUUGUAAUCUGUAUAUUUAGAUUUGUAUCUCUUGAAUUAAGCAUUUGUAUUAAGGACAGAAAAUUAGGAUAGACAAUCUCUUAAUUAUAUGAUUAGUUUUAAGAAGAUUUAGUUUCCUAGUUUACCCACUAGUUAGUUGUAUAUAAACCUAAGGUGAUUGUAUAAUUCUUUAUGAGUAAUUUUUUGAUAAACAUUCAGUUUUACUCUUAGUUUUUCACAUAGUUUUAUUUCUUAGCUUUUUCACAUGGUAUUAGAGCUCUAGGCUCUUCUUGGGAAGAAAAUUCUUUCGACUUUCAUUGCUAAAUUCUAUUUCGGACCUUCAUAGCUAAAUCUUAUUAAAUUUUUCAGUCUUAUUUUUCCUUCUUUGGCCUUUAUUGUCUAAAAUCAUCUCUGGUUAAACCUUUAUCAUCAAGACUCGUUUCAAUCCUGAGAAAGAUAACUAUUGGCUAUAUAUAGCAAAAUCUGUUACUACUACCCCGAUUUGAAGAGGGACAGCUAGUAAAACCACCAGAGUAUUAAUAGAAGUCUUGAGAAUAAAAGAGUGGACAUAGAAGAGGAUUGGAAAAACUAAAAGGCCUAUUGAAACUCUUGAAAAGCCUAUUGGGUAUGUUCUUUGGUAAGGUUUCUAGUUCAAGUAAAGCCUUCUAGUCUCAUGGAUUUAAUUUCUUAGUUAAAGCUUAUUAUGAGUUCUUAGGUCAUUGAACUUAGGAAGCCAAAGACAAUAUGACACAUUCCUCACAAAAAUUUAGUACAUAUACCUUGUGUUCUGGUAAUAAGAAAAUUGUUGUUGUAGAUGGUUCACUUACUAUAGUGGCAAGAUUAGGAGAUGUUCAAAUUAAUCCCUCAUUUGUUCUUAAAAAUGUUCUUCAUAUUCUUGGAUUGUCUACUAAUCUGAUAUCUACACAAACUUAGUUGAGACAUGAACUGCAAAGUGACUUUUUAUCCUUUCCAUUGUGAAUUUCAAGACCAGAGUUCGAGGAAGAGGAUUGGACUUGCUAAGGAAAAAGAUGGACUGUACUAUCUUGAAACAUCAAACAACACAAGUAAUAUCAAUGAUAGUUUUUCUUUGUCAUUUCUUUCAGAAAAAUCACCUAAUAUAGACAAAAUCUGGUUUUAUCAUUUUUGUCUUGGACAUCCGUCUUUUAGAAUUUUGAAAGACAUGUUUCCUUCUUUGUUCAAAGGAUUAAAUGCCAAAAUUUUUCAUUGUGAUGUUUGUGAACUUGCAAAGCAUAGAUGUGUUUCUUUUCCAGUUAGCAAUAAAAGAAGUUCUACUCCUUUUUACUUAAUUCACAGUGACAUAUGGGGUCCCUCUACAAUUCCUAAUAUUUCUGGUGCAAAGUGGUUUGUUUCUUUCAUAAAUGAUUGUACUAGGGUCCUUUGGAUAUUUUUAUUUAAAUCCAAAUCAGAUGUGAAUAGUGUGUUUUUAAGCUUUCCAAAAACAUGAUCCAAAAAUCAAUUUGAGUGAAAAUCAAAGCAUUUAGUUUGAUAAUGCCAAGAGACUAUUUCAACCAAAAAUUUAUCUUACUUAGCUCCAAAAGGAAGGGAUUAUCAUAGUCAUCUUGUGUUAAUACUGCAUAACAAGAAUGGAGGGGUAGGAGAGGAAGAACCGCCAUGUACUAGCCACAACGUCGAGCUUACUGUUUUUCAAGCAAAUGUACCCGAAUCCUACUAGGGGGAAGCUGUUCUCACUGCCACACACAUUAUAAAUAGGUUACUUUCAAAAGUUUUGGGAUUUAAAACUCUUAUGGAAUAACUCUUACAAAUCUAUCCCAACUUUAAUACCACAAACAACCUCACACUUAGAAAAUUUGGUAAUACAUCAUUUGUUUAUGCUCAUAGUCAUGACAGGGGGAAGCUGGAUCCUAGAGAAACUAAGUGCAUUUUUGUGGGAUAUUCAUCAACUCAGAAACUGUAUAAGUACUAUCAUCCUCUUACAAAAAAAUUGUGUCUACAAAUGUCACUUUUGAAGAAAGUAAACCAUUUUUAACUUAACCUUAUCUUCAGGAGGAGACUUCAUUCAUGGAAGAUAAUGAUAAAGACUUUUUUUUGCUUGACUUGUCCUCCUUAUCAACAUUUUCACCUAUUAAUGCUUUUGAGUCUAAACCUGUUUCUUUGGAGUUCAAGUCAAACAUUGAAUUUGAGUCUGAAUCCAUUCUAAACACAAAAAAUGUGACAACAUAAUAUUGUUCUUGAUUCUAUGAAGGAAUUAUAGGUGUAUUCAGGAAGGAAAGUUCCAAAUCCUGAACCAAUGCAAAUCCAAGAACCUGAUCUUAACUUUGAAAAUGAGGUAACUACAGUCUUUGACUCUAUUUCUCAAAAUGAGUAUAAAUCUCCUAAAAUUAUAACUAGUGAUUAUGAUCUACCUAUUGCCAUUAGGAAAGGAAUCAGAGAACGUACUAAGCAUCCAUUAUACCCAAUCUCUAAUUUUGUGUCAUUUGAAAAAUUUUCUCCAUCCCACAAAAAGUUCCUUUGUGAGCCUAAACACUAUUUUUAUUCCAACUACAUUAUCCUAGGCAUUAUCUAGUGAGAAAUGGAGGCAAGCCAUGAAGAUAGAAAUGGAGGCCUUAGAGAAAAAUAAGACAUGGGAACUGGUAGAGUUGCCUAAAGAAAAAAAAUCCAAUUGGGUGUAAAUGGGUUUUCAUUGUAAAAUACAAGGCAGAUGAUACUGUUGAAAGGUAUUAAGCCAGGUUGGUAGCUUCAAACUUAUGGAAUGGAUUAUCAAGAAACUUUUGCUCUAGUUGCCAAAAUAAAUACAGCUAGGAUUUUGUUACAUUGGCUAUAAAUUACAAUUGGCAGCUUUAACAAUUUGAUGUAAAGAAUGCUUUUCUUCAUGGUCAUUUGGAGGAAGAAAUAUAUAUGAAGGUUCCACCAGGAUUUGGAGGUCAUCUAGAAGCAAACAAAGUAUGCAAGCUGAAAAAGGCUUUAUAUUGCCUUAAAUAGUCUCCUGGGGCUUAGUUCAAGAGAUUUGCUAAAGUGAUGCUAACAAUGAGAUAUAAGCAGAGUCAAGGGGAUCACACAUUGUUUAUCAAGCAUUUUGAUUCAGGGAGAGUCACAGUUCUAUUAAUGUAUGUUGAUGAUAUAAUUGUAAUUGGAGAUGACGAAAAAAAAAGAGAAUCUCUACAAUAGUGUUUGGCUAGAGAAUUUGAGAUAAAAGAGCUAGAGAGAUUGAAGUAAUUCCUAGGAAUUUAUGUAGCUUACUCAUGGCAUGGUAUUUUUAUCUCACAAUAGAAAUAUGUGAUGGAUUUUUUGAAGGAAACUAGGAAGCUCACAUGUAAACUUGCCAAACCCCCUACAGAUCCUAAUCAUAAACUUAAAAAAGCCAAUGAAGAUGCUACUGUAGAUAGAGAGAUGUACCGGAGAUUAGUUGGAAGACUCAUUUAUCUCUUACAUGCUAGACUUGAUAUAGCAUAUGCUGUGAGUGUGAUAAGUCAAUUUAUGCAUAGUCCUAAAGAAGUGCACCUACAAGCUAUCUACUGUGUAUUGCACUAUUUGAAGGCCAAUCUUGAGAGAGGUAUCUUAUUCAAAAGAAAUUUGGGGCUGGUUCUAGAGGCCUAUACAUAUGCGAAUUAUGCAGGUUCAAUAACGAAUAGAAGAUCCAUCUUAGGACUCAGGCUACUACACUUUCCUAGGUGGUAAUCUUGUGACUUGGAGAAGUAAAAACAGAAUGUGGUGGCAAGAUCAAGUGCUGAAGUAAAGUUCAGAGCAAUGGCUCAAGGAAUUUGUGAACUACUAUGGUUAAAGAUUAUCCUAGAAGACUUGAAGAUCAAGUGAAUUGGACCAAUGAGACUUUAUUGUGAUAACAAAUCUGCAAUAAGCAUUGCACAUAAUCUUGUGCAACAUGACAGAACAAAACACAUUGAAGUAGACUGACAUUUUAUGAAGGAGGAACUAGAUAGUGGAUUGAUUUGUACGCCUUAUGUAUCAACUAAGGGUCAACUUAUAGAUAUUUUGACUAAAGGUUUCAUUAGUGCAACAUUUCAAGAAAUUAUUUCCAAGCUGGGAAUAGAAAUUAUUUCCAAGCUGGGAAUGGAAAACACCUAUUCAUCAGCUUGAUGGGGAGUGUAGGAAAACACUUGUUUAUAGCUGGUCGUAAUUUUUUAAUCUGUAUAUUUAUAUUUGUAUCUUUAGAAUUAAGUAUUUGUAUCCCUAGAAUUAAUGAUAGAAAAUUAGGAUAGAUAAUCCCUUAAUUAUAAGAUUAGUUUUAAGAUGAUUUAGUUUGCUAGUUUACCUACUAGUUAGUUGUGUAUAAACCUAAGGUGCUUGUAUAAUUCUUUGUGGGCAGUUUUUCAAUAUAUAUUCAGUUUUAUUCUUAGUUUUUCACACAGUUUUAUUUCUUAAUUUUUCCAUAACUUUUGAUGAUUGCAUGAUUGAUUCUUUUGACCAUUGUACAGCCUACCGUCAAUCCACUAGAUGAAUAUGGAGCCCUAAUUUAUGCUGGGGGAUGGGGAAUCCAUGAGAUCAAACUUCCAGGGAGGGUUACAUUUGCACCUGGAAAUGCUGGUUUUUCAACUUUUGGUGCACCACAUCCCAUAGAGGCAAGUGGGCCAGACUUUAUUUGAUCAUGUUUUUCAUUUAUGACAAUACAGCUGAGUUUUUAAAAAACUUUUUCAUUUUAUUUCUACAGACUCAAAUGAUUAGUGAUGAAACUUGGAAACUAAUAGAUAAUAUUUGGGAUAAGAGGGUUGAAGAAAUAAAAGCUGAAGCUUCAGGAGGUUGAAGUAGACAAGGAGAAGCCACAACUUUUGAUGGCCAGUCAUUUGCUUUGAAAUCAUGGUAAUGUUUUAUUCUUAGUCCGUGAGAAAUAUUUCAAUUUGAGGUGUUCCUUUUCUUCUCUAUGUCUCUCUCUAUUUAAUUUCUUUUGUGGUACAAAUGGAGGUAUUCUAUGUUGUAAAGCAUUCUUAUAUGUUAAGCUUAACUGUAUAUCUUUAUUUAUGAAACUGUUUUGCACAAUCACUAGGGGCUUUAUACUUGUGGUCUAGAGAGUUGACAUUUCUGCAUAAUUUAUACAUGAUGGCAACUUUGCUUCACUGCAAACUCCAGGACUACAUACGGUUAGUUAAUACUCCUUGUCAAUUGAGCCAUCCUCUUUUUUGCAAGUGCUAGAUGCCAAUGGGUCUGAGGUCAGUUGUAUGCUUUAAUUUGAAGAGCAAUAUACAUCAUUGCAAUCUAAGACAAACCCUUCAAGGCAUUCAAAAAUUGAGUUAUGUAGCUAGCUGUAGAAUUUAAAUGAAUUUUGUCAGUGAUCCAAAGGGAAAAUUUCGGGGAGGCUAUUUUCAUUUGUAGAUUAAUCCAUGUAUUGUUCAUAUAUAGCAUUCCUUUUAGUUACAAAAAUAUGUAAUAAUUAUAAGUUAAAAGUUUACUGGUAUUACCAUUUAAAUCCUGUCCAUGAAAAAUCAUUUUGAUUUGUUUGUCUUUGUUUUUGCUAGUCAAAGCAAGGCCAUUAUUAGACACGUCUUGACCAGAUUGGAUUACGUAUCAACCAAUUUGUCAGGCACUGCAAGAGAUUUCAGGUAAUUGGAAAGUCUGCUAACAUGAGAGCUUUGAGCUAGUUUAAUUUUCUGCGUUUGCUUUGUGAGAAUAUUCCAUUGAAGUGAGGAAAAAUAGAUAAAUUUUAUUAUGAACUCGAAUCAUUUCUUGAUAGUAUGGUUAGACUCUAAAAGUGAGGAGGUCAAGAUCUAAAUCUUCAUGAAACCUCCGUCGAGAUGGAAACUUGGGAAGGAGAGCAGCGAUUCGUUUGGCACUUUCCAAAUAUGAUGCAUACUUAAUGAUGAUAGAAGUAUCAUUCUUUUCUGCAUCAAUUUUGUCUCGGUCCAUGCUGAUUGCCUGAAAGGCACUAGCCAAAGGCAAGACAUGGAUACCAUGACCAUUCUCCUUUCCUACCAGGUCCUUAAGCGCCUUCUUCUUGAAAGUCCAGCUGCCAGUUCUCAGGUUGAAAUGGUAUAGGGGAAGAAAUCGUUGGCCAUAUAUGGCUACGAACUCCAUUGCCGCAAGAAUGUAUUCAAACUCCUCAUUUGACAUGUAGUAAGGAAAGCUGACUCUUGUCCAUCCAGGUUUUACUCCUGUGUAGCCCUGCAAUCAAACUUUGCAAUUGGCAUUAGAUAAGUUGAAUUAUAUUUUAUCUUUCUUUCAUUUGGUCCCAAAAAAAAGGAAAAUUUUGUACUGAUACCCUGUUAAUAGCUUCUCUUAAGGCAAGGGAUCGAGUCUGAUCAAUAUCAAGUAAACUGUGGCCAUAAGGUCCAGCACAAGCACAUCCACCCCGAGCUUGGAUGCCAAACAGAUCAUUUAGGAGGGUUGCAACAAAAGGGCCAUGGAGAGGUUUAUCCCUCUUGUUCCCAGUCUCUCCCCACAUGAAAAGUCCCCUCCCCUUUUCCUCUGCCUGGUCAACAUUAUUACCAUCGUUGGUUGUGGAGUAGACGAGGAAAGACAGUAUGGCUUGUCUUUGGGUCUCGGUGCUUGCAUUUCCUAAAACCCAUAUGUUUUGGUUUGGGAGAAGCCUCUCCAAUGCUUGAUUUAUGUACGACUUCUCCUGCUUUGCAAUCACUUCAUAACCAAUAUAUUCUUUUACCCAAAAAGCCAAUGCUGCUCUAAUAAUCUGAAUUAUUUGAGGAGUCCCUCCAUUUUCCCUUUCUUCUAUGUCACCUGCAUAUAAUGUGUCCUGCAAAAUAAAAUUCCCAUUUUACCACAUAUUAAAUUGCAUACCUGCGUCUCUAAAUGCAAGGGAAUGAGCCUGACCGAUAUCAGGAUAACUUAUCAUUCUCUGGAGUAUGGUUCCAUUUACCCUGUUGUGCAGUUAAUGCCUGUAUUCCUUACCAAACACGUGUAAUAACAAGUAUAUGUCUACUAAGAAAUUUGGUCGGAAAUCGCUCUUCUUCUAAAAUUGUAAUUAAAAUAAAUAUUUUUUAAAGACUCACUAGUGGAGAUUUAAACCAGCUUAAUCUGAAUCAGGAAUUUAUUUCUAGACUCCAAGAAGCCCAACAGCUACCUACCAAAUCAUUCUUUAUGUCUUCAGUUGAAGAAGGAAACCAAAUUUCUUACAAAAUGGGAGAUAUAACCAAGAACAAAAAAAAAAAAAUGAUAAAGCAUAGACAAUUUUCCAUUUUAUAGUAGAGAAGUUAACAAAAAAUAAAAUCUUUCAUCUAUUAAAUUGAAUUAAUCUGAACACAUAAAUAUAAUAAAAAUCUCUUCAUUUAUUAUCAAUUAAUUUUAAAUUAAAUGGAUUAAUUUAAAAUUAAAUAUCCAUUCUAAAAUUUUACAUUGAAAAUAAAUUCGAGAGUAAUUACCUGUUCAUUGAAACCAUUGACAUAAUUAACAGUUCCACCUCCACAAGUUGAUGGAGGAGAAGAUCCUAACUGAUAGAGAGCGUUGCUCAUUAGAAGGAUGCCGGGUGAUCCAGGGCCACCUAAAAACUUAUGUGGACUAAGGAAAAUAGCAUCAUAUCCAUCAAUCUCCCCUGACCUCAUAUCAAUCUCCACAUAUGGACCACUAUCCACGGAAACAAAAUGAUAAGCACAAUAAAAAAUGAAACUUCUCAUGGUUUUAACAUUAACACAAUAUAGAAACUUGGUUAAUAGUUGCGUCAUCUAAAAUUAAAAUAUUAAAAUUUUAAUUUUAAUGAUUAGAAUUUAAAUUCUGCCAAUCUCAAAUUUAAAAAUUUGGCAACAAUAAAAGCAAAUUCUUAUUGUGUACCUUGCUGCAAAAUCAAAGCAAACAAAACCUCCAUACUCGUGAAGAAGUUUGGCAAUCUCUCGAGUAUCUGGUUGAAUCCCAGUCACAUUACUACAAGCUGAAAAUGAACCAAGCAAAGGCCUAUUGGCGUGUUUAUACAACUCAAGCUGUUGUCUUAGUGCAUCAAUGUCCAUCAACCCAUUCUCAUCUAAACCAAUCUCCACAACUUCAGCAAGGCUUUGACGCCAAGAAAGCAAGUUGGAAUGGUGCUCGUAGGGGCCAAUAAAAACUACCCAUCUACUCUCAUUGAUUAAGCAAUUUAUUACCCCGUCCCUCAAAAUUGAUGGUACCGUAAUCCCCAUAACUUCUUGUAGCCUUUUAAUAGCAGCCGUAGUGCCUGAGCCACAAAACAGAAUUGCAUCAUCUUGGCCACCACCUAGACAUCUUUUAAUGUAGUUUGAUGCUUCAUGCACCAUUUUCGUCGUUCUGUACCCCACAAAACUGUCACACGUGUGAGUGUUCCCUACGCAAGAACGAAGCAAGAUCAGCUGACAAAUACUAGAAAACCAUCCCCCCCCCCCCCAAAAAAAAAAAAAUUAUACUAGAAAAUGGCACAUCAUUUUUGUUGAUUAAGUCAGAGUACCACAAUUGAAGAUCAGAAACAAAAAACCUUUACCAUAGAAUGGCAGAACAUUGGUGACGAUGAAGUUUUCGAUAUAGUGAAGAGAGCGAGCCGAUGAAGUAUGAUCAGCAUAAGUAAGUUUUCUAGUUCCAAAAGGAGAGUCAAAUUCUGCAUCACCACCAAUGAUUUGAGAUCGUAGCCAAGACAGCUUUUUCUCGGUGGAGCCAACCUUUGGCACACCCAUCUCUAGAGUCCUGAAUGACUCCGAACCUUGACAGAGUUUGCUGGAAACAUAGGAACAGCAUGUUGAUUCUGGUGACGUAUCCCUGUCACUACUGGUUGAAGUCUUACUAUCAUUUGCUGCGUUCAAUUUCGGGGCUUCAGUUGUUUCUCUAAACAUGGGUUGCUCUAACUCCAUUUCCCACCUAGAAAAAAUGAUUAAUGGCUGUUUUUAAUGUUGUUGUAGCUUAUGACGGGAGAAAGAAUGGAAAAAAUAAGAAGAAUGACAGGGAAGGAAGGCAGAAGCGGUUAUUUAUAUACUAGUUUUUUUUUUAUUGGCUGUGGGUGUCAACUAGAAGCCCAUCGAAAUCAACUGCUACUACCCAUGUAAUUUCUAUGAACAAAUAUCCACGUUCGUUCCCUGUUUCGAUCUACCAAGCUGGAUUUAUAAUUUUUCUCAAUCAUUCUAUCUCUUUUUUUGGCUAGUCGCUGAAAUUGACGUUGAAAUUUUGGAUUUGCAUAUACAUUUUUACUAUUAGAAAAAGGUCUAAACCGACAUAUUUGGAAGACAUUAGUAAAAUUUGACAUGAUUUCACCUCGUAUACAAUAUAUAAUAAACCAUAUUUGAUAAAGAAGAAAAAUAAAAGAAAAUGAAAUAAACAUGCAAAGGACAAAUAUUUUUCUUUCAUUUUGAUUUGAUUGGUGCGAACGGUGAAAAAUAUAAAAAAUAAUAAUAAUUUAAGUUGAAACAUUAUUUUUGGAAAAAAAUAAUAAUUUUUUCUUACACGCCUUUCACUCCUUUUCCUCUCACGAAACAACACGAUAGGACAAGGAACGAAUAAAAUACAAAGUACACGGUUUCAUUUAUUUAAUUAAUAAAACAAAAAAAAUGAAGUCGUCGGCGGACGGGGCUUUGACUCCCAAACCAUGGCCUCUGCACACCAAUAAGAAAAAUAUAGUUGGCUCAGAAACAAUGGGAUCUCUAAAUAGUUUGAACAAAACAAACUACAGAAAAUAGUAAGUCUUAAAGAGUUUUCAAAUUUCUCUUUCCUCUCCCCUAACGUUUAAAAGCAAAAGCACAUUGGAAUUUUUGUUAUUCUUUAUUUGAGGUUUUUCUUUUCUUAAUUAUUAUCGUCAUUUUUAGGUGGACUGUAGGAUACAGCAUUUACAGCUGAAUUUGGUCGGUGACUAUGGUCGGUUUUUGAAUGCUGGUUUGCUUUGUUUUUUUUUUUUUUGUUAUUAUUUAUUAUUUAUUUUUUUAUAAAUUGUAUUUAACAAAAUAAAGAAUAAAAUAUCUAUGAAAUGGAAUUGCCUCCUGUUAGCUUGAGCUUUCAAAAAUUCAUCCAGAUAAAGAUCCGACAAAGUUGGCUGUUUGACGGGGACUUCAUCAUUUAUAUUAUACCAAAUAGCCCGUGCAGCUGUUAGAAUAACAUUGAACCUUUCCUGCUCGACUUGUUCUGCCACUCGGCGUAUCCAAUCUGCUACUUUAAUUAGGAGAGCACUGCUACUUAGCCAGUAAAUGAUACAUUCACGUUCAUAUUCAGUAAGUUAUUUAAAAUUGAUUAAAUAAAUUUUAAAUUUUGAUUUAAUUACUAUUGAGUUAAAUUUAAAUAUUUUAAUAUUUGAUUUAAUAAAUCGUAAAUUUAAUCAAAAUUUUAUAUUUUAUAUAUUUUUAUUAUUUUAAUGAAAAUAUUAAUAUUUUAUUUUUAUAUAUCAAUUUAAAUUUAAAUUAAAAUAUAAAUAAUUAAAUUUAAAAUAAAACAUGAAAUCAAAUUUUUUUAUUUGAUAAAUGAAUCUAAUAAAACAAAUUCAAAAAAUUUAAUUUUUAUCUCAAAUUAAAUUUAAAUUUAAAAGUUAAAAUCCAACUAAAGUCAAACCAAACUUUGAAUAAAACUCAAGCUUCAACUUCUCAUUUCGGCUGAGUACGCUUUAUACUGACUGUCACGUCCCACGCAGAACCCAAUCUGUUCCAUGCUUCAGUCAAAACAGGGCAAUCGAAUAUUGCAUGCAACACCGAUUCCCCUGCCUCUUCACAUCUUGGACAAAUUCCAUCCACAAGAAGUUUCUUUCUUUUUUUUUUUUGCAAAGUUGAAUUUCAUAGGUAAGAAUCCAUCAACUUGACACCGCAUCCGGUGUUGGUCUGACUGUAAACAGUUAAUUACGAUCAAAUUUAUUAUAAAAUUUUAAAAAAUGUUUUUUUAAAAAAAACUAAAAACAAUUACCGUAUCGGUAAGUUGAGGCUGGAUCAGCGUUAGUACGGCCGAAAACCACCUUAAACAUGCUCGAAUAUUCUAUCUCUCUCCUUUUUUGUCUCUUGUUUCUUCCCUCGCUUUUUCUCUCCCUAAUUUAGUUUUUAUUUAAAAAAAAUUUCCACUCUUUUUUUCUUCUUGAUUCUUCUCUCCUUUCUUUAUUUUUUUCAACCCUUUAUGCAAAUUCCAAAAUAAUUUUCACAAAUGAACAAAUUUUGUCAUUCAUUGAAUCCCUUAAGCGAUUAAAAAAAGAAAAGAAAAUUAAAAUUCGUCUCCAUAUAGAAGCAAUUGGCUGACACAUCUCAACCAAUUGCCUCCUUCGGAGAUAAUUUUUAUGUUAGUUAUAGAUCUUAACUAAUUGUACAACAUUUCAACUUAUAUUGUAUUACAGGAGAAUUAAAAAUUGAGAAGAAAGUUUCUUGCUUCAUAUGCUCUAAGUUAUGUGAAUAAAAAAUAUAUAUCAAGAAGCAGUUUAAUACAAGUAGAGAACAAGAAGCAAUUUAAUACAAGUAGAAUUCUGUUUUAUUUUAAAACUAAAUUGUGACUCAUGUGAUACACGAAAUAAUUUUAUUUAUUUUAUGUAUAAAUAUAUAUAAAUUAAUUUUUUAAAAUUAUAUUUAAAUUUAAAAAAUUUAUAACAUAUAUAAAAUUUUAAAUUAGACUAACUUGUCAUAAAAAAAUAAAUUUUUUUAAAAGUAAAAAAGGGACAUAUUUGUCACCUUACACCAUUUUUUAUUUGCAAUAAUAUUUAUACAUUUUGAAUUUUAUAUCAAAUAAAAAUAAAUUAUAUGUCUUUCUUAAAAGAACAAAAACAUAUAUAUAUAUAUAUAAUAUAUUAUCAAAUGAUGAAUUAAAUAAUAAAAAAAUUAUAAGAAUAUUUUCAUUUUAUAAUUUGUUCAAAUUACUAUACAAAAUAUGAAAAAUGUUAAGAGAUAUGUGAAAAUAAAAAAGAAAAAAUUUGAAAAAAAAUUAAUUUCAUAAGAAUAAACUUAUAAAAGUAAUAGAAUAUACCUUGAAAAAAGAAAGAUACAAAUUGAAAAAAUAAAUUGCAAUAACAAUAAAAUAUUAUUUUAUUUAUUUAAAUGUGUAUAGAUACACGAAUUAAUAUUAUUUAAUUUACAUGUUUAAAGUAUAUAUAAAUUAAAUAUAGCAAUUAGGUUAUAACAUAUCUUGAGUUGAUUUGUAAAAAAUGGGAUAAUUAUGAAAAAAUAUAAAGUUAAUUAAAAAUCAAUUAUUAAAUAUAAAAUAUAGUAGUAGUAAUAGGUAUUACUAUAUGCUCUUUCAUUCAUUUUGUUGUCCAAUUUUAAUUUAAUAUAAAGCUAACACAAAUAUGUUAAAUAAAAACUUAAAAAAUUUCAUUUGUCCAAAAAAUUAGCAUGAUUCAUGAUUUAUCAAUUUUGUAUCACUUCAAGCAUAAAUAUUCACAAUUCAAGACCAAUGUAGCAAAAAAAAAUGUAACAUGAUUUUCAUAUGAUCAAAGAAAACAAUAAAGAAAUGUUGUCUAAUAUACUAAAGAAGAGAUUUGAUAAUUGUGAAUUUAUAUAUUUACCUUAAAAGGUUUAUUGUUAACAAUAUAAAAAUACAAGCAUCUUAGAAAGCUGGGACAUUUCUCUUUCAACGAGGAAAUUAUAAUUGUUUAUAAUUUUUCAUUAGAAAUGAGAGAUUUUUUGUUUAGUUUUAAAUUUCUUAAUGUUUGUGAUCUGUUAAUAAAUUAUAAGUGAUAAAAUAAAAUAGAUUUGUUUAAUUUUUAAUUUAAUAGAUUUUUGUGAUUUUUAAAUUGAGAGAGAAUAAUCUUUGUAUUUUAAAUUAUUAAAAAAAGAAGCAAAAUAGUUACUAAUAUUCGAAUGCAUCUUUACCAUUAUCUUCCAUAGGAAAUAGUGAUUUGUGAAAUAUUUUUAUUGUGAACUUAAACAAUUUUUAAGUUUAAUUUUUUUUAAUUUUAAAAGUAUUUGAAAAUUAAAUAAUUGAUUGAAAAAAAUUAUUUGAUUAAAACAAUUAAAAUUUAAAAAAUAUAUUGCAUGUCAUUAAGAUAAGUUGUACAAUGAGCAUCCACAUAAGUGUUUUUUAUUUGAUUUUCGUGUACUUUGUUAUAUCUUUACACUUUCCAAGAGAACUUCAUAAGUAUGCUGAGGUUUUAAAUGGUUGAGUAAGGAAGCCUAAAUCUUUUCCAAAUAAUCUAGGUGGGGAGCCACAUACCUUAAAGAUUUUAUGCAGUUGUUCAACCUGCCAAAUGGGGGAGAAACCAAUCUACUUUAGCCGUCUAAGAAGUAAAUAUAAGUGUAAGACAAUCAAUAAACAAUGAAAACCUAUAUGAAUUUCUGUUUCACUGCUUAUCUGAAUAGUCAGCAUAAUAAGUGUAAGACAAUCUACUUCAACUACCUGAUAUAAUGCAAUGUCAAAUAAUUCACAUACUAUAAAUGUUGAACUUAACUUAGUUGAUUUAUGCAGUUUCCUUUAAAGGUGACAUUUAGCAUAUCUGAUUCAAAUUCCAAUACCUAUAAUUCUUUCUUUAUCUUUGGACUUGCGGUUUCCUUGGAUAAAAAAAUAAUAAUUUGAAUAAUAUAAAAGAUAAUACAACAUGACAACACAAUCACCUCAAUUCUCCCUUUAAGGAUAGGCUUUCCCAUAAGAAGUUAUGCAAAAACACAGCCUAAACUCCACAGAUCCACUGAGACUUCAUAACUUGUUGAUCCCAUCAAAAGUUCAGGAGGGUAAUACCAUAGAGUUAAUACUCGACUUGUUAAUCAUUGCGUGUUCCUUGAAGUAAGGAUGUUUGCCAAUCUAAAGUCCCCUAAUUUCAAAAUUCCUUGAUUAUUUACCAAAAUGUUAGAUGCUUUAAUAUCUCAAUGCAUUAUACCUUGCAGAUGGCAAUACUCAAGCCCAAUAAUAGCUGCUUUGUAUAGCACUUGACCUAUACAUGAAGGUGAACCUAAAACUGAACUCAAACAUCCAAGAAUUGAAGAAAAGAUCAUAUCAUGACCAAAUAACAUAAUAUUAUGCUUUGCCUGUCAACUACAACCAAAAUCUAUGGUUUAAUUUCAAACUUAUCAUAAGAUACAAAACAAACCUGUGCCUCACUAAACUUGACAUUAGGAGAAAAAGAUAGGCUAGCAAGAUCAUGCUCCCUGUACUCAAAUAUAAGAUAUACAAUACUUGAAAACCGAGAUAUGAUUACCCCUUCCAAUUCAUGAUAUUUGGAUGGUCAAGCCUGCGUUAGGAAUUAUGACUUCUCGAGCCAUAAACCUUAUGCUUUUGGUUUGAAAAUGUCAAACUACACCUUCUUUCAAGUUACAACAUUCCUCCACAGUUUUCAACUUUGCAUGGCUGGGAAUACACUACUGGCAUUCUACCUUGUCUUAAUCUACUGUGAAUAUUUUAGGAUUGAAGAAAAAUUCUUUGUCAAAAUUCAAGAUGAACAAUGACCAAAUUAUGAAACCCUCACCAAUAUCUUUUUAACUUGUAAGGUAGAUUAUAUCCAAAAUUUAAAAUUUGUUAAUAAGAGAGCCAUAAAUUUAAUAUUUUUUCAGAUACAUAUUAUAUUUAAAAAUAGUUUUAAUUUAUAUUUGAAUUUUUUUUUUAAAAUCUAAUCUUUUUAUGAUAUUUUAACGUGUUAACUCGCAUAAUUUUAAAUAUUUUUAAUAUAAAAGAUUUUAUCAUUUACUUGAAUUUUGGUAAAGUGCACAAUUUUAUGGAUUUUUUUACUUGUCAAUAGAAAAAUUAUUCCACAUAAAUGUUCAUAGCACCACACUUAUCUAGUAAAUUUGUAUCUUGGAAUAAUAUAUAUAAAAAAUAUAUGAUUGUCUUCCAUUUUAAAUGUUGAAAGUUUUGGAUAAGUAAACCAAUUUAUAUAUGAGCUUAAUCUUCCACUUAAAUUUGGAUAACUUAAACAAAUCUUUUAAAUAUAAUUUUUAGAAUAAAUAGUUUAAAGUUAAUAAAUAUCUUAUGCGUUUUAAAAAGAGAAAUUUUAAGAGAUUUUCUUAUGUGUCAAAAAGAAAAAUGUCUAUCCACAUCAGUAAAUUUUAUAUGAUAAUUAUUUUAUGUUUAUAAUAUAUUAUAUAUAUAUAUUAUGAUUUAUGGGCUAUAAUAAAUACUAUAUCAAAAGAAUUGGUUGGCUUGAUUUUUCAAGUUUGGUUGAUUUUGCAUUAACUAAAUAUUUAAUAUAUUUAAUAUAUAUUAAUAUUUAAUUAUGGUUGGUCUUCCAUUAAUGAAAUAAUUAAUAUAUAUUAAUAUUUAAUUAAUGGCACUUGCACCUGACACUUAAUAGUAAAUAAAAUAUUAUUUUAUUUAAAGUUUAAUAAAUAAAAUAUUAUUUUAUUUUAACUUAAAUUUUAAUUAAGUGUGUGAUUAAUUAAGUUUGUUCAAAAAUAGACAGACACUUAAUUUUAUACAAAAAUAGAAAGAUAAAUUUAUUUAAAUCGACAAUUAUAAUUGUUAAAAGGCAGAUAGUUUUUGUUUAUUCAAAAUAGAUAAUUAUAUCAAUAGGAUAAAAGGACACUUAAUUAUAUAUAUAAACUCAUCUUAUUUUCUAAAAAAAGACACAAAAACAAUUAUUAGAACUCUCACUUUUUUCACUAAACUUUAGAUUUCCUUUUAUAAAGUUUUCUGUAUAUAAAGUUUUGCUACAAAAAAUCUUAUAAAAAUUCAUUAAUUUUGUAAUAUGCUUGUGAAUGCUUGGUUGGUUGAUUUUGUUAGUUUAAAACGUAAUUAGUUACUAAGUUUCAUUAUAUCAUCAAGAUUUAUGACCUGCAAUCUCUUUGCACACUUAUUAAAUAAAUAAUAUGGUAAAAGUGAAUAAAACUUUAAAAAAAAAACACUGUUACAUGCUUUGAAACAUUUUCUCAAAAUUUCAGAAUUUAACAAAAAUAAUAAUUUUAGAUUCACAAUUUUUGCACUAACAAUAUUUUCUAAGUUUUAAAAUAAUUUUAAUAUUGAUAUUACCUGAGCUUUAAAAUUUUAGUCCAAUGAUAAUGGUACUACCUUUACUUUUUGGAUUUUGAAAUUUUGAACUAAUGAUAACUGUAUUAAAUUUUUUCUGUUAAAUCUGAUUUUUUUGGUUGAAUUUGUUGAUAUGAUUUUUUGAUAUUGAAUUUACUAAUUAGACAAAAUUUAUCAUUUAAUUGUUUGUAUUUUGAUAAUUUGAAUUUUUGGUAAAAUUAAUUUUAAAAAUGCCAUGUUUAAUUGUUUGGAUUUUGAUGAUUUGGAUUUUUGGUAAAAACUAAUUUUAAAAAUGCCAUGUAAGUUUCUUAGUGACAGAUUGACAUGUUUUUGGACUGGUCCAUCAUUUAAAAAAUUAUAUUAAAUACAAAUUUAAUAAAAAAUUAAAACGUCUUAUUCAAAUAAAAUACUUAGAUUAACCCAAAAUCCAAAAUUUAUUACUACCACUUUCUUUUUAGAACAAAAAAAAAUAAAAUUGAAGAUAUCCAUUUCAUAUUAUUAGUACAUUCUCAUAUCCAUUUGUUCUCAUCUGCGUAAUACAAAAAACUCAAUCUUUCUUUCCCUUCCUUCAUUAUACCAAUCCAAUGUUCUAAACAACCAAUCUUCAUCAACCUUCUUCUAAUUAAUGCUUCCAACUUGACAGAAACCCAACUUAUUAGUCUUUAUUAAUAAUCAAAACUCAAAACAUAAAAAUAAUAAUCUAAAAAGAAAAGAAAAUCCCAAAAGCACUUUUCUACAAUCUGCAUCCCCUGUUUCACUCUUAAUUUCAUGGAAUCAACUCCAAAGAAAUUUGGGUAUUUCGAACUAUUUGCAUCAAAAGUAGCAUUUUGGUCGUUUUGACUGAAAUGGGAACAUUGUGAUGGAAGUUCAAAAGAACGGAAGAGCAAAAACCCACCGUUCAAAAGCACAAGCCGUUUACUUGUAUGGUUCAAAUAUCACAUUUUCAGAAACCAUUAUUACUUGAAUAGCUUCCAACUAAGCGUACAAUUCUCCUUCUUAGGGGAAUCAGAAUGUCGGUACAUUUUAUGUUUACUGUAGUCACCAUCGUUAUUUUUCACUUGUGUUUUUUGUAAUAUGAUAUUGGAGAUUUAAGUUUAUGUGGGCUAAAUAGAAACUCAAAGGAAAAGCUUUAAUAUACUUUUAGAAGAGAGGUUUUUUUAUUUGAGUUGCAAACUCAAGCUUUUAAAUUGAAAAGCCAUGUAUACUUUUUUGUUUAGCAUUGAAGUUAGGUACAAACAAUUUUUGAACACAAAAACUACUUUCAAUAAUAAUACUAGACUAGGUUUAAGUGUUGAGAUUUAAAUCUUAAAUCUAUUGAAUACUAUCUUUUAAGAGUGAUUCUAUAAAUCAACUAAAAUAUAUUUCAAAUUAUAAAGAAUGAGAUUUUAGCAAAAAAAAGCUUUUAGAGUAAAUUUAGAGAUGUUAAAUGAGUUGAGCAACCUAUUGCAUGACACUAUUGUUAUGAUGUGGGUAGUGCUUGUUAGAAAAUUUAAGAAAACAGAAAUAAUAAUAAAAAAAAAUAUGGCUUUGAGGCAUAAAAAACACUAUUAUAAAGACAAUUAUACCUAUAGGAUACAAUAAAUCCUUAAAAAACUCUCUAAAUCAGAAGUAGUAAACUUGGUCAGGUAAAAAGAUCUAUUUAUAAUAAAUGAACGGUUACCAAUCAAGUUAAUUCAAAAAGUUAUGACAUUCUGUAUAAUCAUGUUUUCUUGUUUAAAUAAACUUUAUUUAAUCAAUCAUAUUUUCAUAUUCAAAUAUGUUUAUUCGGACUAUCAUAUUUUUUUUUGUUUAAAUAUGUUUAUUUAGAAUUAGUAAUAUUUCAAAAUAAAAAAAUUAAAGGAUUUAAAAAUUAAAUCUAUUUACUUAACAAGCCUAAGUGCUCCAAGUGCCAAAAUGUAUAGGUGCCUAUCUUUAACUUUUAAAAUUGUCUAACAUCCUAGGAAAAUACCUAGCAAGUCCAAAUGACUUGGCCUACUCUAACACUUAGUUCAAUUACUUAAAUAACAUAAAUAAUCUUUUUUAAACUAUAUAUAAAUGAUCUUUUUACUCAAUAUGAGAUACACUACAUUCUAAACUACCAACAGUGCUUAGCAUAACCUGCUAUUAAAAACUUAGACUAAACCAAACAAGAAAUAUAUAUGUGUGUCGUGCUAGGUUAAAGAAUUUUAAUCUCAUGGAUCAACAUGGCAUGACCCAUUAAGUGCUAGUGCCAACAUGUGACAUCUGAGUUAACACAAUACAACACAUAACCCAAAGGACAUGUGAGCUUGCAUGAACAUACACAAACUCGAAUGAAUUGUAUUUAUAUUAUUUUUAUAUUGUGAUAAAAUUAUAUUACUUUUGGUAUUUUGUUGACAAUUUAUAAAAAUAAAAUUGUAUUAAAUAAAUUUAUUUAUGAAAUAUUUAAAAUUAUUAAUGGUUAAAUUUAUAAUUCUUUCCAUUCAUUUUACAUGCAAAAUAUAUGAUAUGUUACUUUUUAUAAAAAAAAUUCAUGAAAACUAUAUUAUUAGAAAAAAAAACUCAUAAAAAAUAAGUUAUUACGGCAAAAAAGUCGACACUCGAUCUUGUAAUAAUAAGUAACUAAAAUAUAGUUAGAAAGAAAAAAAAAGUGUGAAUAUUAUUAAAAUGUGCAUAUUACUUAAAGAUUUGUUAGAUGAAGAAGUCCGAACACAAGGUAAAGCACAUUAUAUAAAUGAAUUAUUAGAUUAUUGCAAUGAAAAAUAAAAUAAAAAUCUUGUUUCUUACAACAUCUUUUUGUGUAUGAUUUUAAAUAUAGAAGUAUAAAUUUUAAUAUCUUUAUUUAGUGAAUUUUAUUAUCUUUUAUCGUGAUUAUAAGCAUUUGUUGAAUCAUGCAAAUUUUGUGCUUUUAUUUCAUUUUACUUAUAUUUAUCCAACUUGUUAUUUUCAAUAGAUAACAAAAUUUUAAAAAAUACUAAAAUUUAAAAAAGUUAUUAAUGGAUCAUAUUUGACAUGACUCGUCAUAAAAAAUAAUAUCACACUUGGCAUGGCAUUAGGGUUGGUAGUCCAACCCACCAUUGGCGGAUUUCAACCCGACCUAACCUCAUAAGGUUGAUUUUUUUUUUUUUUAUAAAAAAUUAAGUUUCGGGUUGGAUCAGGUUGGGUAAUGUUAAGAAAAAAUCAAGGUCAGAUCGGGUUUGGGUUUUAGGCAAACCCGACUCGACCCGAUAUUAUAUAAAAAUUAUUUUUUUAAUUAAUUAUUUAAUUUUUUAUUUCUAUAUAUUUAUAAAAUUAUAUAUUUUAUAUAUUUAUAUUUUAAAAAAUAUUUUAUAUUUAUAAAAUAAUAUUUUAUUAAUUUUGGAUAGGAUCGGAUUGGGUACGAUUUAUACAAUAUCGGUUCAGGUCGAUUCAGAUAUAAAAAAUAAAAAAAUUUUCGGAUUGGGUUCGAAUUUUAUGAAUAUAAAGUCGGGUCAGGUUCGAGGUGAGCAAAAACCCGUCCCGAUUCGACCCAUUGCCAACCCUACAAUGACAUGUUCCAUGUAAGUUAUAGGUUACAUGCCGUGCUAGGCCAUGUUCAUUAAAAAAUAAUAUUAGGCCAAUAUCAUCUAUUAAUAUGUGAGUUGAUGUUUAAAUACGCUACAUCUUUGACAUAUUUAAAGUGAGUUGUCAAAACGUCUAGAUCCGGGGAUCUAUUGUUAGAUAUUGAUUUGAAGAAGUCACCACCAAUCUUUUUUAUCUAGGUGCGAUUGACCACCUAAGGAAUCUAUCCUUUUAAGGAACACCUAAGCCUAAAGGUCCAUAAAAGAAUAGGUUCAGGUCUACUAACCAGAAUAGGAUUUGAGAGUACGAUUACAUGUGAGGAAGGUUAUAACGCCUUUACAACGCCCAUCGAAAGAUGGUACCAGCUUAAUUUUAUGUUAUCCAAUAAGCCUUAAAAAUUUACCAAGUAAUUAAUUAUUGAAAAAUUAUUCUCAAUUGACUCUAAUACUUUUAGCAAAAAAUUAAAAAAAUUUUCUCACCUUAAGAGUAUGUAAGGAGACUACUGUUUCACUCGCAAAUGCUCUAUUGUGGGAUUAUUUAACAUUAAAGCAAAUUCAAGAAACACAAAGGAAAAGAAAUAAAAAAAAUGAUUCAGCUUUAGAUAUAAAUCAUUUUUUUCUUCAAAAACUCAUUGCUUUUGUACAAGAAAAACUGAUAUCUUCAACUUUUUUCCAAAAUGUUUUUCUAAAACUUUAAUUUCGAGUAAAAUUGAUACUUUCAAUUUUUUCUCAAAAAAACCUUUUUUAGAAAAUCCUUUUUAAAGAAAAUUGAUACUUUCAGCUUUUUCUUGAAAAUAUUUUUUUUGAAAAUUUAUUUUCAAGAAAAAUUGAUACUUUCAACUUUUUCUCAAAAAUAUUUUUUAGAAAACUUAUUUUCAAGGAAAAUUGAUACUUUCAACUUUUUAUUAAAAAUAUUUUUUUUGAAAUUUUAUUUAAAGAAAAUAAAUAAAUAAAUAAAAUAAAAUAAAAUAAAAUAAGAAAUACUAAAUAAUUCUAAUCUAAUAAAUAAAUAAUAAUAAUAAAAUAAAUAAAUAAAUAUAUAAAUAAAAAAAACCUUUUGAACGGCUUAGCUCUAAAUAGAAAGGGCGUCUCGAAAACGCGGUUCGGGCACAUUGGCUCGGUUCGGCUAGCACUAGGGUCAACGUAGGUCAAACGCGAGUUGGUGCUCAGGUUAGGUUGCCCGAUUUCAAAAUGCGUAGAUCUUCUGGGAAUAGUAACGCCAAAACGACGUCGUUUUUAGUAAGUAUAAAAGGUUCUAACCUCUAUUUUUUCUGUAGAUGGUUCUUUCCCUCUCUCUCUCUCUUUUUCCCUCUUUUCUCCUUCUUCUCUCUAAACAAACUAAGAACUUUGGUUGAAUCUCAUCUGAUUCUGAAAAAUGUUAUCGAAAUCUGAAUUUUUCGUCAAAAGUUCAUCGAAAAGUUGGUCGGUUUCUAGAAAGAGUACGCCAGAAAUUGGGUAGCUGGAAGAAAAAUUCAAUCAGUGCCGAAAAAAUCACCAAAAAAUUCACCAGAAUCUAAAAAUUUUUCAAAAAUUUCUAGAAAAAAUUAGCCUAAAAUUCUCCAAAAUUUUUAAAAAACCCCUAAAAUUAUUUCUGACCCUUUUGAACACCUUUUUUUCUUCUCUUUUUACUCUUUCUCUCUAUAUGUUUUGUGUUCUGGUCUUUGUGAUUUCUAGAUCUAUUUAUAGGGAUUGAUUAGAAAAGUUUCUGAUCAAUCCCAACUCCAUCUUGGAUUGAGAUUCAACUUUUGAAUCCAAUCCAGACUCUGAUUGAGUCUCAAAUUCACGGUAGAAUUCUANNNNNNNNNNNNNNNNNNNNNNNNNNNNNNNNNNNNNNNNNNNNNNNNNNNNNNNNNNNNNNNNNNNNNNNNNNNNNNNNNNNNNNNNNNNNNNNNNNNNNNNNNNNNNNNNNNNNNNNNNNNNNNNNNNNNNNNNNNNNNNNNNNNNNNNNNNNNNNNNNNNNNNNNNNNNNNNNNNNNNNNNNNNNNNNNNNNNNNNNNNNNNNNNNNNNNNNNNNNNNNNNNNNNNNNNNNNNNNNNNNNNNNNNNNNNNNNNNNNNNNNNNNNNNNNNNNNNNNNNNNNNNNNNNNNNNNNNNNNNNNNNNNNNNNNNNNNNNNNNNNNNNNNNNNNNNNNNNNNNNNNNNNNNNNNNNNNNNNNNNNNNNNNNNNNNNNNNNNNNNNNNNNNNNNNNNNNNNNNNNNNNNNNNNNNNNNNNNNNNNNNNNNNNNNNNNNNNNNNNNNNNNNNNNNNNNNNNNNNNNNNNNNNNNNNNNNNNNNNNNNNNNNNNNNNNNNNNNNNNNNNNNNNNNNNNNNNNNNNNNNNNNNNNNNNNNNNNNNNNNNNNNNNNNNNNNNNNNNNNNNNNNNNNNNNNNNNNNNNNNNNNNNNNNNNNNNNNNNNNNNNNNNNNNNNNNNNNNNNNNNNNNNNNNNNNNNNNNNNNNNNNNNNNNNNNNNNNNNNNNNNNNNNNNNNNNNNNNNNNNNNNNNNNNNNNNNNNNNNNNNNNNNNNNNNNNNNNNNNNNNNNNNNNNNNNNNNNNNNNNNNNNNNNNNNNNNNNNNNNNNNNNNNNNNNNNNNNNNNNNNNNNNNNNNNNNNNNNNNNNNNNNNNNNNNNNNNNNNNNNNNNNNNNNNNNNNNNNNNNNNNNNNNNNNNNNNNNNNNNNNNNNNNNNNNNNNNNNNNNNNNNNNNNNNNNNNNNNNNNNNNNNNNNNNNNNNNNNNNNNNNNNNNNNNNNNNNNNNNNNNNNNNNNNNNNNNNNNNNNNNNNNNNNNNNNNNNNNNNNNNNNNNNNNNNNNNNNNNNNGCCUCCGUGACGAGGGCGUCACGAGAUUGGGUGCGGGAGAAUGUCACGGACCUAAGGAAGAGUCCUGAAUCCCACAUCGAACAUAAUAGGAGGGUCACUGGGGAGAGUCACUGGGGUAUAUAAGGGUUCACAGCAUCUCUACCUUGUGAUGCACCUUUUGUAGGACAAAACCGUGGGGCCAGGGGGCCAGAGCGGACAAUACCUCACAAGGGUGUGAAUCGAGGCAGGUAGGCUGAUCUGGGACGACGGAUGAGUGGAUGCUUGGGUCUCGGAGCCACGCGGGUUCGAAGCUUAAGUCUCAACCCGUGACAAGUGGUAUCAAAGCUUUAGGCUCUUCUUGGGAAGCAAAAUUUUCAGCCUUAAUUGUUGACUUGUUUAGGCCUUCAUUGCUGAAUCAUGUUUAGGCCUUCAUUGCCGAACCCUUUCAAAGAAAGAUAUCACUACCACCCAAUUUGAGGAAAUGUUAACUGGAAAAAUCACUGGAGUACUACAGAUAUCUCAGAAACAAGGAGAGUUCAACAGGGAAGAGAUUGAAAAGCUGAGAAACUUAUUGAAAAUCCUUGAAAAGCAUACUAUGGUAUGUUCUUUGGGUAAAGUUUCUAGUUCAGGUAAAGCUUCUGGUUCUCAUGGAUUAAAUGUCUCGACUAAGCCUAUUACGAGUUCUUGGGUCAUUGACUCAGGAGCCACAGAGCACAUGACACAUUCCUCACAAAAGUUUAGUACAUAUAACCUGUGUCCUAGUAAUAAGAAAAUUGUUGUUGCUGAUGGUUCACUUAACACAGUAGCAGGAUUAGGAGAUGUUCAAGUUAAUCCUUCGUUUGUUCUCAAAAAUGUUCUUCAUGUUCUUAGAUUGUCUACUAAUCUGAUAUCUAUACAAAAACUUACCAGAGAUUUGAAUUGCAAAGUAACCUUUUAUCCCUCUUAUUGUGAAUUUCAGGACCAGAGUUCGGAGAAGAUGAUUGGACUUGCUAAGGAAAAGGAUGGACUAUACUAUCUUGAGACAUCAAAUAACACAAGUAGUAUCAACAAUAGUUUACCUUUGUCAUUUCUUUCUGAAAAAUCUUCCAAUAAAGACAAAAUCUGGCUUUAUCAUUUUCGUCUUGGAUAUCCUUCUUUUGGAACCUUGAGAAACAUGUUUCCUUCUUUAUUCAAAGGAUUAAAUGUUGAAGAUUUUCAUUGUGAUAUUUGCGAAUUUGCAAAACAUAGACGUGUCUUUUCCAAUCAGUAACAAAAGAAGUUCUACUCCCUUUUACUUGAUUCAUAGUGACAUUUGGGGUCCCUCUACAAUUCCUAAUAUUUCUGGUGCGAGAUGGCUUGUUUCAUUCAUAGAUGAUUGUAUUAGGGUCUCUUGGGUUUUUUUACUUAAAUCAAAAUCAGAUGUGAAUAGUGUGUUUUUAAGCUUCCAAAACAUUAUCUAAAAUCAAUUUGGAGUGAGAAUCAAGAGAUUUAGGUCUGAUAAUGCAAAAGACUACUUCAACCAGAGUCUAUCCACCUAUUUUAAAAAAAAGGGAUUAUCCAUGAGUCAUCUUGUGUUAAUACUCCACAGUAGAAUGGAGCGGCAAAGAGGAAAAACAGCCAUUUACUAGCCACAACCCGAGCCUUUCUUUUUCAAGCAAAUGUACCUAAAUCUUAUUAGGGGGAAGCUGUUCUCACUGCACACAUAUUAUAAAUAGGUUACCUUCAAGAGUUUUGGGAUUUAAAACUCCUAUGGAACUACUCUCACAAUUUUAUCCCAACCUCAAUACCACAAACAAUCUCAUACCUAGGAUAUUUGGUUGUACAUCAUUUGUUCAUGUUCACAGUCAUAACAAGGGAAAAUUGGAUCCAAGAGCGAUUAAGUGUAUUUUUGUGGGGUAUUCUUCAACUCAAAAAGGAUAUAAGUACUAUCAUCCUCCUACCAAAACAUUCUGUCUCUGCAGAUGUCACUUUUGAAGAAAAUAAACUAUUUUUUACUUAACCUUAUCUUCAGGGGGAGACUUCAUUUAUGGAAGAUAAGGAUAAAGACUUCUUUUUGCUUGAUUUGCCCCCUUCUUCAACAUUUACACCCAUUAAUUCUUCUGAGUCGAAACCUGUUUCUGCUGAGCCCAAGUCAAACACUGAAUUUGAGUCUGAACCCAUUUCGAAUACAGAAGAUGUGACAAAGGAUAAUAUCGUUCUUGAUUCUAUGAAGGAAUUACAGGUGUACUCAAGAAGAAAAGUUCUAGAUCUUGAACCAGUGCCAGUCCAAGAACCUGAUCCUAACUUUGGAAAUGAGGUAACUACAGUUUUUGACUCUGUUUCUCAAAAUGAGCAUGAAUCUCCUAAAACUAUAACUAGUGAUUAUGAUUUGCCUAUUGCCAUUAGGAAAGGAACCAGAGAAUGUACCAAGCAUCCACUAUACCCAAUAUCUAACUUUGUGUCAUUCGAAAAAUUCUCACCCUCUCACAAAAGUUUUCUUGUGAGCCUAAACACUAUUUCUAUUCCAACUACAUUAUCCGAGGCAUUAUCUAGUGAGAAAUGGAGGUAAGCCAUGAAAAUAGAAAUGGAGGCCUUAGAAAAAAAUCAGAUAUGGGAACUGGUAGAGUUGCCUAAAGGAAAAAAUCCAGUGGGGUAUAAAUGGGUUUUCACUGUAAAAUACAAGGCAAAUGGUACUGUUGAAAGGUAUAAAGCUAGGUUAGUGGCUAAGGGCUACACUCAAACCUAUGGAGUGAAUUAUCAGGAAACCUUUGCUCCAGUUGCCAAGAUGAAUACAGUUAGGAUUUUGUUAUCAUUGGCUGCAAAUUACAAUUGGCAGCUUCAACAAUUUGAUGUAAAGAAUGCUUUUCUACAUGGUGAUUUGGAAGAAAAAAUAUAUAUGAAGGUUCCACCAGGAUUUGGAGGUCAUCUAGAAGCAAACAAAGUAUGCAGGCUAAAAAAAACUUUGUAUGGCCUUAAACAAUCUCCUAGAGCUUGGUUCUGGAGAUUUGCCAAAGUGAUGCUAGCAAUGGGAUAUAAACAGAGUCAAGGAGAUCACACAUUGUUUAUCAAGCACUCUGAUUCAGGGAGAGUCACAGUUCUAUUAGUGUAUGUUGAUAUAAUUGUAACUGGAGAUGAUGAAAGAGAGAAAGAAUCUCUAAAACAGUGUUUGGCUAGAGAAUUUGAGAUAAAAGAGCUAGGGAGAUUGAAGUACUUCCUAGGAAUUGAAGUAGCUCACUCACAGCAUGGUAUUUUUAUCUCACAACAGAAAUAUGUGAUGGAUCUUCUGAAAGAAACUAAGAAGCUUGCAUGUAAACCUGCAAAUACCCCUAUAGAUCCUAAUCAUAAAAUUGGAGAAGCUAAUGAAGAUGCUGCUGUAAAUAGAGAGAUGUACUAAAGAUUAGUUGGAAGACUCAUUUAUCUCUCACAUUCUAGACCUGAUAUAGCAUAUGUUGUGAGUGUGGUAAGUCAAUUUAUGCAUAGUCCUAAAGAAGUGCACCUACAGGCUGUCUACCGUUUAUUGCACUAUUUGAAGGCCAAUCCUGGGAGAGGUAUCUUAUUCAAAAGAAAUUCGGGGUUAGCUCUAGAAGCAUAUACAGAUGCUGAUUAUGCAGGUUCAGUAACUGAUAGAAGAUCUACCUCAAGCUACUGCACUUUCUUAGGUAGUAAUCUUGUGACUUGGAGGAGUAAAAAAUAGAAUGUGGUGGCAAGAUCAAGUGCUGAAGCAGAGUUCAAAGCAAUGGCUCAAGGAAUUUGUGAACUACUAUGGUUAAAGAUUAUCCUAGAAGACUUGAAGAUCAAGUGGGAUGAACCAAUGAGACUCUACUGUGAUAACAAGUCUGCAAUAAGCAUUACACACAAUCCUGUGCAACAUGACAGAACAAAACACAUUGAAGUAGACCGGCAUUUCAUAAAGGAGAAACUAGACAGUGGGUUGAUUUGUACACCUUAUGUAUCAACCAAGGGUCAACUUGCAGAUGUGUUGACUAAAGGUCUCAGCAGUGUAACAUUUCAAGAAAUUAUUUUCAAGCUGGGAAUGAAAAACACCUAUUCACCAGCUUGAGCGGGAGUGUGGGAAAACACUUAUUUACAGCUGGCUUGUAAUCUUGUAAAUCUGUAUAUUAUAAUAUUUGCUAUCUCUAGAAUAAGUAUUCUGUACUCCCUAAAAUUAAGGAAGAUUUAGUUUCCUAGUUUAACCCCUAGUUAAGUUGUAUAUAAACCUAAGAUUCUUGUAUACCAUUCGAAAAUAAGCUGUUUUUUCAAUACUACCAACUCCAGUUUCCACAAUAAAGACUGUAUCGUUAUUCGGGUACUCUCCUACUCAAAAAGAAGUAUAAGUGCUAAUUGUACAUCCACGGAACAACAUUUGUCUCAUUAAAUGUCCCAUUCUUUGGAAAAUCACACCGCUUUUACCCAAAACUAACUCUCAAGGGGAGAAAGUAGGUGGAAGAUAGGCUUUGGGAUUUUAUCCAUUCCACUUUCUAUAUGCAUUCUACUAUUCCUUUGGGUGCCACCCAACCAAAAGCUAAGUUGAAAACAGGGAUAUAGAUUCAUUUAUACUUAGUCUUCAACAAAAAAACAGACUCUUAGUUUAUUCACAAUGUAAACCAUAGCCUCAAAAAGUACAAACUUUUGUGCCCUAGACACAUUGUCAAGAAUCUAAUCCACAAGUAAAUUUUGAAUCAAAAAAUACUAAGCCCACAACACCAUCACCGAUGAAUACUGAUCCACAAGUAAAUUCUAAAUCAUAAAAUGUUGUGCCUAUCACACCAUCAAUUGUGAAUACUCCGUCUGACGAUCUAGACAUGCCUAUAGCACUCAGGAAAGGUAUAAGAUCAUGCACUCAACACCUGCUGUCUAAUUAUCUAUCCUACAGUCAUUUGUCCACUGCAUUUCGUGCCAUGAUAGGAAAGAUUAAGGUAACUAAAAUCCCACAAGAUAUUCAUGAAGCUCUAAAAAUCCUAGAAUGGGAAGCUGCUACAUUGAAGAGAUGAAAGCAUUGAAAAGGAACGAGACUUGUGAUGUUGUAGAGUUGCCUAGAGGAAAAACAUUGGUUGAAUGUAAGUGGGUGUUUACUAUUAAGCAUAAUUCAAAUGGUAGAAUUGAGAGACACAAGGCCUGCUUUGUUGCGAAAAGAUUUACUCAAACUUUUGGAGUACAUUACACUCAAACCUUUGCUCCAUUUGAUAAAUUGAAUACUAUAAGGGCACUACUUUCACUAGUUGUUAAUCUUGACUGGCCAUUACACCAUAUGGAUGUCUAGAAUGCCUUUCCUAAUGGGGAGCUGGAUGAAUAAGUUUAUAUGGACCUGCCUCUUGGCUUUGAAGGGAGAAACAAUGACAAGAAGGUAUGCAAACUAAAGAAGUCUCUCUAUGGUUUAAAAUAGUGACCAAAGGCUUGGUUUGAUCACUUUACAAAUCAGUAAGGAGACACAGAUUUAGCCAAGGACAAACUGAUCAUACUCCUUUUUUCAAACACUAACAACAUGGAAAAAAGACUACUUUGAUCGUUUAUGUUGAUGAUAUUGUUAAAAUUAAAGCUUUAGAGAACAACUUGCUAAUCCCUUGGAUUAGCCUUUCAUUAUAUAGACAAUAAUAAGGAAAGAUAAUCAAUUACAAAGUACACAUUAAUGUUUCCAAUAAAUCCCUCCUAAACUAUCUCCCAUGAAAUAUUCCCAUAAUAUUCCAACUCACACACACGCAUACACUAAUGCUCCCCUUCAAGCUGGAGCAUAUAUAUAAGUCAUGCUCAGCUUUUACAUAUAUAGUCAACUCAAAACUUCUAGAAGUGAUUUCAUAAGAAUAUCGGCAAGUUGUUCCCCUAUGCGCACAUGCUUCAAUAAUAUUGUUCCACCCUGUAACUUUUCCCUAAUGAAAUGACAAUCAACUUUUAUAUGCUUGGUUCUUUCACGAAAUACUGGAUUUAAAGCAAUGUGAAUCGCCACUUGAUUAUCACACCAUAACUCUGCAAGAGUUCGAACUGAAAGCCCAAUUUCAUCUAAGAAUUGAAUCAUCCAUAAUACCUCUGUUGUAGCCAAAGCCAUCGCUCUAUACUCUACUUCUACGCUAGACCUAGCAACUACUUGCUACUUUUUUCUCUUCCAAAACACCAAAUUACUCCCAAGGAAGAUAGCAUAACCAGAUGUAGACUUACUAUCUAUAGGAAAGCCUACUCAAUCUGCAUCUGCAUAGGCUUGAAUACACCCAUCACUAGUAGAACUAUAGAGUAUUCUCUUUCCAAGAAUUCUCAACAAAUAUCGGAGGAUGGCAUCACUGCUCUCCAGUGAGUAUCUCUAAAAGCUCCCACGAAUUGACUAACCACACUUACUAGAAAAGAUAUAUUAGGUCUCGUCAUGGUCAGGUAAUUCAGUUUUCCCACUAGUCUCUUGUAAGGUGUGGGAUCAUCGAGUAAAGUGCCAUCUUACGGAGAAAGCUUGAUACCUGGAUCCAUCGGUGUGUCACUUGGCUUGGCAUGAAACAAGCCUGCAUCUUUAAAAUAUUCAGAACAUACUUCCUUUAAGAUAAAAAGAUUCCCUUUUUACACCUUCCCACUUCAAUACCAAGAAAAUAUUUCAAUUGACCAAGAUCCUUGGUCUCAAACUGGGACUUUAGAUAAAUCUUAAAUCUGUCAAUCGCUACAUUAUCACUGCCAGUGAUGAUUAAAUAUCAAUCUACCUACACCCCACAUAUAAGGCCAGAAACUCUGCCGCAUAUAAAAAUACUCGAAUGAUCCUUCCUCACUCUGUCGCAUGCCCUACUGAACAAUAGUUGCACUAAAUUUGCUAAAACCACGUGCAUGGAAACUGCUUAAAGACCAUAUAGAGACCUACGCAAAAGCACCCCUCCCCAGCCCCCCUCAGCAACAAACCCUGGAGGUUGCUCCAUAUAUACCUCCUUAAUCAGUCACCAUGUAGGAAAGCAUUCUUCUACAUCCAACUGAUGUAAUGCCCACUUAUGUCUAGGCAGUAAAAUAGAGAAAUAGGCGAAAUAAAUGUCAUCUUUAGCCAUUGGUGAAAGGUAUCAAAAUAAUCCUACUCCAUAACUGUCUGCACGUAUGCCCUUUGCUAACUCGUCUUGCCCUCCAAUCUAGCCAUGAACCAUCAAGAUUCAAUUUGUAGUGUAAACCCACUUGCACCCAACAGCUUGUUUCCCUUCUGGCAGGGAAACCAAGUCCCAUGUAUGGUUGGCCUAGGGCCAUCAUCUCAUCCUCCAUAGCCUUAUGCCAUCCUGAAUUUGCAAAAGCAUCACAAAGAGUACGCGGCACAGUGAUAGCAUCAAUUGUGACAAUACAAGUCUGAAGUUGAGCAAAAAGUCCUUUGUAUGAGGGCAUGUAUAAAGGAAAAUUUCUGCAAGUUCACGUACCUUUUCGUAGAGUAAUCAGUACAUCUUCAGCCACAAUGUCUCAAGGUGGAUCCAUCGACAAAGAGAUUGUCUUGAUAAAGGAAGUUUUCAUAGGUGGAUCUACGUAAGUCCUUUUAUACGUACAACCAAAUCAAGUAUUUGGGCAUGCCUCAAAAGGAGAUGCAUUGACCGAUGAACUAUGUAUUUGAUAAAUGAGAAAAUCUUUUUCUUCUUAUAUGAUAGGUGAUGGAUGAAACUAUAGUAUUGAAGGAAAAAGAACCGACUCAUGAAACGCGACAUCUGCUGAAUAAUAAAGCGACCCAGCUCUAAAGAGUAGCAUCGAUACCCUUUUUAGACAUGUGAAUAACCAAGGAAGAUACAUUUAAGAGAACAUGGGUUUAAUUUAGUGCAACUUGGAUGAGUGUCACAAACAAAACAUGUGCACCUAAACACCUAGAAGGAGAUUGUAAAUAAGGGACGAUCAGGAAACAAUACUUAAAGAGGAACUUUUCCUUUAAGAACCAAGGAUGGCAAAAGAUUUAUAAGAUAGAAUGCUACAAGGACAGCUUCACUCCAGAACACCUUAAGGACCUUCAUUUGAAACAAAAGAGCUCUAGCCACUUCCAACAAAUGAUGAUUCUUCCUUUCAGCAACCCCAUUUUGCUAUGGCGUAUUUGUACACAAGGACUGAUGAACAAUACCUUUUGCAUUUAGGAAUUGAACAACCUCUAUAGAAAAAUACUCUACCCCAUUAUCACUGCAUAAAAUUUUGGUAGACUUAUUGAAUUGAUUCUCUAUUUCAGCAUGAAAGGUAGUGAAGACAAAGAAUAAUUCGGUGUGGCUCCGCAACAAAUACAACCAGCAAACUCGUGAAUAAUCAUCAACAAACGUCACAAAGUAUCUAUAACUAGAUUCCGAAAUAAUAGGACAAGCCCCCCAUACAUUAUAAUGAAUCGCAUAAAGACCUUCAAUCCGUCCCCUACUAAUAGUUUGUUUCAUCAACUAAUCCUGAAAAACACAAUAAGUAGGAAAGAAAGAGACACUACAAUUCAAAUUCCUUGUAAUCUGACUAACUAAAAGUAAGUUAAAAGGAGAAGAAGGGACAUGUAGCACAAAAUGUAAAGGUAAUGUGGAUAUUGGUUGAGUCUUGCCACUUCCCACAACAUCUAUAGAGUUUCCAUCAACAACCAAAACAAACUAUUUCCCUGUCAUAGGAGUAUAUGAAUAAAGAAUACCUGUAGUACCCAUCAUGUGAUCCGAAGCUCCUAAAUCAAUCACCCAAGUCCUAAAAGGGGUAGCCAAGCAUGCAGUAGAUUUACCUUGUAUAAAAGUUAUUGUCAGAGAGGAGAUCGAAGUCUGAUUCUGAAGCAUCCGAAUAAGCCUAUCAUACUCAUCCUGGGAUAACUGAACUCCCUUAUUCUCUUACUACUGGGGCUAAAGCACAGCAUCAGUCACAUAUGCCGGUGGUGGGCCAAUAUUGCCUCAAAGAUGCGGACAAACAUUCCAUAAAUGUCCCUGCUAUCCCCAUUGAUAGCAAGACUGUGGGUCUCUUCUACCACUUCCAUGUCCUCUACCUCUCCACACAUCCUCUGUGUGAUUCUCGGCCUUCACGCUAUGGGGCCAUAAGUACUACCCUAUCUGCAUGUGGAGGAUUCAUGUUGGUUGACCCUAUUCAAGCACUUAUAAGCAUCAGUAGAGAAAGUGGGAUCUCCGCCACUAAUAUCUGAGUACUAGCACCGGCGCACUCCUUCCUCAAACCUGCUAAGAAAAACAUUAUAGCUAGAGCCUCUUGUUGCUCCUGAUUUGUUUCCAAAUCGGUAAACAAGGGCAUGAGUUCAUUAAACUUGUCAUAUACCUCCUUAAACACACAAAAUAUUCCCUCAGGCUCUUACCGGAUUGCUCCAUUCUAGUCUAUGCCCUAGUAACAUCGAAAAUCCUCUGCCAAUUCUCAGAAUUUAUAUAAACAAUUUGUAAAGCAUCCCAAAGUUCUUUCCUUGUGAAGUAUUAAUUGAACAUCACCUUGACUCAUCAUUCCAUCAAGUUGAACUAUUGUCCAAGUACUCGAUUGUCCUCAUGCUCCCACACUGCAUACUCCGAGCUUUCCUUUGUUGGCCGCUCACUUGUCAAAAGCCGAGCCUUUUCAAGACCUCGCAAGGUCACCAACACAGUCUCGUUCCAUGAUAAGUAGUUGGAGCCAUUGAGUUUCUCAUCCAACAACCAUGAGCCCGUGAUAAUCUCCUAAGUUAUCAUAUUCGAUGUGGUUGCCUCUUCCUUAGCCAUGGCUACAAAACCUUCUUCCUCCAAAAUACAACUAGUAAUCCUUCAAUCAGGUAACACAAUCCCAAAUCAACAACCAAGAACUUCGUCCCUAGUUCUGCAACCACACUCUACACCGAAAACUUGUCCUCUCGAUCUAUCAUUCACGAAGAGGUUGCAACCCCUUCUUGCUACCUUUGAGAAUAAAGGGGUGGCCCCCCUUUUAACUAAUGAAGGACUGUUGAAGAGAAAGGAAAAGUUUUAAGUACAUUGCUUUAGGGCUGCGAGAUCAAAGUCUGUAGUAACGACGGUUUAGUUGACGCCGCAAAGGCUAUAGCAGAUGAGUUUGGGGAAAGAGAGAGGUCCACAGCAGCUAGAAUUGCACUGCUAGCUUUGAUACCAUGUUAAAAUUAACGUUUUAGAGAACAAUUUGCUAAUCCCUUGGAUUAGCCUUUCAUUAUAUAGACAAUAAUAAGGAAAGAGAAUCAAUUACAAAUUACACAUUAAUGCUCCCAAUUAAUCCCUCCUAAAUUGUAUCCCAUGGAAUAUUCUUAUAAUAUUUCAACUCACACACGCAUACACUAACAGAUAUUAUAUUGAUAGGUGAUGACACUGAAGAAAUAGAAAGGUGAAAGAAAACUCUUGGAAAAGAAUUUGAGCUUAAAGAUCUUGGACAACUAAAAUACUUUUUAGGGAUGAAAGUUGCAAGAAGUAAGAAUAGCAUUAUUGUUUCCCAAAAGAAAUAUACGGUUGAUCUCUUGAAGGAAACUGGUAUGCUUGGCUAUAAACCAAUUGAUAGACCUAUAGAUCCUAAUGCGAAACUUGGAAAGAAAGGAGGAAUUCCAGUAGAUAAAGGGAGAUAUCAAUGACUAGUUGGAAAGCAGUUCUACUUAUCUCAUACAAGACCUAAUAUUGCCUUUGUAGUUGGAGUAGUAAGUCAGUACAUGCACUACCCAUUUGAGGAGCAUCUUGAAGUUGUGUAUCGAAUCUUAAGGUAUUUGAAGGUCACACCUGGUAAGGGUUUGUUGUUUGAGAAGAAUGAACAAAGAAAUGUGAUAGGGUUUAUAGACGCAGAUUGGGCAGGAUCAAUUGAAGACAAAAUCCACCUCUGGGUAUUGUACAAAGGUUUGGGGUAAUCUUGUCACAUGAAGGACCAAGAAACAAUCUAUUGUUGCUCAAAGUAGUGCAGAAGCAGAAUUUAGAGCUCUUGCACAAGGAACUUGCAAACUUAUCUAGCUGAAGAGACUUUUGGAAGAAUAGAAAAUGACAACUAAAUACCCUAUGAAACUGUAUUGCAAUAACAAGGCUGCUAUAAAUAUUGCUCAUAAUCCAAUGCAUCAUGAUUGAACAAAGCAUGUGGAAGUUGAUAGACAUUUUAUCAAAGAGAAGAUUGAUAUGGGAGUGAUCUAUAUGACCUAUGUUCCUACAAAGGAACAAGUAGCAGAUAUCCUAACAAAGUGACUAUAUAAACCAAGCUUUGAGACUCUUGUUGACAAGCUGAGAAUGAGAAAUAUGUAUUCUCCAGCUUUAGGGGAAGUGUUGAUAGAUUAUGUAUCUAAUCAGGAUCAAUUUCCCAAUUUGUUGGGAUAUAUAUUUUUGGUCUUUUAUUUCUUUCUAUAUUUGGAUGAUUAUGUCCUGAUUAUGUCCUAAUUUUGUGGGUUUCUUUGUACAUAUCGAUUCCUCUAUAUAUUUGGGGAUUCCCUUUUAAUAAAAUAAAACUCAGAGAACAUUGUUUUUAUCUCUGUUUUUCAACUACAAAUAGUCGUCCAUUACCCUAACCUCUAUUCUAUCAGCAGUUACAAAUUUGGCAGAUCAAGGCAACUAGACAGUUUGAACUGAAGAAGAGAAUAGAGAGAAAGGAUAACACCCAAGUCAAAAUGCUUAAGGCCAGUGUUUCACACAUUAGGUCAUAAAUUGAUAAUGCUACACUUCGUGCUUACAUUUAAUCACCAUGAAAGAAUAAGCCAGUGUCUAGGAAAAUAUCAUGGCAAUUAAUUUAUGAAAGAAAAGCAAAUAAAUAUGAACAAGCAACCAAAACCAAAACUGCAUAGGAACAACGAGUACCUCAACAUAUAACUUUCGGAUUUGUGGACCUUUGUCUUCAUCCAUCCCCUAGAACCAUUAAUAGUGUAAAGAACUUAGUAAGUUAAUAAAGCUAUUUAUAAUACAGAGAACAAGAAUAGUUAGUUGAUAAAAGCACCUGGACAUAUAAGUCAUAAAGAUCACAGAUUUUAUCUUCCAUGGCGUUAUCUAUGAUGUAUUGUUCUUUAAGGACUAGUUGUUCUUCAGAACCAAGCACUUCCUGUAAAUCAUCAGUUGCUACAUCCCUUCGUUUAGAUGCCUGGAAAGUUAUGCAUGUUCAUAAGCAAAGAACUAAAACAUGUUAUCAUCAUUUGCCACUGAAUUUGCACAUAUACCAAAUAAUAUAUUGCAGCAUAAGAAUGCCUUUCAUAACAUAAGAUAAAAAUUCGCAGCCAUAAAUGUUUGUAUCACAUUAUUCUCACAGCACUAAAUGAAGAUCAAAGUUUGUCUAUAUUUUGCCACAAGUGCUGCCUCUUCUGAGAAAAAAAGUUGUAUGAUGCUGGUGAUCAAAGUGAUGAUAACCAUAUCAGUCAUUAUAAUACUGAGUAUCAAUGAUGAUAGCAAAAGGGUGUAAAAUUAUUGAAACACCAAUAUAGAACCAAGGCAUCAAAGAGAGGACUGCUUCUUGUGAGAAAGAAACUAAGAACCUACGACCUCAAAGCAUCUAAAAACUAUUUGGAAAUUGCUCAAAGUGAUUUUUGAGGAAACCUGCAAUUUGAUCAUUUCAGUGACCUCCAUUUUAAUCUUUUGAAAUCUAUCAGCUUUUUCCCGCUUCGCAGAGAGUCCCAGUAAAACCAUCUCUCUUAAGUUCCUCUGUAUCCAAACAAUCAAUUGCAGCAAGGGUAAAGAAGAAGGUUAGUAUCUAAGAACAUAAUUAAAAACAUAAAGAGCUUAAAAAGUUAGUUAGGAAAAUGCAACCAUCUUAAUUAUCAGAAGGAGAGAGAGAGAGAGAAUGCAACUAUCCAGAAAACUUGAAAUCAAUCACCGGUUAGACUACUUAAACUAGAAAUUAAGCCAAUGAAGCAUUGUCUUGAUGGCAAGCAGUAGACCUUGGAACUUUUAGGUCCCAUGUUCAAGUCUCAGCCUUUGUAGGUUUAAUUAGUUUGUUUAUCAAUGUCUUAUUGGAUAAAAUGUCUUAUUGGAUGCUAAUUUCUACUUGUACAAGUAAUCUAAUUAAAAUGACACUUGAAAUUCAGAAGUUAUGCUAAUUUCAUUUAUCCUUGACCAAAAUCAGAAUAAUUUCCAAAUUAUAGUAUGUCAAAGGAAUUAACGUAUUGGCAAGGCAUAGAACAGAAUUAAAAAAGAAUUACCCAUAUCACAUAAGCUUAAAUGCUAUUGAUUCAAAAUUUCUUUGCAAAAAGGUUCUCAUAUUUAUGAUAACUUCAUAUAUUGGAGUCCAUAAUAAAUGCAUAAUUUAUCAAUAUUUUAUAUUAAAAAUAACACUUCUAUUCUAUGGAACAUUUCAAUAUCUGUCCCAAAAAUAUCAUAUUCUACACUAAUCUCAAUCUUUUCUUACUAUUAUUAUCAUAACUACUACCAUUCCUACUAACAGUACUAUUCUUUUUUUCACUUAAUUAAGCAUAAUCAAGGGCACAAGGCACACAAAAAGUGCUAAGGCCAUUGUAUUCUGUUAUGGCAAAAUAUGCAAAAAAAAAAAAGUGCUCACCCUAGGGAAGCAAAGCAAAAAUUCUUAAAAGAUUAAUAAAUGGCCAUAAAAACAAACUUAUAUUUAUUAUACCUAAAAACUUGCAUUAUACAAUUUCUUUAAUCAGCAAAAAAGUGCUGACACCAUUCUGUUUCUUAAUGUGCCAUAAAUAUCAAACAUUAGUAAAAGUCAUCAUAAAACUCUAGCUGUAAGUUCUCUCACUUCCAUCACCAGCAAGAAUUUAUACAUGGACGAUAUUAUACUUUCCCUGUACUUGAAAAAGACACGCUCAUGUAUCAUAUUUCUUUGUUGAAGAAACACCAUUGAAGAAAACAUAAGAGAAGCUAAGACACAGGAAUAAGAAUACAAGGUAUGGGUACUGACAUGAUGACAUAGCCAUUUUCAAAAUUUUAAGAUACAAUAACAAAAUAUGAUAUAUGCAUAUAUAACAAACACACUGAACCUUUUCCAACUAUUACAGGGAUCACCUACAUGGAUAUUAUUCCAUAUUUAAAAUCAUAUGCUCAAUCAACUUAGUAAAAAUGAGCCUUUUCUUUCUUUAUGAUAUUCAUCCAUCUCCUAUGAAGCACGAGCACACCUUGCACCCUGUGUGUCCAUGUUGGACACUGUCCAAACACAAACACUCUUCCGACAUGGAGGCAAUGUGUUUACACAUAGAUAACGUAAAAUGGCAUGAAUCAAGGCCAAAGCCCUGUAAGAUUGAACAUUAUAAACAUUUUUCCCCUUUUCUUUUAUCUCUGUUAUAGGAUAUUUCCUUCAAUUCACCAUCACAUUUUUCCAAGAUGCAACCCAAACUAGAAAUAGAUGUAAGUGAGAGGGAGCAGUGUCCAUUCUUCAUAGAAAAGAACUCAAAUAAUGCAUUCUUUUUCUGUGCCUUUUGCAUUUCAAGGCAAAAACUUACUGACGAAAAGCAAGCUGCCUCAAUAAAGACCCCUAGAGAGGUUUAAGUUAUUUUUCCUAGAUUGCACUACACCUUGGCACCUAGGCACAGGGCUUGACUUCACAGCUAAAUUGAAAUUAUUUGCUCAAAUUAAAAUUAUUUGCUCAUAUACAAUAAUGUGACACAAUAAGAAAAUUCGGGAAAAAUAUAUACUAGUAAAUAAUAAAGCAUGUACACAAACACAUAGAUAGAAAUACAUUUAUAUAGAAAAUAGGUAUAUAAUCCAUCAAAAUAUAUAUAUAUAUAUAUACUUACAUUCAAUCAUUGUGGCCGUAGUUGCGUUUUUGGUUGCAUCGCAUUUAUCGCGAUUGAGGAUGAAACAGAUGCUAUCACAAUCAUUGUGCUCAUCGCGAUUGUGAACUUUUUUCAGUUUUGCACAACUUAUCGUAAAGCAUAGUAAUCAUAAUUAUAAUAAUAAAAACUCAUUUUUAACGAUUUUUAAAGUAAUUUAUAACACUCUUAUGAUCUUUUAUUUAUAUGAAAAAAAAUAUUAUUCACAAUUUUUUAUAUUAUGUUAAAACAUUUGUAGUUAGAAAAACACUAAUUCUUAUAUCUAUAAAUUUCUACAAAUACAAUUAUUAAAAAUUAACAAGGUAAAACAUGUUAAAUGUGCUUAUGUCUAUGAAUUGUUGCAAUUCACAAUGUUACUCAUUAAAGAUGGCUAAUGUUCAACUUUUGGAUUAAUGAACUUUUUUAAAGAGUAUGAAUCUAUAUAAAUAUAAAUUUUUACUUAUUAACAAUUUAAAGACUAUAAUUCUUAAUUUAUAUAAUUUAUUUUACCAUAUUUGUAUAUAUAGAGUGAUUAAUUUUGCAAGCUUUUUCUAGAUUGUCAUUGCCAAAAUAUAAGGUAAUAGGCCUCUUUGAAUGGAAAAUAUCCAUUUGCAUUAAUUAGAAAUUGCAAAUAUAAGACAAUGGGCCACUCAAAUUUUCAUUAGAUUGUUUUCCUCAAAUUUCACCACCUCAAUCUCCCUCUUAUUUUCAUCAAUUUUUUCUUUUCUGCUUAGAAUUCCUCUUUUCUAUCUUCUCCCUACCACCUUUCCCCUUUUCUCUCCCACUUCUAUUUCCACUUCUUUCUUCUCCAUAUUCUACCAUUCUACCAUUCUACCAUUCUACCAGCCACCAAGAACCAACAACCACCACCCUCUUCUCAUCCUGGCGGCACUAAUGGCCACCAUCUCACAACAGCAGCCACCACCUCCUUCUCUCUUCUCCGCUUGGUGUCAGAUUUCCAACCACCACAAGCAUGUUGGAAGUCCAAGGCUAUAUCACACUGCUAAAGCCGAAUUAGCUCAGGUUAGAUUAUUUGUCAAAGUUACUUACCUUCAAUUAUUUGUUCUUGAUCUUUAUUGAGUUUGUUUGAAGCUAAUUUUGAGUGAAUAAUGUAGGUCUAGGGUCCUUUCUCCGUUUUGGGUUUUUUGCUGUUGAUUUAGACAAAAUGAUUUUUUUUAUUGUUCUUGUACAAUAUUUCUGGACGGAAAAUGGAUUAAUGCCAAUAACAGACUAUUAUUUCCGCCAUUACACCAUUUUUCACAUUGUGAUUGUGCCACUACAGACAUGAAUAAAAUUCAUAGCCAUUUUUUAUGGAAUAGCAGCGGCAAAGGGUGGCGCCACCGCAAAAUAGCAGCCACUACACUGCUAUCAUACCAUUAUUUAAAACCCCGCUCAAGGCAUUUCACUCUGAUUAAAUUUUACUUUCCUUGAUGUUAUGCACUACGCUAAUAAGGUUUUACUUUCUGCAAUUUGACUUACCAGGCUCUAGUGCACUAAUUCCAGACCUACGUGACUGAGUGCAUACCUUCAGUGUUCUCAACUGCACCGAAUGCCCAAGAAUAUUCAUAAGCCUAUUGAUUAACUCCUCUGAUAUUUUCCCUUGGCUUGACUGCUGAAAUUACCAUAGAAAUGGUUUAGAAACUAACCAUAACUUUUAACUGAAAUUGAAACCCCUCCCCCCCACCACCAAAAUAAAAAAAAACACAAAGCUACUGAAAUAACAGAACAGGCAAUUUUUUUUUCUUACUGCUAAUCUGGCAACUUUAGCAAGCUUCAGCUUCACUUCACGAGGCAGCCUUCUUUUAAGAGCUGCAGAUGAAGCAUCUACAUCCUGAACUUCCAUGGUUGCCGGUCUCACUGUCAUGAAUAUUGAGCAGACACCAGCUAGUUACAUAGAAUAUAUCUUAAACUUCUUCAUAAAGUAAGAAAUUAAACAACCUAAGCUAACCACAUAACUCACAUUCUGCAACAACUUUCUCCAACUCUCUUAUGGCCCUUUCAAGCAUUGUUCCUUUUGGCCUCAAAUUAGAAACAUCCUUUGACUGCACAAAGGGACUUUUCUGGCAAUUUUGAAUAUAAGAUCACCUUAAUUAGUCUAAGCACAUGCAAAUCAUUAUGCAACCAUGAAAGAGAUGAAAAACACAUUUACAAGGAUAAGAUAUCAAAUGUACCAGCCUUUAUACCUUAGAAAGAUAACAGCGAAGGGGAGCUUAGCUGGCACAGGGCCCCCAAUUAAUGUUUAGAAGUUAGUUUAUAGGCAUUGUUUCUCACCUCAAUUAAAAAAUUAAAAAAAAAAUUUGGCCCCUAAAAGAGUUUACAAUGUGGUCCCCCUUCUAGCGUACAAGCCUAGUACUAUGUGGUUAACAAUUUUUAAACUCAAAAGUCUUCUAUCCAUGGGUUCUACCAAUUUGCAACAAUUUUAAUCAAAAUAUUAUUAGUUUGCUUGUGUUGGACUCUUUUCCCGCAACAGUUCAUACACACUAACAUUAGGCUCCUUAAUUAAAGAGCUAGUACUUAGAUGUCCUGUUACAAAAACAAUUAAAAUAACUAAAGAAACUGUGAACCACACAGCAGCCAAGAACUUGAUACAGAUCAAUUGCUCCAACUUCUAAAGCUUACCAUUUUCUCCAUCAGUAAUUAAAAGAAAGAAGAAAGAGAUCAAUUGUGUAUAAGUAAUUUUCCGGUCAUUAUUACCUUUUUAUUUCUUUUCCAUAAGCCAUGUAACUUAUGUCAUCACAUUUACUUUAGUCACACAUAAGAAAUAUCCCAUCGCAUGGAUAUUUCCAAUCUGCUAGCAAAACAAAAGGAGGUAUACCAGAACAUAUGAUCUGAUUAGAGGUAUGCCCCAAAAGUUGAGGAUACAAUUUUGAUUGUUUGCAUUUAUCAUCAGGUCUAACUUUAAGAUCAUAAAGAAAAGGCAAUAAAUUAUCUAUAUUUUUAAGAGUGUAAGUUAAUCUACUCAGACUUGACUUGCUAGUUGCUCAUAGUCAACUGAACUGCUAUUGAGUCAACUGAACUGCUAUUGAGUCCCAUUAAUUUAGAGCUUGCUAAAACUUGGUUUGAGCAGCUAGCAAGCCCACUCAAGUAGCUGACUUUCACUAAUUUAUUUUGCACUCAAUCUAUAAUUUUACGUAUAGGGAUUUUAGUCCAAAAACUUGAAACUUGUGAUUAACCUUGAUCCAGCUAAAUUUUCAGUCAAUAUUCAUUUAGUCAAGGUGAGAUCAAGUAUCUCCUCCAGUCAAGUAAGAUUAUAGAAAAUGGAACUCAAUCAAGUCAAGUUUUGACCACCAACUCACUAUGUCAAGUUGAUCAAUCAAGAUUACCCCCCACAAUGCAGUACUGCUGGCAAAUUCAAAUUUAUUAAGCAACAGAUAAGGACUAAGGAGCUUAGAAUGUUCUUAAUUAUUGGCAAGAUUUGAACACCAGUAUUUCCAGUAGUUGCAUCAACACUAAAGCAAAUGCCAAAGUCAUCCAGUAUUACAGAUUAUGGUAGGAUAAAUAUACAUGCAUCAUUAGAGGAAGUAGCUCAGCUAAUCAUAGAAUGAGAUUAAAGAAUUUUAAACUAGAAAUAUAGCUAAUUAUAAUAUUUUAAUUUCAAAUUGUAAAUAGGAAUCAGUUAUAUCAAAGACAGAGGCACUUCACACAUGGAAAUGGCCUCAACAUUGAAUUACUUGAGACCACUUAUUGUGACAAUUGACAAAAUAAGAUCAAGUCUACACAUUCUUCUUGAAAUUUGGAGAUACAAUUGCUUACCUCUGGUUGCGCUGGAUAAACAGGAAGAUUAAGAUCUGGCAGUUCACCACAUGUUGCCCUUUUCUCCCUCUGCUCUAUUUUGGUGGAAAUUCCUUCUUUAUCAUUAUCAGUCAUCAAUUUUCUCACUGGAGACUCAAGUUGUUUACAAGAAUUUUUUUCCAGAUACUUCUGAUGGGUUGCUAGAGAGUUUGCAUUAUUUCCUAUAUCACUAGAGUGGAUGGUUGCACUCCUAUACUUAUCAGCAUCCUUUGAAUUUAGUGGAGAUAUAGAAGCAUCAUUAUUUGAGAUUGCUGUGUAUGAAGAAUGCUCACACUUAGUUCCAAUGGUAGCAGGCUUCUUAAAAGAAGAUCUUACAGGAGAACUCAACAGGUUAUGCAAUUUCUGAUCAUGUUCAUUAAUAACAGCUGAGUUCUGCAAGAGAGCAGAAGAUUGUUCUUCAAGCAGAGCAUUUGUUGCAGCAAAAUUUAGCCUCCCCUGUUCAACUUUCAUAUGUUUACUGGGUAAGUGAUCAUCAACUUUCUCUCCUUGAGCUUCGGCCAUAUUUUUACUCCGUUUUCUUGAUUGUUGAGCUACUGACAAUACAGGUUCAUUUCUGGACCAAAACAAUAUAUCAUUAAAAAGGAGUCAAAUUGACAAUCAACCUAACUAAUUAUUUUCUCAAACAAAAAGUACAACAUGAAUAACUAUUAAAAUCGGCAAUUAAAAAAAAUUAAGACUCACAAAUCAGUGAUUAUAUUCUCAAAGUAAUAGCUCAUGUUGAAAAAACUAAAGUUAUGCUUUUAAUAGCUCAUGGUUUAAUUGAAAACAAUAAAGAUAAAACAUUACUCCUAAAAAGAAAAAAGUUAAUUGUACAAGAGCUAAGCAACAAGUGUUGUUACAGCUUUCCCAGCUUAAGUAUUAAAUUCUCUUUUUAAGUAACUAUAAUGAACAAAGUGUUGGAGAAGGAAGGUUCAAGUUCCACUUGCAAUACUCUCCCACAAUGUCCUACAACACUACAAGUUUUUGAAGUAAUUGCUAACAAGAUAUUCAUUUGCAACAAUUACAUUUUAUAUAUGACAUCUCCCUCAAAUUCAGUACCACUGGGCAUGUGAGUGAAUUCCAUCUUCCUUUAGGAUCUUUAUUGUCAGUUUUCACCUAGCUCCAUGAAGUGCCAAGGCACCUUCCUAUGCCAUUGCCUUUGCUCAUAGUUUUGAAGUCUGGACAUUUAAAUUAUGACAUAAAAGCACCCAUAUUGAAGAAAACAGCACAGAGAGUUUGGAAUUUCAUGCUUCUAAUCAACCCACCAAAAUGAAGAAUUUGACUUAAAAGUCAAUCUCAAAAUAGAACCAACCUGCAAGCCCACGAAAUCCAAGUCACAUAUACUUGGAAAGCUUGAUAAGUCUAGUUUCUAAAUCAUCAAACCAUUCAUGAAUUGGAAUUUCCUACGAGUUACAAGUUUGACCAAAAUGCGCUGCUAAAGGCAGAAUCCAGCAUUUUAGGUGUCUCUUUCCAUUUCAAUGACUAGAACAAGUUCUACUUGUAUAUUUUUUAAAAGUUUAAUUUUGAUCGUCACCUAUUCCUGAAGGGUUGUUGCAUGGCUGGUAAUUAUUUUCCAUUCAUUGUAUUGAAAAUUCAGACUUGAGUAUGAGUAAAAUUCAAAGCUUUGUGCUUUUAAGAAGAAAUUAUCCUCUUAACUUUGAACUCUUUUGUGUGAAUUCCUUAUAGUGGUGAGUUUGUUUGCUUUCCAUAUCUAGGACGGGCUAAUCCCGUGAGCUGUAUGAUUUCUUUUGUUUCCUCUGCAACCCGGUAUGAAAAUUUGCAGGGCCACCAUCAGGGUAAUUCAUCACUCUCCUCAUCAGGUACUUUCAUCAGUGUCUGUUUUAUGAUUCCCAUCUUCAACCUUCUUUUGGUUUAAUUAUUUUUCCACGUUCAGGUUCCACUAGCACUUAAAGAAGGUUCUAUGCCUAGUUAGAUUAGAACCAAAGAGUUUUUUGAAGCAAAAGGGUAUCAAAAAGUAGAUAAAAUUUGGGUUACCAAAAAUUAAAUUCAGCUAUCAAUCACUACUCCUCCUGAUAUUCCUAGGUAGUGUUGCAGCAAAAAGCCAAAUAAAAAUUUAUAAUACUUCAAUUAUAAAAAGGGAUAGCUCAUAUAACUUGUUUUAAUUGCAUGUGCAACACGCACAUGAACCGUAUCUUAAUUACUUAAGUGAGAACCAUACAGUUUAUAAGUUAUUUUUUUGGAAGAAUUGACCACUAAACUAGUAAAAUGCAGAUUCCAUUAUUUAUGUACUCUACCAAUUGUUUUCAACUGAAGUUUUCUUAUUAAUAUUUUUUGGUCGAUUUUUUAAAAUAAUUAUUUUUUAACCCCAAGUAUUCUACUAAUUUUAGGAUUUAUCACUUUAUUACAGGUUCAUAGUUGUUUAACCACAACAGAGUUCAACAUAAUACUAUAUAUUCUUAGAUACUCAUCCCUUUUUAAGUGUUGACCUUGCUAUACUACAAUAAAAUAAGAAUUCUUCACCUUCAAGAUCUUGCUUUCUUUUUGCUACCAUUCUCAUAGGCUGCUUUAGUUUAUUGAAAUAAGAAUUCUCUUAUUUUCCCAAUCAUCAAGCACAACUUUUUCUUGGACUCAUUUCUCUUUUUUUUUUCCUUCUCGUAGAUUGCUUUCUUGUACUGAAAUAAGUCUAUCAAUCAUAAAACACUGUUUUUUGAGAUUAUAAAAACUACUUUUAAUAACUAUAAUUUUAUAAAACAGUUUAAAUGGUAUAAUUAUAAAUUAAUGAAAAGAGGAAGUGUAAUAUAGUCAUCACAAAAGUUUUAUACCCCUCAAGCCACAUUUAUAUAUGGUAUAGAUUUUGCAGAUGCAAACAGAUGGAUGCAAAAACCUAUUGAAGCUCAUAAUUUUAUUCCACAAGCAAACCAAGAGAGUUUUGCCAUCUCUCUGCCAGAAUACUAGGCAACACAAAUAAAAGAAUCCUCAAUGCUGGUUGUUUGCAUUUUACAACUCAUAAAGCCCUGCUUACAUGGCAGACAGCCCUCGAACCUUCCCACAGAUAUGAAACUCCAAAGAAUCAUAGUACAAAUUACAUAUUUCCCAAAAAUUUUGUAAAAAAUUGGAUAUUUGCCACAAUCAACACAGUGAAAAUAAAAAUAAAAACAGAAAAUCAUUCUUUUAACUCCAUCUACAUGAGAUUUUGAUAUGUUGCGUAAGAACUUAUGCUUAGUUUAGACUUUUAUUGGAGCAUAUUCUUGUUAACAUUGUUAAAUGUUAAAUAAAAUAAGGAAGAAAACAAUUACUACAAACACCAAAUAUAUCUUUCAAUGACUAAGCAUGCUACUAACAUUAACAUUCAUUUUUUCUUGACAUUACAUCCCAUAAAAUUUGAAUAGUGGAAACCAAAAGACAUGGCUUCUUAAUUAUGGCUAAGGAAACCAACAAUUACUAAUUAUUCUCUUUUAAAGAUUUUGGACUGAUUAAUAAAAAAAUUUUCAUAAUUGAUAUAUCAUUUAUCAAUUAUACUUUAGAUUAAAAACUCCAAAAAAAGCUAUCGUUUUCCUGGAUCGUCCCAACAGCCAAGACAUGAAAAGCAUAUAAAGAAGAAUGAUUUAAAUAGUGAAAAAAAAAAAAAAAAAAAAAAAAACUCACAUGCAUUCCAAUUUCUCAGAGUUUACAAGUAAUCCAUUUUGCUUAAUUGUUGACUUGUCAUCUUGAAAACAUUCAUCCUGCAGAACAAUGGACAAAUGAACGUCUUUAGCGAUCAAUUAACUACUUUUGGUAUCUUAAGAAUAGAUGAAAACCACCAGCAAUGCAAUGAAAAAAGUACUAUUGAAAAGCCACAAUCGAAAUAUGCUAGCAAAAGCACAAACAAAAAGAUCUGCCAAUUGAAUCAUAACAGUUUGACCUGCAAAUGAGCUAUUAAUUCUUGGUAAAAAGGCAAGGCCCAAAAUUCUAGGGAGCAUUUCAUCUACAAUUUUUUUUAUUACAAUCCUACAAUUGUCCAAUCACAAUAAAAAAUUAUGUAGGGUCCACCACUUAUAACUGUAGACUCCACAUAAAAUUUUGAUGGAUCCCACACUAUUAUGAAUUAUGAUUAAUUAUAUUACAAUGACUAUAGAUGAUAUGCUCCCCAAAAUCCAACUUGAAAAAUGAUUACCAAAAAUAAAGGUACUUGACUUUUAUAAGAUUACUACUUUACCCUCAAUAAUAACUUUAUUUUGUCUUUUAGUUGUAAUUUAUAAAACAUCAAGGGAUAUAAAAGAAAACUUAACAAUAAACUCAUUUCUAUUUGAAGGAUAAAAAAAUUGGGACUUCCAAAAAAGAAAAGAACAACAAAAGAAACGAGAGAGUUUUGACCUAUUAUAAUUCCUUUACAUAUCAUUUCAACAAAGAAAUCUUGUAUGUAUAGCUGAUUGUAUCAACAAUCUCAAAUAUUUUGGGCAAGUACCUAGCACUAUGGGGUCCAAAAAAUGGCAAAUACUUCACCCAAAAUGCUGCUUCAAACAAAUCGAUGAAACUUUAAAUUAUAUGAAAGUGGUGGAUAAGGCAAAUCACCCUCUAUAGCUCUUCAUCUAUGAAUGGUAGACAUUGAAAUCGGACUUCAAUGUCAGUUUUUUUCCCAUAAUUUGUCUAAACACUGAACACCCUCAUGCACACAUGUGCUCGCACAAACAAAAGAACCAAUUGCCUUAAUUCCUCAGCAAAUGGAGUCAUGAUUAAAAAAAGUGUAAAAAGGAGAUUUAAAAUUUUCACUCUUUUAAGAGACUAUAUUUGGAAAGUAAAUCAAUAGUAACAGAACCAGUCAAGGAUAACAAAUUCAUUAAAAUAACUAAUAAAACAAUAAAGUAAGAGAUAACAGCCAAAUUUGUAAGAUCUGCUGAAUUUGCAAUUUUAAACUAAUGUCCAUUAUAUUACAAGCUCAAAAAAGGAAUUAGAUCCCCAAUAUAUCCUUAAAGAAUAUUAAUGCUUCAUUUGGAACAAUUCUUCAAUGCCUUAACAACAGCCAAUUUACUACUUACAACCAACAAAGAAAAGCAAAGCUCGUAAGUCAAAAUAGAAGGAAAAAAAAAAAAAGAAGACCUGACUGGCUUAACGUCCUUUCAACAUCCUUUUCUUAAAUAAGCACCCUUUUGAUUGGCCAACAAGCAGAAAUACAGCAAAAACAAGCAUAAGAGACAAUCUUCAAUGCAUGCACACAUACAUAUAUACAUAUAGACAGAAAUAUAUAUAUAUAAAAGAAACUGCAGACACGCUUAAGCCUCAAAGGCAGUAAAAGUAAAAAAUGAGGAGCAGAGGCUAUUAGCGCCUUACAACAUCAUUCUCACAUGAGCAAAUUUUGAGAACUCAUUGGGAAGUAUAUUCAAGCCCACAGCUGCCAAUUAUUUAUUAAAAAUAAGUAUUGUUCUAACUUAGAAGGCUUCAUAUCUCUACCUUUUUGCAUAUUGUACAAGGUGUAAUAAAGUUGAAGUUAGCCUGUUACUGUGGGAAAACACUUAUUUACAGCUGGUUGUAAUCUUGUAAUCUGUAUAUUUAUAUUUGUAUCUCUAGAAUUAAGUAUUUGUAUCCCUAAAAUUAUGAUAGACAAUCUCUCAAUUAUAGGAUUAGUUUUUUAGGAAGAUUUAAUUUCCUAGUUUAACCCCUAGUUAGUUAUAUAUAAACCUAAGAUUCUUGUAUAAUUCUCAAUAAGCAGUUUUCCAACAUACAUUCAGUUUUCACACUGAUUUAUUUCUUAGUUUUUCCACAAAGGUAUCAGAGCUUUAGGUUCUUCUUGGGAAGCAAAAUUUUCAGCCUUCAUUGCCGACUUUUUUAGGCCUUCAUUGCCGAAUCCUGUUUAGGCCUUCAUUGCCAAACACUUUCAAAGAAAAAUAUCACUACCACCCAAUUUGAGAAAAUGUUAACUGAAAAAAUCACUGGAAUACUACAAAUGUCUCAGAAACAAAGAGAGUUCGACAGGGAAGAGAUUAAAAAGCUAAGAAACUUAUUGAAAAUCCUUGAAAAGCCUACUGUGAUAUGUUCUUUGGGUAAGGUUUCUAGUUCAGGUAAAGCUUUUCGGUUCUCAUGAAUUAAAUGUCUCGACUAAGCCUAUUACGAGCUCUUGGGUCAUUGACUCAGAAGCCACAGACCACAUGACACAUUCGUCACAAAAGUUUAGUACAUAUAACAUGUGUCCUAGUAAUAAGAAAAUUGUUGUUGCAGAUGGUUCACUUACCAUAGUGGCAGGAUUAGGAGAUGUUCAAGUUAAUCCCUCGUUUGUUCUCAAAAAUGUUCUUCAUGUUCCUGGAUUGUCUACUAAUCUGAUAUCUAUACAAAAACUUACCAGAGAUAUGAAUUGCAAAGUAACUUUUUAUCCCUCUUAUUGUGAAUUUCAGAACCAGAGUUCGGGGAAGAUGAUUGGACUUGCUAAGGAGAAGGAUGGACUAUAUUAUCUUGAGACAUCAGAUAACACAAGUAGUAUCAAGAAUAGUUUACCUUUGUCAUUUCUUUCUGAAAAAUCUUCCAAUAAAGACAAAAUCUAGCUUAUCAUUNNNNNNNNNNNNNNNNNNNNNNNNNNNNNNNNNNNNNNNNNNNNNNNNNNNNNNNNNNNNNNNNNNNNNNNNNNNNNNNNNNNNNNNNNNNNNNNNNNNNNNNNNNNNNNNNNNNNNNNNNNNNNNNNNNNNNNNNNNNNNNNNNNNNNNNNNNNNNNNNNNNNNNNNNNNNNNNNNNNNNNNNNNNNNNNNNNNNNNNNNNNNNNNNNNNNNNNNNNNNNNNNNNNNNNNNNNNNNNNNNNNNNNNNNNNNNNNNNNNNNNNNNNNNNNNNNNNNNNNNNNNNNNNNNNNNNNNNNNNNNNNNNNNNNNNNNNNNNNNNNNNNNNNNNNNNNNNNNNNNNNNNNNNNNNNNNNNNNNNNNNNNNNNNNNNNNNNNNNNNNNNNNNNNNNNNNNNNNNNNNNNNNNNNNNNNNNNNNNNNNNNNNNNNNNNNNNNNNNNNNNNNNNNNNNNNNNNNNNNNNNNNNNNNNNNNNNNNNNNNNNNNNNNNNNNNNNNNNNNNNNNNNNNNNNNNNNNNNNNNNNNNNNNNNNNNNNNNNNNNNNNNNNNNNNNNNNNNNNNNNNNNNNNNNNNNNNNNNNNNNNNNNNNNNNNNNNNNNNNNNNNNNNNNNNNNNNNNNNNNNNNNNNNNNNNNNNNNNNNNNNNNNNNNNNNNNNNNNNNNNNNNNNNNNNNNNNNNNNNNNNNNNNNNNNNNNNNNNNNNNNNNNNNNNNNNNNNNNNNNNNNNNNNNNNNNNNNNNNNNNNNNNNNNNNNNNNNNNNNNNNNNNNNNNNNNNNNNNNNNNNNNNNNNNNNNNNNNNNNNNNNNNNNNNNNNNNNNNNNNNNNNNNNNNNNNNNNNNNNNNNNNNNNNNNNNNNNNNNNNNNNNNNNNNNNNNNNNNNNNNNNNNNNNNNNNNNNNNNNNNNNNNNNNNNNNNNNNNNNNNNNNNNNNNNNNNNNNNNNNNNNNNNNNNNNNNNNNNNNNNNNNNNNNNNNNNNNNNNNNNNNNNNNNNNNNNNNNNNNNUUUUCUUCUUGAAGCUUCUGGAUUUUUUACUUUAACUUACCCUUUUCAGACUCAAAUUCUUUUGUCGUAAGCUCUAAGUCUAAUGGUGUCUCUUCAAGUUUUUCUCUUGUUGGUGGUUGAAAGCUUUUAUAAGUGAAUACCAUUUCUUGUCUUUGUUUUGCUCUCCAAACCAAAUACCCUGGAGUGACUUUAUCAGUAAACGAUCUAGGACUCACUCUUCGGGGAUUUUUCCAUGCUUUAAUCAUUUCAUUCAUCCUCUGAAAUUCUUUUGGCUCACUAUAAGAGAAAUCUAACUGAUAAAGCCCAUGCAUCAUAGGAAUGAAACUGUUUUGCCCCAAACUACCUUAUCACUGGGAGUGGUGCAUAAUUUGACGCUCCUCAUAAACCCAAAAGUGGGACCACUAUAUUAUCCCCACAUUGAUACAAUAUAGGCUCACGAUUCAUCCAUGGGGCCAACCACCUUACUUCGAUACUGGUCAAUUUUUGUAGGAAAGUUAUCCAUUCCAUUUUAGAAUUUCAUUCUGACCACCCACUUUCACAGAAUUCCUUGAUCGGGGCUCAAUUACGGACAUAAAGCUUUGAGAAAGCACCUUUUCUCCAUUCGAAAUGGCUUUUCAUCCAUAAGUAUAAUAACUGUAUGCAACCUAUAAAGCGCCCUCCAUUUCGAUGACAGUAACUCAAAGAUUCGAUAGUCUUUGCUAAUAUUACCAUUGAAGGGUUAUAACCAUUGCUCACACUCUCAAAUAAGUCAACCACCACUAUCUCAAUAUAACCCAAAACCUUUGGGAAGAUCAUUAUUUUGUAUAUCGCUAAGGCAAAUACAUUUAACCCCCGUUCUUCGUUGGCAUGUUGCACUAGAAACUCAUGAAAAAACUUUCAAAGUAGGCAAACUUGUUCUUGUUUUUUCUUUGUAUGAGAAUCCACAACUUCUUUGUCUAUUCCCAUGAGUUAAGCCAAACCCUUACUUAAUCCUGACUUGUGUUUUUUGACAUAUAUCUUAUCAGGAGCCUUGAGGUGCAAACCUAACAAAGUCAAAUAUUCUUCGAUCGUUGGUGUCAUAUCAACUUCAUUGAAGAUGAAACACUUGUAUGCAGGAUCUUGAAAUUAUGCUGUAGCUCUGAUUAGUUGAUCAUCGACAACUACUGCUAGAAAGUGUGCUAUAUGCCCGUGUCUCUGGCAAAACUGCUAUUGUCUUGACAGACUCAUCUUCUUUCAUAUAUCAACCAAAUAGAUUAUUUUGUUUGAAGAGGAUAGAUGUUUCUUGAGACAAUGUAGAAUCAUAUCCAAUUGGUAAACAAUCUCUCAUCUUCAGUUGAAUCUUUUCUGACUGGAUUCUUACUUCAUUGGCUGUCUUACAAAGUGUUAAUAUAGAUGAAGAACAAACUAGUCGUUCUGUGGAGUUCAUGAAAAAUUUUUGUUGAAGAUCAUCUUUCAAGCAAAUGUUCAUUAUGAAACUUUAUGACAUGAGCAUAAACCAAUGCAAAAGAAUGAGAGAAAAGAUUAGUAUGCCCAGGGAAAAAAGGAAUAAAUAAAUAACUAAGUAAAUUAAAACAUCACACAAAAUAAGAGGAAUGAACUCUAUGCUUCUAGUUAAUUCUAAAAGGGAAGAAUGAUGGCUCUAUCUAUAGGCUAGGCAUUCUUAAGGUUCACUAUAUGGGGUUUGAGGUUAAAGUCUAAAGGUUCCUAAAUUGCUUCUUACAUUAUUGUCCAUCACAGACUAGUAAGGCACCCUAAUCCUCACCCAUUACAGGCUACAAGCGAAAAAAGUUCAAUUUAAGUGGGAAUAUUUCGCUAGCCACUACGGAGGCAUUAAACCUCAUGAAAGCAAUAGGUACUUUACUCCCUCUUAGAAGGAUGGAGCUCAAGUAUAGAGCUCAUGUUAUGCAUAUGCAUAUGAAUGACAUAAUUAAUAAAGUAAAUAAACAUGAGUGAAUAAAAAAAUCUAUACAGAAGGUUCAAUUUUAUUAGGCUUUUGGAUAACACAAAUUUAUUUGCUGGCUUGACUCUCAAGUAUCCCUAGUGGAGUCGCCAAGCUGUCAAAACGUCUAGAUUUGGGGAUCUAUCGCUAGACAUUGACUUGAAGGAGUCGCCACCAAUCUUUUUUAUCUAAGUAUGAUUGGCCACUUAAGGAAUCUAUCCUUUUAGGGAACACCGAGUUUAAAGGUCCCUAAAAGAAUAGGUUUAGGUCUACUAACCAGAACAGGAUUUGAGAGUUCAAUUACGUGUGAGGAAGGUUAUAGCACCCUCACAAUGCCCAUUGAAAAAUAGUACCAGCUUAAUUUUGUGUUAUCCAAUAAGCCUUAAAAAUUUACCAAGUAAUUAAUUAUUGAAAAUUAUUCUCAAUUGACUCUAAUACUUUUAGCAAAAAAUUGAGAAAAUCUCCUCACCUCAAGAGUGUGCAAGAAAACUAUUGUCUCACUUGCAAAGGCUCCAUCGUCGGAUUAUUUAACAUUAAAGAAAAUUCAAGAAAAUAAAAAAGAAGAAAAAAUGAUUGCUUUUAUAUAGGGAAAAUUGAUACUUUCAACUUUUCCUCAAAAAAACCAUUUUAUAAAACUUAUUUUUAAGGAAAACUGAUACUUUCAACUUUUCUCCAAAAAUAUUUUUUAGAGAGCUUAUUUUCAAGGAAAAUUGAUACUUUCAACUUUUCCUCAAAAAAUAUUUUUUAGAAAGCUUAUUUUCAAGGAAAAUUGAUAUUUUCAACUUUUCCUCAAAAAUAGUUUUUUGAAAAACUUAUUUUCAAGAAAAAUUGAUACUUUCAACCUUUCCUCAAAAAUAUUUUUUUUUGAAAAACUUAUUUUCAAGGAAAAUUGAUACUUUCAACUUUUUCUUAAAAUUUUUUUUUGAAUUUUAUUUAAAGAAAAUAAAAUAAAUAAAAUAAAAUAAAAAGUAUUAAACAAUUCUAAUCUAAUCAAUAAAUAAUAAUAAUAAUAAAUAAAUAAAUAAAUAAUAAAAAAUGAAAAAAAAAACCUAUGAAUGGCUCAGCUUAGCGGCUCGGCUCGGCUCGGCUCGACUUAAGGAAGAAAGGGCGGCUCGAAGAUGCGGCUCGAAGAUGCGACUCAGGGAGUCAGCUUGGCUCAGCUCGGCUCCAGGGGUUGGAUAGCACUCGAGUCACACACGGAUCAAUGCUCGGGUCGGGUUGCUCGAUUUCAAAACGCGCGGAUCCUCUGGGAACAGUAACACCAAAACGACGUCGUUUUUAGCAAAUAUAAAAGGCUAUCCCUUCUGUUUUUUCAACAGAUCUCUCAUCCCCUCUCUCUCUCUUCCCUUGUUUUUCUCCUCCCACUCUCUAAACCAAUGAAGAACUCUGGUUGAAUCUCAUCAGAUUCUAGAAAAUAUGGUCGGAAUCUGGGUUUUUCAUCGAAAGUUCAUCGAAAAGUUGGUCGAUUUCUGGAAACGGUGUCGAAAACUGGGUAGCUGACCGAAAAAAUCAAACUUGGUCGAAAAAGUCACCAGAAAAUUCAAACUUCGACGAAAAAUUCAACCGAAAUCUAAAAAUUUUCCAGAAAUUCCCAGAAAAAAAUCACUAAAAAUUCAAAAAAAUUCCCAUCGAUUCCUAAAGCUAUUCUAACACACAAAAACCUUUUUUUAGCUUCUGUUUCUUCUCUGUGUGUCCUCUUCUAUUUUAUUCUAGCACCUAUUUAUAGGGAUUAAUCAAAAUAGUUUCUGAUCAAUCCCAACUUCUCCUUGGAUUGUGAUUCAAUCCUUGAAUCCAAUAUGGACUCUGAUUGAAUUCCAAAUUCACGGUAGGAUUCCCAAAUUUUCAUCCCAAUCUCAGCCGAAUAAAAAGAAAAAGAAAAUCAAAUUAAAUAAAAAAUUUUAAUAGGUAAUUAAAAGAAAAUAAUUAUAUAAAUAAAAAUCUUAAUAGAUAAAUAAAAAUAAUAAUAUAUAAUAGAUAUAUAAAUAGAUAAGUAAUAAUAAAAGAUAUAUAUUAAUAAAUAGUAAUAAAAGAUAAGUAAAUAAUAAAUAAAUAAAUAAAAUACAAAAAUACAAAAUACAGAAUAAAUAAAAAAAUAAAAAUAAAAUAAAAUAAAAUAAAAUAAAACAAAUUGAAAUGAGCUUACCCAUUUGAACCAUGCCCAAUGGAUUCGGGCUUGGAUCCAAUUGGGUGUCUACAAUGGGUGAUUGUGAUUGGAAUGAAACAAUAAAAAAUUUUCAUCAAUGCCUUUCGUUGCUGUUCCAGACGCAGGCUUGGCAAUGGUGAUGAUAAUAUAAUGAUAAGAGAUUUAAAAAAUGCAACAUAUCUUUCAAAUUUGAAAUAGUAAAAAACAAAUCUAAUCAAUUUUAAUCAAAAUAUACAUUCAAAAUUUAUGGUCCAUAUAUUCUUGAAAAGUGAUUAAAUUAAAAAAAAUUCUAGAAUUGACAUUUUUGAAUUCAAGAUUUAUACAAAAUUUUUCAUAUUUGAUAGGUUUUCAUUUUGAAUUUAAAUAAUUUAUCAAAUAGAAUUACUUUGUAAACCCAUUUUAGAGAUAAUACAUUAUUACAAUUGAGAUUUUUAUAUUUAAAAAAUAUGUUUAUAUUAUUAGGAAAUUUAUUUUUAAUAAAAAUAUAUCUAAAUUAGAUUUUAUUGUUAACAAUUUUAAAAUUAUCCAUGUAGAUAUCCAUAUAAAUUACUUUUUUUGUGGUAAAUUCCUAUGUGUCAAAAAAUGAUAUAUAUAUAUAUAUAGGCAUUUACAUAUCCCAUAAUACUUACAUCUAAAAUUUGAAAGUUUUUGAUAACUAAAUAAUUUUUUAAAUAUUUAUUUCUUGAUAAAUAGCCUAAAAUUAAGAAAUGUCUUAUAUGUCGUUAUAGAGAAAUUUUAAGAAUUUUAUCACAUGUCAAAAAGAAAAACCAUCAAUGUAAGCAAACCUUAUAAUGUAACAAUGUAUCCUGUAAUAUAAUAUAUAUUAUAUAUUUUUAAAAGAUUAUUAGUUAUCCAAGUGAUAAAAAUAGUCAUACUUGACACAGACUCCAAGUCUUAAGAUUUCACAAUGUAUAUAAUAAACUUUAAUUUUCCAUGUGUACAUAUACUAGCAAAGUAAAAUAAGAACAUAAAAUGUCAACCAAUGAUUCUCAUCAUUCAAGCAUAGAAUUAAAUAUCACAUAGAUAUUCCAAGUGUAAAGGGAAAGGUCCAACAUAGAGACAAACCAUGAUGUGUGAGUAUGAAAGACAAAUGAUAUACUCCUAAUAAUAAAUUACAUCAAAAGACCCUAAAAUACCUAUGUUCUCAAUAUGUUUACCAAAUAGUAUAGGUCGUAUUCCCGUAGUCCAAGGAUCAACAAUCAUGUUGAUUGUCUGAAUGUGUUUGACAACAAUCUUACAAUUUUUCAUAAAAUCCCUAACUUUAAAAUAUAUUAUCUCCAAAUGUUUAAACCACUAGUGCUCUUGUUGUUAUUAGAAAACAACAUAGUAGACCUAUUAUCCCAAUAAAUCUUUAAAGGUCUGGGGAUGGAAUUAAUAAUACAAAGGCCUAACAUAAAAUUCAUAAGCUAAAUUGCCUAUGUAGCAGCUCUAUUGCAUGCAACAAACUCAACUUGUAUAGUGAAAAAAAAUAAAAGUGUUUUUUUCACACAUUUCCAAGACAGCUCCUACAGCCGACAUAAAAAAAUACUCUGAGGUGGACUCCAUGUCAUCCUAACUAGUGAAGUUAGAAUUUAUAUACCCUAUUAUCUGAAGAUUGUCCAUUUUUUUGUAUACCAAUGUAUGGUUCUUUUGUCUUUUGCAAGUACCUAAUCACUUUCUUAAUAACAACCCAGUGAUCCAUACUAGAAUUUGAAAGACAUCUCUCAAGAACUCACUUUGCAAAAGCAAUAUCUAGCCUAGUGCAAACUUGAGCAUACAUGAGACUCCCAACUGCACUAGAAUAUGGUAUGAUCUUCAUGGAUUCUUUCUCCAAAUCAUUCUUUGGGCACUGACUAAGGUUAAGUCUAUCACCUUUGACAAUGAGUGCAUUCCUAGCCUUACAGCUCUGUAUGUUAAAUUUAUUAAGCACACGAUUAAUGUAAGACCUUUGCGAUAGUCUCAGCAAAUUGUGAGACCUAUCUUUAUGAAUUUCAAUCCCAAGAACAAGGGAAGCAUUCCUAAGGUUUUUCAUAUCAAAAGUCUUGGAGAAUAACUGCUUAAUUUCAUGUAACAAACCAAUAUCAUUACAAGCCACUAAGUGUCAUCCACAUAUAACACAAGAAAGAUAUAUUUACUCCCCCUAAUUUUAAGGUAUAUGCAUUGAUCAACUUUAUUUUCCUCAAAACUAGGGGAAGAAACUAUCUUAUCAAAUUUUAGAUACCUCUACUUAGAAGCUUAUUUAAGGGCAUAGAUUGACAUUUUAAGUUAACAUACUAAAUGCUCUUUUUCAAAUUCUUGAAAUCUUUUUGGUUGCAUCAUAUAAACCUUUUCUCUAAAAUCACCAUUGAGAAAAGCCAUCUUUACAUCAUGUAAUAAAGUUUCAAGUUAAAAUGUACUACCAAGGCCAUAACAAUCCUAAAGAAUUUUUGGAAGACAUUGGUAAAAACGUUUCGUUAUAAUCUACUCUUCCCCUCUAAAUAAAUUACUUUGCCACCAAUUUAACUUUAAAUAUCUCAAAUUUUUCCUUAGAACCUUUCUUGGUUUUAUACACCUAUUUACAACCAAUGGAUAUAUACUUUUUUGGCUGUUUAACAAGCUCCUAAGCACCAUUUUGAGCGAUAAAAUUUACGCCAUUUUUUAUUACAUCCAUCCAUACAUUAAAUUACAGACUGCUAAUAGUUUCACCAAAAGUCACAAGGUUAACAACAUGACUAAUGUCAUAGUCACUCUCUCAAUGAUAAAUUACAUAAUCAUUAAAGAUGUCGGAUCUUCUUUGCUUGGAAGAUCUCUUAAAAGGUAUUUCAAUAUCAUUCUUUUGAACUUGAAGUACAUCAGUAGGAAGAAGGUUUAUGUCCUAUUGCCUUGAUCUCUUCUUUCAAUGGCCACUGGCAUAAUAUGGCAUUGUAUUAUAGGUAAAGCGAUGGAGGUAUGUCUAAUAGAUUCACAAUUAUCCACAUCCUCUAUCACACUCUUAUCAACAACAUUUAGUUCAAGAAACUUUGCCACAUAUGACUCUACAAACUUUGUUCCACGUAUAGGACAAUAGAACUUAUAUCCCUUAAAGUGAUCUAGAUACUCUAAAGAAAAGCAAUAAGUACUCUUAGGUUCAAUCUUUCUUUCAAAAGGUUAUAGAUUCUAACUUUUGCAAGACAUCCGCAAACCUUAAAAUGGUUCAAUUGGGGUUUCCUACCAGUCUACAAUUCAAAAGGUGUUUUAGGAACAGAUUUACUAGGUACUCUAUUAAGUAUAUACAAGGCGGUAUUAAUACCUUCACCUCAAAAAGACUUAAGAAGAUUGGUCCUACAUAUAAGCUCCUUAUCAUACCCUUAAGGGUGUAAUUUUGCCUUUCGACCACACCAUUAUGUUCAAGACUACCAAGCAUAGCAUAUUAAGAAAAAUCUGACAUUCUUGUAAGUAUUUAGAAAAUGGUCUCAUAUGUUUAACUAGUUUCGCCAUAUCUACCAUCAUACUCACCAUCUUGGAGCUAAUGACUUUGAUAACUUUCCCUAAUUAUUUCUCUACCUCAAUUUAAAAAUUUUAAAUUUUUUAAAAGCAUUUCGAUUUUCAUCAAUUAGGUAAAGAUGCCUAUAGCAAAAAUAGUCAUAAAUAAAAGUAACAAAAUAAUUGUUACCACAAAAGAUAGAUAUAAGAGGUCCACUAUUAUCAGUGUACACAAUUUUCAAAAGGUCAAAAUUAUAAAUUGCCUCAUUUUUCUUAGUCUUAGUUAGUAUAUGUUUUAUACAAUCAAGACAAGUGUCUAACUUUUCAAAAUCAAAGGAAGGUAAAGUACAAUUUUUUAUCAAUUUUUGCACUUUUUCACUAGAAAUGUGACCUAAUCUUUUACGCCACAACAAAAAAGACUUUUCUUUAGUUAGAUAUUUUUAAGAUACUGUCUUUUCCACAUUAUUGCAACUAUAUUAAUUAUCAUAUGCCAAGCACGGUUUGUAUAAAUUGUCAAUUAGUUUAAAUUCAUCAACAAUGAAUUUUCUUUAGUCAAAGAUUUUUUAGUCACUAUUUUUUUAACAUUAUUGCAACUAUAUUAAUUAUUGUAGGCUAAGCACAGUUUAUAUAAAUUGUCAAUUAGUUUAAAUUCGCCAACAACAUUUGAAUUUUAAAAACAAAUCAACUUUUCCAUAUCCAAGCCAAAAUAAAUAACCAUGUUCUUCAAAAUAAAAACUAAAUCAAAUUCCUCUUAAAUGAAGGUGUAUGAAAAACAUUUUGCAAAAUAAGUUCAAAGCCAGAUUCUAAAUUUAAGCCUAUUGUUCCUACAUAAUUAAUGGCUACUUCAGUAUUGUUUCAAACUCUAUGUGUUGCCCCUUUCUCACUUAGCUUUCAUUUGUUUUUGAAUCAUAGCAAAGGUAACAAUAAUAUGAAUAGUUGCACCACUAUCAACCUACUAGGAAUUUGGUAGGCCAUUGACAAAUUAGGAUUUAAAACAAACGAGAGCUAGUGAGUUACCUUCUUGUUUAUUCUUUUUCUUUAACCAAGCUUGAUAUUUAGGGUACUCAUGUUUCAUAUGACAUUUUUUUUACAGGAAAAACACUUGAUAUCUUUCUUAAUGACAACUUUAAGCCCUGUCACCUUUUUUGUCUGACCACUACCUUAUCCCUUGUUUUCUUGAACUUUCUUGUGAGCAUUAGGAACAAAUUUCCCAGAUUUUUCAUAAUUUCUUUUGUAAUUAUAUUUGGAGUAUAUAGUAAAAAAAACACUCUCACCCUUUUCUUUCUACAGUUUUUCUUCUUUAGAGACAAACUUUUAAGUAAGAUCAUUAACACUUCAAAACCUCAUUCAUAGCAUUAUAGACAGUUUUGAUCUGAGUGAACUCCAAAAGUAAGGCAUUGAAGGCAUGAUGAACAAUGAAUUUAUCAGGAAGGUCGAUUUCAUGAUAAGUCAAUUUGGUUUGAAUGUGGACCAUUCUCAUGAUGAAAUCUCUAGCACUUCUAACACUGUCAUACCUUAUACUUGUAAGCUCACUCAUAAGGUUCUUAGUUUUACACUUAUUGGAUUUUUGGUAUUUAUUGGCUUCAGCAUGGUAAAGAUCCCUAGCAAUUUUUGUGGUAUCCAACUCACUCAAAAGGUAUUCAAAAAUAGAAAUAUUAAUGACAUAUAGAUGCAUAUGAUUUGUCCUUUCCCAUUCGGGAAAAUAUUCUUUUUGUUUAGCAAUGCUUUCAUUAGUAAAAUUAACUAGCUUUGAAAAACGUAAGGCUACGUCUAUCUCAUUUAUAACUAAAGCAAAAUUCAAAUCUUUAUUCCAUUUUUUAUAAUUAGACCCAUGAAGAACUUUAAUAGUGGCUUAUUGUUAUUGAUAAUAAAAGUCAACAUUCAAGAUAAAAAUGCAACAUUAGUAAAUGGCGAUAUGAUAAAAUAUAUAGCAACAGUUCAUGAUGUACUAACAAUUAUUGAAAGGUCUUGGUACAUCACCACAAACUCCUUUUCGGAUAAAGAAUGUAAUAUGCAAGUAGGAACUUUUCGCGUAAAGCUAAUACGAAAAUGUGCUAGCUUUUAAAAAACAUAUCCCCUUCGGGCAUAUAGAUUUUCUAGAUUGGUACAACUUCAACCAUGAUGAUUUAUAUUCCAAAACAAAUUACCCUAUACAUUAACCCCCUUUAGGCAGUAAAUUGCAUAAGAUAAUUUAUUAACCAUCCCGUAACCAUAGAAUGAUAAAAUAUUACAUUAAUUUCAAUAAGUGAGCUACUUUGAAAACCAAAUAUUGAUAUCAAUUAAUAAAGAUUUUUUCAAAUAAAAAAAUUUCAUUAAUUGCCCAAAACUCUCAGUUUACAAACUCAACCAUAAUGUGUGCAAUGGAUUAUCCCAACUAAAAAACUAAGCUUAAAUGUAUCUAAUUAGGUCUUAUAUGCAGUAUACAUUAAAUUUAAACUAGUGUCUUGAAUUUUUUUUAAAAUCAAUUUUUAAUUACUAAAUCAACUAUGCACUUAAGAGCACAUAAAUAUCAAGGCCUAUUUAGGAAGAAUGCCUACUAUCAUUAGACUCUCAUCAUACCAAAAUAUUUUAUCACAAAAUAAAAUAAUAAAAUAAUAUGUAUAACAUAUAGUAAUUAUUGAGCAAUGCAUGAAUGUCAAACAAAUAUUCAUGUAGUUUAAAAAUUUUUUAAAAAAAAUUAGAAAUAAAAUUCCAAGUUUGCCAAAAAAAACUAGAGCAAAAAUGGUGCUAGAGACGCCCACACGUGCCAUAUGCGCCCCCCACCAUGCAUGGAUUUUGUUCAACAUGGGGAAUGAUUUUCUUUAACCUCUAAAUGAGUUGACUCAAUGCGACUGGAACAAUUCUUUACCUAUUCUAGUCUGUUCGUAUUUUUCCACCAUUUUUUAUGCAUUUUCUUGGUAAUUUCAACAAAUUCAAGUGCCCAAAAAAUUUUUUUUUCUAUCAAACCCUUGACAAAAAGUAUAAAAACAUGACAAAAAUAAGAUCAAUUGGUUAAAAAAUUUUCAAAUUACAUAAACAUGUAUUAGAUCCCUUUUUAUUUUCUUCGUGUUUGGCUAAUCUAAAAUAAUAUGAAAUUAAACGCUUUGAUUUAACUUUAUAACACAUGAGCAACAUGAUUCAAGAAUCAAUUUUGAAUUAAACACAUAAAAUGUUUGAUGUUUUAAUCAAAACAAGAAUUUAGAUUAAAACUUAAACUUAAAAAUUUUCAACCUUGAUUUCUCUCUCGAUAUAAGGAAUUAGAAAAUGAUCAUUAUAUAAUUUUAAUCCUUUUUUAGAGAGGAACUAAAAUCCUAAAUCAAUUUCAAAAAAUAAAGAUCAAAAUUUAAAAAUUUGACAACAACAUAAUUUCACACUAAAUAUGUUGUUUGUUCAAAAAUCAACUAUAAAUCAUGGUUUUAGGGGCCUAAUAUCACAUAAUGAUAGCUCUGAUACCACACGUAAACAUUAACCCAAGUUUAUUGUUUGAUAAUUAGAACAUCGUAAACAAAUAAUGAGAUUUUUCAUACUUAUUUGGGUGGUCAUGACGAAUAUAUCACAACGAAACAAUACUUAAAGUACUUAGGUCUUUCUCUUCACUCUUGUCAUAUUGGUGAUACUCAAUGAGCAGUAACCGUAACUUGUAUAAAAGUAAAAAAAAAAAAGUUAUUUGAACCUAUUUUAAUUGAAAACCCUUGAAGCCUCCUCAUUAAACACUUACUAGACUAAAGGUCUACAAAACCUCCAAACUAGAUUGAUCUGGUAAGAUGUGUAAGUCUUACAUUUAAGUGAUCACAUUAAAUUAUUUAAACUCUCAUGCUUAUCUCAUGUUAAGAGUAAACACAUCAACCAAUUUUAUUAAAUUAUUAAAACCAACUAUUAAUGGUAGCCCACUUAUGAACAAUUCUUGCUUUAUAUCCUAAUAAAACAUCAACGGGGAGUUUAUAAAGCAAAAGAUGAAGACUAUAUUAAGAGCAAUGGUGGUGGAAAGAUUGUUUUCUAAACAAAAAUUUAGAUGUUGAAGCGGUCUUCAUAAGAGAUGACUUUCUAUGUUAGAAUGGUUCCACUAAAAUAGUAUACUAAGGUUAUAUUUGAUACAUAUGAUUGUUAAUAGAAUAUGAAGAAUAUUCAUAAGGUUUGGAAUGAGGAUUAAUAUCCUCUUGGCAUAGGAUUAUUCAAUCCUCUCAAAGUAGAGAGAAUAAUUUUUAAAUUUAUAGAUUAAACUUACAGGUUCAAUUAUACCUUUAAAAAUUACUUUAAUAAUUUAAAUUGUAUAAACUUUGAAUAAGGAUAAUUUUAACAAAUAAAUAAAUUAUCCUAUCCCAAUCUUUACAUAUAGAAAACACAAAACAAGAUGACAUUAUUUAAUCUAAUUCUAUUUAUAAUAUCAUUGUACCCUAUCAAGUUAUAAUCUUAUGUACCAAACAUGGCAUAAGAUUAUUAUAUCCAUGUAUAUUGAUAUUAUUUGUUAUUUUAUAACUAAGCUUUUGCGAUUCACAUAUUGUGAGGGGUUUUUGUGACAACUUUUUAAAAGACUAUUUGGCAUGAUUGUAUAUACAUGACAUCAUACAUGCUAAUAGAGGAUUAGGAUAGAGCGGCAUAUUCGAAUUCACCUAUAAGGUACUGUGUGAAUUGAAUUCCUCAAUUCUUUUUAUUGGUGACCUAGAUUGGUGGAUUAUAUUAUAGAAUGGUGGUGUAGCACAAUGAUUUUAUGUUGUUUUACAACAAUUAUUGUUCAUUUCUUCAAACAUCAGUAAAUAAGAUUGAAGAACGGGUGCAUUGUCCUAAAACCAAAUGAACUUGAGUAACAACCAUAAGCUCUAAGGAUUUUCAAAGAACUUGGAUAUCAUUUUGUUUGUUGAGAACCAAAAGAUGGAAAGAAACAAGAAAGUAGUAUCGAAAUUAGCAAUAACCUUUAGUUUACAAUAAAUAAGUUAGUUGAUUUUGUCUGUGUACACUUGGGUAUACUAUUUGUUAUUUAUGUUAAUGAGCCUUACAUAAAUUUUCAAUUUGGCUGACUUUAGGACUGAUAUUAGGUUCUAGAAGUCUAGAAUCCCUGUUGAAUAUAUAGGGUGAAGAAAUCUAAAUAUUCAAUACUGAAAUUAUUUUAUACUUUGAUCUUAGCAUAUGAUAUUGGAAGUAGUUUACUAAAAUUUGGUAAGUUAUAUUGAGACAUUGAUCUUUCAAUUGGCUAUAUGUUAUGCCUUUUUCAUAUUUUUUAUCCUAAAGAUUGAAGGAGAAAUUCUAUUUGUGGAUGAGAUGCUAUGAUUUGCAAGAGUGAAUUAAAAUGGAAUUUGUAUUAAUGGAUAUAUUAUUACUUUAAGUAUAUUAUAUUUUUGGAAAGUUUGCUGAAUCUACUUUCCAAUGAAAUAAACGUAAGUCGAAUCAGAGUUUUCUAUUAAGAGUUGUCUAAUUUUUACUUAAUGAUAUGUAGACUGCCUGACAACAGUAGCAAUGAGGAAUUACAAAAUUUCUCUUAAUUUUUAUACAAUCAAUUACGAAUUGAGCCAUACAUGUUUAAAAAGGUUAUUGAGUUUAUAAUCCAAUGAAACAAGCAGAAUUGAAUUUGGAGUCUGUUAUGAAUAAAUAUGUCAUUUUGAUUACAAUAUAUACAUGCUAUCUGGUAGUAGCAUAUGACAUGGAUUGCAAAAAUUAUUACAAUUAAUCUACAAUAAAUUAUGAGGUGGGCCACAUAUGUUGUCAUAACAUCUUGAUCCGGGGAUCCAUUACUAGAUAUUAUUUUUAGGAGUCGUUACUAAUCUUUUUUAUUUAGGUGCGAUUAGCCACAUAGAAAAUUUAUCUAUUUUAAGGAACACCUAAGCCUAAGGUUCCCUAAAAGAAUAGUUUCAAGUCUACUAAUCAAAACAGGGUUCGAGAGUACGGUUACGUAUGAGAAGGGUUAUAGCACCCUCACAACGCCCAUCAAAAGAUGGUACUAGCUUAAUUUUAUGUUAUCCAAUAAGCCUUAAAAAUUUACCAAGUAAUUAAUUAUUGGAAAUUAUUCUCAAUUAACUCUAAUACUUUUAGCAGAAAAUAGAAAAAAUUUCCUCACCACAAGAGUAUGCAAGGAAACUACUGUUUCACUUGCAGAGGCUCUAUCGUCGGAUUAUUUAACAUUAAAAAAAAAUCAAAAAAGAAAAGAAAUAAAAUGAAAAAAAAAAACAAUAAUAAUUCAACUUUAGAUAUAAAUCCUUUUCUCUUCAAAAACUCAUUGCUUUUGUACAAGAAAAAUUGAUACUUUCAAUAUUUCCUUAAAAGCAUCUGAGAGUUUCUAUUUUAAGGAAAAUUGAUACUUUCAACUUUUCCUUAAAACGUUUUUUUUUAAGAAACAUUGAUACUUCCAACUUGUUCCCAAAAUGUUUUUCUGAAACUUUAAUUUCGAGAAAAAUUGAUACUUUCAACUUUUCCUCAAAAACAUUUUUUUUAAAUUUAUUUUUAAGGAAAAUUAAUACUUUUACGUUUUCCUCAAAAAUAUUUUUUAGAAAAUUAUUUUCAAGGAAAAUUUAUUCUUUCAAUUUUUCCGCGAAAAUAUUUUUUAGAAAACUUAUUUUCAAGAAAAAUUGAUACUUUCAACUUUUGCUCAAAAAUAUUUUUUAGAAUUUUAUUUUAAGAAAAUCAUUAAAAAAUAAAAUAAAAUAAAAAUGAGAAUAAAAAUAAAAUAAGGAAUACCAAAUUAUUCUAAUCUAAUCAAUAAAUAAUAAUAAUAAUAAUAAAUAAGGAAAAAAAAACUUUUGGAACGGUUCGGCUUGACUUAAUGCAGCUCGGCUUGAAAGAUAGAAGUGGUUCAAACGUGUGGCUCGGCUCGACUCAACUGGGGUCCAGGUAAAGACACAGUCGCUAACCGGGUUGGCGCUCGGGUUGGGUCACCCGAUUUCAAAACGUGCGAAUCUUCUGGGAAUAGUAAGGCUAAAACGACAUUGUUUUCGGUCAAUAUAAAAGGCUCCAACCUCUAUUUUUUCACAGAUUGCUUCCUUCCUCCUCUCUCUCUUCAUUUUUUUCUCCUUUUUCUUUCUAAAUAGAAUCCAGAUUUCGGUUGAAUGUCUACUAGAAUCUAGAAAAAUAGGUCAAAAACUUCAAAGGUGGCCGAAAAUCUCGUUGAAAAACUUGAAUCUUACUAAAAAAUUUCAUCGGAUUCUGAAAAAUUUUUAGAAAUUUUUAGAAAAAAAAACUUCAAAAAUUCUAAAAAAUUUCCCACAAAUUCCUAACAUUGUUUCUAACGCACUAGAAACUUUUUUAGCCUCUAUUUCCUCUCUGUGUAUUUUUUGAUCUUUUUGUGUGCUCUCUGUGGACUUAUAUAUAAAGAUUGAUCAGAAGAGUUUUUGAUCAAUCCUAACUCUUUCAAGGAUUUGGAUUCAAUCUUUGAAUCCAAUCCUAAUUCUGCCAACCUCUAAUUUCACGGUCAAAUCCAAUUUUUUCUGAUCCUAAUCCUAGCCAAAAAUCAAUCAAGAUAAAAUAAAAAAAUACAUAUUAAUAAUUAAUAGAUAAAUAAUAAAAUAUAUAUAUUAAUAAAUAAUAAUAAAAUAAAAAUAAAAUAAAAAAACAAAAGGGCUUACCCAUUUGGACCAGGCCCAAUUGAUCCGGGCCUGUACCAAAUUGGGUGUCUACAUAUGUUUGAAAAGGUUUUUGAGUCUACUUUUUUAUUAAACAAACGAAAUUGAAUUUGGAGUGUUUUAUGAAUAAAUAUAUAAUUUUUAUUAGAAGAUAUACAUACUAUCUGAUAGCAGCAUAUGACAUAGAUUACAAAAGUUAUUUCAAUUAAUCUAUAUGAAAUUACGAGGUGGGCCAUAUAUAGUUAAAAAAUUUAUCGAGUUUAAUUUCUAACGUACUAAAAAUAUUUUAAUUUUGAGUUGGAUAUCUUAAGAUAGGAUCAUUUUAGUGAAAGUAGCAUAGGCUACCAAAAUUAGUUAUAUAACUUAGUUGUUUUUAGUAUUAAUGGUCUUAAAGUGCAUUGAUUAAUAUCUGUUAUAUUGAAAUGAUUUUGAAUUGUCCAUUAAUUGUUUUGGGGGAAAAACUAAGUGGUAGAACCGAAAGGAAAUAAGUAGAAUCUUACACACUUUGCUUAUUUUAAAACUUAUGUAUAUAUAUAUAUAUAUGUUUCUAAAUAAAUGAGAUUUAUUUCUUUAUUUUCGAUAUAAGAAAAUAGGCUGAGCAUAUGAUUAUUUUACGUUUUGCUAUAUAAAUGAUGGAUCAUGUUUAUAAAUGAAAUGAGAAAUUGAUUUAUGUUUAAUGAAUGAUUUUAUAAUAGCUACAUAUUUUACAUCUUGAGAAGUGGGAUUAUCGAUACUAGAACUAAUUAUACGACCCUAGCUAACGGAUUAUAGUAGUUAACAUAGUCACGAUCAAAUGGUACUGCUAGUGAGUCAUAGUAGUUAGUGUAAAGGUCUGGCUAACAGGUUAUAAUAGUUACUAAAGAUCAUAAGGAUAAAAUUAUCGAUAUUGCCAAUGUUACGGAUUAUAAUAGUGAUCAUAAUUAAUGAUAAACUAAUGAUAAUGAUGAUUUAUAAUGAUGAUGAUUUUAAAGAUUGAUUCAUGAUUUGAUUUGAUUACAAUAUUUGAAUGGUAACAUAUUUUGUAAUGAUUUAUGAAUUGAUAUGUUUUGAUUUUGAUUUAUGAUCUACAAAAUAUUUGACAUAAUGUUGAUUUUUGAAAUAUUUUGAUGUAUUAUUUGACAAAUGUUUUGAAUUAUCUAUAUGAUAUGUAUGAAACCAAUGUUUGAUCCGAUAAAGUGUAUGAUCCUAUACUAGCUUAACUGUAAUUUGUUCAUUCUCUUUCUACCUUUUCUUUACACAUGAGUAACUGAUAAAUAUGUUUAGUCUUAUUAAAAGCUAGAAGAUCAAAUUAGAAAUAUUACUUGGGCAUUAAAAAUAUUGUUAGCUAGUGAGAUCUUAUGAAAUUAUUUUAUAUGUUUUUUAUGAAUUAACCUUUGGAUAUAUAGAGAUGUAUCAUUAGUUAGAUUAAAUUUAUGAAUUUUACUUGGGCAAAUUAUUUUUAUUAAAGAAUUUUAAAAUGAUUAAGAGAAAAAAUUUUGUUUUACUUUAAAGUUUUAUUUGAAGAUAAUAUAACAGUGUUACAUCUUAGUUUUGGGGUAUGACACCAUUAGUAGACAAGUCUUGACCAGAUUGGAUUACGUAUCAGCCAAUUUGUCAGGCAUUGCAACAGAUUUCAGGUAAUUGGAGAGUCUGCUAACAUGACAGGCUUGAGCUAGUUUAAUUUCUGCUUUUUGCUGUGAGAAAUAUUCCAAUUGAAGGAGGAAAGAUAGAUAAUUUGAUUAUGAACUGCGAAUCAUUUUUGUAGUAUAGUUAGACUCUGAAGUGAGGAGGUUAAGAUUACUCGCGAAACAUCCUUGAGAUGGAAACUUGGGAAGUGAGAGCAGCGACUCGUUUUGGUACUUUCAAAAAUAUGAUGCAUACUGAAGGAUGACAGAGUUAUCAUUCUUUCCUGCAUCAAUUUUGUCACGGUCCAAACUUAUUGUUCUGAAAAGCACUAGCCAAAGGCAAGACAUGGAUGCCGUGACUAUUCUCCUUUCCUACCAGGUCCUUAAGCGCCUUCUUCUUGAAAGUCCAGCUGCCAGUUCUCAGGUUGAAAUGGUAUAGAGGAAGAAAUCGUUGGCCAUAGAUGGCUACGAACUCCAACGCCGCAAGAAUGUAUUCAAACUCCUCAUUUGACAUGUAGUAAGGAAAGCUGACUCUUGUCCAUCCAGGUUUUGCUCCUAUGUAGCCCUGCAAUCAAACUUUGCAAUUGGCAUUAGAUAAGUUGAAUUAUAUUUUACUUCUCUUUCAUUUGGUCAAAAAAAAAAAAGGAAAAUUUUGUACUGAUACCCUUUUAAUAGCUUCUCUGAACGCAAGGGAUCGAGUCUGAUCAAUAUCAAGCAAACUGUGGCCAUAAGGUCCAGCACAAGCACACCCAUCUCGAUCUUGGAUGCCAAUCAGAUCAUUUAGGAUGGUUGCAACAAAAGGGCCAUGGAGAGGUUUAUCCCUCUUGUUCCCAGUCUCUCCCCACAUGAAAAGUCCCUUACCCUUUUCACCGCCCGUUCAACAUUGUUUAACCUCGUUGGUUGUGGAGUAGAUGAGGAAAAGACAUAUGGCUUGUCUCUGGGCUCGGUGCUUGAUUUCUAAACCCGUUAUGUUUUGGUUUGGAGAAAGCCUCAUCCAAUGCUUGAUUUAUGUCCAUACUUCUCCUGCUUUGGCAAUCACUCAUAACCAAUAUAUUCUUUUUACCCAAAAGUCAAUGCUGCUGCUAACAAUCUGAAUUAUUUGAGGAGUCCCUCCCAUUUUCCCCUUUCUUCUCAUGUCAUCUUACAUAUAUUGUGUCCUGCAAAAUACAUACCCCAUUUUACCACAUUUUAAAUUGCAUACCUGCUUCCCUAAAUGCUGGGGGAAUGAAUCUGAUAAUAUCAUGAUAACUUAUCAUUCUAUGUAGAAGUAUUUUUUAUGACACGUCGUGCCUUUAGGAAAUUUGGUUGGAAAAUCUCUUUUCUUCUUAAAAUUGUAAUUAAAAUAAAAAAAUUUUUUAGAGACACUUAUCAUUCACUAGUCUAUGUCUAAACCCGCUCCAUCUGAAUCAGGAAUUUAUUUCUAAACUCCAAAAAGCCUGACAGCUACCUAAUCAUUCUUUAUGUCGUCCAGUCGAAGAAAGAAACCAAAAUUUCUUACAAAAUGGGAUAUAUAAGCAAGAAUAAGAAAAAGGUAAAGAAAAUACAAAUUUCCAUUUUAUUGUAGAGAGGUGAACAAAAAAUAAAAUCUUUCAUCUAUUAAAUUGAAUUAAUCUGAACACAAAAAUAUAAUAAAAAUCUCUUCAUUUAUUAUCAAUUAAUUUUAAAUUUGAGUGUAAUUACCUGUUCAUUGAAGCCAUUGACAUAAUUAACAGUUCCACCUCCGCAAGUUGAUGGAGGAGAAGAUCCCAGCCGGUAGAGAGUCUUGCUCAUUAAAAGGAUGCCGGGCGUUCCAGGGCCACCUAGAAACUUAUGUGGGCUUAGGAAAAUGGCAUCAUAUCCAUCAAUCUCCCCUGACCUCAUAUCAAUCUCCACAUAAGGACCACUAUCCACAAAAACAAAAUGAUAAGCACUAUCAAAAAUCAACUUCUCAUUGCUUUAUAACAUUAACAUAAUACAUAAAACUUGGCUAAUAAUUAAUUGUGAGAUCUGUUAUUAAAAUAUUAAACUUUUAAUUUUAACAAUCAAAGAUUAAAUUCUGACAACCUCGAAUAUAAAAGCUUGACAACAAAAAAUGAAAAUUCUUACUGUGUACCUUGCUGCAGAAUCAAAGCAAACAAAACCUCCGUACUCAUGAAGAAGUUUGGCAAUCUCUCGAGUAUCUGUUUGAAUCCCAGUCACAUUACUACAAGCUGAAAAUGAGCCAAGCAAAGGCCUAUUGGCGUAUUUAUACAGCUCAACCUGUUUUCUUAGUGCUUCAAUGUCUAUGAACCCAUUCUCAUCUAAACCAAUCUCAACAACUUCAGCAAGGCUGUGACGCCAAGAAAGCAAGUUUGAGUGGUGCUCGUAAGGGCCAAUAAAAACUACCCAUCGAUACUCAUUCGGUAAGCAAUUUAUUACCAUGUCCCUCAAAAUUGAUGGUACCGUAAUCCCCAUAACUUCUUGUAGCCUUUUAAUAGCAGCCGUGUUGCCUGAGCCACAAAACAGAAUUGCAUCAUCUUGACCGCCUCCUAGGCUUCUUUUAAUGUAGUUUGACGCUUCAUGCACCAUUUUCGUCGUCCUGUGCCCCACGUAACAGUCAGACGUGUGAGUGUUACCUACGCACGAACCAACCAAGAUCAGCUGACAAAUACUAAAACCCUAAUAUAUAUAUAUAUAUAUAUAUUAUACUCGGAAAUGACGCCAUCACUUUUGUUAAUUAAAUCAGAGUAUCACAAUUGAAGAUCAGAAGAAAAAAAACCUUUACCGUAGAAUGGCAGAACAUUGGUGACGAUGAAGUUUUCGAUAUAGUGAAAAGAGCGACCCGAUGCAGUAUGAUCAGCAUAAGUAAGUUUUCUAGUUCCAAAAGGAGAGUCAAAUUCUGCAUCACCACCAGUGAUUUGAGAUCGUAGCCAAGACAGCUUUUUCUCGGUGGAGUCAACCUUUGGCACAUCCAUCUCUAGAGCCCUGAAUGAUUCCGAGCCAUGGAAGAGUUUGCUGGAAACAUAGGAACGGCAUGUUGAUCCUGGUGACUUAUGCCUGUCCCUGGUUGAAGUCUUACUAUCAUUUGCUGCCUUCAAUUUCAGGGCUUCCGUUGUUUCUCUAAACAUGGGUUGCUCAAACUCCAUUUCCCACCUGGAAACAAAGAUUAGUGCCUGUUUUUAUUGUUGUUGUCGCUUAUGACAGGAGAAAGAAUGGAAAAAGUAGUUGUAGAAGAAGAAAAAGAUAAGAAUGAGGGUAAGGAAGGCAGACUUCGUUAUUUAUAUCCUAUUAAAAUACAAAGUAACCUUUUGACACGGUUUCAUUUUUUUAAUUAAUAAAACAAAAAGACAAAGUUUUAGGCGUGAGGGGGGUUUGACUCCGAAACCAUGGCCUCUACACUCCAAUAAGAAAAAUAUUGCUGUCUCAGAAACAAUGGGAUCUCUAAAAAGGAUUGAAAAAAAAAAAAAAAAACCUACAGAAAAUAGUAAGCCUACGUUUGGAAUAUAUUAUUCCUUGGAGUGUAAGAAUUUCCAUAUUUCUCAUUCCUCUCCCUAAAAUUUGAUUAUGGAGUAUCAAAUAGCCCAAGCAAUUGUUAGAAAAACAUUGAACCUUUCCUGGUCUACUUGGUUUGGAACGUGAUGUAUCCAAUCUGCCGUAUUAAUAAGGAGAGCAUUGCUAUUUAGAGGUGUCAAUAAUAUACCCAUACUCACGAGUUAUUCAUUUUAUAAAUUAGAUUACUUAAUUGAUAAAAAGAAUGAGAAUUUUUGUAUCUCAUUAUAAUUUGCACGGAUAGUUAUGAUUUCAAAAGAGUAAAAUGUGUAAAGAAAGCAAAGAAUUUGAUUGCUUUUCAGAAACUUAAUAUGAUUUUGGCAAUAUGCAUGAUAAUUUUAUUAAUGAUUAUUCAUCAAUAAGUAACAUUUAUGAAUUAAAAUUAAAUUUUGAUUUAUUGAAAAAGUAUUAAAAAAAUCAGUUAAAAAAAAUAAAUGAAAGAAUGAAGAAACAAACAAACGGAUCAAAUAAAAAAAAAAUAAAAAGAGAACCAACACAAAAUAAAAGUAGUGAAAUAGAUCUUCAAACCAAUACUCCACCACACUCAAGGCUAUUCAUUUGUAUUUGUGAUGAAGUGGCAUAUUAAAAAUAAAUAAUUUAAUUUAAUUAAGAAUGAUUUAAGAUAAAUAAUAAAAAUUUGAUUACUAAUUGAUAUAAUUUUAACUAUAGAAGGUAAAUAAUACAUACUCUUUAAGGUAAUGUUGUUCUUUCCAAAAUAGUUAAAUAUAAAAAUAAGCCAUUUAUUAUGCAUUUCUUAUCAAUUUGGCACCAAAAAAAUAAAAUAUUUAGUUUGGCACUCUAAUUUUCUUUCUUUCAUCACUUUGUUAUCGGAAACUAGCGUCAUCAGUCAAUUUAUUGACGUGAUAUAAAUAUCUAAUAAGAUAUUAACACAUGCUGAGAAAAUCUAAUCAAUGUCAAAUCAUCAAUAUUACAUCCGAAUUUAAAGAAAAUUUAAAAAAAUUUAAAUAUUUUUUAAAAAAUAUUUAAGCAUUUUAAAAAUUAUUUUAAAAACAAAAACUAAAAUUUUAAAAAUUUUUAAAAAUUAUUAAAACUUAAAAAAUUAAAAAAAUCUCAAAAUUUUAUUAGAAAAAUAAAAAAAUUUUGAAAUUUUCAUAAAAAUGAUAAUUUUAGUAAACAUAAAGUUUUCAUAAAUUUAAAAAAAAAAUCUCUAAAGCUUAAAAAAUUGAAAGUAAAAGAUCUAAAAUUUUUUGAAAAUAUCUAAAAAUUUUAAAAUAAUUGUAAUUCUUAUAAAUUAGGAAAAUUCUUCAUUUUUUUAAUCUUACAAUUUUAAUUUUCUUAUAUAUUUUGUGAUUUUUUACAUUUUUUUAAAUGUUUAUGGAUUUUUAUUAAAAUUUUAAGUUUUUUAUUUUAUAUUUUUCAAAAAAUUUAAUUUUUAGUAAAUUUCUUAGAAUAUUUCAUAUUUUUGAAAUUUUUUUAAUUUUUUCAAAAUUUUUGAAAAUAUUUUAUAAAAUUUUAGAUUUUAAUAAAAAUUAGAUUUUUUGUAAUUUUCAAAUUUUGUCAAAAAAUUCUAGAUUUUUUAGUUUUUGUGAACCUAUUUUUUUUAAUUUUUUAGAAUAUUUUGGAUUUUUUUUGGAUUUUUUGUCAAAAUUUGAGAUUUUAUGAAUUUUUUAAAGUUUUGAUAUUUUUUUAAAUUUUAUGUUCAAAUAAGAUUUCAUAUUUAUUUAAUUUUUCUAAUUUUAAAAAUAUUUUAGCUUUUAAAUUUUGUUGAAUUUUUUUACUAUUGAUGUGGUAAUUGAUGAUGUGGCACUACUAAACUUUUUGAUACAUGUCAGUAUCUUAUUAGAUGUUAAUGCCAUGUUGACAAAUUGAGUAAUUGCUUUAGUACGAGGUAUCAAAGUAAAUGGCGAAAUGAAAGUUAAAGAACCAAAUUGAUAAUUUUGUUUCUUAAAGUACUAAACUGACAGAAAGUGUAUAGUACAUGAAAUAUUUUUAUAUUUAACUUUUCCAAUCAUGAAAAAACCUAAAAGAGACUUGAAAUUGUUAUACAUGUAAUCGAUAAUCAUUCCUUAGUGUUGACCUUUAGAGUUCAAAGGAUGUCUCAUACCCAAAUAAUUUUUGGGUUUUUCCUACAUGUAAUAAUAAUAUUAAUUACCAAAUUACUGCUUAAUUUGAAAAAAAAAUGACAUUAAUAUAAAGAUAAAUGUACAUAAAAGAGAAGUUCUUUGUCCUUAGCUCUUUCCCUAAACAGUUGGAUCUCUAGCUCUACCUGUAAAUCAUUUAACGAAACACAAAUCAAUUGAUUACGUCACAACAUAUAAGUGAUUUAGUUACAAAUUAUGAUUCUUCUCAAACAAUAAAAUGAUGGGUGAUUGUGAUUGGAAUGAAACAAUAAAAAAUUUUCAUCGAUGCCUUUCGUUGCUGUUUCAGACACAGACUUGGCAAUGGUAAUGAUAAAAUGAUUAGUGACUGUGGCCAUGAUUAAAUUUUUAAAAUAAUCUAAUGAUAAGAGAAUAAUAUGCAACAUAUCUUUCAAAUUUGAAAUAGUAAAAAACAAAUCUAAUCAAUUUUAAUCCAAAUAUACAUUUAAUAUUUUUGGUCAAUAUAUUCUUGAAAAAUGAUUAAAUUAAAAAAAAAAAGAAAAAUUCUAGAAUUGACAUUUAUGAAUUCAAGAUUUAUACAAAAUUUUUCAUAUUUGAUAGGUUUUCAUUUUGAAUUUAAAUAAUUUAUCAAAUAGAAUUACUUUAUAAACCCAUUUUAGAGAUAAUAUAUUAUUACAAUUGAGAUUUUUAUAUUUAAAAAAUAUGUUUAUAUUAUUAGGAAAUUUAUUUUUAAUAAAAAUAUAUCUAAAUUAGAUUUUAUUGUUAACAAUUUUAAAAUUAUCCAUGUAGAUAUCCAUAUAAGUUAAUUUUUUGUGGUAAAUUCCUAUGUGUCAAAAAAUGAUAUAUAUAUAUAUAUAGGCAUUUACAUAUCCCAUAAUACUUACAUCUAAAAUUUGAAAGUUUUCGAUAACUAAAUUUUUUUAAAUAUAUUAUUUCUUGAUAAAUAGCCUAAAAUUAAGAAAUGUCUUAUAUGUCGUUAUAGAGAAAUUUUAAGAAUUUUAUCACAUGUCGAAAAGAAAAACCAUCAAUGUAAGCAAACCUUAUCAUGUAACAAUGUAUCCUGUAAUAUAAUAUAUAUUAUAUUUUUUUAAAAGAUUAUUAGUUAUCCAAGUGAUAAAAAUAGUCAUACUUGACACAGACCCCAAGUCUUAAGAUUUCACAAUGUAUAUAAUAAACUUUAAUUUUCCAUGUGUACAUAUACUAACAAAGUAAAAUAACAACAUAAAAUGUCAACCAAUGAUUCUCAUCAUUCAAGCAUAGAUUUAAAUAUCACAUAGAUAUUCCAAGCAUAAAGGGAAAGGUCCAACAUAGAGACAAACCAUAAUGUGUGAGUAUAAAAGACAAAUGAUAUACUCUUAAUAAUAAAUUACAUCAAAAGACCCUAAAAUACCUAUGUUCUCAAUAUGUUUACCAAAUACUAUAGGUCUUAUUCCUGUAGUCCAAGGAUCAACAAUCACGUUGUUAGUCUGAAUGUGUUUGACAACAAUAUUAUAAUUUUUCAUAAAAUCCCUAACUUUAAAAUAUAUUAUCUCCAAAUGUUUAAACCACUAAUGCUCUUGUUGUUCUUAGAAAACAACAUAGUUGACCUAUUAUCCCAAUAAAUCUUUAAAGGUCUGGAGAUGGAAUUAAUAAUACAAAGGCCUGACAUAAAAUUCAUAAGCCAAAUUGCCUAUGUAGUAGCUCUAUCGCAUGCAACAAACUCAACUUGCAUAAUGGAAAAAAAUAAGAGUGUUUGUUUCACAUAUUUCCAAGACAAAGCUCCUACAUCGACAUAAAAAAAUACCUUGAAGUGGACUCCAUGUCAUCCUAACAACUAGUGAAGUUAGAAUUUAUAUACCCUAUUAUCUGAAGAUUGUCCAUUUUUUUGUAUACCAACGUAUGGUUUUUUUGUCUUUUGCAAGUACCUAAUCACCUUCUUAACAGCAACCUAGUGAUUCAUACUAGGAUUUGAAAGAUAUCUCUCAAGAACUCACUCUGCAAAAGCAAUAUCUAGCCUAGUACAAACUUGAGCAUACAUGAGACUCCCAACUGCACUAGAAUAUGGUAUGUUCAUCAUGGAUUCUUUCUCCAAAUCAUUCUUUGGGCAUUGACUAAGAUUAAGUUUAUCACCUUUAACAAUGAGUGCAUUCCUAGCCUUACAACUUUGUAUGUUAAAUUUAUUAAGCGCAUGAUUAAUGUAAGACCUUUGCAAUAGUCCCAACAAAUUUUGAGAUCUAUCUCUAUGAAUUUCAAUCCCAAGAACAAAGGAAGCAUUCCUAAGGUUUUUAUAUCAAAAGUCUUGGAGAAUAGCUACUUAAUUUCAUGUAACAAACCAAUAUCAUUACAAGCCACUAAGUGUCAUCCACAUAUAACACAAGAAAGAUAUAUUUACUCCCCCUAAUUUUAAGGUGUAUGUAUUGAUCAACUUUAUUUUCCUCAAAACCAAGGGAAGUAACUAUCUGAUCAAAUUUUAGAUACCUUUACUUAGAAGCUUAUUUAAGGGCAUAGAUUGACGUUUUAAGUCAACUUACUAAAUGUUCCUUUUCAGAUUCUUGAAAUCUUUUUGGUUGCAUAAUGUAAACCUUUUCUCUAAAAUCACAAUUGAGAAAAGCCGUCUUUACAUCCAUCUAAUAAAGCUUCAAGUUAAAGUGUACUACCAAGGCCAUAACAAUCCUAAAGAAAUUUUUGGAAGACACUGGUAAAAACAUUUUGUUAUAAUCUACUCUUUCCCUCUAAAUAAAUCACUUUGCCACCAAUGUAACUUUAAAUAUCUCAAAUUUUUCUUUAGACCCUUUCUUGGUUUUAUACACCUAUUUACAACCAAUGGAUUUAUACUCUUUUGGCUGUUUAACAAGCUCCUAAGCACCAUUUUGAGCCAUAAAAUUUAUCUCAUUUUUUAUUGCAUCCAUCCAUACAUUAAAUUACAAAUGCUAAUAGUUUCACCAAAAGUCACAAGGUUAACAACAUGACUAAUGUCAUAGUCACUCUCUCAAUGAUAAAUUACAUAAUCAUUAGAGAUGUCGGAUCUUCUUUGUUUAAAAGAUCUCCUAAAAGGUAUUUCAAUAUCAUUCUUUCAAACUUGAAGUACAUCAGUAGGAUGAAGGUUUAUGUCCUAUUGCCUUGAUCUCUUCUUUCAAUGGCCACUAGCAUAAUAUGGCACUGUAUUAUAGGUAAAGUUAUGAAGAUAUGUCUAACAGAUUCACGGUUAUCCACAGCCUCUAUCACACUCUUAUCAACAACAUGUAGUUUAAGAAACUUUGCCACAUGUGACUCUACAAACUUAGUUCCACGUAUAGGACAAUAAAACUUAUAUCCCUUGAAACGAUCUAGAUACUCUAAAGAAAAGCAAUGAGUACUCCUAGGUUCAAUCUUUUUCUCAAAAGGUUAUAGAUUCUAACUUCUGCAAGAAAUCCACAAACUUUAAAAUGAUUCAAUUGGGGUUUCAUACCAAUCUACAAUUCAGAAGUUGUUUUAGGAACAAAUUUACUAGGUACUUUAUUAAGUAUAUACAAGACGGUUUUAAUACCUUCACCUCAAAAGGACUUAAGAAGAUUGGUCCUACAUAUAAGCUCUUUAUCAUACCCUUAAGGGUGUGAUUUUGCCUUUCGACCACACCAUUAUGUUCAAGACUACCAAGCAUAGCAUAUCAAGAAAAAUCUGACAUUCUUGUAAGUAUUUAGAAAAUGGUCUCAUAUGUUAUCUAAUUUCGCCAUAUCUACCAUCAUACUCACCACCUUGGAGCUAAUGACUUUGAUAACUUUCCCUAAUUCUUUCUCUACCUCAGUUUAAAAAUUUUAAAUUUUUAAAAGCAUUUCAAUUUUCAUCAAUUAGGUCAAGAUACCCAUAGCGAAAAUAGUCAUAAAUAAAAGUAACAAAAUAUAUGUUACCACAAAAGAUAGAUAUAAGAGGUCCACUAUUAUUAGUGUACAUAAUUUUCAAAAGGUCAAAAUUGCAAAUUGCAUCAUUUUUCUUAGUCGUAGUUAGUAUAUAUUUUAUACAAUCAACACAAGUGUCUAACUUUUCAAAACCAAGGGAAGGUAAAGUACUAUUUUUUUAUCAAUUUUUGCACUUUUUCACUAGAAAUGUGACCCAACUUUUUACGCCACAACAAAAAAGACUUUUCUUUAGUUAGAGAUUUUUAAGAUACUGUCUUUUCCACAUUAUUGCAACUAUAUUAAUUAUCAUAUGCCAAGCACGGUUUGUAUAAAUUGUCAAUUAGUUUAAAUUCAUCAAUAAUGAAUUCUCUUUAGUCAAAGAUUUUUUAGUCACUAUUUUUUCAACAUUAUUGCAACUAUAUUAAUUAUUGUAGGCUAAGUUUAUAUAAAUUGUCAAUUAGUUUAAAUUCACCAACAACAUUUGAAUUUUAAAACAAGUCAACUUUUUCAUAUCCAAUGCCAAAAUAAUAACCAUGUUUGUCCAAAAUAAAAACUAAAAUGAAAUUCCUCUGAAAUGAAGGUGUAUGAAAAACAUUUUGCAAAAUAAGCUCAAAGUCAGAUUCUAAAUUUAAGCCUAUUGUUCCUACAUAAUUAAUGGCUACUUCAGUAUUGUUUCAAACUCUAUGUGUUGCCUUUUUCUCACUUAGCUUUCAUUUGUUUUUGAAUCCUAGCAAAGGUAACAACAAUAUGAAUAGUUAAACCACUAUCAACCUACUAGGAAUUUGGUAAGCCACUGACAAAUUAGGAUAUAAAACAAACGACAGCUAGUGAGUUCCCUUCUUAUUUAUUUUUUUUCUUUAACCAAGCUUGAUAUUUAGGGUAUUCAUGUUUCAUAUGACAUUUUUUUUAUAGGAAAAACACUUGAUAUCUUUCUUAAUGAUAGCUUUAAGCCCUCUUACCUUUGUAGUCUGACCACUACCUUAUCCCUUGUUUUCUUGAUCUUUCUUGUGAGCAUUAGGAACAAAUUUCCUAGAUUUCUCAUAAUUUUUUUUGUAAUUAUAUUUGGAGUAUGUAGCAAAAAAAAACACUUUCACCCAUUUCUUUCUACAGUUUUUCUUCCUUAGAGACAAACUUUUAAAUAAGAUCAUUAACACUUCAAAACCUCAUUCAUAGCAUUAUAGACAGUUUUGAUCUGAGUGAACUCCAAAAGUAAGGCAUUGAGGGCGUGAUGAACAAUGAAUUUAUCAAGAAUGUCAAUUUCAUGAGAAGUCAAUUUGGUUUGAAUGUGGACCAUUCUCAUGAUGAAAUCUCUAGCACUCUUAACACUAUCAUACCUUACUACUUGUAAGCUCACUCAUAAGGUUCUUAGCUUUACACUAUAAUGGAUUUUUGGUAAUUUAUUGCCUUCAGCAGGUAAAGAUCCCUUAAGCAAUUUUUGUGGUAUCCAACUCACUCAAAAGGUAUUCAAAAAUAGAAAUAUUAAUGACAUAUAGACGUAUAUGAUUUGUCUUUUCCCAUUUGGGAAAAUAUUCCUUUUCUUUAGCAAUGCUUUCAUUAGUAAAAUUAGCAGGCUUUGAAAAAUGUAAGGCUACGUCUAUCUCAUUUAUAACUAAAGCAAAAUUCAAAUCUUCAUUCCAUUUUUUAUAAUUAGACCCAUGAAGAACUUUAAUAGUUGCUUAUUGUUAUUGAUAAUAAAAGUCAACAUUCAAGAUAAAAAUGCAACAUUAGUAAAUGGCAAUAUCAUAAAAUAUAUAGCAACAGUUCAUGAUGUACUAACAAUUAUUGAAAGGUCUUGGUACAUCACCACAAACUCUUUUUUGGAUAAAGAAUGUAAUAUACGAGUGGGAACUUUUCGGAUAACGCUAAUAUGAAAAUGUGCUAGCUUUUAAAAAUUAUAUCCCCUUCGGACAGAUAGAUUUUCUAGAUUGGUAAAACUUCAACCAUGAUGAUUUAUAUUCCAAAACAAAUUACCUUAUACAUUAACCCCCUUUAGGCAGUCAAUUGCAUAAAAUAAUUUAAUAACCAUCCCGUAACCAUAGAAUGAUAAAAUAUUACAUUAAUUUCAAUAAGUGAGCCAUUUUGACAACCAAAUAUUGAUAUCAAUUAAUGAAGAUUUUUUCAAAUAAAAAAAUUUCAUUAAUUGCUCAAAACUCUCAGUUUACAAACUCAACCAUAAUGUGUGCAAUGGACUAUCCCAACUAAGAAACUAACCCUAAAUGUAUCUAAUUAGGUAUUAUAAGCAGUGUACAUUAAAUUUAAACUAGUGUCUUGAAUUUUUUUUAAAAUCAAUUUGUAAUUACUAAAUCAACUACGCACUUAAGAGCACAUAAAUAUCAAGGCCUAUUUAGGAAGAAUACCUAUUAUCAUUAGACUCUCAUCAUACCAAAAUAUCACAAAAUAAAAUAAUAAAUAAUAUGUAUAACAUAUAGUAAUUUCUGAGCAAUGCAUGAAUAUCAAACAAAUAUUUCAUGCAGUUUAAAAAUUUUAAAAAAAAUUAGAAAUAAAAUUCCAAGUUUGCCAAAACUAACUAAAGAAAAAAUGGUGCUAGACGAGACGACACGUGCCCCAUGUGCCACCCACCAUGCAUGGAUUUUGUUCAACAUGGGGAAUGGUUUUUUUUAACCUCUAAAUGAGUUGACUCAAUGCGACUGGAAUAAUUCUUUACCUAUUCUAGUCUGUUCGUAUUUUUCCACCAUUUUUUAUGCAUUUUCUUGGUAAUUUCAACAAAUUGAAGCGCCCAAAAAUAAAACAAAUUUUCUAUCAAACCCUUGAUAAAAAAGUAUAAAACAAUGACAAAAAUAAGAUCAAUUGGUUAAAAUUUUUCAAAUUACAUAAAUAUAUAUUAGACCGCUUUUUGUUUUUUUUGUGUUUGGCUAAUCUAAAACAAUAUGAAAUAAAAACGCUUUGAUUUAACUUUAUAACACAUGAGAAACAUGAUUCCAGAAUCAAUUUUUAAUUAAACACAUAAAAUGUUUGAUGUUUUAAUCAAAACAAGAAUUUAGAUUAAAACCUAAACCCAAAAAUUCUCAACCUUGAUUUCUCUUUCGAUAUAAGGAAUUAGAAAAUGAUCAUUAUAUAAUUUUAAUCUUUUUUUAGAGAGGAACUAAAAUCUUAAAUCAAUUUCAAAAAAUAAAGAUCAAAAUUUAAAAUUUUGACAAUAAUAUAAUUUCACACUAAAUAUGUUGUUUGUUCAAAAAUCAAUUACAAAUCAUGAUUUUAGGGGCCAAAUAUCACAUAAUGAUAGCUCUGAUACCACACGUAAACAUUAACCCAAGUUCAUUGUUUGAUAAUUAGAACAUCGUAAAUAAAUAAAGAGCUUUGUCAUACUUAUUUGGGUGGUCAUGACGAAUAUAUGAAGCAAAACAAUACUUAAAGUGCCUAGGUCUUCCUCUUCACUAUUCUCUUAUUAGUGACACUCAAUGAGCAGUAACUGUAACUCGUAUAAAAGUAAAAAAGAAAAGGUUAUCUGAACCUAUUUUUAUUGAAAACCCUUAAAGCCUCCUCAUCAAACACUUAGUAGACUAAAGGUCUACAAAACCUCUAAACCAGAUUGAUCUAGUAAGCUAUGUAAGUCUUACAUUUAAGUGAUCACAUUAAAUUAUUUAAACUCUCAAGCUUAUCUCGUAUUAAGAGUAAACACAUCAAUCAAUUUUAUUAAAUUAUUAAAACCAACUAUUAAUGGUAGCCCACUUAUGAACAAUUCUUGCUCUAUAUCCUAAUAAGACAUCAACAGAGAGUUUAUAAAGUAAAGAUGAAGACUAUAUAAAGAGCAAUGGUGGUGGAAAGAUUAUUUUCUAAAUAAAAAUUUGGAUGUUGAAGCGGUCUUCAUAAAAGAUGACUCUCUAUGUUAAAGUGGUUCCACUAAAAUAGUAUACUAAGGUCAUAUUUGAUACAUAUGAUUAUUAACAGAAUAUGAAGAAUAUUUGUAAGGUUUGCAAUGAGGAUUAAUAUCCUCUUGGUAUAGGAUUAUUCAACCCUCUCAAAGUAAAGAGGAUAAUUUUUAAAUUUAUAGAUUAAACUUGCAGGUUCAAUUAUACCCUUAAAAAUUACUUUAAUAAUUUAAAUUGUAUAAACUUUGAAUAAGGAUAAUUUUGACAAAUAAAUAAAUUAUCCUAUCCUAAUCUUUACAUAUAGCAAACACAAAAUAAGAUGACAUUAUUUAAUCUAAUUCUAUUUAUAAUAUCAUUGUACCCUAUCAAGUUAUAAUCUUAUGUACUAAACAUGGCAUAAGAUUAUUAUAUCUAUGUAUAUUGAUAUUAUUUGUUAUUUUAUAACUAAGCUUUUGCGAUUCACAUAUUGUGAGGGGUUUCUAUGAUAACUUUUUAAAAGGCUAUUUGGCAUGAUUGCAAAUACAUGACAUCAUACAUGCUAAUAAAGGAUUAGGAUAGAGCGGUAUAUUCGAAUUCACCCAUAAGGUACUGUGUGAAUUGAAUUCCUNNNNNNNNNNNNNNNNNNNNNNNNNNNNNNNNNNNNNNNNNNNNNNNNNNNNNNNNNNNNNNNNNNNNNNNNNNNNNNNNNNNNNNNNNNNNNNNNNNNNNNNNNNNNNNNNNNNNNNNNNNNNNNNNNNNNNNNNNNNNNNNNNNNNNNNNNNNNNNNNNNNNNNNNNNNNNNNNNNNNNNNNNNNNNNNNNNNNNNNNNNNNNNNNNNNNNNNNNNNNNNNNNNNNNNNNNNNNNNNNNNNNNNNNNNNNNNNNNNNNNNNNNNNNNNNNNNNNNNNNNNNNNNNNNNNNNNNNNNNNNNNNNNNNNNNNNNNNNNNNNNNNNNNNNNNNNNNNNNNNNNNNNNNNNNNNNNNNNNNNNNNNNNNNNNNNNNNNNNNNNNNNNNNNNNNNNNNNNNNNNNNNNNNNNNNNNNNNNNNNNNNNNNNNNNNNNNNNNNNNNNNNNNNNNNNNNNNNNNNNNNNNNNNNNNNNNNNNNNNNNNNNNNNNNNNNNNNNNNNNNNNNNNNNNNNNNNNNNNNNNNNNNNNNNNNNNNNNNNNNNNNNNNNNNNNNNNNNNNNNNNNNNNNNNNNNNNNNNNNNNNNNNNNNNNNNNNNNNNNNNNNNNNNNNNNNNNNNNNNNNNNNNNNNNNNNNNNNNNNNNNNNNNNNNNNNNNNNNNNNNNNNNNNNNNNNNNNNNNNNNNNNNNNNNNNNNNNNNNNNNNNNNNNNNNNNNNNNNNNNNNNNNNNNNNNNNNNNNNNNNNNNNNNNNNNNNNNNNNNNNNNNNNNNNNNNNNNNNNNNNNNNNNNNNNNNNNNNNNNNNNNNNNNNNNNNNNNNNNNNNNNNNNNNNNNNNNNNNNNNNNNNNNNNNNNNNNNNNNNNNNNNNNNNNNNNNNNNNNNNNNNNNNNNNNNNNNNNNNNNNNNNNNNNNNNNNNNNNNNNNNNNNNNNNNNNNNNNNNNNNNNNNNNNNNNNNNNNNNNNNNNNNNNNNNNNNNNNNNNNNNNNNNNNNNNNNNNNNNNNGUUUACAAACUCAACCAUAAUGUGUGCAAUGGAUUAUCCAACUAAGAAACUAAGCCUAAAUGUAUCUAAUUAGGUCUUAUAAGCAGUGUACAUUACAUUUAAACUAGUGUCUUGAAUUUUUUUUAAAAUCAAUUUUUAAUUACUAAAUCAACUACGCAUUUAAAAGCAUAUAAAUAUCAAGGCCUAUUUAGGAAGAAUACCUACUAUCAUUAGACUCUCAUCAUACUAAAAUAUUUUAUCACAAAAUAAAAUAAUAAAAUAAUAUGUAUAACAUAUAGUAAUUACUAAGCAAUACAUGAAUGUUAAACAAAUAUUUUCAUGCAGUUUAAAAAUUUUACAAAAAAUUAGAAAUAAAAUUCCAAGUUUGCCAAAAGAAACUAUAGCAAAAAUGGUGCUAGACAAGCCCGCACGUGCCACAUGUGCCACCCACCAUGCAUGGAUUUUGUUCAAGAAAGGGAAUGGUUUUCUUUAACCUCUAAAUGAGUUGACUCAAUGCGACUGAAACAAUUCUUUACCUAUUCUAGUCUGUUCGUAUUUUUCCACCAUUUUUUAUGCAUUUUUUUCAGUAAUUUCAACAAAUUGAAAUGCCCAAAAAUAAAACAAUUUUUAUAUCAAAACCUUGAUAAAAAAUUAUAAAAAAAUGACAAAAAUAAGAUCAAUUGGUUAAAAUUUUUCAAAUUACAUAAACAUAUAUUAGACCCUUUUUGUUUUCUUCGUGUUUGGCCAAUCUAAAACAAUAUGAAAUUAAAUGCUUUGAUUUAACUUUAUAACACAUGAGAAACAUGAUUCAAGAAUCAAUUUUCAAUUAAACACAUAAAAUGUUUGAUGUUUUAAUCAAAACAAGAAUUUAGAUUAAAACUUAAACCUAAAAAUUUUCAACCUUGAUUUCUCUAUCGAUAUAAGGAAUUAGAAAAUGAUCUUUAUACAAUUUUAAUCCUUUUUAGAGAGGAACUAAAAUCCUAAAUCAAUUUCGAAAAAUAAAGAUCAAAAUUUAACAUUUUGAAAACAACAUAAUUUCACACUAAAUAUGUUGUUUGUUCAAAAAUCAAUUACAAAUCAGGAUUUUAGGGGCCUAAUAUCACAUAAUGAUAGCUCUGAUACCACACGUAAACAUUAACCCAAGUUCAUUGUUUGAUAAUUGGAACAUCGUAAACAAAUAAAGAGAUUUGUCAUACUUAUUUUGGUGGUCAUGACGAAUAUAUCGAAGCGAAAUAAUACUUAAAGUGCCUAGGUCUUCCGCUUCACUCUUCUCUUAUUGGAGACACUCAAUAAGCAGUAACCGUAACUCGUAUAAAGUAAAAAAAAAAAAAAGGUUAUCUGAACCUAUUUUAAUUGAAAACCCUUGAAGCCUCCUCAUCAAACACUUACUAGACUAAAGGUCUACCAAACCUCCAAACCAGAUUGAUCUAGUAAGAUGUGUAAGUCUUACAUUUAAGUGAUCACAUUAAAUUAUUUAAACUCUCAUGCUUAUCUUGUAUUAAGAGUAAACACAUCAACCAAUUUUAUUAAAUUAUUAAAACUAACUAUUAAUGGCAGCCCACUUAUAAAUUAUUCUCGCUCUAUAUCCUAAUAAGACAUCAACGGGGAGUGUAUAAAGCAAAAAUGAAGACUAUAUAAAGAGCAAUGGUGGUGGAAAGAUUGUUUUAUAAACAAAAAUUUGGAUGUUGAAGCGGUCUUCAUAAGAGACGACUUUCUGUGUUAGAGUGGUUCCAUUAAAAUAGUAUACUAAGGUCAUAUUUGAUACAUAUAAUUAUUAAUAGAAUAUGAAGAAUAUUCGUAAGGUUUGCAAUGAGGAUUAAUAUCCUCUUAGUAUAGGAUUAUUCAAUCAUCUCAAAGUAGAAAGGAUAAUUUUUAAAUUUAUAGAUUAAACUUAUAGGUUCAAUUAUACCCUUAAAAAUUAUUUUAAUAAUUUAAAUUGUAUAAACUUUGAAUAAGGAUAAUUUUGACAAAUAAAUAAAUUAUCCUAUCAUAAUCUUUACAUAUAGCAAACACAAAAUAAGAUGACAUUAUUUAAUCUAAUUUUAUUUAUAAUAUCAUUGUACCCUAUCAAGUUAUAAUCUUAUGUACCAAACAUGGCAUAAGAUUAUUAUAUCUAUGUAUAUUGAUGUUAUUUGUUAUUUUAUAACUAAGCUUUUGCGAUUCACAUAUUGUGAGGGGUUUCUGUGACAACUUUUUGAAAGGCUCUUUGGUGUGAUUGCAUAUACAUGACAUCAUACAUGCUAAUAAAGGAUUAGGAUAGAGCGGUAUAUUCGAAUUCACCCAUAAGGUACUGUGUGAAUUGAAUUCCUCAAUUCUUUUUAUUCAUGACCUAGAUUGGUGUAUUAUAUUACAGAAUGGUGGUGUAUCACAAUGAUUUUAUGUUGUUGUACAGCAAUUAUUGUUCAUUUCUUCAAACAUCAGUAAAUAAGAUUGAAGAACAGGUGCAUUGUCCUAAAACCAAAUGAACUUGAGUAAAAACCAUCAGCUCUAGGGAUUUUCGAAGAACUUGGAUAUCAUUUUGUUUAUUGAGAACCAAAUGAUGGAAAGAAAUAGGAAAGUAGUAUCGAAAUUAGGAAUAACCUUUAGUUUACAAUAGAUAAGUUGGUUGAUUUUGUCUGUGUACACUCGGGUAUACUAUUUUUUAUUUAUGUUAAUGAGCCUCACACAAAUCUUCAAUUUGGCUGACUUUAGGACUGAUAUUAGGUUCUGGAAGUCUAGAAUGCCUACUGAAUAUAUAGGGUGAAGAAAUCUAAAUAUUCAAUACUGAAAUUAUUUUAUACCUUGAUCUUAGCAUAUGAUAUUGGAAGUAGUUUACUAAAAUUGGGUAAGUUAUAUUGAGACAUUGAUAUUUCAAUUGGCUAUAUGUUAUACCUUUUUCAUAUUUUUUUAUCCUAAAGAUUGAAGGAAAAAUUCUAUUUUUAGAUGAGAUGUUAUGAUUUGCAAGAGUGAAUUAAAAUGGAAUUUGUAUUAAUGGAUAAAUUAUUACUUUAAGUAUUAUAUAUUGUUGGAAAGCUUGUUGAAUUUACUUUACAAUGAAAUAAACGUAAGUCGAAUCAAAGUUUUCUAUUAAGAGUUGUGUAAUUUUUAUUUAAUGAUAUGUAGACUGCCUGACAACGGUAGCAAUGAGGAAUUACAAAAUUUCUCUGAAUUUUUAUACAAUGAAUUACGAAUUGAGCCAUACAUGUUUAAAAAGGUUAUUGAGUUUAUAUUCCAAUGAAACAAGCAGAAUUGAAUUUGGAGUCUUUUAUGAAUAAAGAUAUCAUUUUGAUUACAAUACAUACAUGUUGUCUGGUAGUAGCAUAUGAUAUGGAUUGCAAAAAUUAUUACAAUUAAUCUACAAUAAAUUAUGAGGUGGGCCAUAUAUGUUGUCAUAACAUCUAGAUCCAGAGAUCCAUUGCUAGAUAUUAUUUUUAAGAGUCGUCACCAAUCUUUUUUAUCUAGGUGCGAUUGGUCACCUAGAGAAUUUAUCCUUUUAAAGAACACCUAAGCCUAAGGGUCCCUAAAAGAAUAGUUUUAGGUCUACUAAUCGGUACAGGGUUCGAGAGUACAGUUACGUGUGAGGAAGGUUAUAGCACCUUCACAACGCCCAUCUAAAGAUGGUACCAGCUUAAUUUUAUGUUAUCCAAUAAGCUUUAAAAAUUUACCAAGUAAUUAAUUAUUAGAAAUUAUUCUUAAUUGACUCUAAUACUUUUAGUAGAAAAUUGAAAAAAUUCCCUCACCUAAAGAGUAUGCAAGGAAACUACUGUUUCACUUGCAGAGGCUCUAUCGUCGGAUUAUUUAACAUUAAAGAAAAUUCAAAAAAAAAAAGAAAUAAAAUGAGAAAAAAAAGAAUAACAAUUCAACUUUAGAUAUAAAUCCUUUUCUCUUAAAAAACUCAUUGCUUUUGUACAAAAAAAUUGAUACUUUUAAAUUUUCCUCAAAAGCAUUUGAGAGUUUCUAUUUUUAAAAAAAUUGAUACUUUCAACUUUUUCUUAAAACGUUUUUUUUAAGAAAAAUUGAUACUUUCAACUUUUCCUCAAAAUGUUUUUCAGAAACUUUAAUUUCGAGGAAAAUUGAUAUUUUUAACUUUUUCUCAAAAAUAUUUUUUUUAAUUUAUUUUUAAGGAAAAUUAAUACUUUUACCUUUUCCUUUAAAAUAUUUUUUAGAAAAUUAUUUUCAAGGAAAAUUGAUACUUUCAACUUUUCCGUGAAAAUAUUUUUUAAAAAAUUUAUUUUUAAGAAAAAUUGAUACUUUCAACUUUUCCUCAAAAAUAUUUUUUUAGAAUUUUAUUUUAAGAAAAUCAUUAAAAAUAAAAUAAAAUAAAAAUCAGAAUAAAAAUAAAAUAAGGAAUACCAAAUUAUUCUAAUCUAAUCAAUAAAUAAUAAUAAUAAUAAUAAUAAUAAUAUAAUAAUAAUAACAAUAAUAAUAAUACUAAUAAAAGAAAUAAUAAUAAUAAUAAAUAAGAAAAAAAACUUUUGGAAUGGCUCGGCUCGGCUUAAGAGAUAAAAGUGAUUUAAACGUGAGGCUCAGCUGGAAACAGCUCGGUUCGGCUGGGGUCCAGGCAGAGACGUGGGUCGCUAAUCAGGUUGGUGCUCGGGUUGAGUCAUCCAAUUUCAAAACACGUGGAUCUUUUAAGAAUAGUAAGGCUAAAACGACAUCGUUUUCAGUCGGUAUAAAAGGCUUCUACUUCUGUUUCUUCGUAGAUUGUUUCCUUUCUCCUCUCUCUCUUCUUUUUUUUUCUCUUCCUUCUCUCUAAAUAGAAUCUAGAUUUCGGUUGAAUGUCUAUCGAAAUCUGGAAAAACAGGUCAAAAACUUUAAAGUUGGCCCAAAAUCUCGCCAAAAAAGUUGAAUCUUACCGAAAAAUUUCACCCGAUUCUGAAAAGUUUUAGAAAAUUUCAAAAAAAAAACUCAAAAAUUCUAAAAACUUUUUCGCAAAUUCCUAACGUUGUUUCUAACGCACCAGAACUUUUUUUAACCUCUGUUUCCCCUUUAUGUAUUUUUCGAUCUUUUUAUGUGCUCUCUGUGGACCUAUUUAUAAGGAUUGAUCAGAAGAGUUUCUGAUCAAUCCCAACGCCUUUUGGGAUUUUGAUUCAAUCUUUGAAUCCAAUCCCAAUUCUGCCAACCUCCAAUUUCAUGACCAAAUCCAAUUUUUUUUUAUCCUAAUCCUAGCAGAAAAUCAAUCAAGAUAAAAUAAAAAAAACACAUAUUAAUAGUUAAUAGAUAAAUAAUAAAAAAAUAUAUUAAUAAAUAAUAAUAAUAAUAAAAAAAUAAAAUACCCAUUUGGACCAAGCCCAAUUGAUCCGGGCCCGGAUCAAAUUGGGUGUCUACAUAUGUUUGAAAAGGUUUUUGAGUCUACUUUUCGAUUAAAUAAGCGAAAUUAAAUUUGGAGUCUUUUAUGAAUAAAUAUAUAAUUUUUAUUAAAAGAUAUAUAUACUAUCUGAUAGCAACAUAUGACAUAGAUUGUAAAAGUUAUUACAAUUAAUCUACACGAAAUUACGAGGUGGGCUAUAUAUAGUUAAAAAAUUUAUCGAGUUUAAUUUCUAAUGUACUAAAAAGAUUUUAAUUUUGAGUUGGAUAUCUUAAGAUAGGGUCAUUUUAGUGAAAGUAGCAUAGGCUACUAAAAUUAGUUAGUUAACCCUUAUAUAACUUAGUUGCUUUUAGUAUUAAUGGUCUUAAAUUGGAUUAAUUAAUUUUUGUUAUAUUGAAAUGAUUUUGAAUAGCCCAUUAAUUAUUUUGGGGGAAAAACUAAGUGGUGGAACCAAAAGGAAAUAAGUAGAAUCUUACACAUUUUGCUUAUUUUGAAACUUAUGUAUAUAUGUAUGUUUCUAAAUAAAUGAGAUUUAUUUCUUUAUUUUCGAUAUAAGAAAAUAGGCUGAGCAUAUGAUUAUUUUACGUUUUGCUAUAUAAAUGACGGAUCAUGUUUAUAAAUGAAAUGAGAAAUUGAUUUAUGCUUAAUGAAUGAUUUUAUAAUAGCUACAUAUUUUACAUCUUGAGAAGUGGGAUUAUCGAUACCAAAACUAGCUAUACUACCCUAGCUAACGGAUUAUAGUAGUUAAUAUAGUCACGAUCAAAUGGCACUACUAGUGGGUCAUAGUAGUUAGUGUAAAGGUUUGGCCAGCAGAUUAUAAUAGUUAGUAAAGAUCAUAAGGAUAAAAUUAUCAAUAUUUCCAAUGUUACGGAUUAUAGUAGUGAUCAUUGUUAAUGAUAAAGUAAUGAUAAUGAUGAUUUAUGAUGAUGAUGAUUUUAAAGAUUGAUUCAUGAUUUGAUUUAAUUACGAUAUUUGAAUGGUAACAUAUUUUGGAAUGAUUUAUGAAUUGAUCUAUUUUGAUUUUGAUUUAUGAUCUACAAAAUAUUUGACAUAAUGUUGAUUUUUGAAAUAUUUUGAUGUAUUAUUUGACAAAUGUUUCGAAUUAUCUAUAUGAUAUGUAUGAAACCGAUGUUUGAUCCGAUAAAGUGCAUGAUCCUAUACUAGAUUAGCUGGAAUUUGUUCAUUCUCUUUUUACCUUUUCUUUACACAUGAGUAACUGAUAAGUAUAUUUAGUCUUACUAAAAGCUAGAAGAUCAAUUUGGAAAUAUUACUUGGACAUUAGAAAUAUUGUUAGCUAGUGAGAUCUUAUGAAAUUAUUUUAUAUGUUUUUUAUUAAUUAACCUUUGAUAUAUAGAGAUGUAUCACUAGUUAGAUUAAAUUUAUGAAUUUUACUUGGCAAAUUAUUUUUAUUAAAGAAUUUUAAAAUGAUUAAGAGAAAAAAUUUCGUAUUACUUUAAAGUUUUAUUUGAAGAUAAUAUAACGGUGUUACAUCUUAGUUUUGGGGCAUGACACCAUUAUUAGACAAGUCUUGACCAGAUUGGAUUACGUAUCAGCCAAUUUGUCAGGCAUUGCAACAGAUUUCAGGUAAUUGGAGAGUCUGCAAACAUGACAGGCUUGAGCUAGUUUAAUUUCUGCUUUUGCUUUGUGAGACUAUUCCAAUGAAGUGAGGAAAGAUAGAUAAAUUUGAUUAUGAACUCGAAUCCAUUUUUGAUAGUAUAGUUAGACUCUGAAAGGGAGGAGGUUAAGAUUCAAAUCUUCGUGAAACCUCCUUCGAGAUGGAAACUUGGGAAGGAGAGCAGCGACUCGUUUGGCACUUUUCAAAUAUGAUGCAUACUGAAGGAUGACAGGAGUAUCAUUCUUUCCUGCAUCAAUUUUGUCACGGUCCAAGCUUAUUGUCUGAAAAGCACUAGCCAAAGGCAAGACAUGGAUACCGUGACUAUUCUCCUUUCCUACCAGGUCCUUAAGCGCCUUCUUCUUGAAAGUCCAGCUGCCAGUUCUCAGGUUGAAAUGGUAUAGAGGAAGAAAUCGUUGGCCAUAGAUGGCUACGAACUCCAACGCCGCAAGAAUGUAUUCAAACUCCUCAUUUGACAUGUAGUAAGGAAAGCUGACUCUCGUCCAUCCAGGUUUUGCUCCUAUGUAGCCCUGCAAUCAAACUUUGCAAUUGGCAUUAGAUAAGUUGAAUUAUAUUUUACUUCUCUUCAUUUGGUCAAAAAAGAAAAAAAGGAAAAUUUUGUACUGAUACCCUUUUAAUAGCUUCUCUGAACGCAAGGGAUCGAGUCUGAUCAAUAUCAAGCAAACUGUGGCCAUAAGGUCCAGCACAAGCACACCCACCUCGAGCUUGGAUGCCAAACAGAUCAUUUAGGAUGGUUGCAACAAAAGGGCCAUGGAGAGGUUUAUCCCUCUUGUUCCCAGUCUCUCCCCACAUGAAAAGUCCCCUACCCUUUUCCUUUGCCUCGUCAACAUUGUUACCAUCGUUGGUUGUGGAGUAGAUGAGGAAAGACAGUAUGGCUUGUCUCUGGGUCUCGGUGCUUGCAUUUCCUAAAACCCUUAUGUUUUGGUUUGGGAGAAGCCUCUCCAAUGCUUGAUUUAUGUACGACUUCUCCUGCUUUGCAAUCACUUCAUAACCAAUAUAUUCUUUUACCCAAAAAGUCAAUGCUGCUCUAACAAUCUGAAUUAUUUGAGGAGUCCCUCCAUUUUCCCUUUCUUCUAUGUCACUUGCAUAUAUUGUGUCCUGCAAAAUAAAUACCCCAUUUCGCCACAUUUUAAAUGCAUACCUGCUUCCCUAAAUGCUGGGGAAUGAAUCUGAUUAAUAUCAUGAUAACUUAUCAUUUUCUAGAGUAUUUUUCUACUGGCACUGUCGUGCAUUCAGAAAUUUGGUUGGAAAUCUCUUUUCUUCUAAAAUUGUAAUUAAAAUAAAAUUUUUUUAGAGACACUUAUCAUUCACUAGUCUAUGUCUAAACCCGCUCCAUCUGAAUCAGGAAUUUAUUUCUAAACUCCAAAAAGCCUGACAGCUACCUAAUCAUUCUUUAUGUCGUCCAGCCGAAGAAAGAAACCGAAAUUUCUUACAAAAUGGGAUAUAUAAGCAAGAAUAAGAAAAAGAUAAAGAAAAUACAAAUUUCCAUUUUAUGGUAGAGAGGUGAACAAAAAAUAAAAUCUUUCAUCUAUUAAAUUGAAUUAAUCUGAACACAAAAAUAUAAUAAAAAUCUCUUCAUUUAUUAUCAAUUAAUUUUAAAUUUGAGAGUGAUUACCUGUUCAUUGAAGCCAUUGACAUAAUUAACAGUUCCACCUCCGCAAGUUGAUGGAGGAGAAGAUCCCAGCCGGUAGAGAGCCUUGCUCAUUAAAAGGAUGCCGGGCGUUCCCGGGCCACCUAGAAACUUAUGUGGGCUUAGGAAAAUGGCAUCAUAUCCAUCAAUCUCCCCUGACCUCAUAUCAAUCUCCACAUAAGGACCACUAUCCACAAAAACAAAAUGAUAAGCACAAUCACAAAUCAACUUCUCAUUGCUUUAUAACAUUAACAUAAUACAUAAACUUGGCUAAUAAUUAAUUGUGAGAUCUGUUAUUAAAAUAUUAAACUUUUAAUUUUAACAAUCAAAGUUUAAAUUCUGACAACCUCGAAUAUAAAAGCUUGACAACAAAAAAUGAAAAUUCUUACUGUGUACCUUGCUGCAAAAUCAAAGCAAACAAAACCUCCGUACUCAUGAAGAAGUUUGGCAAUCUCUCGAGUAUCUGUUUGAAUCCCAGUCACAUUACUACAAGCUGAAAAGGAGCCAAGCAAAGGCCUAUUGGCGUAUUUAUAGAGCUCAAGCUGUUUUCUUAGUGCUUCAAUGUCUAUGAACCCAUUCUCAUCUAAACCAAUCUCAACAACUUCAGCAAGGCUUUGACGCCAAGAAAGCAAGUUGGAGUGUUGCUCGUAAGGGCCAAUAAAAACUACCCAUCGAUACUCAUUAGGUAAGCAAUUUAUUACCAUGUCCCUCAAAAUUGAUGGUACCGUAAUCCCCAUAACUUCUUGUAGCCUUUUAAUAGCAGCCGUGGUGCCUGAGCCACAAAACAGAAUUGCAUCAUCUUGACCGCCACCUAGGCUUCUUUUAAUGUAGUUUGACGCUUCAUGCACCAUUUUCGUCGUCCUGUGCCCCACGUAACUGUCAGACGUGUGAGUGUUACCUACGCACGAACCAACCAAGAUCAGCUGACAAAUACUAAAACACAAAAAAUAUAUCUAUAUAUAUAUAUAUAUAUAUUAUACUCGGAAAUGACGCCAUCACUUUUGUUAAUUAAAUCAGAGUAUCACAAUUGAAGAUCAGAAGAAAAAAAACCUUUACCGUAGAAUGGCAGAACAUUGGUGACGAUGAAGUUUUCGAUAUAGUGAAAAGAGCGACCCGAUGCAGUAUGAUCAGCAUAAGUAAGUUUUCUAGUUCCAAAAGGAGAGUCAAAUUCUGCAUCACCACCAGUGAUUUGAGAUCGUAGCCAAGACAGCUUUUUCUCGGUGGAGUCAACCUUUGGCACAUCCAUCUCUAGAGCCCUGAAUGAUUCCGAGCCAUGGAAGAGUUUGCUGGAAACAUAGGAACGGUAUGUUGAUCCUGGUGACUUAUGCCUGUCCCUGGUUGAAGUCUUACUAUCAUUUGCUGCCUUCAAUUGCAGGGCUUCCGUUGUUUCUCUAAACAUGGGUUGCUCAAACUCCAUUUCCCACCUGGAAACAAAGAUUAGUGGCUGUUUUUAUUGUUGUUGUAGCUUAUGACAGGAGAAAGAAUGGAAAAAGUAGUUGUAGAAGAAGAAAAAGAUAAGAAUGAGGGUAAGGAAGGCAGACUUGGUUAUUUAUAUACUAUUAAAAUACAAAGUAACCUUUUGACACGGUUUCAUCUUUUUAAUUAAUAAAACAAAAAGACAAAGUUUUAGGCGUGAGGGGGGUUUGACUCCGAAACCAUGGCCUCUACACACCAAUAAGAAAAAUAUUGCUGUCUCAGAAACAAUGGGAUCUCUAAAAAGGAUUGAAAAAAAAAAAAAAACCUACAGAAAAUAGUAAGCCUAUGUUUGGAAUAUGUUAUUCCUUGGAGUGUAAGAAUUUCCAUAUUUCUCAUUCCUCUCCCUAAAAUUUGAUUAUGGAGUAUCAAACAGCCCAAGCAAUUGUUAGAAAAACAUUGAACCUUUCCUGAUCUACUUGGUUUGGAACGUGAUGUAUCCAAUCUGCCGUAUUAAUAAAGAGAGCAUUGCUAUUUGGAGGUGUCAAUAAUAUACCCGUACUCACGAGUUAUUCAUUUUAUAAAUUAGAUUACUUAAUUGAUAAAAAGAAUGACAAUUUUGGUAUCUCAUUAUAAUUUUCACGGAUAGCUAUGAUUCCGAAAGAGUAAAAUGUGUAAAGAAAGCAAAGAAUUUGAUUGCUUUUAAACUUAGUAUGAUUUUGGCAAUAUGCAUGAUAAUUUUAUUAAUGAUUAUUCAUCAUUAAGUAACAUUUAUGAAUUAAAAUUAAAUUUUGAUUUAUUGAAAAAGUAUAAAAAAAUCAGUUAUAAAAAAUAAAUGAAAGAAUGAAGAAACAAACAAACGGAUCAAAUAAAAAAAAUAAAAAGAGAACCAAUACAAAAUAAAAGUAGUGAAAUAGAUCUUCAAACCAAUACUCCACCACAAUAAAGGCUAUUCAUUUGUAUUUAUGAUGAAGUGGCAUAUUAAAAAUAAAUAAUUUAAUUUAAUUAAGAAUGAUUUAAGAUAAAUAAUAAACAUUUGAUUACUAAUUGAUAUAAUUUUAACUAUAGAAGGUAAAUAAUACGUUCUCUUUAAGGUAAUGUUGUUCUUCCAAAAUAGUUAAAUAUAAAAAUACCCAUUUAUUAUGCAUUUUUUUUAUCAUUUGCACCCAAAAAAAUAAAAUAUUAGUUUGGCACUCUAAUUUCAUUAUUUCAUCACUUUGUUAUCGGAGACUAGCGUCGUCAGUCAAGUUUAUUGAUGUGGUAUAUAACACUCGAUAAGGAUAUUAACAUAUGCUAAGAAAAGCUAAUCAAUGUCAAAUCAUCAAAAUUACAUCUGAAUUUAAAGAAAAUUCUAAAAAAAAUUUAAAAUAUUUUUUAAAAAAUAUUUAGCUUCUAAAAAAAUUAAUUUUAAAACCAAAACUAAAAUUUUUAAAAAUUUUUAAAAAAUUACCAAAACUUAAAAAAUUCAGAAAAAUCUCAAAAUUUUAUUAGGAAAAUAAAAAACUUUUCAAAUUUUCAUAAAAAUCAUAAUUUUAGUAAACAUAAAAGUUUUCAUAAAUUUAAAAAAAAUCUCUAAAGCUUAAAAAAAUUGAAAGUAAAAGAUCUAAAUUUUUUUGAAAAUAUCUAAAAAUUUUAAAAUAAUUGUAAUUCUUGUAAAUUAGGAAAAUUCUUCAUUUUUUUAAUCUUACAAUUUUAAUUUUCUUAUAUAUUUUGUGAUUUUUUACAUUUUUUUAAAUGUUUAUGGAUUUUUAUUAAAAUUUUAAGUUUUUUAUUUUAUAUUUUUCAAAAAAAUAUUAACUUUUUGUAAAUUUCUUAGAAUAUUUCAUAUUUUUGAAUUUUUUUAAUUUACUCAAAAUUUUUGAAAAUAUUUUAUAAAAUUUUAGAUUUUAAUAAAAAUUUGAUAUUUUUUUAAUUUUCAAAUUUUGUCAAAAAAGUCCAGAUUUUUUAUUAUUUGUAAACCUCUUUUUUAAUUUUUUAGAAUUUUUUUGGUUAUUUUUUAAUUUUUUAUCAAAAUUUUGAGAUUUUAUGAAUUUUUUUAUGUUUUGAUAUUUUUUAAAAUUUUAUGUUCAAAUAAGAUUUCAUAUUUAUUUAAUUUUUUUAAUUUUUAAAAAUAUUUUAGACUUUUAAAUUUUGUUGAAAUUUUUUACUAUUAAUGUGGUAAUUGAUGAUGUGGCACUACUGAACUUUUUGAUACAUGUCAGUAUCUUAUUAGAUGUUAAUGCCAUGUUGACAAAUUGAGUAAUUGCUUUAGUACGAGGUAUCAAAGUAAAUGGCGAAAUGAAAGUUAAAAAUCCAAAUUGAUAAUUUUGUUUUUGAAAGUACUAAACUGACAGAAAGUGUAUAGUACAUGAAAUAUUUUUAUGUUUAACUUUUCCAAUCAUGAAAAGACCUAAAAGGAGACUUGAAAUUGUUAUACAUGUAAUCGAUAAUCAUUCCUUAGUGUUGACCUUUAGAGUUCAAAGGAUGUCUCAAACCCAAAUAAUUUUUGGGUUUUUCCUACAUGUAAUAAUAAUAUUAAUUACCAAAUUAUUGCUUAAUUUGAAAAAAAAAUGACAUUAAUAUAAAGAUAAAUGUACAUAAAAGAGCAGUAACUGUAACUCGUAUAAAAGUAAAAAAAAAAAAAAAAGGUUAUCUGAACCUAUUUUAAUUGAAAACCCUUGAAGCCUCCUCAUCAAACACUUACUAGACUAAAGGUUUACAAAACCUCUAAACCAGAUUGAUCUAGUAAGAUGUGUAAGUUUUACAUUUAAGUGAUCACAUUAAAUUAUUUAAACUCUCAUGCUUAUCUUGUAUUAAGAGUAAACACAUCAACCAAUUUUAUUAAAUUAUUAAAACUAACUAUUAAUGGCAGCCCACUUAUAAAUUAUUCUCGCUCUAUAUCCUAAUAAGACAUCAACGGGGAGUGUAUAAAGCAAAAAUGAAGACUAUAUAAAGAGCAAUGGUGGUGGAAAGAUUGUUUUAUAAACAAAAAAUUUGGAUGUUGAAGCGGUCUUCAUAAAAGACGACUUUCUGUGUUAGAGUGGUUCCAUUAAAAUAGUAUACUAAGGUCAUAUUUGAUACAUAUAAUUAUUAAUAGAAUAUGAAGAAUAUUCGUAGGUUUGCAAUGAGGAUUAAUAUCCUCUUGUAUAGGAUUAUUCAAUCAUCUCAAGUAGAAAGGAUAAUUUUUAAAUUUAUAGAUUAAACUUACUGGUUCAAUUAAUACUCUUAAAAAUUACUUUAAUAAUUUAAAUUGUAUAAACUUUGAAUAAGGAAUUUUUGACCAAUAAAUAAAAUUAUCCUAUCCUAAUCUUUACAUAUAGCAAACACAAAACAAAAUGACAUUAUUUAAUCUAAUUUUAUUUAUAAUAUCAUUGUACCCUAUCAAGUUAUAAUCUUAUGUACCAAACAUGGCAUAAGAUUAUAUAUCUAUGUAUAUUGAUAUUAUUUGUUAUUUUAUAACUAAGCUUUUGCGAUUCACAUAUUGUGAGGGGUUUCUGUGACAACUUUUUAAAAGGCUAUUUGGUGUGAUUGCAUAUACAUGACAUCAUACAUGCUAAUAAAGGAUUAGGAUAGAGCGGUAUAUUCGAAUUCACCCAUAAGGUACUGUGUGAAUUGAAUUCCUUAAUUCUUUUUAUUCGUGAUCUAGAUUGGUGGAUUAUAUUACAAAAUGGUGGUGUAGCAUAAUGAUUUUAUGUUGUUUUAUAGCUAUUAUUGUUCAUUUCUUCAAACAUCAGUAAAUAAGAUUGAAGAACAGGUGCAUUGUCCUAAAACCAAAUGAACUUGAGUAAAAACCAUCAGCUCUAGGGAUUUUCGAAGAACUUGGAUGUCACUUUGUUUAUUGAAAACCAAAUGAUGGAAAGAAAUAGGAAGGUAGUAUCGAAAUUAGGAAUAACCUUUAGUUUACAAUAGAUAAGUUAGUUGAUUUUGUCUGUGUACACUCGGGUAUACUAUUUUUUAUUUAUGUUAAUGAGCCUCACACAAAUCUUCAAUUUGGUUGACUUUAGGACUAAUAUUAGGUUCUGGAAGUCUAGAAUGACUAUUGAAUAUAUAAGGUGAAGAAAUCUAAAUAUUCAAUAUUGAAAUUAUUUUAUACCUUGAUCUUAGCAUAUGAUAUUGGAAGUAGUUUACUAAAAUUAGGUAAGUUAUAUUGAGACAUUGAUAUUUCAAUUGGCUAUAUGCUAUGCCUUUUUCAUAUUUUUUUUAUCCUAAAGAUUGAAGGAGAAAUUUUAUUUUUGGAUGAGAUGCUAUGAUUCGCAAAAGUGAAUUAAAAUGGAAUUUGUAUUAAUGGAUAAAUUAUUACUUUAAGUAUUAUAUAUUGUUGGAAAGCUUGCUGAAUCUAUUUUUCAAUGAAACAAACGUAAGUUGAAUCAGAGUUUUCUAUUAAGAGUUAUCUAAUUUUUACUUAAUGAUAUGUAGACUGCUUGACAGCAGUAGCAAUAAGGAAUUACAAAAUUUCUCUGAAUUUUUAUACAAUGAAUUACGAAUUGAGCCAUACAUGUUUAAAAAGGUUAUUGAGUUUAUAUUCCAAUGAAACAAGCAGAAUUGAAUUUGGAGUCUUUUAUGAAUAAAUAUAUCAUUUUGAUUACAAUAUAUACAUGCUAUCUAGUAGUAGCAUAUGACAUGGAUUGCGAAAAUUAUUACAAUUAAUCUACAAUAAAUUACGAGGUGGGCCAUAUAUGUUGUCAUAACAUCUAGAUCCGGGGAUCCUUUGCUAGAUAUUGUCUUUAGGAGUGAUCAUUAAUCUUUUUUAUCUAUGAGCGAUUGGUCAUCUAGGGAAUUUAUCCUUUUAAAGAACACCUAAGCCUAAGGGUCCCUAAAAGAAUAGUUUCAUGUUUACUAAUCAGAACAGGGUUCAAGAGUACGGUUAUGUGUGAAAAAGGUUAUAACACCCUUACAACGCCCAUCGAAAGAUGGUACCAGCUUAAUUUUAUGUUAUCCAAUAAGUUUUAAAAAUUUACUAGAUAAUUAAUUAUUAGAAAUUAUUCUCAAUUGACUAUAAAACUUUUAGUAAAAAAUUAAAAAAAAAUUUUCACCCAAAGAGUAUGCAAGGAAACUACUGUUUCACUUGCAGAAGCUCUAUCGUCAGAUUAUUUAACAUUAAAGAAAAUUCAAAAAGGAAAAGAAAUAAAAUGGGAAAAAAGAAUAAUAAUUCAACUUUAGAUAUAAAUCUUUCUCUUCAAAAACUUAUUACUUUUGUAUAAGAAAAAUUGAUACUUUUAACUUUUCCUCAAAAGAAUUUGAGAGUUUCUAUUUUAAGGACAAUUGAUACUUUCAACUUUUCCUUAAAACAUUUUUUUUAAGAAAAAUUGGUACUUCUAACUUUUUCCCAAAAUAUUUUUCUGAAACUUUAAUUUUGAGGAAAAUUGAUACUUUCAACUUUUCUUCAAAAAUAUUUUUUUUAAAUUUAUUUUUAAGAAAAAUUGAUACUUUUACCUUUUCCUCAAAAAUAAUUUUUAGAAAAUUAUUUUCAAGGAAAAUUGAUACUUUCAACUUUUUCUCAAAAAUAUUUUUUUAGAAUUUUAUUUUAAGAAAAUCAUUAAAAAAUAAAAAUAAAAAUAAAAUAAGGAAUACAAAAUUAUUCUAAUCUAAUCAAUAAAUAAUAAUAAUAAUAAUAAAUAAGAAAAAAAAAAUUUUGGAACAGCUCGGCUUGAGAGAUAGAAGUGGUUUAAACGUGAGGCUCAGCUAGAAACGGCUCGAUUGGGCUGGGCUAGGGUCUAGGUAAAAAUGCGGGUCGCUAAUCGGGUUGGUGCUCGGGUUGAGUCACCCGAUUUCAAAACGUGCUGAUCUUCUGGGAAUAGUAAGGCUAAAACGACAUCGUUUUCAGUCGGUAUAAAAGGCUUCAACCUCUGUUUUUUUACAGAUUGCUUCCUUCUUCCUCUUUUUUUCUUUUUUUUUUCUCCUCCUUCUCUCUAAAUAGAAUCCAAAUCUCAGUUGAAUAUCUGCUGAAAUCUGAAAAAAAACAGGUCAAAAACUUCGAAGUUGGCCGAAAAUCUCGCCAAAAAAGUUGAAUCUUACCGAAAAAUUUCACUGGAUUCUGAAAAAUUUUUAGAAAUUUUUAGAAAAAAAAUUCUAAAAUUCUAAAAUCUUUCCCAUAAAUUCCUAACACUGUUUCUAACGCACCAGAACUUUUUUUAACCUCUGUUUCCUCUCUGUGUAUUUUUUGAUCUUUUUGUGUGCUCUCUGUGGACCUAUUUAUAAGGAUUGAUCAGAAGAGUUUCUGAUCAAUCCCAACUCCUUCUGGGAUUUUGAUUCAAUCUUUGAAUCCAAUCCCAAUCCUGCUAACCUCUAAUUUCACGGCCAAAUCCAAUUUUUUUAUCCUAAUCCUAUCCGAAAAUCAAUCAAGAUAAAACAAAAAAAACACAUAUAAUAAUUAAUAGAUAAAUAAUAAAAAAAUUAUAUUAAUAAAUAAUAAUAAAAAAUAAAUAAAAUGGGCUUACCCAUUUUGACUAGGCCCAAUUGAUCCAAGCCUGGACCAAAUUGGGUGUCUACAUAUUUUUGAAAAGGUUUUUGAGUCUAUUUUUCGAUUAAACAAGCGAAAUUGAAUUUGGAGUCUUUUAUGAAUAAAUAUAUAAUUUUUAUUAGAAGAUAUGCAUACUAUCUGAUAGCAACAUAUAACAUAGAUUGCAAAAGUUAUUACAAUUAAUCUACACGAAAUUAUGAUGUGGGCCAUAUAUAGUUAAAAAAUUUAUCGAGUUUAAUUUCUAAUGUACUAAAAAGAUUUUAAUUUUGAGUUGGAUAUCUUAAGAUAGGGUCAUUUUAGUGAAAGUAGCAUAGGCUACCAAAAUUAGUUAGUUAACCCUUAUAUAACUUAGUUGUUUUUAGUAUUAAUGGUCUUAAAGUGGAUUGAUUAAUUUCUGUUAUAUUGAAAUGAUUUUGAAUAGCCUAUUAAUUAUUUUGAGGGAAAAACUAAGUGGUGGAACCAAAAGGAAAUAAGUAGAAUCUUACACACUUUGCUUAUUUUGAAACUUAUGUAUAUAUGUAUGUUUCUAAAUAAAUGAGAUUUAUUUCUUUAUUUUCGAUAUAAGAAAAUAGGUUGAGCAUAUGAUUAUUUUAUGUUUUGCUAUAUAAAUGAUGGAUCAUGUUUAUAAAUGAAAUGAGAAAUUGAUUUAUGUUUAAUGAAUGAUUUUAUAAUAGCUACAUAUUUUACAUCUUGAGAAAUGGGAUUAUCGAUACCAGAACUAGUUAUACUACCCUAGCUAACGGAUUAUAAAAGUUAAUAUAGUCACGAUCAAAUGGCACUACUAGUGGGUCAUAGUAGUUAGUGUAAAGGUUUGGCCAGCAGGCUAUAAUAGUUAGUAAAGAUCAUAAGGAUAAAAUUAUCGAUAUUGCCAAUGUUACGGAUUAUAGUAGUAAUCAUAGUUAAUGAUAAACUAAUGAUAAUGAUGAUUUAUGAUAAUGAUGAUUUUAAAGAUUGAUUCAUGAUUUGAUUUAAUUACGAUAUUUGAAUGGUAACAUAUUUUGUAAUGAUUUAUGAAUUGAUCUAUUUUGAUUUUGAUUUAUGAUCUACAAAAUAUUUGACAUAAUGUUGAUUUUUGAAAUAUUUUGAUGUAUUAUUUGACAAAUGUUUCGAAUUAUCUAUAUGAUAUGUAUGAAACCGAUGUUUGAUCCGAUAAAAUGUAUGAUCUUAUACUAGAUUAGCUGUAAUUUGUUCAUUCUCUUUCUACCUUUUCUUUACACAUGAGUAACUGAUAAGUAUAUUUAGUCUUAUUAAAAGCUAGAAGAUCAAAUUUGGAAAUAUUACUUGGACAUUAGAAAUAUUGUUAGCUAGUGAGAUCUUAUGAAAUUAUUUUAUAUGUUUUUUAUUAAUUAACCUUUGGAUAUAUAGAGAUGUAUCACUAGUUAGAUUAAAUUUAUGAAUUUUACUUGGCAAAUUAUUUUUAUUAAAGAAUUUUAAAAUGAUUAAGAGAAAAAAUUUCGUAUUACUUUAAAGUUUUAUUUGAAGAUAAUAUAACGGUGUUACAUCUUAGUUUUGGGGCAUGACACCAUUAUUAGACAAGUCUUGACCAGAUUGGAUUACGUAUCAGCCAAUUUGUCAGGCAUUGCAACAGAUUUCAGGUAAUUGGAGAGUCUGCUAACAUGACAGGCUUGAGCUAGUUUAAUUUCUGCUUUUGCUUUGUGAGAAUAUUCCAAUGAAGUGAGGAAAGAUAGAUAAAUUUGAUUAUGAACUCGAAUCCAUUUUUGAUAGUAUAGUUAGACUCUGAAAGGGAGGAGGUUAAGAUUUAAAUCUUCGUGAAACCUCCUUCGAGAUGGAAACUUGGGAAGGAGAGCAGCGACUCGUUUGGCACUUUUCAAAUAUGAUGCAUACUGAAGGAUGACAGGAGUAUCAUUCUUUCCUGCAUCAAUUUUGUCACGGUCCAAGCUUAUUGUCUGAAAAGCACUAGCCAAAGGCAAGACAUGGAUGCCGUGACUAUUCUCCUUUCCUACCAGGUCCUUAAGCGCCUUCUUCUUGAAAGUCCAGCUGCCAGUUCUCAGGUUGAAAUGGUAUAGAGGAAGAAAUCGUUGGCCAUAGAUGGCUACGAACUCCAACGCCGCAAGAAUGUAUUCAAACUCCUCAUUUGACAUGUAGUAAGGAAAGCUGACUCUUGUCCAUCCAGGUUUUGCUCCUAUGUAGCCCUGCAAUCAAACUUUGCAAUUGGCAUUAGAUAAGUUGAAUUAUAUUUUACUUCUCUUUCAUUUGGUCAAAAAAGAAAAAAAGGAAAAUUUUGUACUGAUACCCUUUUAAUAGCUUCUCUGAACGCAAGGGAUCGAGUCUGAUCAAUAUCAAGCAAACUGUGGCCAUAAGGUCCAGCACAAGCACACCCACCUCGAGCUUGGAUGCCAAACAGAUCAUUUAGGAUGGUUGCAACAAAAGGGCCAUGGAGAGGUUUAUCCCUCUUGUUCCCAGUCUCUCCCCACAUGAAAAGUCCCCUACCCUUUUCCUUUGCCUCGUCAACAUUGUUACCAUCGUUGGUUGUGGAGUAGAUGAGGAAAGACAGUAUGGCUUGUCUCUGGGUCUCGGUGCUUGCAUUUCCUAAAACCCUUAUGUUUUGGUUUGGGAGAAGCCUCUCCAAUGCUUGAUUUAUGUACGACUUCUCCUGCUUUGCAAUCACUUCAUAACCAAUAUAUUCUUUUACCCAAAAAGUCAAUGCUGCUCUAACAAUCUGAAUUAUUUGAGGAGUCCCUCCAUUUUCCCUUUCUUCUAUGUCACUUACAUAUAUUGUGUCCUGCAAAAUAAAUACCCCAUUUUACCACAUUUUAAAUUGCAUACCUGCUUCCCUAAAUGCUGGGGAAUGAAUCUGAUUAAUAUCAUGAUAACUUAUCAUUCUCUAGAGUAUUUUUCUACUGGCACUGUCGUGCAUUCAGAAUUUGGUUGGAAAUCUCUUUUCUUCUAAAAUUGUAAUUAAAAUAAAAAAUUUUUUUAGAGACACUUAUCAUUCACUAGUCUAUGUCUAAACCCGCUCCAUCUGAAUCAGGAAUUUAUUUCUAAACUCCAAAAAGCCUGACAGCUACCUAAUCAUUCUUUAUGUCGUCCAGCCGAAGAAAGAAACCGAAAUUUCUUACAAAAUGGGAUAUAUAAGCAAGAAUAAGAAAAAGGUAAAGAAAAUACAAAUUUCCAUUUUAUGGUAGAGAGGUGAACAAAAAAUAAAAUCUUUCAUCUAUUAAAUUGAAUUAAUCUGAACACAAAAAUAUAAUAAAAAUCUCUUCAUUUAUUAUCAAUUAAUUUUAAAUUUGAGAGUAAUUACCUGUUCAUUGAAGCCAUUGACAUAAUUAACAGUUCCACCUCCGCAAGUUGAUGGAGGAGAAGAUCCCAGCCGGUAGAGAGCCUUGCUCAUUAAAAGGAUGCCGGGCGUUCCAGGGCCACCUAGAAACUUAUGUGGGCUUAGGAAAAUGGCAUCAUAUCCAUCAAUCUCCCCUGACCUCAUAUCAAUCUCCACAUAAGGACCACUAUCCACAAAAACAAAAUGAUAAGCACAAUCACAAAUCAACUUCUCAUUGCUUUAUAACAUUAACAUAAUACAUAAACUUGGCUAAUAAUUAAUUGUGAGAUCUGUUAUUAAAAUAUUAAACUUUUAAUUUUAACAAUCAAAGUUUAAAUUCUGACAACCUCGAAUAUAAAAGCUUGACAACAAAAAAUGAAAAUUCUUACUGUGUACCUUGCUGCAAAAUCAAAGCAAACAAAACCUCCGUACUCAUGAAGAAGUUUGGCAAUCUCUCGAGUAUCUGUUUGAAUCCCAGUCACAUUACUACAAGCUGAAAAUGAGCCAAGCAAAGGCCUAUUGGCGUAUUUAUACAGCUCAAGCUGUUUUCUUAGUGCUUCAAUGUCUAUGAACCCAUUCUCAUCUAAACCAAUCUCAACAACUUCAGCAAGGCUUUGACGCCAAGAAAGCAAGUUGGAGUGGUGCUCGUAAGGGCCAAUAAAAACUACCCAUCGAUACUCAUUAGGUAAGCAAUUUAUUACCAUGUCCCUCAAAAUUGAUGGUACCGUAAUCCCCAUAACUUCUUGUAGCCUUUUAAUAGCAGCCGUGGUGCCUGAGCCACAAAACAGAAUUGCAUCAUCUUGACCGCCACCUAGGCUUCUUUUAAUGUAGUUUGACGCUUCAUGCACCAUUUUCGUCGUCCUGUGCCCCACGUAACUGUCAGACGUGUGAGUGUUACCUACGCACGAACCAACCAAGAUCAGCUGACAAAUACUAAAACCCAAUAUAUAUAUAUAUAUAUAUAUCUUAUACUCGGAAAUGACGCCAUCACUUUUGUUAAUUAAAUCAGAGUAUCACAAUUGAAGAUCAGAAGAAAAAAAACCUUUACCGUAGAAUGGCAGAACAUUGGUGACGAUGAAGUUUUCGAUAUAGUGAAAAGAGCGACCCGAUGCAGUAUGAUCAGCAUAAGUAAGUUUUCUAGUUCCAAAAGGAGAGUCAAAUUCUGCAUCACCACCAGUGAUUUGAGAUCGUAGCCAAGACAGCUUUUUCUCGGUGGAGUCAACCUUUGGCACAUCCAUCUCUAGAGCCCUGAAUGAUUCCGAGCCAUGGAAGAGUUUGCUGGAAACAUAGGAACGGCAUGUUGAUCCUGGUGACUUAUGCCUGUCCCUGGUUGAAGUCUUACUAUCAUUUGCUGCCUUCAAUUUCAGGGCUUCCGUUGUUUCUCUAAACAUGGGUUGCUCAAACUCCAUUUCCCACCUGGAAACAAAGAUUAGUGGCUGUUUUUAUUGUUGUUGUAGCUUAUGACAGGAGAAAGAAUGGAAAAAGUAGUUGUAGAAGAAGAAAAAGAUAAGAAUGAGGGUAAGGAAGGCAGACUUGGUUAUUUAUAUACUAUUAAAAUACAAAGUAACCUUUUGACACGGUUUCAUUUUUUUAAUUAAUAAAACAAAAAGACAAAGUUUUAGGCGUGAGGGGGGUUUGACUCCGAAACCAUGGCCUCUACACACCAAUAAGAAAAAUAUUGCUGUCUCAGAAACAAUGGGAUCUCUAAGAAGGAUUGAAAAAAAAAAAAAAAGAACCUACAGAAAAUAGUAAGCCUAUGUUUGGAAUAUAUUAUUCCUUGGAGUGUAAGAAUUUCCAUAUUUCUCAUUCCUCUCCCUAAAAUUUGAUUAUGGAGUAUCAAACAGCCCAAGCAAUUGUUAGAAAAACAUUGAACCUUUCCUGAUCUACUUGGUUUGGAACGUGAUGUAUCCAAUCUGCCGUAUUAAUAAGGAGAGCAUUGCUAUUUAGAGGUGUCAAUAAUAUACCCGUACUCACGAGUUAUUCGUUUUAUAAAUUAGAUUACUUAAUUGAUAAAAAGAAUGAGAAUUUUUGUAUGUCAUUAUAAUUUGCACGGAUAGUUAUGAUUCCAAAAGAGUAAAAUGUGUAAAGAAAGCAAAGAAUUUGAUUGCUUUUCAGAAACUUAGUAUGAUUUUGGCAAUAUGCAUGAUAAUUUUAUUAAUGAUUAUUCAUCAAUAAGUAACAUUUAUGAAUUAAAAUUAAAUUUUGAUUUAUUGAAAAAGUAUAAAAAAAUCAGUUAUAAAAAAUAAAUGAAAGAAUGAAGAAACAAACAAACGGAUCAAAUAAAAAAAAUAAAAAGAGAACCAAAACAAAAUAAAAGUAGUGAAAUAGAUCUUCAAACCAAUACUCCACCACAAUAAAGGCUAUUCAUUUGUAUUUAUGAUGAAGUGGCAUAUUAAAAAUAAAUAAUUUAAUUUAAUUAAGAAUGAUUUAAGAUAAAUAAUAAAAAUUUGAUUACUAAUUGAUAUAAUUUUAACUAUAGAAGGUAAAUAAUACGUACUCUUUAAGGUAAUGUUGUUCUUUCCAAAAUAGUUAAAUAUAAAAAUAACCCAUUUAUUAUGCAUUUUUUUUUAUCAAUUUGGCACCAAAAAAAUAAAAUAUUUAGUUUGGCACUCUAAUUUUCAUUCUUUCAUCACUUUGUUAUCGGAGACUAGCGUCAUCAGUCAAUUUAUUGACGUGGUAUAAACAUCUAAUAAGAUAUUAACACAUGCUAAGAAAAUCUAAUCAAUGUCAAAUCAUCAAUAUUACAUCUGAAUUUAAAGAAAAUUCUAAAAAAAUUUAAAUAUUUUUUAAAAUAUUUAAGCAUUUUAAAAAAUUAUUUUAAAAACAAAAACUAAAUUUUUAAAAAAUUUUAAAAAAUUACCAAAACUUUAAAAAUUCAAAAAAAUCUCAAAAUUUUAUUAGGAAAAUAAAAAAACUUUUGAAAUUUUCAUAAAAAUCAUAAUUUUAGUAAACAUAAAGUUUUCAUAAAUUUUUUAAAAAAAAUCUCUAAAGCUUAAAAAAAUUGAAAGUAAAAGAUCUAAAAUUUUUUGAAAAUAUCUAAAAAUUUUAAAAUAAUUGUAAUUCUUAUAAAUUAGGAAAAUUCUUCAUUUUUUUAAUCUUACAAUUUUAAUUUUCUUAUAUAUUUUGUGAUUUUUUACAUUUUUUUAAAUGUUUAUGGAUUUUUAUUAAAAUUUUAAGUUUUUUAUUUUAUAUUUUUCAAAAAAAUUUAAUUUUUAGUAAAUUUCUUAGAAUAUUUCAUAUUUUUGAAUUUUUUUAAUUUUUUCAAAAUUUUUGAAAAUAUUUUAUAAAAUUUUAGAUUUUAAUAAAAAUUUGAUAUUUUUUGAAUUUUCAAAUUUUGUCAAAAAAUUCUAGAUUUUUUAUUAUUUGUGAACCUUUUUUUAAUUUUUUAGAAUUUUUUUGGAUUUUUUUUAUUUUUUGUCAAAAUUUUGAGAUUUUAUGAAUUUUUUUAAGUUUGAUAUUUUUUAAAAUUUUAUGUUCAAAUAAGAUUUCAUAUUAUUUAAUUUUUCUAAUUUUUAAAAAUAUUUUAGACUUUUAAAUUUUGUUGAAUUUUUUUACUAUUAAUGUGGUAAUUGAUGAUGUGGCACUACUGAACUUUUUGAUACAUGUCAGUAUCUUAUUAGAUGUUAAUGCCAUGUUGACAAAUUGAGUAAUUGCUUUAGUACGAGGUAUCAAAGUAAAUGGCGAAAUGAAAGUUAAAAACCAAAUUGAUAAUUUUGUUUCUUAAAGUACUAAACUGACAGAAAGUGUAUAGUACAUGAAAUAUUUUUAUAUUUAACUUUUCCAAUCAUGAAAAGACCUAAAAGGAGACUUGAAAUUGUUAUACAUGUAAUCGAUAAUCAUUCCUUAGUGUUGACCUUUAGAGUUCAAAGGAUGUCUCAUACCCAAAUAAUUUUUGGGUUUUUCCUACAUGUAAUAACAAUAUUAAUUACCAAAUUACUACUUAAUUUGAAAAAAAAAAGACAUUAAUAUAAAGAUAAAUGUACAUAAAAGAGAAGUUAUUUUUCCUUAGCUUUUUCCCUUAACAGUUGGAUCUCUUGCUCUACCUGUAAGUCAUUUAACAAAACACAAAUCAAUUGAUUACGUCACAACAUAUAAGUGAUUUAGUUACAAAUUAUGAUUCUUCUCAAACAAUAAAAUGAUGGGUGAUUGUGAUUGGAAUGAAACAAUAAAAAAUUUUCAUCAACGCCUUUCGUUGCUGUUUUAGACACAGAUUUGGCAAUGGUAAUAAAAUGAUUAGUGACCGUGGCUGUGAUUAAAUUUAUAAAAUAAUCUAAUGAUAAGAGAAUUAAAAUAUGCAACAUAUCUUUCAAAUUUGAAAUAGUAAAAGACAAAUCUAAUCAAUUUUAAUCGAAAUAUACAUUCAAAAUUUAUGGUCCAUAUAUUCUUGAAAAAUUAUUAAAUUAAAAAAAAAAGAAAAUUUCUAGAAUUGACAGUUUUGAAUUCAAGAUUUAUACAAAAAUUUUCAUAUUUGAUAGGUUUUCAUUUUGAAUUUAAAUAAUUUAUUAAAUAGAAUUACUUUAUAAACCCAUUUUAGAGAUAAUACAUUAUUACAAUUGAGAUUUUUAUAUUUAAAAAAUAUGUUUAUAUUAUUAGGAAAUUUAUUUUUAAUAAAAAUAUAUCUAAAUUAGAUUUUAUUGUUAACAAUUUUAAAAUUAUCCAUGUAGAUAUCCAUAUAAGUUAAUUUUUUGUGGUAAAUUCCUAUGUGUCAAAAAAUGAUAUAUAUAUAUAUAUAGGCAUUUACAUAUCCCAUAAUACUUACAUCUAAAAUUUGAAAGUUUUCGAUAACUAAAUAAUUUUUUAAAUAUAUAUUUCUUGAUAAAUAGCCUAAAAUUAAGAAAUGUCUUAUAUAUCGUUAUAGAGAAAUUUUAAGAAUUUUAUCACAUGUUAAAAAGAAAAACCAUCAAUGUAAGCAAACCUUAUAAUGUAACAAUGUAUCCUGUAAUAUAAUUUAUAUUAUAUAUUUUUAAAAGAUUAUUAGUUAUCCAAGUGAUAAAAAUAGUCAUACUUGACACAGACCCCAAGUCUUAAGAUUUCACAAUGUAUAAAAUAAACUUUAAUUUUCCAUGUGUACAUAUACUGACAAAGUAACAUAACAACAUAAAAUGUCAACCAACGAUUCUCAUCAUUCAAGCAUAGAAUUAAAUAUCACAUAGAUAUUCCAAGCAUAAAGGGAAAGGUCCAACAUAGAGACAAACCAUGAUGUGUGAGUAUGAAAGACAAAUGAUAUACUCCUAAUAAUAAAUUACAUCAAAAGACCCUAAAAUACCUAUGUUCUCAAUAUGUUUACCAAAUACUAUAGGUCGUAUUCCUGUAGUCCAAGGAUCAACAAUCAUGUUGUUAGUCUCAAUGUGUUUGACAACAAUCUUACAAUUUUUCAUAAAAUCCCUAACUUUAAAAUAUAUUAUCUCCAAAUGUUUAAACCACUAGUGCUCUUAUUAUUCUUAGAAAAAAACAUAGUAGACCUAUUAGCCUAAUAAAUCUUUAAAGGUCUGGAGAUGGAAUUAAUAAUACAAAGGCUUGACAUAAAAUUCAUAAGCCAAAUUGCCUAUGUAGCAGCUCUAUCGUAAGCAACAAACUCAACUUGCACAGUGGAAAAAAAUAAGAGUGUUUGUUUCACACAUUUCCAAGACAAAGCUCCUAUAGCCAACAUAAAAAAAUACCCUGAAAUGGACUCCAUGUCAUCCUAACAACUAGUGAAGUUAGAAUUUAUAUACCUUAUUAUCUAAAGAUUGUCCACUUUUUUGUAUACCAACGUAUGGUUUUUUUAUCUUUUACAAGUACCUAAUCACUUUCUUAAUAGCAACCUAGUGAUCCAUACUAGGAUUUGAAAGAUAUCUCUCAAGAACUCACUCUACAAAAGCAAUAUCUGGCCUAGUGUAAAUUGAGCAUACAUGAGACUCCUAACUGCACUAAAAUAUGAUAUGUUCUUCAUGGAUUCUUUCUCUAAAUCAUUCUUUGGGCAUUGACUAAGGUUGAGUCUAUCACCUUUGACAAUGAGUGCAUUCCUAGCCUUACAACUCUAUAUGUUAAAUUUAUUAAGUGCACGAUUAAUGUAAGACCUUUGCGAUAGUCCCAACAAAUUUUGAGACCUAUCUUUAUGAAUUUCAAUCCCAAGAAUAAGGGAAGCAUUCCUAAGGUUUUUCAUAUCAAAAGUCUUGGAGAAUAGCUGCUUAAUUUCAUGUAACAAAGCAAUAUCAUUAUAAGCCACUAAGUGUCAUCCACAUAUAACACAAGAAAGAUAUAUUUACUCCCCCUAAUUUUAAGGUAUAUGCAUUGAUCAACUUUAUUUUCCUCAAAACCAAAGAAGUAACUAUCUUAUCAAAUUUUAGAUAACCCUACUUAGAAGCUUAUUUAAGGGCAUAGAUUGACGUUUUAAGUCAACAUACUAAAUGCUCCUUCUCAGAUUCUUGAAAUCUUUUUAGUUGCAUCAUAUAAACUUUUUCUCUAAAAUCAUUGUUGAAAAAAGCCGUCUUUACAUCCAUGUAAUAAAGCUUUAAGUUAAAGUGUACUACCAAGGUCAUAACAAUCCUAAAGAAAUUUUUGAAAGACACUAGUAAAAAUGUUUCGUUAUAAUCUACUCUUUUCCUUUAAAUAAAUCACUUUGCCACCAAUUUAACUUUAAAUAUCUCAAAUUUUUCCUUAGAACCUUUCUUGGUUUUAUACACCCAUUUACAACCAAUGGAUUUAUACUAUUUUGGCUGUUUAACAAGCUCUUAAGCACCAUUUUGAGCCAUAAAAUUUACCUCACUUUUUAUUGCUUCCAUCCAUACAUUAAAUUACAGACUGCUAAUAGUUUCAUCAAAAGUCACAAGGUUAACAACAUGACUAAUGUCAUAGUCACUCUUUCAUUGAUAAAUUACAUAACCAUUAGAGAUGUCGGAUCUUCUUUGUUUGGAAGAUCUCCUAAAAGGUAUUUCAAUAUCAUUCUUUUGAACUUGAAGUACAUCAAUAAGAAGAAGGUUUAUGUCUUAUUGCCUUAAUCUCUUCUUUCAAUGGCCACUGGCAUUAUAUGGCACUAUAUUAUAGGUAAAGUAAUGGAGAUAUGUCUAAUAGAUUCACGGUUAUCCACAGCCUUUAUCACACUCUUGUCAACAACAUUUAGUUCAAGAAACUUUGCCACAUGUGACUCUACAAACUUAGUUCCAUGUGUAGGACAAUAAAACUUAUAUCCCUUGAAUUGAUCUAGAUACUCUAAAAAAAAGCAACGAGUACUCUUAGGUUCAAUCUUUUUUUCAAAAAGUUAUAGAUUCUAACUUCUAUAAGACAUCUACAAACUUUAAAAUGGUUCAAUUGGGGUUUCCUACCAGUCUACAAUUCAAAAGGUGUUUUAGGAACAGAUUUACUAAGUACUCUAUUAAGUAUAUACAAGGCAGUUUUAAUACCUUCACCUCAAAAAGACUUAAGAAGAUUAGUCCUACAUAUAAGCUCCUUAUCAUACCCAUAAGGGUGUGAAUUCACCUUUCAACCACACCAUUAUGUUCAAGACUACCAAGCAUAGCAUAUUAAGAAAAAUAUGACAUUCUUGUAAGUAUUUAGAAAAUGGUCUCAUAUGUUAUCUAGUUUCACUAUAUCUACCAUUAUACUCACCACCUUGGAGCUAAUGACUUUGAUAACUUUCUUUAAUUAUUUCUCUACCUUAGUUUAAAAAUUUUAAAUUUUUUAAAAGCAUUUAAAUUUUCAUCAAUUAGGUAAAGAUACCCAUAGCGAAAAUAGUCAUAAAUAAAAGUAACAAAAUAUUUGUUACCACACAAAAUAGAUAUAAGAGGUCCACUAUUAUCAGUGUACACAAUUUUUAAAAGGUCAAAAUUGUAAAUUGCCUCAUUUUUCUUAGUCUUAGUUAGUAUAUAUUUUAUACAAUCAACACAAGUGUCUAACUUUUCAAAACCAAGGGAAGGUAAAGUACUAUUUUUUAUCAAUUUUUGCACUUCUUCAUUAGAAAUGUGACCUAACCUUUUACACCACAACAAAAAAGACUUUUCUUUAGUUAAAUAUUUUUAAGACAUUGUUUUUCACAUUAUUGCAACUAUAUUAAUUAUCAUAGGCCAAGCACGGUUUAUAUAAUUUGUCAAUUAGUUUAAAUUCAUCAACAAUGAAUUUUCUUUAGUCAAAGAUUUUUUAGUCACUACCUUUUCAACAUUAUUGCAACUAUGUUAAUAAUUGUAGGCUAAGCACAGUUUAUAUAAAUUGUCAAUUAGUUUAAAUUCACCAACAACAUUUGAAUUUAAAACAAGUCAACUUUUCCUUAUCCAAUGCCAAAAUAAUAACCAUGUUUGUCCAAAAUAAAAACUAAAAUCAAAUUCCUCUUAAAUGAAAGUACAUGAAAAACAUUUUCCAAAAUAAGUUCAAAGCCAGAUUCUAAAUUUAAGCCUAUCAUUCCUACAUAAUUAAUGGCUACUUCAGUAUUGUUUCAAACUCUAUGUGUUGCCCUUUUCUCACUUAGCUUUCAUUUGUUUUUGAAUCCUAACAAAGGUAACAACAAUAUGAAUAGUUACACCACUAUCAACCUACUAGGAAUUUGGUAGGCAACUGACAAAUUAGGAUUUAAAACAAACGAGAGCUAGUGAGUUACCUUCUUGUUUCUUUUUUUUCUUUAACCAAGCUUGAUAUUUAGGAUACUCAUGUUUCAUAUGACAUUCUUUUUACAGGAAAAACACUUGAUAUCUUUCUUAAUGAUAGCUUUAAGCCCUCUUACCUUUUUAGUCUGACCACUACCUUAUCCCUUGUUUUCUUAAACUUUCUUGUGAGCAUUAGGAACAAAUUUCCCAGAUUUCUCAUAAUUUCUUUUGUAAUUAUAUUUGGAGUAUGUAGCAGAAAAAACACUCUCACCUUUUCUUUCUACAGUUUUUCUUCCAUAGAGACAAACUUUUAAAUAAGAUCAUUAACACUUCAAAACCUCAUUCAUAGCAUUAUAGACAGUUUUGAUAUGAGUGAACUGCAAAAGUAAGGCAUUAAGGGCAUGAUGAACAAUGAAUUUAUCAAGAAGGUCAAUUUCAUGAGAAGUCAAUUUGGUUUGAAUGUGGACCAUUCUCAUGAUGAAAUCUCUAGCACUCCCAAUACUGUCAUACCUUAUACUUGUAAGCUCACUCAUAAGGUUCUUAGCUUUACACUUAUUGGAUUUUUGGUAUUUAUUGCCUUCAGCAUGGUAGAGAUCCCUAGCAAUUUUUGUGGUAUCCAACUCACUCAAAAGGUAUUCAAAAAUAGAAAUAUUAAUGACAUAUAGAUGCAUAUGAUUUGUCUUUUCCCAUUUGGGAAAAUAUUCCUUUUGUUUAGCAAUGCUUUCAUUAGUAAAAUUAGCAGGCUUUGAAAAAUGUAAGGCUACGUCUAUCUCAUUUAUAACUAAAGCAAAAUUCAAAUCUUCAUUCCAUUUUUUAUAAUUAGACCCGUGAAGAACUUUAAUAGUGGCUUAUUGUUAUUGAUAAUAAAAGUCAACAUUCAAGAUAAAAAUGCAACAUUAGUAAAUAGGCAAUAUCAUAAAAUAUAUAGCAAUAGUUCAUGAUGUACUAACAAUUAUUGAAAGGUCUUGGUGCAUCACCACAAACUCCUUUUUGGAUAAAGAAUGUAAUAUGUGAGUAGGAACUUUUCGCAUAAAGCUAAUAUGAAAAUGUCCUAGCUUUUCAAAAAACAUAUCCCUUCGGGCAUAUAGAUUUUCUAGAUUGGUACAACUUCAACCAUGAUGAUUUAUAUUCCAAAACAAAUUACCCUAUAUAUUAACCCCUUUUAGGCAGUCAAUUGCAUAAGAUAAUUUAAUAACCAUCCCGUAACCAUAGAAUGAUAAAAUAUUACAUUAAUUUUAAUAAGUGAGCCACUUUGACAACCAAACACUUAUAUCAAUUAAUGAAGAUUUUUUCAAAUCAAAAAAUUUCUUUAAUUGCCCAAAACUCUCAAUUUACAUACUCAACCAUAAUGUAUGCAAUGGACUAUCCCAACUAAGAUACUAAACCUAAAUGUAUCUAAUUAGGUCUUAUAAGCAGUGUACAUUAAAUUUAAACUAAAGUCUUGAAUUUUUUUUAAAAUCAAUUUUUAAUUACUAAGUCAAUUAUGCACUUAAGAUUCAACUUGAGAGUACAUAAAUAUCAAGGCCUAUUUAGGAAGAAUACCUAUUAUCAUUAGACUCCUAACAUACCAAAAUAUUUUAUCACAAAAUAAAAUAAUAAAAUCAUGUGUAUAACAUAUAGUAAUUACUGAGCAAUACAUGAAUGUCAAACAAAUAUUUCAUGUAGUUUAAAAAUUUUCAAAACAAAUAUUAGAAAUAAAAUUCAAAGUAUGCCAAAAGAAACUAGAGGAAAAAUGGAUGCCGAACGAGCCCAUACAUGCCACACGCACCACCCCCUAUGCAUGGAUUUUGUUUAACAUGGGGAAUGGUCUUCUUUAACCUCUAGUUCGGUUGACUCAAUGCAACUGUAAUAGUUUUUUACCUAUUCUAGUUUGUUUUUAUUUUUUCCACCAUUUUUUAUGCAUUUUCUAGGUAUUUUCAUCAAAUUGAAGUGCCCAAAAAUAAAACUAUUUUUCUAUCAAACCCAUUGAAAAAAAAGUAUAAAAAACACAAAAAUAAGAUCAAUUGGUCAAAAUUUUUGAAUUACAUAAACAUAUUAGACCUAUUUUUUGUUUUCUUCGUGUUCGGCCAAUCUAAAACAAUAUUAAAUUAAAUGCUUUGAUUUAACUUUAUAACACAUGAGAAACAUAUUUCAAGAAUCAAUUUCGAAUUAAACAUAAAAUGUUUGAUGUUUUAAUCAAAACAAGAAUUUAGAUUAAACUUAAACCUAAAAAUUUUCAACCUUGAUUUCUCUUCUAGAUAUAAGGAAUUAGAAAAUGAUCUUUAUAUAAUUUUAAUCCUUUUUUAGAGAGGAACUAAAAUCCUAAAUCAAUUUCGAAAAAUAAAGAUCAAAAUUUAAAAUUUUGACAACAACAUAAUUUCACACUAAAUAUGUUGUUUGUUCAAAAAUCAAUUACAAAUCAUGAUUUUAGGGGCCUAAUAUCACAUAAUGAUAGCUCUGAUAGCACACGUAAACAUUAACCCAAGUUCAUUGUUUGAUAAUUAGAACAUCGUAAACAAAUAAAGAGAUUUGUCAUACUUAUUUGGGUGGUCAUGACGAAUAUAUCGAAGUGAAACAAUACUUAAAGUGCCUAGGUCUUCCUCUUCACUCUUCUCUUAUUGGCGACACUCAAUGAGCAGUAACCGUAACUCGUAUAAAAGUAAAAAAAAAAAGGUUAUCUGAACCUAUUUUAAUUGAAACCCUUGAAGCCUCCUCAUCAAACACUUACUAGACUAAAGGUCUACAAAACCUCCAAACCAGAUUAAUCUAGUAAGAUGUGUAAGUCUUACAUUUAAGUGAUCACAUUAAAUUAUUUAAACUCUCAUGCUUAUCUUGUAUUAAGAGUAAACACAUCAACCAAUUUUAUUAAAUUAUUAAAACCAACUAUUAAUGGUAGCCCAUUUAUAAACAAUUCUCACUCUAUAUCCUAAUAAGACAUCAACGGGAGUGUAUAAAGCAAAGAUGAAGACUAUAUAAAGAGGAAUGGUGGUGGAAAGAUUAUUUUCUAAACAAAAAUUUGGAUGUUGAAGCGAUCUUCAUAAGAGACGACUCUCUGUGUUAGAGUGGUUCCACUAAAAUAGUAUACUAAGGUCAUAUUUUAUACAUAUGAUUAUUAAUAGAAUAUGAAGAAUAUUCGUAAGGUUUGCAAUAAGGAUUAAUAUCCUCUUGGUAUAGGAUUAUUCAAUCAUCUCAAAGUAGAGAGGAUAAUUUUUAAAUUUAUAGAUUAAACUUACAAGUUCAAUUAUACCCUUAAAAAUUACUUUAAUAAUUUAAAUUGUAUAAACUUUGAAUAAGGAUAAUUUUGACAAAUAAAUAAAUUAUCCUAUCCUAAUCUUUACAUAUAGCAAACACAAAACAAGAUGACAUUAUUUAAUCUAAUUUUAUUUAUAAUAUCAUUGUACCCUAUCAAGUUAUAAUCUUAUGUACCAAACAUGCAUAAGAUAUUAUUAUAUCUAUGUAUAUUGAUAUUAUUUGUUAUUUUAUAACUAAGCUUUUGCGAUUCACAUAUUGUGAGGGGUUUCUGUGAUAACUUUUUAAAAGGCUAUUUGGUGAUUGCAUAUACAUGACAUCAUACAUGCUAAUAAAGGUUAGGAUAGAGCGGUACAUUCGAAUUCACCCAUAAGGUACUGUGAAUUGAAUUCCUCAAUUCUUUUUAUUCCUAGAUUGGUGGAUUAUAUUACAGAAUGGUGGUGUAGCACAAUGAUUUUAUGUUGUUUUACAAAGCUGGUGUAGCACAAUGAUUUUAUGUUGUUUUACAACAAUUAUUGUUCAUUUCUUCAAACAUCAGUAAAUAAGAUUGAAGAACAAGUGCAUUGUCCUAAAACCAAAUGAACUUGAGUAAAACCCAUCAGCUCUAGGGAUUUUCAAAGAACUUGGAUAUCAUUUUGUUUAUUGAGAACCAAAUGAUCGAAAGAAAUAGGAAAGUAGUAUCGAAAUUAGGAAUAACUUUUAGUUUACAAGAGAUAAGUUGGUUAAUUUUGUCUGUGUACACUCAGGUAUACUAUUUUUUAUUUAUGUUAAUGAGCCUCACACAAAUUUUCAAUUUGGCUGACUUUAGGACUGAUAUUAGGUUCUGGAAGUCUAGAAUGCCUAUUGAAUAUAUAAGGUGAAGAAAUCUAAAUAUUCAAUACUGAAAUUAUUUUAUACCUUGAUCUUAGCAUAUGAUAUUGGAAGUAGUUUACUAAAAUUGGGUAAGUUAUAUUGAGACAUUGAUCUUUCAAUUGGCUAUAUGUUAUGCCUUUUUCAUAUUUUUUUAUCCUAAUGAUUGAAGGAGAAAUUCUAUUUUUGGAUGAGAUGCUAUGAUUUGCAAGAGUGAAUUAAAUGGAAUUUGUAUUAAUGGAUAAAUUAUUACUUUAAGUAUUAUAUAUUGUGGGAAAGCUUGCUGAAUCUACUUUCCAAUGAAACAAACAUAAGUCGAAUAAGAGUUUUCUAUUAAGAGUUGUCUAAUUUUUACUUAAUGAUAUGUAGACUGCCUUGACACAGUAGAAAUGAGGAAUUACAAAAUUUCUCUUAAUUUUUAUACAAUCAAUUACGAAUUGAGCCAUACAUGUUUAAAAAGGUUAUUGAGUUUAUAAUCCAAUGAAACAAGCAGAAUUGAAUUUGGAGUCUGUUAUGAAUAAAUAUGUCAUUUUGAUUACAAUAUAUACAUGCUAUCUGGUAGUAGCAUAUGACAUGGAUUGCAAAAAUUAUUACAAUUAAUCUACAAUAAAUUACGAGGUGGGCCAUAUAUGUUGUCAUAACAUCUUGAUCCGGGGAUCCAUUGCUAGAUAUUAUUUUUAGGAGUCGUUACUAAUCUUUUUUAUUUAGGUGCGAUUAGCCAUAUAGAAAAUUUAUCAUUUUAAGGAACACCUAAGCCUAAGGUUCCCUAAAAGAAUAGUUUCAAGUCUACUAAUCAAAACAGGGUUCAGGAGUACGGUUAUGUGUGAGAAAGGUUAUAGCACCCUCACAACACCCAUCGAAAGAUGGUACUAGCUUAAUUUUAUGUUAUCCAAUAAGCUUUAAAAUUUUAUCAAGUAAUUAAUUAUUAGAAAUUAUUCUCAAUUGACUCUAAUACUUCUAGCAGAAAAUUGAAAAAACUCCAUCACCUUAAAAGCAUGCAAGGAAACUACUAUUUCACUUGCAGAUGCUUUAUCGUUGGAUUAUUUAACAUUAAAGAAAAUUCAAAAAGGAAAAGAAAUAAAAUGGGAAAAAAAGAAUAAUAAUUCAGCCUUAGAUAUAAAUCCUUAUCUCUUCAAAACUCAUUGCUUUUGUACAAGAAAAAUUGAUACUUUUAACUUUUCCUCAAAAGCAUUUGAGAGUUUCUAUUUUAAGAAAAAUUGAUACUUUAACUUUUCCUAAAAAUAUUUUUUUAAGGAAAAAUUAAUACUUCCAGCUUUUCCACAAAAUGUUUUUUCUGAAACUUUAAUUCGAAAAAAAUUGAUACUUUCAAACUUUUCCCAAAAACAUUCUUUUUUAAAUUCUAAUUCUAAGAAAAUUGAUUACUUUUACCUUUUCUUCAAAAAUAUUUUUUAAGAAAAUUAAUUUUUCAAAGGAAAAUUCGAUACUUUCAACUUUUUCGCGAAAAAUAUUUUUUAGAAAACUUAUUUUUCAAGAAAAAUUGAUACUUUCAACCUUUUCCAUCAAAAUAUUUUUUAGAAUUUUAUUUUAAGAAAAUCAUUAAAUAAAAUAAAAUAAAAAAUAAAAAAAAUUAAAAGGAAUACAAUUAUUCUAAUCUAAUCAUAAAAAUAAUAAUAAUAACAAUAAUAAAUAAAUAAAUAAAAAAAAACUUUUGGAUGGCUUGGCUCGGCUUGGCCGGCUUGAGAUAGAAGUGGUUUAAACGUGAGGCUCAGCUAGAAAUGGCUCGGCUCGGCUCGUUUGGGGUCCAAGUAGAGACGCGGGGUCGCUAAUCGAGUUGGUGCUCAGGUUGAGCCGCCCGAUUUCAAAACACGUUGAUCCUUUGGGAAUAGUAAGGCUAAAACGACAUCAUUUUCAGUCAGUAUAAAAGGCUUCAACCUCUAUUUUUUUGUAGAUUGCUUCCUUCCUCCUUUCUCUUUUCUUCUUUUUUCUCUUCUUUCCCUUAAAUAGAAUCUAGAUUUCAAUUGAUUCUGCCAAAAUNNNNNNNNNNNNNNNNNNNNNNNNNNNNNNNNNNNNNNNNNNNNNNNNNNNNNNNNNNNNNNNNNNNNNNNNNNNNNNNNNNNNNNNNNNNNNNNNNNNNNNNNNNNNNNNNNNNNNNNNNNNNNNNNNNNNNNNNNNNNNNNNNNNNNNNNNNNNNNNNNNNNNNNNNNNNNNNNNNNNNNNNNNNNNNNNNNNNNNNNNNNNNNNNNNNNNNNNNNNNNNNNNNNNNNNNNNNNNNNNNNNNNNNNNNNNNNNNNNNNNNNNNNNNNNNNNNNNNNNNNNNNNNNNNNNNNNNNNNNNNNNNNNNNNNNNNNNNNNNNNNNNNNNNNNNNNNNNNNNNNNNNNNNNNNNNNNNNNNNNNNNNNNNNNNNNNNNNNNNNNNNNNNNNNNNNNNNNNNNNNNNNNNNNNNNNNNNNNNNNNNNNNNNNNNNNNNNNNNNNNNNNNNNNNNNNNNNNNNNNNNNNNNNNNNNNNNNNNNNNNNNNNNNNNNNNNNNNNNNNNNNNNNNNNNNNNNNNNNNNNNNNNNNNNNNNNNNNNNNNNNNNNNNNNNNNNNNNNNNNNNNNNNNNNNNNNNNNNNNNNNNNNNNNNNNNNNNNNNNNNNNNNNNNNNNNNNNNNNNNNNNNNNNNNNNNNNNNNNNNNNNNNNNNNNNNNNNNNNNNNNNNNNNNNNNNNNNNNNNNNNNNNNNNNNNNNNNNNNNNNNNNNNNNNNNNNNNNNNNNNNNNNNNNNNNNNNNNNNNNNNNNNNNNNNNNNNNNNNNNNNNNNNNNNNNNNNNNNNNNNNNNNNNNNNNNNNNNNNNNNNNNNNNNNNNNNNNNNNNNNNNNNNNNNNNNNNNNNNNNNNNNNNNNNNNNNNNNNNNNNNNNNNNNNNNNNNNNNNNNNNNNNNNNNNNNNNNNNNNNNNNNNNNNNNNNNNNNNNNNNNNNNNNNNNNNNNNNNNNNNNNNNNNNNNNNNNNNNNNNNNNNNNNNNNNNNNNNNNNNNNNNNNNNNNNNNNNNNNNNAAUACAUUCUUGCGGCGUUGGAGUUCGUAGCCAUCUAUGGCCAACGAUUUCUUCCUCUAUACCAUUUCAACCUGAGAACUGGCAGCUGGACUUUCAAGAAGAAGGCGCUUAAGGACCUGGUAGGAAAGGAGAAUAGUCACGGCAUCCAUGUCUUGCCUUUGGCUAGUGCUUUUCAGACAAUAAGCUUGGACCGUGACAAAAUUGAUGCAGGAAAGAAUGAUACUCCUGUCAUCCUUCAGUAUGCAUCAUAUUUGAAAAGUGCCAAACGAGUCGCUGCUCUCCUUCCCAAGUUUCCAUCUCGAAGGAGGUUUCACGAAGAUUUAAAUCUUAACCUCCUCCCUUUCAGAGUCUAACUAUACUAUCAAAAAUGGAUUCGAGUUCAUAAUCAAAUUUAUCUAUCUUUCCUCACUUCAUUGGAAUAUUCUCACAAAGCAAAAGCAGAAAUUAAACUAGCUCAAGCCUGUCAUGUUAGCAGACUCUCCAAUUACCUGAAAUCUGUUGCAAUGCCUGACAAAUUGGCUGAUACGUAAUCCAAUCUGGUCAAGACUUGUCUAAUAAUGGUGUCAUGCCCCAAAACUAAGAUGUAACACCGUUAUAUUAUCUUCAAAUAAAACUUUAAAGUAAUACGAAAUUUUUCUCUUAAUCAUUUUAAAAUUCUUUAAUAAAAAUAAUUUGCCAAGUAAAAUUCAUAAAUUUAAUCUAACUAAUGAUACAUCUCUAUAUAUCCAAAGGUUAAUUAAUAAAAAACAUAUAAAAUAAUUUCAUAAGAUCUCACUAACUAACUAUAUUUCUAAUGUCCAAGAAAUAUUUCCAAUUUGAUCUUCUAGCUUUUAAUAAGACUAAAUAUACUUAUCAGUUACUCAUGUGUAAAGAAAAGGUAAAAAGAGAAUGAACAAAUUACAGCUAAGCUAGUAUAGGAUCAUACACUUUAUCGGAUCAAACAUCGGUUUCAUACAUAUCAUAUAGAUAAUUCAAAACAUUUGUCAAAUAAUACAUCAAAAUAUUUCAAAAAUCAACAUUAUGUCAAAUAUUUUGUAGAUCAUAAAUCAAAAUCAAAACAGAUCAAUUCAUAAAUCAUUGCAAAAUAUGUUACCAUUCAAAUAUCGUAAUCAAAUCAAAUCAUGAAUCAAUCUUUAAAAUCAUCAUCAUCAUAAAUCAUCAUUAUCAUUAGUUUAUCAUUAACUAUGAUCACUACUAUAAUCCGUAACAUUGGCAAUAUCGAUAAUUUUAUCCUUAUGAUCUUUACUAACUAUUAUAACCUGCUGGCCAAACCUUUACACUAACUACUAUGACCCACUAGUAGUACCAUUUGAUCAUGACUAUAUUAACUACUAUAAUCCGUUAGCUAGGGUCGUAUAACUAGUUCUGGUAUCGAUAAUCACACUUCUCAAGAUGUAAAAUAUGUAGCUAUUAUAAAAUCAUUCAUUAAACAUAAAUCAAUUUCUCAUUUCAUUUAUAAACAUGAUCCAUCAUUUAUAUAGCAAAACGUAAAAUAAUCAUAUGCUCAGCCUAUUUUCUUAUAUCGAAAAUAAAAAAAUAAAUCUCAUUUAUUUAGAAACAUACAUAUAUACAUAAGUUUCAAAAUAAGCAAAGUGUGUAAGAUUAUACUUAUUUUCUUUCGGUUCCACCACUUAGUUUUUCCCCCAAAAUAAUUAAUGGGCUAUUCAAAAUCAUUUCAAUAUAAUAGAAAUUAAUCAAUCCACUUUAAGACUAUUAAUACUAAAAACAACUAAGUUAUAUAAGGGUUAACUAAAUAAUUUUGGUAGCCUAUGCUACUUUCACUAAAAGUGACCCUAUCUUAAGAUAUCCAACUUAAAAUUAAAAUCUUUUUAAUAUGUUAGAAAUUAAACUCGAGAAAUUUUUUAACUAUAUAUGGACCACCUCGCAAUUUCGUGUAGAUUAAUUGUAAUAACUUUUGCAAUCUAUGUCAUAUGCUGCUAUCAGAUAGUAUGUAUAUCUUCCAAUAAAAAUUAUAUAUUUAUUCAUAAAAGACUCCAAAUUCAAUUUCGCUUGUUUAAUCGAAAAGUAGACUCAAAAACCUUUUCAAACAUAUGUAGACACCCAAUUUGGUCCGGGCUCAGAUCAAUUGGGCUUGGUCCAAAUGGGUAAGCCUAUUUUAUAUAUAUAUUUUUUAUUAUUUAUCUAUUAAUUAUUAAUAUGUGUUUUUUUUAUUUUAUCUUGAUUGAUUUUCGGCUAGGAUUAGGACAAUUGGCCGUGAAAUUAGAGUUUGAUAGAAUUGGGAUUGGAUUCAAAGAUUGAAUCAAAAUCCCAGAAGGAGUUGAGAUUGAUCAGAAACUCUUCUGAUCAAUCCUUAUAAAUAAGUCCACAGAGAGCACACAAAAAGAUCGAAAAAUACACAGAGAGAAAACAGAGGUUAAAAAAAGUUUUGGUGCGUUAGAAACAACGUUAGGAAUUUGUGGGAAAGUUUUUAGAAUUUUUGAAAUUUUUUUUCUGAAAAUUCUAAAAAUUUUUUAGAAUCCGAUGAAAUUUUUUGGUAAGAUUCAACUUUUUUGGUGAGAUUUUUGGCCAACUUUGAAGUUUUUGACCUGUUUUUGUAGAUUUCAACAGAUAUUCAACCGAAAUCUGGAUUCUAUUUAGAGAGAAAGAAAAGAAAAAAGAAGAAGAGAGAGAGGAGGAAGGAAGCAAUUUACGAAAAAAUAAAGGUUGAAGCCUUUUAUACCGACUGAAAAUGAUGUCAUUUUAGUUUUACUAUUCCUAGAGGAUCCGCGCAUUUUGAAAUCGGGUGACUCAAACCGAGCGUCAACUCGAUUAGCGACCCGCAUCUUUACUUGGACCCCAACCGAGCCGAGCCGUUCCAAAAGUUUUUUUUUCCUAUUUAUUAUUAUUAUUAUUUUCUUUAUUAUUAUAUUUAUUGUUAUUAUUAUUAUUAUUAUUUAUUAGAUUAGAAUAAUUUGGUAUUCCUUAUUUUAUUUUCAUUCCUAUUUUUAUUUUAUUUUAUUUUUUAAUGAUUUUCUUAAAAUAAAAUUCUAAAAAAAUAUUUUUGAGGAAAAGUUGAAAGUAUCAAUUUUUCUUGAAAAUAAGUUUUCUAAAAAAUAUUUUACAAAAAAGUUGAAAGUAUCAAUUUUCCUUGAAAAUAAUUUUCUAAAAAAUAUUUUUGAGGAAAAGGUAAAAGUAUCAAUUUUUUUAAAAAAUAAAUUAAAAAAAUGUUUUUGAGGAAAAGUUGAAAGUAUCAAUUUUCUUUGAAAUUAAAGUUUCAGAAAAACAUUUUGGGGAAAAGUUAGAAGUACCAAUUUUCCUUAAAAAAAUAUUUUAAGGAAAAGUUGAAAGUAUCAAUUUUUCUUAAAAUAGAAACUCUCAAAUGCUUUUGAGGAAACAGUUAAAAGUAUCAAUUUUUUUGUACAAAAGCAAUGAGUUUUUGAAGAGAAAAGGAUUUAUAUCUAAAGCUGAAUUAUUAUUCUUUUUUUUCCCAUUUUAUUUCUUUUUCUUUUUGAAUAUUCUUUAAUGUUAAACAAUCUGACAAUAGAAUCUCUACAAGUGAAACAGUAGUUUCCUUGCGUACUCUUAAGGUGAGAAAAUUUUUUCAAUUUUCUACUAAAAGUAUUAGAGUCAAUUGAGAAUAAUUUCUAAUAAUUAAUUACUUGAUAAAUUUAUAAAGCUUAUUGGAUAACAUAAAAUUAAAUCGGUAUCAUCUUUUGAUGGGCAUUGUGAGGGUGUUAUAACCUUCCUCACACGUAACCAUACUCUCAAACCCUAUUCUGAUUAGUAGACCUGAAACUAUUCUUUUAGGGACCCUUAGGCUUAGGUGUUCCUUAAAAGGAUAAAUUCCCUAGGUGGCCAAUCGCACCUAGAUAAAAAAGAUUGGUGACGACUCCUAAAGACAAUAUCUAGCAAUGGAUCCUCGGAUCUAAUGUUAUGACAACAUAUAUGGCCCACCUCGUAAUUUAUUGUAGAUUAAUUGUAAUAAUUUUUGCAAUCCAUGUCAUAUGCUACUACCAGACAGCAUGUAUAUAUUGUAAUCAAAAUGAUAUAUUUAUUCAUAAAAGACUCCAAAUUCAAUUCUGCUUGUUUCAUUGGAAUAUAAACUCAAUAACCUUUUUAAACAUGUAUGGCUCAAUUUGUAAUUCAUUGAAUAAAAAUUUAGAGAAAUUUUGAAAUUCCUCAUUGCUGUUGCUAUCAGGCAGUCUAUAUAUCAUUAAGUAAAAAUUAGACAACUCUUAAUAGAAAACUCCGAUUCGACUUAACGUUUGUUUCAUUGGAAAGUAGAUUCAGCAAGCUUUCCAACAAUAUAUAAUACUUAAAGUAAUAAUUUAUCCAUUAAUACAAAUUCCAUUUUAAUUCACUCUUGCAAAUCAUAGCAACUCAUCCAAAAAUAGAAUUUCUCCUUCAAUCUAUAGGAUAAAAAAAUAUGAAAAAGGCAUAACAUAUAGCCAAUUGAAAGAUCAAUGUCUCAAUAUAACUUACCCGAUUUUAGUAAACUACUUCCAAUAUCAUAUGCUAAGAUCAAGGUAUAAAAUAAUUUCAGUAUUGAAUAUUUAGAUUUCUUCACCCAAUAUAUUCAAUAGGCAUUCUAGACUUCCAGAACCUAAUAUCAGUCCUAAAGUCAGCCAAAUUGAAAAUUUGUGUGAGGCUCAUUAACAUAAAUAAAAAAUAGUAUACCCGAGUGUACACAGACAAAAUCAACCAACUUAUCUAUUGUAAACUAAAGGUUAUUCCUAAUUUCGAUACUACUUUCCUAUUUCUUUCCAUCAUUUGGUUCUCAAUAAACAAAAUGAUAUCCAAGUUCUUUGAAAAUCCCUAGAGCUGAUGGUUUUACUCAAGUUCAUUUGGUUUUAGGACAAUGCACCUGUUCUUCAAUCUUAUUUACUGAUGUUUGAAGAAAUGAACAAUAAUUGCUGUAAAACAACAUAAAAUCAUUGUGCUACACCACCAUUCUGUAAUAUAAUCCACCAAUCUAGGUCACGAAUAAAAAGAAUUGAGGAAUUCAAUUCACACAGUACCUUAUGGGUGAAUUCGAAUAUACCGCUCUAUCCUAAUCCUUUAUUAGCAUGUAUGAUGUCAUGUAUAUGCAAUCACGCCAAAUAGCCUUUUAAAAAGUUAUCACAGAAACCCCUCACAAUAUGUGAAUCGCAAAAGCUUAGUUAUAAAAUAACAAAUAAUAUCAAUAUACAUAGAUAUAAUAAUCUUAUGCCAUGUUUGGUACAUAAGAUUAUAACUUGAUAGGGUACAAUGAUAUUAUAAAUAAAAUUAGAUUAAAUAAUGUCAUCUUGUUUUGUGUUUGCUAUAUGUAAAGAUUAGGAUAGGAUAAUUUAUUUAUUUGUCAAAAUUAUCCUUAUUCAAAGUUUAUACAAUUUAAAUUAUUAAAGUAAUUUUUAAGGGUAUAAUUGAACCUGUAAGUUUAAUCUAUAAAUUUAAAAAUUAUCCUCUCUACUUUGAGAUGAUUGAAUAAUCCUAUACCAAGAGGAUAUUAAUCCUCAUUGCAAACCUUACGAAUAUUCUUCAUAUUCUAUUAAUAAUCAUAUGUAUCAAAUAUGACCUUAGUAUACUAUUUUAGUGGAACCACUCUAACACAGAGAGUCGUCUCUUAUGAAGACUGCUUUAACAUCCAAAUUUCUAUGUAGAAAACAAUCUUUCCACCACCAUUGCUCUUUAUAUAGUCUUUAUCUUUACUUUAUACACUCCCUGUUGAUGUCUUAUUAGGAUAUAGAGCAAGAAUUGUUCAUAAGUGGGCUACCAUUAAUAGUUGGUUUUAAUAAUUUAAUAAAAUUGAUUGAUGUGUUUACUCUUAACACGAGAUAAGCUGAGAGUUUAAAUAAUUUAAUGUGAUCACUUAAAUGUAAGACUUACAUAGCUUACUAGAUCAAUCUGGUUUAGAGGUUUUGUAGACCUUUAGUCCUACUAAGUGUUUGAUGAGGAGGCUUUAAGGGUUUCAAUAAAAUAGGUUCAGAUACCUUUUUCUUUUUUACUUUUAUACGAGUUACAGUUACUGCUCAUUGAGUGUCACUAUAAGAGAAUAGUGAAGAGGAAGACCUAGGCACUUUAAGUAUUGUUUUACUUCAUAUAUUCGUCAUGACCACCCAAAUAAGUAUGACAAAGCUCUUUAUUUAUUUACGAUGUUCUAAUUAUCAAACAAUGAACUUGGGUUAAUGUUUACGUGUGGUAUCAGAGCUAUCAUUAUGUGAUAUUAGGCCCCUAAAAUCAUGAUUUGUAAUUGAUUUUUGAACAAACAACAUAUUUAGUGUGAAAUUAUGUUGCUGUCAAAAUUUUAAAUUUUGAUCUUUAUUUUUCGAAAUUGAUUUAAGAUUUUAGUUCCUCUCUAAAAAAGGAUUAAAAUUAUAUAAAAAUCAUUUUCUAAUUCCUUAUAUCGAGAGAGAAAUCAAUGUUGAAAAUUUUUAGGUUUAAGUUUUAAUCUAAAUUCUUCUUUUGAUUAAAACAUCAAACAUUUUAUGUGUUUAAUUCAAAAUUGAUUCUUGAAUCAUGUUUCUCAUGUGUUAUAAAGUUAAAUCAAAGCAUUUAAUUAAAUAUUGUUUUAGAUUGGCCAAACACGAAGAAAACAAAAAUGGGUCUAAUAUAUGUUUAUGUAAUUUGAAAAAUUUUAACCAACUGAUCUUAUUUUUAUCAUUUUUUUAUACUUUUUUAUCAAGGGUUUGAUAGAAAAAUUGUUUUAUUUUUGGGCACUUCAAUUUGUUGAAAUUACCAAGAAAAUGCAUAAAAAUGAUGGAAAAAUACAAACAAACUAGAAUAGGUAAAUAAUUGUUCCAGUCGCAUUGAGUCAACUCAUUUAGAGGUUAAAAAAAACCAUUCCCCAUGUUGAACAAAAUCCAUGCAUGGUGGGUGGCCAUGUGGCACGUGCAGGCUUGUUUAGCACCAUUUUUGCUUUAGUUUCUUUUGGCAAACUUGGAAUUUUAUUUCUAAUUUUUUAAAAAUUUUAAACUGCAUGAAAAUAUUUGUUUGACAUUCAUGCAUUGCUCAGUAAUUACUAUAUGUUAUACAUAUUAUUUUAUUAUUUUAUUUUGUGAUAAAAUAUUUUGGUAUGAUGAGAGUCUAAUGAUAAUAGGUAUUCUUCCUAAAUAGGCCUUGAUAUUUAUGUGCUUUUAAGUGCAUAGUUGAUUUAGUAAUUAAAAAUUGAUUUUAAAAAAAAUUCAAGACACUAGUUUAAAUUUAAUGCACACUGCUUAUAAGACCUAAUUAGAUACAUUUAGGCUUAGUUUCUUAGUUGGGAUAGUCCAUUGCACACAUUAUGGUUGAGUUUGUAAACUGAGAGUUUUGGGCAAUUAAUGAAAUUUUUUUAUUUGAAAAAAUCUUCAUUAAUUGAUAUCAAUAUUUGGUUGUCAAAGUGGCUCACUUAUUGAAAUUAAUGUAAUAUUUUAUCAUUCUAUGGUUACGGGAUGGUUAUUAAAUUAUCUUAUGCAAUUGACUGCCUAAAGGGGGUUAAUAUAUAGGGUAAUUUGUUUUGGAAUAUAAAUCAUCAUGGUUGAAGUUGUACCAAUCUAGAAAAUCUAUAUGCCUGAAGGGGAUAUAGUUUUUUAAAAGCUAGGACAUUUUCAUAUUAGCUUUACGCGAAAAGUUCCUACUUGCAUAUUACAUUUUUUAUCCAAAAAAGAGUUUGUGGUGAUGUACCAAGACCUUUCAAUAAUUGUUAGUACAUCAUGAACUGUUGCUAUAUAUUUUAUGAUAUUGCCAUUUACUAAUGUUGCAUUUUUAUCUUGAAUGUUGACUUUUAUUAUCAAUAACAAUAAGCCACUAUUAAAGUUCUUCACGGGUCUAAUUAUAAAAAAUGGAAUGAAGAUUUGAAUUUUGCUUUAGUUAUAAAUGAGAUAGACGUAGCCUUACGUUUUUCAAAGCCUGCUAAUUUUACUAAUGAAAGCAUUGCUAAACAAAAGGAAUAUUUUCCCAAAUGGGAAAAGACAAAUCAUAUGCGUCUAUAUGUCAUUAAUAUUUCUAUUUUUGAAUACCUUUUGAGUGAGUUGGAUACCACAAAAAUUGCUAGGGAUCUUUACCAUGCUGAAGGCAAUAAAUACCAAAAAUCCAAUAAGUGUAAAGCUAAGAACCUUAUGAGUGAGCUUACAAGUAUAAGGUACGAUAGUGUUGGGAGUGCUAGAGAUUUCAUCAUGAGAAUGGUCCACAUUCAAACCAAAUUGACUUCUCAUGAAAUUGACCUUCCUGAUAAAUUCAUUGUUCAUCAUGCCCUCAAUGCCUUACUUUUGGAGUUCACUCAGAUCAAAACUGUCUAUAAUGCUAUGAAUGAGGUUUUGAAGUGUUAAUGAUCUUAUUUAAAAGUUUGUCUCUAAGGAAGAAAAACUAUAGAAAGAAAAGGGUGAGAGUGUUUUUUUUGCUACAUACUCCAAAUAUAAUUACAAAAGAAAUUAUGAGAAAUCUGGGAAAUUUGUUCCUAAUGCUCACAAGAAAGUUCAAGAAAACAAGGGAUAAGGUAGUGGUCAAACUAAAAAGGUAAGAGGGCUUAAAGCUGUCAUUAAGAAAGAUAUCAAGUGUUUUUCUAUAAAAAGAAUGUCAUAUGAAACAUGAGUACCCUAAAUAUCAAGCUUGGUUAAAGAACAAGAAUAAACAAGAAGGUAACUCACUAGCUCUCGUUUGUUUUAAAUCCUAAUUUGUCAGUGGCCUACAAAAUUCCUAGUAGGUUGAUAGUGGUGCAACUAUUCAUAUUGUUGUUACCUUUGCUAGGAUUCAAAAACAAAUUAAAGCUAAGUGAAAAAGGGGCAACACAUAGAGUUUGAAACAAUACUUAAGUAGCCAUUAAUUAUGUAGGAACAAUAGGCUUAAAUUUAGAAUCUGGCUUUGAACUUAUUUUGAAAAAUGUUUUUCAUACACCUUCAUUUAAGAGGAAUUUGAUUUUAGUUUUUAUUUUGGACAAACAUGGUUAUUAUUUUGGCAUUGGAUAUGGAAAAGUUGACUUGUUUUAAAAUUCAAAUGUUGUUGGUGAAUUUAAACUAAUUGACAAUUUAUAUAAACUAUGCUUAGCCUGUAAUGAUUAAUAUAGUUGCAAUAAUGUUGAAAAAAUAGUGACUAAAAAAUCUUUGACUAAAGAAAUUCAUUAUUGAUGAAUUUAAACUAAUUCACAAUUUAUACAAACCGUGCUUGGCAUAUGAUAAUUAAUAUAGUUGCAAUAAUGUGGAAAAGACAGUAUCUUAAAAAUCUCUAACUAAAGAAAAGUCUUUUUUGUUGUGGGGUAAAAGGUUAGGUUACAUUUCUAGUGAAAAAGUGCAAAAAUUGAUAAAAAAUAAUACUUUACCUUCCCUUGGUUUUGAAAAGUUAGACACUUAUGUUGAUUGUAUAAAAUAUAUACUAACUACGACUAAGAAAAAUGAGGCAAUUUGCAAUUUUGACCUUUUGAAAAUUAUGUACACUAAUAAUAGUGGACCUCUUAUAUCUAUCUUUGUGGUAACAUAUAUUUUGUUACUUUUAUUUAUGACUAUUUUCGCUAUGGGUAUCUUUACAUAAUUGAUGAAAAUUGAAAUGCUUUUAAAAAAUUUAAAAUUUUUAAACUGAGGUAGAGAAAUAAUUAGGGAAAGUUAUCAAAGUCAUUAGCUCCAAGGUGGUGAGUAUGAUGGUAGAUAUGGCGAAACUAGAUAACAUAUGAGACCAUUUUCUAAAUACUUACAAGAAUGUCAGAUUUUUCUUAAUAUGCUAUGCUUGGUAGUCUUGAACAUAAUGGUGUGAUCGAAAGGCGAAAUCACACCCUUAAGGUAUGAUAAGAAGCUUAUAUGUAGGACUAAUCUUCUUAAGUCUUUUUUAGGUGAAUGUAUUAAAACCGUCUUGUAUAUACUUAAUAGAGUACAUAGUAAAUUUGUUCCUAAAACACCUUUUGAAUUGUAGACUGGUAGGAAACCCCAAUUGAACCAUUUUAAAGUUUGUAGAUGUCUUGCAGAAGUUAGAAUCUAUAACCUUUUGAAAGCAAGAUUGAACCUAGGAGUACUCGUUGCUUUUUUUAGAGUAUCUAGAUCGCUUCAAGGGAUAUAAGUUUUAUUAUCCUACACAUGGAACUAAGUUUGUAGAGUCACAUGUGGUAAAGUUUCUUGAACUAAAUGUUGCUGAUAAGAGUGUGAUAGAGGCUGUGGAUAAUCGUGAAUCUAUUAGACAUAUCUCCAUCACUUUACCUAUAAUACAGUGCCAUAUUAUGCUAGUGGCCAUUGAAAUAAGAGAUCAAGGCAAUAGGACAUAAACCUUUUUUCUACUGAUGUACUUUAGUUCAAAAGAAUGAUAUUGAAAUACCGUUUUGGAGAUCUUUCAAACAAAAAAGAUCUGACAUCUCUAAUGAUUAUGUAAUUUAUCAUUGAGAGAGUGACUAUGACAUUAGUCAUGUUGUUAACCUUGUGACUUUUGGUGAAACUAUUAGCAGUCUGUAAUUUAAUGUAUGGAUGGAUGUAAUAAAAAAUGAGAUAAAUUUUAUGGCUCAAAAUGGUGUUUAAGAGCUUGUUAAAUAGCCAAAAGAGUAUAAAUCCAUUGGUUGUAAAUAUGUGCAUAAAACCAAGAAAGGUUUUAAGGAAAAAUUUGAGAUAUUUAAAGUUAAAUUGGUGGCAAAGUGAUUUAUUUAAAGGGAAAGAGUAGAUUAUAACAAAACGUUUUUACUAGUGUCUUCCAAAAAUUUUUUUAGGAUUGUUAUGGCCUUGGUAGUACACUUUAACUUGAAGCUUUAUUACAUGGAUGUAAAGACGGCUUUUUUCAAUGGUGAUUUUAGAGAAAAGGUUUAUAUAAUGCAACCAAAAAGAUUUCAAGAAUCUGAGAAGGACCAUUUAGUAUGUUGACUUAAAACGUCAAUCUAUGCCCUUAAAUAAGCUUCUAAGUAAAGGUAUCUAAAAUUUGAUAAGAUAGUUACUUCCCUUGGUUUUGAGGAAAAUAAAGUUGAUCAAUGCAUAUACCUUAAAAUUAGGGGGAGUAAAUAUAUCUUUCUUGUGUUAUAUGUGGAUGACACUUAGUGGCUUGUAAUGAUAUUGGUUUGUUACAUGAAAUUAAGCAGCUAUUCUCCAAGACUUUUGAUAUGAAAAACCUUAGGAAUGCUUCCCUUGUUCUUGGGAUUGAAAUUCAUAAGAUAGGUCUCAAAAUUUGUUGGGACUAUCGCAAAGGUCUUACAUUAAUCGUGCGCUUAAUAAAUUUAACAUAUAGAGCUGUAAGGCUAGGAAUGCACUCAUUGUCAAAGGGGAUAUACUUAACCUUAUUCGUGCCCAAAAGAUGAUUUGGAGAAAGAAUCCAUGAAGAACAUACCAUAUUCUAGUGUAGUUGGGAGUCUCAUGUAUGCUCAAGUUUGCACUAGGCUAGAUAUUGCUUUUGCAGAGUGAGUUCUUGAGAGAUAUCUUUCAAAUCCUAGUAUGGAUCACUGGGUUGCUAUUAAGAAAGUGAUUAGGUGUUACAAAAGACAAAAAAACCAUAUGUUGGUAUACAAAAAAGUGGACAAUCUUCAGAUAAUAGGGUAUAUAAAUUCUAACUUCACUAGUUGUUCGGAUGACAUGGAGUCCACUUCAAGGUAUUUUUUUAUGUCGGCUGUAAAAGCUUUGUCUUGGAAAUGUGUGAAACAAACACUUUUAUUUUUCUCCAUUAUGCAAGUUGAGUUUGUUGCCUGUGAUAGAGCUGCUACAUAGGCAAUUUGGCUUAUGAAUUUUAUGUCAAGCCUUUGUAUUAUUAAUUCCAUCUCCAGACCUUUAAAGAUUUAUUGGGAUAAUAGGUCUACUAUGUUGUUUUCUAAGAACAACAAGAGCACUAGUGGCUUAAACAUUUGGAGAUAAUAUAUUUUAAAGUUAGGGGUUUUAUGAAAAAUUGUAAGAUUAUUGUCAAACACAUUAAGACUAACAACAUGAUUGUUGAUCCUUGGACUACAGGAAUAUGACCUAUAGUAUUUGGUAAACAUAUUGAGAACAUAGGUAUUUUAGGGUCUUUUGAUGUAAUUUAUUAUUAGGAGUAUAUCAUUUGUCUUUCAUACUCACACAUCAUGGUUUGUCUCUAUGUUGGACCUUUCCCUUUAUGCUUGGAAUAUGUAUGUGAUAUUUAAUUCUAUGCUUGAAUGAUGAGAAUCAUUGGUUGACAUUUUAUGUUGUUAUUUUACUUUGUUAGUAUAUGUACACAUGGAAAAUUAAAGUUUAUUGUAUACAUUGUGAAAUCUUAAGACUUGGGGUCUGUGUCAAGUAUGACUAUUUUUAUCACUUGGAUAACUAAUAAUCUUUUAAAAAUAUAUAAUAUAAAUUAUAUUACAGGAUACAUUGUUACAUUAUAAGGUUUGCUUACAUUGAUGGUUUUUCUUUUUGACAUGUGAUAAAAUUCUUAAAAUUUCUCUAUAACGACAUAUAAGACAUUUCUUAAUUUUAGGCUAUUUAUCAAGAAAUAUAUAUUUAAAAAACUAUUUAGCUAUCGAAAACUUUCAAAUUUUAGAUGUAAGUAUUAUGGGAUAUGUAAAUGCCUAUAUAUAUAUAUAUAUAUAUCAUUUUUUGACACAUAGGAAUUUACCACAAAAAAUUAACUUAUAUGGAUAUCUACAUGGAUAAUUUUAAAAUUGUUAACAAUAAAAUCUAAUUUAGAUAUAUUUUUAUUAAAAAUAAAUUUCCUAAUAAUAUAAACAUAUUUUUUAAAUAUAAAAAUCUCAAUUGUAAUAAUAUAUUAUCUCUAAAAUGGGUUUAUAAAGUAAUUCUAUUUGAUAAAUUAUUUAAAUUCAACAUGAAAACCUAUCAAAUAUGAAAAACUUUGUAUAAAUCUUGAAUUCAAAAAAUGUCAAUUCUAGAAUUUUUCUUUUUUUUUUUUUAAUUUAAUCAUUUUUCAAGAAUAUAUGGACCAUAAAUUUUGAAUGUAUAUUUCGAUUAAAAUUGAUUAGAUUUGUUUUUUACUAUUUCUAAUUUGAAAGAUAUGUUUCAUUUUUUAAUUCUCUUAUCAUUAGAUUAUUUUAAAAAUUUAAUCACAGCCACAGUCACUAAUCAUUUUAUCAUUACCAUUGCCAAGUUUGCAUCUGAAACAGCAACGAAAGGCAUCGAUGAAAUUUUUUAUUGUUUCAUUCGAAUCACAAUCACCCAUCAUUUUAUUGUUUGAGAAGAAUCAUAAUUUGUAACUAAAUCACUUAUAUGUUGUGACGUAAUCGAUUGAUUUAUGUUUCGUUAAAUGAUUUACAUGUAGAGCUAGAGAUCCAAUUGUUUAGAGAAAGAGCUAAGGACAAAGAACUUCUCUUUUAUGUACAUUUAUCUUUAUAUUAAUGUCAUUUGUUUUUCAAAUUAAGCAGUAAUUUGGUAAUUAAUAUUAUUAUUACUUGUAGUAAAAACCCAAAAAUUAUUUAGGUAUGAGACAUCAUUUGAACUCUAAAGGUCAACACUAAGGAAUGAUUAUUGAUUACAUGUAUAACAAUUUCAAGUCCCCUUUUAGGUUUUUUCAUGAUUGAAAAAGUUAAAUAUAAAAAUAUUUCAUGUACUAUACAUUUUCUGUUAGUUUAGUACUUUAAGAAACAAAAUUAUCAAUUUGGUUCUUUAGCUUUCAUUUCGCCAUUUACUUUGAUACCUCGUACUAAAGCAAUUACUCAAUUUGUCAACAUGGCAUUAACAUCAAAUAAGAUACUGACAUGUAUCAAAAAGUUCAGUUAGUGCCACAUCAUUAAUUACCACAUCAAUAGUAAAAAAAUUCAACAAAAUUUAAAAGUCUAAAAUAUUUUUAAGAAUUAAAAAAAUUAAAUAAAUAUGAAAUCUUAUUUGAACAUAAAAUUUAAAAAAUAUCAAAACUUAAAAAAAUUCAUAAAAUCUCAAAAUUUUGACAAAAAAUAAAAAAAAUCCAAAAAAUUCUAAAAAAUUAAAAAAAGGUUCACAAAUAAUAAAAAAUCUAGAAUUUUUUAACCAAAUUUGAAAAUUCAAAAAAUAUCAAAUUUUUAUUAAAAUCUAAAAUUUUAUAAAAUAUUUUCAAAAAUUUUGAAAAAAUUAAAAAAUUAAAAAAUAUGAAAUAUUCUAAGAAAUUCACUAAAAAUUAAAUUUUUUUGAAAAAUAUAAAAUAAAAAACUUAAAAUUUUAAUAAAAAUCCAUAAACAUUUAAAAAAAUGUAAAAAAUCACAAAAUAUAUAAGAAAAUUAAAUUGUAAGAUUAAAAAAAUGAAGAAUUUUCCUAAUUUAUAAGAAUUACAAUUAUUUUAAAAUUUUUAGAUAUUUUCAAAAAAUUUUCGAUCUUUUACUUUCAAUUUUUUUAAGCUUUAGAGAUUUUUUUUUUUUUAAAUUAUGAAAACUUUAUGUUUACUAAAAUUAUCAUUUUUAUUAAAAUUUCAAAUUUUAUUUUAUUUUUCUAAUAAAAUUUUGAGAUUUUUUUGAAUUUUUUAAGUUUUGAUAAUUUUUUAAAAAUUUUUAAAAAUUUUAGUUUUUGUUUUUAAAAUAAUUUUUUAAAAUGCUUAAAUAUUUUUAAAAAUAUUUAAAUGUUUUUUAGAAUUUUCUUUAAAUUCGGAUGUAAUAUUGAUGAUUUGACAUUGAUUAGAUUUUCCUAGCAUGUGUUAAUAUCUUAUUAGAUAUUUAUAUCACGUCAAUAAAUUGACUGAUGACGCUAGUCUCCGAUAACAAAGUGAUGAAAGAAUGAAAAUUAGAGUGCCAAACUAAAUAUUUUAUUUUUUUGGUGCCAAAUUGAUAAAAAAAUGCAUAAUAAAAGGGUUAUUUUUAUAUUUAACUAUUUUGGAAAGAACAAUAUUACCUUAAAGAGUACGUAUUAUUUACCUUCUAUAGUUAAAAUUAUAUCAAUUAGUAAUCAAAUUUUUAUUAUUUAUCUCAAUCAUUCUUAAUUAAAUAAAUUUUUAAUUUUUAAUAAUGCACUUUCAUCAUAAAUACAAAUAAAUAGCCCUUUAUUGUGGUGGAGUAUUGGUUUGAAGAUCUAUUUCACUACUUUUGUUUUGUUUUGGUUAUUUUUUAUUUUUUUAUUUGAUCCGUUUGUUUGUUUCUCAUUCUUUCAUUUAUUUUUUAUAACUGAUUUUUUUAUAAUUCUUCAAUAAAUAAAAUUUAUUUUUAAUUCAUAAAUGUUACUUAUUGAUGAAUAAUAUUAAUAAAAUUAUCAUGCAUAUUGCCAAAAUCAUACUAAGUUUCUGAAAAGCAAUCAAAUUCUUUGCUUUUUUUUACACAUUUAUCUUUUGGAAUCAUAACUACGUGCAACUAUAAUGAGAUACGAAAAUUCUCAUUCUUUUUAUCAAUUAAGUAAUCUAAUUUAUAAAAUGAAUAACUCGUGAGUACGGGUAUAUUAUUGACACCUCUAAAUAGCAAUGCUCUCCUUAUUAAUUCGGCAGAUUGGAUACAUCACGUUCCAAACCAAGUAGAUCAGGAAAGGUUCAAUGUUUUUCUAACAAUUGCUUGGGCUAUUUGAUACUCCAUAAUCAAAUUUUAGGGACAGGAAUGAGAAAUAUGGAAAUUCUUACACUCCAAGGAAUAAUAUAUUCCAAACAUAGGCUUACUAUUUUCUGUAGGUUUUUUUUUUUUUUUCAAUCCUUUUUAGAGAUCCCAUUGUUUCUGAGACAGCAAUAUUUUUCUUAUUGGUGUGUAGAGGCUAUGGUUUCGGAGUCAAACCCCCUCACGCCUAAAACUUUGUCUUUUUGUUUUAUUAAUUAAAAAAAUGAAACCGUGUCAAAAGGUUACUUUGUAUUUUAAUAGUAUAUAAAUAACCAAGUCUGCUUCCUUACCCUCAUUCUUAUCUUUUUCUUCCUCUACAACUACUUUUUCCAUUCUUUCUCCUGUCAUAAGCCACAACAACAAUAAAAACAGCCACUAAUCUUUGUUUCCAGGUGGGAAAUGGAGUUUGAGCAACCCAUGUUUAGAGAAACAACGGAAGCCCUGAAAUUGAAGGCAGCAAAUGAUAGUAAGACUUCAACCAGGGACAGGCAUAAGUCGCCAGGAUCAACAUGCCGUUCCUAUGUUUCCAGCAAACUCUUCCAUGGCUCGGAAUCAUUCAGGGCUCUAGAGAUGGGUGUGCCAAAGGUUGACUCCACCGAGAAAAAGCUGUCUUCGCUACGAUCUCAAAUCAGUGGUGGUGAUGCAGAAUUUGACUCUCCUUUUGGAACUAGAAAACUUACUUAUGCUGAUCAUACUGCAUCGGGUCGCUCUUUUCACUAUAUCGAAAACUUCAUCGUCACCAAUGUUCUGCCAUUCUACGGUAAAGGUUUUUUUUCUUCUGAUCUUCAAUUGUGAUACUCUGAUUUAAUUAACAAAAGUGAUGGCGUCAUUUCCGAGUAUAAGAUAUAUAUAUAUAUAUAUAUAUAUAUAUAUAUUGGGGUUUUAGUAUUUGUCAGCUGAUCUUGGUUGGUUCGUGCGUAGGUAACACUCACACGUCUGAUAGUUACGUCGGGCACAGGAUGACGAAAAUGGUGCAUGAAGCGUCAAACUACAUUAAAAGAAGCCUAGGUGGCGGUCAAGAUGAUGCAAUUCUGUUUUGUGGCUCAGGCACCACGGCUGCUAUUAAAAGGCUACAAGAAGUUAUGGGGAUUACGGUACCAUCAAUUUUGAGGGACAUGGUAAUAAAUUGCUUACCUAAUGAGUAUCGAUGGGUAGUUUUUAUUGGCCCUUACGAGCACCACUCCAACUUGCUUUCUUGGCGUCAAAGCCUUGCUGAAGUUGUUGAGAUUGGUUUAGAUGAGAAUGGGUUCAUAGACAUUGAAGCACUAAGAAAACAGCUUGAGCUGUAUAAAUACGCCAAUAGGCCUUUGCUUGGCUCAUUUUCAGCUUGUAGUAAUGUGACUGGGAUUCAAACAGAUACUCGAGAGAUUGCCAAACUUCUUCAUGAGUACGGAGGUUUUGUUUGCUUUGAUUUUGCAGCAAGGUACACAGUAAGAAUUUUCAUUUUUUGUUGUCAAGCUUUUAUAUUCGAGGUUGUCAGAAUUUAAACUUUGAUUGUUAAAAUUAAAAGUUUAAUAUUUUAAUAACAGAUCUCACAAUUAAUUAUUAGCCAAGUUUAAGUAUUAUGUUAAUGUUAUAAAGCAAUGAGAAGUUGAUUUUUGAUUGUGCUUAUCAUUUUGUUUUUGUGGAUAGUGGUCCUUAUGUGGAGAUUGAUAUGAGGUCAGGGGAGAUUGAUGGAUAUGAUGCCAUUUUCCUAAGCCCACAUAAGUUUCUAGGUGGCCCUGGAACGCCCGGUAUCCUUUUAAUGAGCAAGGCUCUCUACCGGCUGGGAUCUUCUGCUCCAUCAACUUGCGGAGGUGGAACUGUUAAUUAUGUCAAUGGCUUCAAUGAACAGGUAAUUACUCUCAAAUUUAAAAUCAAUUGAUAAUAAAUGAAGAGAUUUUUAUUUUAUUUUUGUGUUCAGAUUAAUUCAAUUUAAUAGAUGAAAGAUUUUAUUUUUUGUUCACCUCUCUACCAUAAAAUGGAAAUUUGUAUUUUCUUUACCUUUUUCUUAUUCUUGCUUAUAUAUCCCAUUUUGUAAGAAAUUUUGGUUUCUUUCGUCGGCUGGACGACAUAAAGAAUGAUUGGGUAGCUGUCAGGCUUUUUGGAGUUUAGAAAUAAAUUCCUGAUUCAGAUGGAGCGGGUUUAGACAUAGACUAGUGAAUGAUAAGUGUCUCUAAAAAAAUUUUUUAUUUUAAUUACAAUUUUAGAAGAAAAGAGAUUUCCAUGCACGACAGUGCCAGUAGAAAAAUAUUCUAGAGAAUGAUAAGUUAUCAUGAUAUUAAUCAGAUUCAUUCCCCAGCAUUUAGGGAAGCAGGUAUGCAAUUUAAUAUGUGGUAAAAUGGGGUAUUUAUUUUGCAGGACACAAUAUAUGUAAGUGACAUAGAAGAAAGGGAAAAUGGAGGGACUCCUCAAAUAAUUCAGAUUGUUAGAGCAGCAUUGACUUUUUGGGUAAAAGAAUAUAUUGGUUAUGAAGUGAUUGCAAAGCAGGAGAAGUCGUACAUAAAUCAAGCAUUGGAGAGGCUUCUCCCAAACCAAAACAUAAGGGUUUUAGGAAAUGCAAGCACCGAGACCCAGAGACAAGCCAUACUGUCUUUCCUCAUCUACUCCACAACCAACGAUGGUAACAAUGUUGACGAGGCAAAGGAAAAGGGUAGGGAACUUUUCGUGUGGGGAGAGACUGGGAACAAGAGGGAUAAACCUCUCCAUGGCCCUUUUGUUGCAACCAUCCUAAAUGAUCUGUUUGGCAUCCAAGCUCGAGGUGGGUGUGCUUGUGCUGGACCUUAUGGCCGCAGUUUGCUUGAUAUUGAUCAGACUCGAUCCCUUGCGUUCAGAGAAGCUAUUAAAAGGGUAUCAGUACAAAAUUUUCCUUUUUUUUUUUUGACCAAAUGAAAGAGAAGUAAAAUAUAUUUCAACUUAUCUAAUGCCAAUUGCAAAGUUUGAUUGCAGGGCUACAUAGGAGCAAAACCUGGAUGGACAAGAGUCAGCUUUCCUUACUACAUGUCAAAUGAAGAGUUUGAAUACAUUCUUGCGGCGUUGGAGUUCGUAGCCAUCUAUGGCCAACGAUUUCUUCCUCUAUACCAUUUCAACCUGAGAACUGGCAGCUGGACUUUCAAGAAGAAGGCGCUUAAGGACCUGGUAGGAAAGGAGAAUAGUCACGGCAUCCAUGUCUUGCCUUUGGCUAGUGCUUUUCAGACAAUAAGCUUGGACCGUGACAAAAUUGAUGCAGGAAAGAAUGAUACUCAUGUCAUGCUUCAGUAUGCAUCAUAUUUGAAAGGUGCCAAACGAGUCGCUGCUCUCCUUCCCAAGUUUCCAUCUCGAAGGAGGUUUCACGAAGAUUUAAAUCUUAACCUCCUCCCUUUCAGAGUCUAACUAUACUAUCAAAAAUGGAUUCGAGUUAAUAAUCAAAUUUAUCUAUCUUUCCUCACUUCAUUGGAAUAUUUUCACAAAGCAAAAGCAGAAAUUAAACUAGCUCAAGCCUGUCAUGUUAGCAGACUCUCCAAUUACCUGAAAUCUGUUGCAAUGCCUGACAAAUUGGCUGAUACGUAAUCCAAUCUGGUCAAGACUUGUCUAAUAAUGGUGUCUUGCCCCAAAAGUAAGAUGUAACACCGUUAUAUUAUCUUCAAAUAAAACCUUAAAGUAAUACGAAAUUUUUUCUCUUAACCAUUUUAAAAUUCUUUAAUAAAAAUAAUUUGCCCAAGUAAAUUUCAUAAAUUUAAUCUAACUAAUGAUACAUCUCUAUAUAUUCAAAGGUUAAUUAAUAAAAAACAUAUAAAAUAAUUUCAUAAGAUCUCACUAGCUAACAAUAUUUCUAAUGUCCAAGUAAUAUUUUCAAUUUGAUCUUCUAGCUUUUAAGAAGACUAAACAAACUUAUCAGUUACUCAUGUGUAAAGAAAAGGUAGAAAGAGAAUGAACAAAUUACAGCUAAGCUAGUAUAGGAUCAUACACUUUAUCGGAUCAAACAUCGGUUUCAUACAUAUCAUAUAGAUAAUUCAAAACAUUUGUCAAAUAAUACAUCAAAAUAUUUCAAAAAUCAACAUUAUGUCAAAUAUUUUGUAGAUCAUAAAUGAAAAUCAAAAUAGAUCAAUUCAUUAAUCAUUGCAAAAUAUGUUACCAUUCAAAUAUCAUAAUCAAAUCAAAUCAUGAAUCAAUCUUUAAAAUCAUCAUCAUCAUAAAUCAUCAUUAUCAUUAGUUUAUCAUUAACUAUGAUCACUAUUAUAAUCCGUAACAUUGGCCAUAUCGAUAAUUUUAUCCUUAUGAUCUUUACUAACUAUUAUAACCUGUUGGCCAAACCAUUACACUAACUACUAUGACCCACUAGUCAUACCAUUUGAUCGUUACUAUGUUAACUACUAUAACUAGUUUUGGUAUCGAUAAUCCCACUUCUCAAUAUGUAAAAUAUGUAGCUAUUAUAAAAUUAUUCAUUAAACAUAAAUCAAUUUCUCAUUUCAUUUAUAAACAUGAUCCAUCAUUUAUAUAGCAAAAUGUAAAAUAAUCAUAUGCUCACCCUAUUUUCUUAUAUCGAAAAUAAAGAAAUAAAUUUCAUUUAUUUAAAACAUACAUAUAUACAUAAGUUUCAAAACAAGUAAAGUGUAUGAGAUUCUACUUAUUUCUUUUCGGUUCCACCACUUAGUUUUUCCCUCAAAAUAAUUAAUGGGCUAUUCAAAAUCAUUUCAAUAGAACAGAAAUUAAUCAAUCCAUUUUAAGACCAUUAAUACUAAAAACAACUAAGUUAUAUAAAAGUUAACUAACUAAUUUUGGUAACCUGAGCUACUUUCACUAAAAUGACCCUAUCUUAAGAUAUCCAACUCAAAAUUAAAAUCUUUUUAGUAUAUUAAACUCGACAAAAUUUUUAACCAUAUAUGGCCCACCUUGUAAUUUCUUAUAGAUUAAUUGUAAUAACUUUUGCAAUCUAUUCAUUGCUGCCAUCAGAUAGUAUGUAUAUCUUCUAAUAAAAAUUAUAUAUUUAUUCAUAAAAGACUCUAAAUUCAAUUCAGCUUGUUUAAUCAAAAAGUAGACUAAAAAAAGCUUUUCAAACGUAUAUGGCCCACCUCAUAAUUUAUUGUAGAUUAAUUGUAAUAAUUUUUGCAAUCCAUGUCAUAUGCUACUACCAACAAAACAUGUAUAUAUUCUAAUCAAAAUGAUAUAUUUAUUCGUAAAAGACUCCAAAUUCAAUUCAGCUUGUUUCAUUGGAAUGUAUACUCAAUAACCUUUUUAAACAUGUAUGGCUCAAUUCGUAAUUCAUUGUAUAAAAAUUAAGACAAAUUUUCUAAUUCCUCAUUGCUGCUGUUGUCAGGCAGCCUAUAUAUCAUUAAGUAAAAAUUAGACAACUCUUAAUAGAAAACUUAGAUUCGAUUUACAUUUGUUUCAUUAGAAAGUAGAUUCAGUAAGUUUUCCAACAAUGUAUAAUACUUAAAGUAAUAAUUUAUCCAUUAAUACAAAUUCCAUUUUGAUUCACUUUUGCAAAUCAUAACAUCUCAUCCAAAAAUAGAAUUUCUCCUUCAAUCUUUAGGAUGAAAAAAUAUGAAAAAGGCAUAACAUAUAGCCAAUUGAAAGAACAAUGUCUCAAUAUAACUUACACGAUUUUAGUAAACUACUUCCUGUAUCAUAUGCUAAGAUCAAGGUAUAAAAUAAUUUCAGUAUUGAAUAUUUAAAUUUCUUUACCUUAUAUAUUCAAUAGGCAUUUUAGACUUCCAGAACCUAAUAUCAAUCCUAUAGUCAGCCAAUUUGAAAAUUUGUGUGAGGCUUAUUAACAUAAAUAAAAAAACAGUAUACCCAAGGGUACACAGAGAAAAUCAACGAACUUGUCUAUUGUAAACUAAAGGUUAUUCCUAAUUUUGAUACUACUUUCCUGUUUCUUUCCAUCAUUUGGUUCUCAAUAAACAAAAUGAUAUCCAAGUUCUUUGAAAAUCCCUAGAGCUGAUGGUUGUUACUCAAGUUCAUUUGGUUUUAGGACAAUGCACCUGUUCUUCAAUCUUAUUUACUGAUGUUUGAAGAAAUGAACAAUAAUUGCUGUAAAACAACAUAAAAUCAUUGUGCUACACCACCAUUCUGUAAUAUAAUCCAUCAAUCUAGGUCACGAAUAAAAAGAAUUGAGGAAUUCAAUUCACACAGUACCUUAUGGGUGAAUUUGAACAUACCACUCUAUCCUAAUCCUUUAUUAGCAUGUAUGAUGUCAUGUAUAUGCAAUCACGCCAAAUAGCCUUUUAAAAAGCUAUCACAGGAACCCCUCAUAAUAUGUGAAUCGCAAAAUCUUAGUACUUGAUUCCAAAAUCAAUUAUAAAAUAACAAAUAAUAUCAAUAUACAUAGAUAUAAUAAUCUUAUGCCAUGUUUGGUAUAUAAGAUUAUAACUUGAUAGGGUACAAUGAUAUUAUAAAUAUAAUUAGAUUAAAUAAUGUUAUCUUGUUUUGUGUUUGCUAUAUGUAAAGAUUAGGAUAGGAUAAUUUAUUUAUUUGUCAAAAUUGUCUUUAUUCAAAGUUUAUAUAAAUUAUUAAAGUAAUUUUUAAGGGUAUAAUUGAACCUGUAAGUUUAAUCUAUAAAUUAAAAGUUAUCCUCUCUACAUUGAGAGGAUUGAAUAAUCCUAUACCAAAAAGAUAUUAAUCCUCAUUGCAAACCUUACGAAUAUUCUUCAUAUUCUAUCAAUAAUCAUAUGUAUCAAAUAUGACCUUAAUCUACUAUUUUAGUAGAACUACUCUAACACAGAGAGUCGUCUCUUAUGAAGUCCAGUUCAACAUCCAAAUUUUUGUUUAGAAAACAAUCUUUCCACCACCAUUGCUCUUUAUAUAGUCUUCAUCUUUGCUUUAUAAACUCCCUAUUGAUGUCCUAUUAGGAUAUAGAGCGAGAAUUGUUCAUAAGUGGGCUAUCAUUAAUAGUUGGUUUUAAUAAUUUAAUAAAAUUGGUUGAUGUGUUUACUCUUAAUAUGAGAUAAGCAUGAGAGUUUAAAUAAUUUAAUGUGAUUACUUAAAUGUAAGAUUUGCACAUCUUACUAAAUCAAUCUGGUUUGAAGGUUUUAUAGACCUUUAGUCUAGUAAGUGUUUGAUGAUGAGGCUUUAAGGGUUUUCAAUUAAAAUAGGUUUAAAUAACUUUUUUUUUUUUUACUUUUAUACGAGUUACGGUUACUGCUCAUUGAGUGUCACCAAUAAGAGAAGAGUGACAAGGAAGACCUAGGCACUUUAAGGAUUGUUUUGCUUCGGUAUAUUUAUCAUGACCACCCAAAUAAGUAUAACGAAUCUCUUUAUUUGUUAUGAUGUUCUAAUUAUCAAACAAUGAUCUUGGGUUAAUGUUUACAUAUGGUAUCAGAGCUAUCAUUAUGUGAUAUUAGGACCCUAAAAUCAUGAUUUGUAAUUGAUUUUUGAACAAACAACAUAUUUAGGGUGAAAUUACAUUGUUGUCAAAAUUUUAAAUUUUUGUUCUUUAUUUUUUGAAAUUGAUUUAGAAUUUUAAUUUCUCUUUAAAAAAAGAUUAAAAUUAUAUAAAGAUCAUUUUCUAAUUCCUUAUAUCGGGAGAGAAAUCAAGGUUGAAAAUUUUUAGGUUUAAGUUUUAAUCUAAAUUCUCGUUUUGAUUAAAACAUCAAACAUUUGAUGUGUUUAAUUCAAAAUUGGUUCUUGAAUCAUGUUUCUCAUGUGUUUUAAAGUUAAAUCAAAGCAUUUAAUUUCAUAUUGUUUUAGAUUGACCAAACAAGAAGAAAAUAAAAAGAGGUCUAAUAUGUGUUUAUGUAAUUUGAAAAUUUUUGACCAAUUGAUCUUAUUUUUGUCAUUUUUUUAUACCUUUUUUUCAUGGGUUUGAUAGAAAAAUGGUUUUAUUUUUUGGCACUUCAAUUUGAUGAAAAUACCAAGAAAAUGCAUAAAAAAUGAUGAAAAAAAUACGAACAAACCAGAAUAGGUAAAGAAUUGUUUCAGUCACAUUGAGUCAACCUAAUUGGAGGUUAAAGAAGACCAUUCCCCAUGUUGAACAAAAUCCAUUAAUAGUGGAUGGCGCUUGUGGCACGUGUGGGUACAUCUAGCAUUCAUUCAUUGCUCAUUAAUUACUAUAUGUUAUACACAUGAUUUUAUUAUUUUAUUUUGUGAUAAAAUAUUUUGAUAUGUUGGGAGUCUAAUAAUAGUAAGUAUUCUUCCUAAAUAGGCCUUGAUAUUUAUGUACUCUCAUGUUGAAUUUUAAGUGCAUAAUUGAUUUAGUAAUUAAAAAUUGAUUUUAAAAAAUAUUCAAGAUUCUAGUUUAAAUUUAAUGUACACUGCUUAUAAGACCUAAUUAGAUACAUUUAGGUUUAGUAUCUUAGUUGGGAUAGUCCAUUGCAUACAUUAUGGUUGAGUAUGUAAACUGAGAGUUUUGGGCAAUUAAUGAAAUUUUUCGAUUUGAAAAAAUCUCCAUUAAUUGAUAUUCAUGUUUGGUUGUCAAAGUGGCUCACUUAUUGAAAUUAAUGUAAUGUUUUAUCAUUCUAUGGUUAUGUGAUGGUUAUUAAAUUAUCUUAUGCAAUUGAUUGCCUAAAGGGGGUUAAUGUAUAGGGUAAUUUGUUUUGGAUAUAAAUUAUCAUGGUUGAAGUUGUACCAAUCUACAAAAUCUAUCUGCUCGAAGGGGAUAUGUUUUUUGAAAGCUAGGACAUUUUCAUAUUAGCUUUAUGCGAAAAGUUUCUACUUGCAUAUUACAUUCUUUAUCCAAAAUGGAGUUUGUGGUGAUGCAUCAAGACCUUUCAAUAAUUGUUAGUAUAUCAUGAACUGUUGCUAUAUAUUUUAUGAUAUUGCCUAUUUACUAAUGUUGCAUUUUUGUCUUAAAUGUUGACUUUUAUUGUCAAUAAUAAUAAGCCACUAUUAAAGUUCUUCACGGGUCUAAUUAUAAAAAAUGGAAUGAAGAGUUGAAUUUUGCUUUGGUUAUGAAUGAGAUAGACAUAGCCUUACGUUUUUCAAAGCUUGCUAAUUUUACUGAUGAAAGCAUGGCUGAACAAAAAGAAUUUUUUCCCAAAUGGAAAAAGGCAAAUUGUAUGCAUCUAUAUGUCAUUACUAGGUCUUUUUUUGAAUACCUUUUGAGUGAGUUGGAUACCACAAAAUUGCUAGGGAUCUCUAUCAUACUGUAGGUAAUAAAUAAGAAAAAUCCAAUAAGUGUAAAGCUAAGAACCUUAUGAGUGAGCUUACAAGUAUAAGGUAUGACAGUGUUGAGAGUGUUAAAGAUUUCAUCAUCAGAAUAGUCCAUAUUCAAACCAAAUUGACUUCUCAUGAAAUUGUCCUUCCUGAUAAAUUCAUUGUUCAUCAUGCCCUUAUUACUUACCUUACUUGUUGACUUUACUCAGAUCAAAACUAUCUAUAAUGCUAAGAAUGAGGUUUAAAAUGUUAAUGAUUUUAUUUAAAAGAAUGUCUCUAAGAAAAACUAGAGAAAGAAAAAGGUGACGGUGUUUUUUUGGCUACAUACUCCAAACAUAAUUAAAAAAGAAAUUAUGGAAAAUCUGGAAAAUUUGUUCCUAAUGCUCACAAGAAAGUUUAAGAAAACAAGGGACAAGGUAGUGGUCAGACUAAAAAGGUAAGAGGUUUUAAAGCCGUCAUUAAGAAAGAUGUUAAGUGUUUUUCCUGUAAAAAGAAUGUCAUAUGAAACAUGAGUACCCUAAAUAUCAAGCUUGGUUAAAGAAAAAGAAUAAACAAUAAGGUAACUCACUAGCUCUUAUUUGUUUUAAAUUCUAUUUUGUCAGUGGCCCACCAAACUCCUUAAUAUAUAUUAGGCUAUUUAUCAAGAAAUAUAUAUUUAAAAAAUUAUUUAGUUAUCGAAAACUUUCAAAUUUUAGAUGUAAGUAUUAUGGGAUAUGUAAAUGCCUAUAUAUAUAUAUAUAUAAUUUUUUGACGCAUAAGAAUUUACCACAAAAAAUUAACUUACAUGGAUAUCUACAUGGAUAAUUUUUCAAUUGUUAACAAUAAAAUCUAAUUUAGAUAUAUUUUUAUUAAAAAUAAAUUUCCUAAUAAUAUAAACAUAUUUUUUAAAUUUAAAAAUCUCAAUUGUAAUAAUAUAUUAUCUCUAAAAUGGGUUUAUAAAAUAAUUCUAUUUGAUAAGUUAUUUAAAUUCAAAAUGAAAACCUAUGAAAUAUGAAAAAUUUUGUAUAAAUCUUGAAUUAAAAAAUGUCAAUUCUAGAAUUUUUCUUUUUUUUAAUUUAAUCAUUUUUCAAGAAUAUAUGUGGACCAUAAAUUUUGAAUACAUAUUUCAAUUAAAAUUGAUUAGAUUUGUUUUUUACUAUUUCAAAUUUGAAAGAUAUGUUGUAUUUUUUAAUUCUCUUAUCAUUAGAUUAUUUUAAAAAUUUAAUCCUAGCCACAGUCACCAAUCAUUUUAUCAUUACCAUUGCCAAGUUUGCGUCUAAAUUAGCAAUGAAAGGCAUCGAUGAAAAUUUUUUGUUGUUUCAUUCCAAUCACAAUCACCCAUCAUUUUAUUAUUUGAGAAGAAUCCUAAUUUGUAACUAAAUCACUUAUAUGUUGUGACGUAAUCAAUUUUAUUUGUGUUUCGUUAAAUGAUUUAUAGGUAGAGCUAGAGAUCCAACUGUUUAAGAAAAGAGCUAAGGACAAAGAACUUCUCUUUUAUAUUAAUUGAUCUUUAUAUUAAUGUCGUUUUUUUUUUAAAUUAAGUAGUAAUUUAGUAAUUAAUAUUAUUAUUACAUGUAGGAAAAACCCAAAAAUUAUUUGGGUAUGAGACAUCCUUUGAACUCUAAAGGUCAACACUAAGGAAUGAUUAUCGAUUACAUGUAUAACAACUUCAAGUCUCCUUUUAGGUUUUUUCAUGAUUGGAAAAGUUAACUAUAAAACUAUUUCAUGUAUUAUACAUUUCUGUCAGUUUAGUACUUUAAGAAACAAAAUUAUCAAUUUGGUUCUUGAACUUUCAUUUCGUCAUUUACUUUGAUACUCAAAUUAAAGCAAUUACUCAACUUGCCAACAUGAUAUUAACAUCUAAUAAGAUACUGACAUGUGUCAAAAAGUUUAGUCACUACCAUAUCAUCAAUUACCGCAUCAAUACUAAAAAAAUUCAAAAAAAAUUUAAAAAUCUAAAAUAUUUUUAAAAAUUAGAAAAAUUAAAUAAAUAUGAAAUCCUUUUUAAUUAUAAAAAUAAAAAAAAUAUGAAAACUUAAAAAAUUUCAUAAAAUCUCAAAAUUUUAACAAAAAGUCCAAAAACAAUCCAAAAAAUUCUAACAAAUUAAAAAAAAAAAAAGGUUCACAAAAAAUAAAAAAUCUAGAAUAUUUUGACAAAAUUUGAAAAUUUAAAAAAAAUUAAUUUUUCUUAAAAUCUAAAAUUUUAUAAAAUAUUUUCAAAAAUUAUGAAAAAAUUAAAAUCAUUUCAAAAAUAUGAAAUAUUCUAAGAAAUUUAUUAAAAAUUAAAUUUUUUUUGAAAAAUAUAAAAUAAAAAACUUAAAAUUUUCAUAAAAAUCCAUAAAAAUUUAAAAAAAUGUAAAAAAAUCGCAAAAUUUAUAAAAAAAUUAAAUUUGUGUGAUUAAAAAAAUAAAGAAUUUUCCUAAUUUAUAAAGAUUACAACUAUUUUAAAAUUUUUAGAUUUUUUCAAAAAAGUUUAGAUCUUUUACUUUCAAUUUUUUAAAAUUUUAGAGUUUUUUUUUUAAAUUUAUGAAAACUUUAUGCUUACUAAAAUUAUCAUUUUUACGAAAAUUUGAAAAAAAAUUUUAUUUUUGUAAUAAAAUUUUGAGAUUUUUUUUGAAUUUUUUAAGUUUUAAUAAUUUUUAAAAAAAUUUUAAAAUUUUUUGUUUUUGUUUUUUAAAAUAAUUUUUUAAAAUGCUUAAAUAUUUUUAAAAAAAUUUUAAAAUUUUUUAGAAUUUUUCUUUAAAUUCGGAUGUAAUAUUGAUGAUUUGACGUUGAUUAGAUUUUCUUAGCAUGUGUUAAUAUCUUAUUAAAUAUUUAUACCACGUCAAUAAAUUUACAGAUGGCGUUAGUCUCCGGUAACAAAGUGAUGACAGAAUGAAAAUUAGAGUAACAAACUAAAUAUUUUAUUUUUUUGGUGCCUAAUUGAUAAAAUAUGUAUAAUAAAUGGGCCAUUUUUAUAUUUAACCAUUUUGGAAAGACCAACAUUACCUUAAAAAGUACAUAUUACUUACCUUAUAUAGUUAAAAUUAUAUCAAUUAGUAAUCAAAUUUUUAUUAUUUAUCUUAAAUCAUUCUUAAUUAAAUUAAAUUAUUUAUUUUUAAUAUGCCACUUCAUCAUAAAUACAAAUGAAUAGCCUUCAAUGUGGUAGAGUAUUGGUUUGAAGAUCUAUUUCACAACUUUUAUUUUGUUUUGGUUCUCGUUUUAGUUUUUUUAUUUGAUCCAUUUGUUUGUUUCUUCAUUCUUUCAUUUGUUUUUUAUAACUGAUUUUUUUAUAUUUUUCAAUAAAUCAAAUUUUAAUUUUAAUUCAUAAAUGUUACUUAUUGAUGAAUAAUCAUUAAUAAAACUAUCAUGCAUAUUGCCAAAACCAUACUAAGUUUCUGAAAAGCAAUCAAAUUCUUUGCUUUCUUUACAAUUUUCACUUUUUAGGGAUCUUAUCUAUCCGUGUAAAUUAUACCAAGAUACAAAAGUUCUCAUUCCUUUUAUCAAUUAAGUAAUCAAAUUUAUAAAAUUAAUAACUUGUGAGUAUGGGUAUAUUAUUGACACCUCUAAAUAGCAAUGCUCUCCUUAUUAAUAUGGCAGAUUGGAUACAUCAAGUUCCAAACCAAGUAGAUCAGGAGAGGUUCAAUGUUUUUCUAACAAUUGCUCGGGCUAUUUGAUACUCCAUAAUCAAAUUUUAGGGACAGGAAUGAGAAAUAUGGAAAUUCUUACACUCAAAGGAAUAAUAUAUUCCAAACAAAGGCUUACUAUUUUCUGUAGGUUUUUUUUUUUCUUCAAUCUUUUUUGGAGAUCCCAUUGUUUCUGAGACAGCAAUAUUUUUCUUAUUGGUGUGUAGAGGUCAUGGUUUCGGAGUCAAAACCCCCUACCGCCUAAAAUUUUGUCUUUUUGUUUUAUUAAUUGAAAAAAUGAAACCGUGUCAAAAGGUUACUUUGUAUUUUAAUAGUAUAUAAAUAACCAAGUCUGCCUUCCUUACCCUCAUUCUUAUCUUUUUCUUAUUCUACAACUACUUUUUCCAUUCUUUCUCCUGUCAUAAGCUACAACUACAAUAAAAAAAGCCAUUAAUCUUUGUUUCCAGUUGGGAAAUGGAGUUUGAGCAACCCAUGUUUAGAGAAACAACGGAAGCCCUUAAAUUGAAGGCAGCAAAUGACAGUAAGACUUCAACCAGGGACAGGCAUAAGUCACCAGGAUCAACAUGCGGUUCCUAUGUUUCCAGCAAACACUUCCAUGGCUCGGAAGCAUUCAGGACUCUAGAGAUGGGUGUGCCAAAGGUUGACUCCACCGAGAAAAAGCUGUCUUGGCUACGAUCUCAAAUCAUUGGUGGUGAUGCAGAAUUUGACUCUCCUUUUGGAACUAGAAAACUUACUUACGCUGAUCAUACUGCAUCGGGACGCUCUUUUCACUAUAUCGAAAACUUCAUCGUCACCCAUGUUCUGCCAUGCUACGGUAAAGGUUUUUUUUCUUCUGAUCUUCGAUUGUGAUACUCGGAUUUAAUUAACAAAAGUGAUGGUGUCGUUUUCGAGUAUAAGAUACAUACAUAUAUAUAUAUAUAUGGGGGUUUUAGUAUUUGUCAGCUGAUCUUGGUUGGUUCGUGCGUAGGUAACACUCACACAUCUGACACUUAUGUGGGGCACAGGACGACGAAAAUGGUGCAUGAAGCGUCAAACUACAUUAAAAGAUGCCUAGGCGGGGGUCAAGAUGAUGCAAUUCUGUUUUGUGGCUCAGGCACUACGGCUGCUAUUAAAAGGCUACAAGAAGUUAUGGGGAUUACGGUACCAUCAAUUUUGAGGGACAUGGCAAUAAAUUGCUUACUUAAUGAGUAUCGAUGGGUAGUUUUUAUUGGCCCUUACGAGCACCACUCCAACUUGCUUUCUUUGCGUCAAAGCCUUGCUGAAGUUGUUGAAAUUGGUUUAGAUGAGAUUGGGUUCAUAGACAUUAAAGCACUAAGAAAACAGCUUGAGCUGUAUAAAUAAGCCAAUAGGCCUUUGCUUGGCUCAUUUUCAGCUUGUAGUAAUGUGACUGGGAUUCAAACAGAUACUCGAGAGAUUGCCAAACUUCUUCAUGAGUACGGAGGUUUUGUUUGCUUUGAUUUUGGAGAAAGGUACACAGUAAGAAUUUUCAUUUUUUGUUGUCAAGCUUUUAUAUUCGAGGUUGUCAGAAUUUAAGCUUUGAUUGUUAAAAUUAAAAGUUUAAUACUUUAAUAACAGAUCUCACAAUUAAUUAUUAGCCAAGUUUACGUAUUGUGUUAAUGUUAUAAAGCAAUGAGAAGUCGAUUUUUGAUUGUGCUUAUCAUUUUGUUUUUGUGGAUAGUGGUCCUUAUGUGGAGAUUGAUAUGAGGUCAGGGGAGAUUGAUGGAUAUGAUGCCAUUUUCCUAAGCCCACAUAAGUUUCUAGGUGGCCCUGGAUCGCCCGGCAUCCUUUUAAUGAGCAAGGCUCUCUACCAGCUAGGAUCUUCUCCUCCAUCAACUUGCGGAGGUGGAACUGUUAAUUAUGUCAAUGGUUUCAAUGAACAGGUAAUUACUCUCAAAUUGAAAAUUAAUUGAUAAUAAACGAAGAGAUUUUUAUUAUAUUUAUGUGUUCUGAUUAAUCCAAUUUAAUGGAUGAAUGAUUUUAAUUUUUGUUCACCUCUCCACUAUAAAAUGGAAAUUUGUAUUUUCUUUACCUUUUUUCUUAUUCUUGCUUAUAUAUCCCAUUUUGUAAGAAAUUUGGGUUUCUUUCUUCAACUGAACGGCAUAAAGAAUGAUUAGCUAGCUGUCACGAAUUUUGGAGUUUAGAAAUAAAUUCCUGAUUCAGAUGGAGCUGGUUUAGAUAUAGACUAGUGAAUGAUAAGUGUCCAAAAAUUUUUUUAUUUUAAUUACAAUUUUAGAAGAAAAGAGAUUUCCAACCAAAUUUCUGAAUGCGGGACGGUGUUAAUAGAAAAAUACUCUAGAGAAUGAUAAGUUUUCAUGAUAUUAAUCAGAUUCAUUCCCCAGCAAUUAGGGAAGCAGGUAUGAAAUUUAAUAUGUGGUAAAAUGGGGUAUUUAUUUUGCAGGACACAAUAUAUGUAAGUGACAUAGAAGAAAGGGAAAAUGGUGGGACUGCUCAAAUAAUUCAGAUUAUUAGAGAAGCAUUGAAUUUUUUGGGUAAAAGAAUAUAUUGGUUAUGAAGUGAGUGCAAAGCAGGAGAAGUCGUACAUAAAUCAAGCACUGGGGACGCUUCUCCCAAACCAAAACAUACGGGUUUUAGGAAAUGCAAGCACCGAGACCCAGAGACAAGCCAUACUGUCUUUCCUCAUCUACUCCACAACCAACGAUGGUAACAAUGUUGACGAGGCAGAGGAAAAGGGGAGGGGACUUUUCAUCUGGGGAGAGACUGGGAACAAGAGGGAUAAACCUCUCCAUGGCCCUUUUGUUGCAACCAUCCUAAAUGAUCUGUUUGGCAUCCAUGCUCGAGGUGGGUGUGCUUGUGGUGGACCUUAUGGCCACAGAUUGCUUGAUAUUGAUCAGACUCGAUCCCUUGCGUUCAGAGAAGCUAUUAAAAGGGUAUCAGUACAAAAUUUUCCAUUUUUUUUUUUUUUUACCAAAUGAAAGAGAAGUAAACUAUAAUUGAACUUAUCUAAUGCCAGUUGCAAAGUUUGAUUGCAGGGCUACAUAGGAGCAAAACCUGGAUGGACAAGAGUCAGCUUUCCUUACUACAUGUCAAAUGAGGAGUUUGAAUACAUUCUUGCGGCAUUGGAGUUCGCAGCAAUCUAUGGCCAACGAUUUCUUCCUCUAUACCAUUUCGACCUGAGAACUGGCAGCUGGACUUUCAAGAAGAAGGCGCUUAAGGACCAGGUAGGAAAGGAGAAUAGUCGCGGCAUCCAUGUCUUGGCUUUGGCUAGUGCUUUUCAGACAAUAAGCUUGGACCGUGACAAAAUUGAUGCAGGAAAGAAUGAUACUUCUAUCAUCCUUCAGUAUGCAUCAUAUUUGAAAAGUGCCAAACGAGUCGCUGCUCUCCUUCCCAAGUUUCCAUCUCGAAGGAGGUUUCACGAAGCUUUAGAUCUUAACCUCCUCCCUUUCAGAGUCUACCUAUACUAUCAAAAAUUGAUUCGAGUUCGUAAUCAAAUUUAUCUAUUUUUCCUCACUUCCUUGGAAUAUUCUCACAUAGCAAAAGCAGAAAAUUAAACUAGCUCAAGCCUGUCAUGUUAGCAGACUUUCCAAUUACCUGAAAUCUAUUGCAGUGCCUGACAAAUUGGCUGAUACGUAAUCCAAUCUGGUCAAGACUUGGAUAAUAAUGGUGUCAUGCCCCAAAACUAAGAUGUAACACGGUUAUAUUUUCUUCAAAUAAAACUUUAAAGUAAUACAAAAUAUUUUCUUUUAAUCCCUUUAAAAUUCUUUAAUAAAAAUAAUUUGGCCAAGUAACUAAUGAUACAUCUCUAUAUAUCCAAAGGUGAAUUCAUAAAAUAAAUAUAAAAUCAAUUCAUAAGAUCUCUUUAGCUAACAAUAUUUCUAAUGCCCAAGUAAUAUUUCUAAUUUGAUCUUCUACAUUUUAACAAAGCUAAACAUACUUAUCACUUACUCAUGUGUAAAAAAAGGGUAAAAAGAGAAUGAACAAAUUACAGCUCAGCUAGUAUAAGAUCAUACACUUUAUCAGAUCAAGAUUCGGUUUCAUACAUAUCAUAUAGAUUAUUCAAAACAUUUGUCAAAUAAUAAUAUCAAAAUAUUUCAAAAAUCAAUAUUAUGUCAAUAUUUUGUAGAUCAUAAAUCAAAAUCAAAACAGAUCAAUUCAUAAAUCAUUGCAAAAUAUGUUAUCAUUCAAAUAUCGUAAUCAAAUCAAAUCAUGAAUCAUAUUUUUAAAAUCAUCAUCUCAUAAUCAAUCACUUAUCGUUAGUUUAUCAUUAACUAUUCACUACUAUAAUCUGUAAAAUUAGUUUAUAAAUUUUAUUUCUUAUAUAAUAUAGUACUAUUUAAAGCUAUUGGCCAAGCUUUACGACUAACUACUAUAACCACUAAGGCAUGAUAUGAUAAUGUUAAUACUAUUUGCGUUAGCUAAAGACUAUAACUAGUUCUAGUAUGAUAAUCCAUUAUUCUCAAGAUGAAAAAUAUUAGCUAUUAUAACAUUCAUUAAACAUAUAAUCAUUCUCUUAUUCAGUUUAUAAACUAUUCAUUAUUUUAUAUAGCAAAACGUAAAAUAAUAUACCUCCCCCUAUUUUCUUAUAUCGAAAUAAAGAAAUUAAAAUUUAUUUAUUUAAAAAGCAUACAUAUGCACAUAAGUUUCAAAACAAGCAAAGUUGUGAAAAUUCUACUUAAUUUCCUUUGGUCCAUCACUUAAGUUUUUCCCCAAAAACUAUUAUGGGCUAUUCAAAAUCUUUCAAUAUAAUAGAAAUUAAUCAUCCAUUUCUAAGACCAUUAUACAAAAACAACUAAGUUAUAUAAGGGUUAACUAACUAAUUUUGGUAGAUUUGCGCUACUGUUCCUAAAAAUGACCCUAUCCUUAAAAUAUCCAACUUAAAUUAAGAAUUUUUUUUAGUACGUUAGAAAUUAAACUCAAUAAACUUCUUAACCAUAUAUGGCCCACCUUGUAAUUUUGUGUAGAUUAAUUGUAAUAACUUUUGCAAUUCAUGUCAUAUACUGUUGUCAGAUAGCAUGUAUAUUUUCUAAUAAAAAUUAUAUAUUUAUUCAUAAAAGACUCCAAAUUCAAUUUCUCUUAUUUCAUUGAAAAGUAGACUCAAAAAUAUUUUCAAACAUAUAUGGCCCACCUCGUAAUUUCUUGUGGAUUAAUUGUAAUAAUUUUUGCAAUCCAUGUCAUACGCUACUACCAAACAACAUGUAUAUAUUCUAAUGAAAAUUAUAUAUUUAUUCAUAAUUUCGAUACUACUUUCCUGGUUCUUUCCAUCAUUUGGUUCACAAUAAACAAAAUGAUAUCCAAGUUCUUUAAAAAUCCCUAGAGCUGAUGUUUGUUACUCAAGUUCAUUUGGUUUUAGGACAAUGCACCUAUUCUUCAAUCUUCUUUAUUGAUGUUUGAAGAAAUGAACAAUAAUUGCUGUAAAAUAGCAUAAAAUCAUUAUGCUACACCACUACUCUGUAAUAUAAUCCACCAAUCUAGGUCACCAAUAAAAAGAAUUGAGGAAUUCAAUUCACACUGUAACGUAUUGGUGAAUUCAAACAUACCACUCUAUUGUAAUUUUUUAUUAGCAUGUAUGAUGUCAUGUAUAUGCAAUCAUGCCAAAUAGCCUUUUAAAAAGCUGUUAGAGAAACCCUUCACAAUAUGUAAAUCGUAAAAGCUUAGUACUUGAUUCCAAAACCAAUUACAAAUUAACAAAUAAUAUCAAUAUACAUAGAUAUAAUCUUAUGCCAUGUUUGGUACAUAAGAUUAUGACUUGAUACGGUACAACGUUAUUAUAAAUAGAAUUAGAUUAAAUAAUGUCAUCUAAUUUUGUGUUUGCUCUAUGUAAAGAUUAGGAUAGGAUAAUUUUUUUAUUUGUCAAAAUUAUCCUUGUCGAAAGUUUAUACAAUUUAAAUUAUUAAAGUAAAUUUUAUGAGUAUAAUUGAACUUGUAAGUUUAAUCUUAUAAAUUAAAAAUUAUCCUCUCUACUUUGAAAGGAUUGAAUAAUCCUAUACUAAAAAGAUAUUAAUCCUUAUUGCAAACCUUAUCUUUGUCUUUAGAUACAAAUCAAACUUGAUAUAGGAUGAUUAUCAUCGUAUUUUAUCAAUAAUCAUAUGUAUCAAAUAUAACCUUAGUCUACUAUUUUAGUGGAACCACUCUAACACAAAGAGUCGUCUCUUAUGAAGACCGCUUCAACAUCCAAAUUUUUGUUUAGAAAAUAAUCUUUCCACCACCAUUUCUUUUUAUAUAGUCUUCAUCUUCGCUUUAUAAACUCACCGUUGAUGUCUUAUUAAGAUAUAGAGCAAGAAUUGUUCAUAAGUGAGCUACCAUUAAUAGAUGGUUUUAAUAAUUUAAUAAAAUUGGUUGAUGAGUUUACUCUUAAUAAGAGAUAAGCAUGAGAGUUUAAAUAAUUUAAUGUGAUCACUUAAAUGUAAGAUUUGUACAUCUUACUGGAACAAUUUGGUUUAGAGAUUUUGUAAACCUUUAUCUAGUAAGUGUUUAAUGAUGAGGGUUUAAGGGAUUUCAAUCAAAUAGGUUCAAAUCACUUUUUUUCUUUUACUUUUAUGCAAGUUACGGUUACUGCUCAUUGAAUGUCGCCAGUAAAAGAAGAGUGAAAAGGAAAACCUAGGCACUUUAAGGAUUGUUUCGCUUUGAUAUAUUUAUCAUGACCACCCAAAUAAGUAUGACAAAUCUCUUUAUUUGUUAACAAUGUUCUAAAUAUCAAACAAUGAACUUGGGUUAAUGUUUACGCAUGGUAUUAGAGCUAUCAUUAUGUGAUAUUAGGACCCUAAAAUUAUGAUUUGUAAUUGAUUUUUGAACAAACAACAUAUUUAGGGUGAAAUUAUGUUAUUGUCAAAUUUUUAAAUUUUGAUCUUUAUUUUUCAAAAUUGAUUUAGGAUUUUAGUUCCUCAUUGAAAAAGGAUUAAAAUUAUAUAAAAACCAUUUUCUAAUGCCUUAUAUCAAGAGAGAAAUCAAGGUUGAAAAUUUUUAGGUUUAAGUUUUAAUCUAAAUUCUUGUUUUUAUUAAAACAUCAAACAUUUUAUGUGUUUAAUUCAAAAUUGAUUCUUGAAUCAUGUUUCUCAUGUGUUAUAAAGUUAAAUCAAAGCAUUUAAUUUCAUAUUGUUUUAGAUUAGCCAAACACGAAGAAAACAAAAAGAGGUCUAAUAUGUGUUUAUGUAAUUCAAAAAAUUUUGACCAAUUGAUCUUAUAUUUAUCUUUUUUUAAUACUUUUUUUCAUGGGUUUGAUAGAAAAAUGGUUUUAUUUUUGGGCACUUCAAUUUGAUGAAAAUACCAAGAAAAUACAUAAAAAAUGGUGGAAAAAAUAUGAACUGACCAGAAUAAGUAAAGAAUUGUUCCAGUUGCAUUGAGUCAACCCAUUUGGAGGUUAAAGAAGACCAUUCCCCAUGUUGAAUAAAAUCCAUGCUUAGUGGGUGGCACAUGUGGCACGUGUAGGGGGCUCAUCUAGCAUCCAUUUUUGCUCUAGUUUCUUUUCACAUACUUGGAAUUUUAUUUUAAAUUUUUUCUUAAAAUUUUUAAACUACAUGAAAUAUUUGUUUGACAUUCAUGCAUUGCUUAGUAACUAUUAUAUGUUAUACACAUUAUUUUAUUAUUUUAUUUUAUGAUAAAAUAUUUUAGUAUGUUGGGAGUCUAAUGAUAGUAGGUAUUCUUCCUAAAUAGGUCUUGAUAUUUAUAUACUCUCAAGUUGAAUCUUAAGUGCGUAAUUGAUUUAGUAAUUAAAAAUUGAUUUUUAAAAAAAAUUCAAAACUCUGGUUUUAAUUUAAUGUACACUGCUUAUAAGACCUAAUUAGAUACAUUUAGGUUUAAUAUCUUAGUUGGGAUGGUCCAUUGCAUACAUUAUGGUUGAAUUUGUAAACUGAGAGUUGUGGGCAAUUAAUAAAAUUUUUCGAUUUGAAAAAAUCUUCAUUAAUUGAUAUUAGUGUUUGGUUGUCAAAGUGGAUCACUAUUGAAAUUAAUGUAAUAUUUUAUCAUUUUAUGGUUAUGGGAGGGUUAUUAAAUUAUCUUAUGCAAAUGACUAUCUAAAAGGGGUUAAUGUAUAGGGUAAUUUGUUUUGGAAUAUAAAUCAUCAUGGUUGAAGUUGUACGAAUCUAUAAAAUCUAUCUGCCCAAAAAAGAUAUGUUUUUUGAAAGCUAGGACUUUUCAUAUUAGCUUUAUGCAGAAAGUUCUUACUCAUAUAUUACAUUCUUUAUCCAAAAAGGAGUUUGUGGUGAUGCACUAAGACCUUUCAAUAAUUAUUAGUACAUCAUGAACUAUUGUUAUAUCUUUUACGAUAUUGUCUAUUUACUAAUGUUGCAUUUUUAUCUUAAAUGUUGCCUUUUAUUGUCAAUAACAAUAAGCCACUAUUAAAGUUCUUCACGGGUCUAUUUAUAAAAAAUGAAAUGAAGAUUUGAAUUUUGCUUUGGUUAUGAAUGAGAUAGACAUAGCCUUAUGUUUUUCAAAACCUACUAAUUUUACUAAUGAAAGCAUUGCUGAACAAAUGGAAUUGUUUCUCAAAUGGGAAAAGGCAAAUUGUAUGCAUCUGUAUGUCAUUAAUAGGUCUAUUUUUUAAUACCUUUUGGGUGAGUUAGAUACCACAAAAUUGCUAGGGAUCUCUACCAUGUUGUAGGCAAUAAAUACCAUAAAUCUAAUAAGUGUAAAGCUAAAACCCUUAUGAGUGAGCUUACAAGUAUUAGGUAUGACAAUGUUGGGAGUGUUAGAGAUUUCAUCAUGAGAAUGGUCCACAUUCAAACAAAAUUGACUUCUCAAGAAAUUAUCCUUCCUAAUAAAUUCAUUGUUCAUCAUGCCCUUAAUGCCUUAAUUGUGGGGUUCACUCAGAUCAAAACUGUCUAUAAUGCUAUGAAUGAGGUUUGAAGUGUUGAUGAUCUUAUUUAAAAGUUUGUCUCUAAGAAAGAAAAACUAUAGAAAGAAAAGGGUGAAAGUGUUUUUUUUGCUAUAUACUCCAAAUAUAAUUACAAAAGAAAUUAUGGAAAAUUUGAGAAAUUUCUUCCUAAUGCUCAUAAGAAAGUUCAAGAAAAUAAGGGACAAGGUAGUGGUCAAACUAAAAAGGUAGGAGGUCUUAAAGUUGCCAUUAAGAAAGAUAUCGAGUGUUUUUCUUGUAAAAAGAAUGUCAUAUGAAACAUGAGUACCCUAAAUAUCAAGCUUGGUUAAGGAAAAAGAAUAAACAAGAAGGUAACUCACUAGCUCUCACUUGCUUUAAAUCCUAAUUUGUCAGUGGCCCACUAAAUUCCUAGUAGAUUGAUAGUGGUGCAACUAUUCAUAUUGCUGUUACCUUUGCUAGGAUUAAAAAAAAAAUGAAAGCUAAUUAAGAAAGAAGCUAAACAUAAAGUUUGAAACAAUGUUGAAGUAGCCAUUAAUUAUAUAGGAACAAUAGGCUUAUAUUUAUAAUCUGUUUUUGAACUUAUUUUGGAAAAUGUUUUUCAUCACCUUCAUUUAUGAGGAAUUUGAUUUUAGUUUUUAUUUUGGACAAACAUGGUUAUUAUUUUGGCAUUGGAUAUGGAAAAGUUGACUCGUUUUAAAAUUCAAAUGUUGUUGGUGAAUUUAAACUAAUUGACAAUUUAUACAAACUGUGCUUAGCCUAUAAUAAUUAAUAUAGUUGCAAUAAUGUUGAAAAGAUAGUGACUAAAAAAUCUUUGAGUAAAGAAAAUUCAUUAUUGAUGAAUUUAAACUAAUUGACAAUUUAUAUAAAUCGUGCUUGGCCUAUGAUAAUUAAUAUAGUUGCAAUAAUGUGGAAAAGACAAUGUCUUAAAAAUCUUUAACUAUAGAAAAGUCUUUUGUUGUGGUGUAAAAGGUUGGUCACAUUUCUUAUGAAGAAGUGCAAAAAUUGAUAAAAGAGAGUACUUUAUCUUUCCUUGGUUUUAAAAAGUUAGACACUUGUGUUGAUUGUAUAAAAUAUAUACUAACUAAAACUAAGAAAAAUGAGGCAAUUUAUAAUUUUGACCUUUUGAAAAUUGUGUACACUGAUAAUAGUGGACUUCUUACAUCUAUCUUGUGUUGUAACAAAUAUUUUGUUACUUUUAUUUAUGACUAUUUUCGCUAUGGGUAUCUUUACCUAAUUGAUGAAAAUUGAAAUGCUUUUAAAAAAUUUAAAAAUUUUAAACUGAGGUCAAGAAAUAAUUAGGAAAAGUUAUCAAAGUCAUUAGCUCUAAGGUGGUGAGUAUUAUGGUAGAUAUUGUGAAACUAGAUAACAUAUGAGACCAUUUUCUAAAUAUUUACAAGAAUGUCAAAUUUUCCUUAAUAUGCUAUGCUUGGUAGUCUUGAACAUAAUGGUGUGGUCGAAAGGUAAAAUCACACCCUUAAGGAUAUGAUAAAGAGCUUAUAUGCAGGACUAAUCUUCUUAAGUCUUUUUAGGGUAAAGCUAUUAAAAUCGCCUUGUAUAUACUUAAUAGAGUACCUAGCAAAUCUGUUCCUAAAACACCUUUUGAAUUGUAGACUGGUAGGAAACCCCAAUUGAACCAUUCUAAAUUUUGUGGACGUCUUAUAGAAGUUGGAAUCUAUAAUCUUUUGAAAGAAAGAUUGAACCUAGGAAUACUCAUUGCUUUUCUUUAAAGUAUUUAGAUCGCUUCAAGGGAUAUAAGUUUUAUUAUCCUGUACGUGGAACUAAGUUUGUAGAGUCACAUGUGGCAAAGUUUUUGGAACUAAAUGUUGCUGAUAAGAGUGUGAUAGAGGCUAUGGAUAAUCGUGAAUCUAUUAGACAUAUUUCUAUCACUUUACAUAUAAUACAGUGCCAUAUUAUGCUAGUGGCCAUUGAAUGAAGAGAUCGAGGCAAUAGGACAUAAACCUUUUCCUACUAAUGUACUUCAAGUUCAAAAGAACGAUAUUAAAAUACCUUUUAGGAGAUCUUCUAAACAAAGAAGAUCCUCCAUCUCUAAUGAUUAUGUAAUUUAUCAUUGAAAGAGUGACUAUGACAUUAGUCAUGUUGUUAACCUUGUGACUUUUGGGGAAACUAUUAGCAGUCUAUAAUUUAAUGUAUGGAUGGAUGCAAUAAAAAAUGAGAUAAAUUUUAUGUCUCAAAAUGGUGCUUAGGAGCUUGCUAAACUACUAAAAAAGUAUAAAUCCAUUGGUUGUAAAUGGGUGUAUAAAACCAAGAAAGGUUCUAAGGGAAAUUUGAGAUAUUUAAAGUUAAAUUGGUGGCAAAGUGAUUUAUUUAGAGGGAAAUAGUAGAUUAUAAUGAAAUGUUUUUACCGAUGUCUUCCAAAAAUUCCUUUAGGAUUGUUAUAGCCUUAGUAGUACACUUUAACUUGAAGCUUUGUUAGAUUAAUGUAAAGACGGCUUUUCUCAAUGGUGAUUUUAGAGAAAAUGUUUAUAUGGUGCAACCUAAAAGAUUUCAAGAAUUUGAAAAGAAGCAUUUAGUAAGUUGACUUAAAAAGUCAAUUUAUGCCUUUAAAUAAGCUUCUAAGUAGAGGUAUCUAAAAUUUGAUAAGAUAGUUACUUCCUUUGGUUUUGAGAAACAUAAAGUUGAUCAAUAAAUAUAUCUUAAAAUCAAGGGGAGUAAAUAUAUCUUUCUUGUGUUAUAUGUGGAUGACAUCUUACAGGCUUGUAAUGAUAUUGGUUUGUUACAUGAAAUUGAGCAGCUAUUAUCUAAGACUUUGGAUAUGAAAAACCUUAAGAAUGCAUCCUUUCUUCUUGAGAUUGAAAUUCAUAGAGAUAGGUCUCAAAAUUUGUUGGGACUAUCGUAAAGGUCUUAUAUUAAUCGUGUGCUUAGUAAAUUUAACAUUCAAAGCUGUAAGGCUAGGAAUGCACUAAUUGUGAAAGGUAAUAGACUUAAUCUUAGUUAACGCCCAAAGAAUGAUUUGGAGAAAGAAUCCAUGAAGAACAUACUAUAUUCUAGUGUAGUUGGGAGUCUCAUGUAUGUUUAAGUUUGCACUAGGCUAGAUAUUGCUUUUGCAAAGUGAGUUCUUGAGAGAUAUCUUUCAAACCCUAUUAUGGAUCACUGGGUUGCUAUUAAGAAAGUGAUUAGGUACUUGUAAAAGACAAAAAGCCAUAUGUUGGUAUGCAAAAAGGUGGACAAUCUUGAGAUAGUAGGGUAUAUAAAUUCUAACUUCACUAGUUGUUAGGAUGACAUGAAGUCCACUCCAGGGUAUUUUUUUCAUGUCGGCUAGAAGAGCUUUGUCUUGGAAACGUGUGAAACAAACACUCUUAGUUUUUUCCACUAUGCAAGUUGAGUUUGUUGCAUGCUAUAGAGCUAUUACAUAGGCAAUUUGGCUUAUGAAUUUUGUGUCAGGUCUUUGUAUUAUUAAUUCCAUCUCUAGACCUUUAAAGAUUUAUUAGGAUAAUAGGUCUGCUGUGUUGUUUUCUACGAACAACAAGAGCACUAUUGCUUUAAACGUUUGGAGAUAAUAUAUUUUAAAGUUAAGAAUUUUAUGAAAAAUGGUAAGAUUGUUGUCAAACACAUUAAGACUAACAACAUGAUUGUUGAUCCUUAGACUAAGGGAAUAAGACCUAUAGUAUUUGGUAAACAUAUUGAGAAAAUAGGUAUUUUGGGGUCUUUUGAUGUAAUUUAUUAUUAAUAGUAUAUCAUUUGUAUUUCAUACUCACAAAUCACAGUUUGUCUCUAUAUUGGACUUUUUCCUUUAUGCUUGGAAUAUCUAUGUGAUAUUUAAUUCUAUGCUUGAAUGAUGAGAAUUGUUGGUUGACAUUUUAUGUUGUUAUUUUACUUUGUUAGUAUAUGCACACAUGGAAAAUUAAAGUUUAUUAUAUACAUUGUGAAAUCUUAAGACUUGGGGUCUGUGUUAAGUAUGACUAUUUUUAUCACUUGGAUAACUAAUAAUCUUUUAAAUAUAUAUAAUAUAUAUUAUAUUACAGGAUAUAUUGUUACAUGAUAAGGUUUGCUUACAUUGAUGGUUUUUCUUUUUGACAUGUGAUAAAAUUCUUAAAAUUUCUCUAUAAUGACAUAUAAGACAUUUCUUAAUUUUAGGCUAUUUAUCAAUAAAUAUAUAUUUAAAAAAUUAUUUAGUUAUCGAAAACUUUCAAAUUUUAGAUGUAAGUAUUAUGGGAUAUGUAAAUGCCUAUACAUAUAUAUAUAUAUAUAUCAUUUUUUGACACAUAAGAAUUUACCACAAAAAAUUAACUUAUAUGGAUAUCUACUUGGAUAAUUUUUAAAUUGUUAACAAUAAAAUCUAAUUUAGAUAUAUUUUUAUUAAAAAUAAAUUUCCUAAUAAUAUAAACAUAUUUUUUAAAUUUAAAAAUCUCAAUUGUAAUAAUAUAUUAUCUCUAAAAUGGGUUUAUAAAAUAAUUCUAUUUGAUAAAUUAUUUAAAUUCAAAAUGAAAACCUAUCAAACAUGAAAAUGUUUGUAUAAAUCUUGAAUUAAAAAAUGUCAAUUCUAGAAUUUUUCUUUUUUUUUUUAAUUUAAUCAUUUUUCAAGAAUAUAUAUGGACCAUAAAUUUUGAAUAUAUAUUUCAAUUAAAAUUGAUUAGAUUUUUUUUUACUAUUUCAAAUUUGAAAGAUAUGUUGUAUUUUUUAAUUCUCUUAUCAUUAGAUUAUUUUAAAAAUUUAAUUCCAGCCAUAGUCACUAAUCAUUUUUUCAUUACCAUUGUCAAGCCUGCGUCUAAAAUAGCAAUCGAUGAAAAUUUUUUAUUGUUUCAUUCCAAUCACAAUCACCCAUCACUUUAUUGUUUGAGAAGAAUCAUAAUUUGUAACUAAAUCACUUAUAUGUUGUGACGUAAUCAAUUGAUUUGUGCUUCGUUAAAUGAUUUAUUGGUAGAACUAGAGAUACAACUGUUUAAGGAAAGAGCUAAGGACAAAAAAACUUCUCUUUUAUAUAUAUUUAUUUUUAUAUUAAUGUCAUUUUUUUUUCAAAUUAAGCAGUAAUUUGGUAAUUAAUAUUAUUAUUACAUAUAGGAAAAACCCAAAAAUUAUUUGGGUACGAGACAUUCCUUGAACUCUAAAGGUCAACACUAAGGAAUGAUUAUCGAUUACAUGUAUAACAAUUUCAAAGUUUGACGCUUCAUGCACCAUUUUCGUCGUCCUGUGCCCCACCUAACUGUCAGACGUGUGAGUGUUACCUACGCACGAACCAACCAAGAUUAGCUGACAAAUACUAAAACCCAAUAUAUAUAUAUGUAUAUAUAUAUAUAUAUAUAUCUUAUACUCGAAAAUGACACCAUCACUUUUGUUGAUUAAAUCAGAGUAUCACAAUUGAAGAUCAGAAGAAAAAAAACCUUUACCGUAGAAUGGCAGAACAUUGGUGACGAUGAAGUUUUCGAUAUAGUGAAAAGAGCGACCCGAUGCAGUAUGAUCAGCAUAAGUAAGUUUUCUAGUUCCAAAAGGAGAGUCAAAUUCUGCAUCACCACCAGUGAUUUGAGAUCGUAGCCAAGACAGCUUUUUCUCGGUGGAGUCAACCUUUGGCACACCCAUCUCUAGAGCCCUGAAUGAUUCCGAGCCAUGGAAGAGUUUGCUGGAAACAUAGGAACGGCAUGUUGAUCCUGGCGACUUAUGCCUGUCCCUGGUUGAAGUCUUACUAUCAUUUGCUGCCUUCAAUUUCAGGGCUUCCGUUGUUUCUCUAAACAUGGGUUGCUCAAACUCCAUUUCCCACCUGGAAACAAAGAUUAGUGGCUGUUUUUAUUGUUGUUGUAGCUUAUGACAGGAGAAAGAAUGGAAAAAGUAGUUGUAGAAAAAGAAAAAGAUAAGAAUGAGGGUAAGGAAGGCAGACUUGGUUAUUUAUAUACUAUUAAAAUACAAAGUAACCUUUUGACACGGUUUCAUUUUUUUAAUUAAUAAAACAAAAAGACAACGUUUUAGGCGGGAGGGGGGUUGGACUCCGAAACCAUGGCCUCUACACACCAAUAAGAAAAAUAUUGCUGUCUCAGAAACAAUGGGAUCUCUAAAAAAGAUUGUAAAAAAAAAAAAAAACCUACAGAAAAUAGUAAGCCUAUGUUUGGAAUAUAUUAUUCCUUGGAGUGUAAGAAUUUCCAUAUUUCUCAUUCCUCUCCCUAAAAGUUGGUUAUGGAGUAUCAAAUAGCCCAAGCAAUUGUUAGAAAAACAUUGAACCUUUCCUGAUCUACUUGGUUUGGAACUUGAUGUAUCCAAUCUGCCAUAUUAAUAAGGAGAGCAUUGCUAUUUAGAGGUGUCAAUAAUAUACCCGUACUCACAAGUUAUUCAUUUUGUAAAUUUGAUGACUUAAUUGAUAAAAAGAAUGAGAACUUUUGUUUUUCGGUAUAAUUUGCACGGGUAGAUAUGAUCUAAAAAAGUAGAAAGUGUAAAGAAAGCAAAGAAUUUGAUUGCUUUUCAGAAACUUAGUAUGAUUUUGGCAAUAUGCAUGAUAAUUUUAUUAAUGAUUAUUCAUCAAUAAGUAACAUUUAUGAAUUAAAAUUAAAUUUUGAUUUAUUGAAAAAGUAUAAAAAAAUCAGUUAUAAAAAAAAAUGAAAGAAUGAAGAAACAAACAGAUGGAUCAAAAAAUAAAUAAAUAAAAAGAGAACCAAAACAAAAUAAAAGUAGUGAAAUAGAUCUUCAAACCAAUACUCCCCCACACUAAAGGCUAUUCAUUUGUAUUUAUGAUGAAGUGGCAUAUUAAAAAUAAAUAAUUUAAUUUAAUUAAGAAUUAUUUAAGAUAAAUAAUAAAAAUUUGAUUACUAAUUGAUAUAAUUUUAACUAUAUAAGGUAAGUAAUACUUACUCUUUAAGGUAAUGUUGGUAUUUUCAAAAUGGUUAAAUAUAAAAAUAACCCAUUUAUUAUACAUUUUUUUAUCAAUUUGGCACCAAAAACAUAAAAUAUUUAGUUUGGUGCUCUAAUUUUCAUUCUAUCAUCACUUUGUUACCAGAGUCUAACACCAUUAGUAAUUUAAUUAACGUGGUAUAAAUAUAUAAUAAGAUAUUAAAACAUGUCAAUAAAAUCUAAUCAAUGUCAAAUCAUCAAUAUUACAUCCGAAUUUAAAAAAAAUUCCAAAAAAUUUAAGCAUUUUAAAAAACUAAAACUAAAAAAUUUAAAAUUUUUUAAAAAUUAUUAAAACUUAAAAAAUUCAAAAAAAUCUAAAAAUUUUAUUAUAAGAAUUAAUUUUUUUUUGAAAUUGUCAUAAAAAUGAUAAUUUUAGUAAACAUAAAGUUUUCAUAAAAUUUAAAAAAAAUCUCUAAAACUUAAAGAAUUUGAAAGUAAAAGAUCUAAAAUUUUUUAAAAAAAUAAAAAAAAUUUAAAAUAAUUGUAAUUUUUGUAAAUUAGGAAAAUUCUUCUUUUUUUAAGUCUUACAGUUUUAAUUUUUUGUAUAUAUUUUGUGAUUUUUUUACAUUUUUUAAAUGUUAAUGGAUUUUUAUUAAAAUUUUAAGUUUUUUAUUUUAUAUUUUUCCAAAAAAAUUUAAUUUUGAGUAAACUUCUUCAAAUAUUUCAUAUUUUUGAAAUUUUUUUAAUUUUCUCAAAAUUUUUGAAAAUAUUUUAUAAAAUUUUAGAUUUUAAUAAAAUUAGAUUUUUUUUUAUUUUCAAAUUUUGUCAAAAAAUUCUAGAUUUUUUUAAUUUUUGUGAACCUUUUUUUUAAUUUCUUAGAAUUUUUUCGAUUUUCUGUUAAAAUUUUGAGAUUUUAUGAAUUUUUUUAAGUUUUCAUAUUCUUUUAACUUUUAUAAUUAAAAAAGAUUUCAUAUUUAUUUAAUUUUUCAAAAUUUUAAAAUAUUGAUGCAAUAAUUGAUGAUGUGACACUAACUCAACUUUUUUACUAAUGUCAUAUCUUUUUAGAUGUUAAUGUCAUGUUAAUAAAUUGAGUAAUUGCUUUAGUCUGAGGUGUCAAAGUAAAUGACAAAAUGAAAAUUCAAGAACCAAAUUGAUAAUUUUGUUUCUUAAAAUACCAAACUGACAGAAAGUAUAUAGUACAUGAAAUAUUUUUAUAUUUAACAUUUCCAAACACCAAAAAACCUGAAAAGAGACUUACAUUAAAAGAUGCCUAGGUAGCGGUCAAGAUGAUGCAAUUCUGUUUUGUGGCUCAGGCACUACGGCAGCUAUUAAAAGGCUACAAGAAGUUAUGGCGAUUACGGUACCAUCAAUUUUGAGGGACAUGGUAAUAAAUUACUUAAUGAGUAUCGAUGGGUAGUUUUUAUUGGCCCUUACGAGCACCACUCCAACUUGCUUUCUUGGCAUCAAAGCCUUGCUGAAGUUGUUGAGAUUGUUUGGAUGAGAAUGGGUUCAUAGACAUUGAAGCACUAAGAAAACAGCUUGAGCUGUAUAAAUACACCAAUAGGCCUUUGCUUGGCUCAUUUUCAGCUUUUAGUAAUGUGACUGGGAUUCAAACAGAUACUCGAGAGAUUGCCAAACUUCUUCAUGAGUACGGAGGUUUUGUUUGCUUUGAUUUUGCAGGCAAGGUAAACAGUAAGAAUUUUCAUUUUUUGUUGUCAAGCUUUUAUAUUCGAGGUUGUCAGAAUUUAAACUUUGAUUGUUAAAAUUAAAACUUUAAUAUUUUAAUAACAGCUCUCACAAUUAAUUAUUAGCCAAGUUUAUGUAUUAUGUUAAUAUUAUAAAGCAAUGAGAAGUUGAUUUUUUAUUGUGCUUAUCAUUUUAUUUUUGUGGAUAGUGGUCCUUAUAUGGAGAUUGAUAUUAGGUCAGGGGAGAUUGAUGGAUAUGAUGCCAUUUUCCUAAGCCCACAUAAGUUUCUAGGUGACCCUGGAUCGCCCGGUAUCCUUUUAAUGAGCAAGGCUCUCUACCAGCAAGGAUCUUCUCCUCCAUCAACUUGCGGAGGUGGAACAGUUAAUUAUAUCAAUGGUUUCAAUGAACAGGUAAUUACUCUCAAAUUUAAAAUUAAUUGAUAAUAAAUGAAGAUAUUUUUAUUAUAUUUAUGUGUUCAGAUUAAUUCAAUUUAAUAGAUAAAAGAUUUUAUUUUUUGUUCACCUCUCUACAAUAAAAUGGAAAAUUUUAUUUUCUUUACCUUUUUCUUAUUCUUGCUUAUAUAUCCCAUUUUGUGAGAAAUUUGGUUUCUUUCUUCAACUGGACGACAUAAAGAAUGAUUAGGUAGCUGUCAGGCUUUUGGGAGUUUAGAAAUAAAUUCCUGAUUCAGAUGGAGCGGGUUUAGACAUAGACUAGCGAAUGAUAAGUGUCUCUAAAAAAUUUUUUAUUUCAAUUACAAUUUUAGAAGAACAGAGAUUUCCAACCAAAUUUCUGAAUGCACGACAGUGUCAAUAGAAAAAUACUCUAGAGAAUGAUAAGUUAUCAUGAUAUUAAUCGGAUUCGUUCCCCAGCAUUUAGGGAAGCAGGUAUGCAAUUUAAUAUGUGGUAAAAUGGGGAAUUUAUUUUGCAGGACACAAUAUACGUAAGUCAUAUGGAAGAAAGGGAAACUGGAGGGACUCCCCAAAUAAUUCAGAUUAUUAGAGCAGCAUUGACAUUUUGGGUAAAAGAAUAUAUUGGUUAUGAAGUGAUUGCAAACCAGGAAGAAGUCGUACAUAAAUCAAGCAUUGGAAAGGCUUCUCCCAAACCAAAACAUAAGGGUUUUAGGAAAUGCAAGCACCGAGACCCAGAGACAAGCCAUACUGUCUUUCCUCAUCUACUCCACAACCAACGAUGGUAACAAUGUUGACGAGGCAGAGGAAAAGGGGAGGGGACUUUUCAUGUGGGGAGAGACUGGGAACAAGAGGGAUAAACCUCUCCAUGGCCCUUUUGUUGCAACCAUCCUAAAUGAUCUGUUUGGCAUCCAAGCUCGAGGUGGGUGUGCUUGUGCUGGACCUUAUGGCCACAGUUUGCUUGAUAUUGAUCAGACUCGAUCCCUU
rnacentral:lncRNA from 1 species